AUUGACACUCAGGUCAGAUAAAUCAGUUCAAUACUCUAUGCACAUUUAAAAUAUAAUUCUAAUUCCAAUACAAAAUCAAUGUAAAAAUAAAAGAAAGUAGAAUAUAGUUUGAUUCUCCUACUUUCAACUUUCCCUGCUUUGGACUCUUGUUUUUCAAUAUCAGCAAGUGUAGAGCCGGUUCUCUUUGCCUUCUCAGAAAAGAGCUCAUCCAAAGAUCCGAGAGCCCUCAUCUACACAUCUGCAUUUUAUUUUCUUAUAUAACCCCAUCCUCAGCUUGCCAAACCGACCUUAAACAAAAACAAAGAGGCUAUUCUUUCUUUUUCUUGAGCGAAGAGGUUAUUUUGUCUACCAUGUCCGAAAUCGUACCUCUCCAAAAUUGACAAUUUUCAACAACAAAGGAGAGGAAAAAGCAAGAACAGAGGAUGCAAGUGAGAAAUGAAAGGUCCGAUGAAUGCGGUAAAACAACGUACAAGCCGGUUGCGAAAGCGAUCGCCAUUGCUCCCAUCCCAACCAUGGUGAAAAUAAAGGCCCAAAGCAAGUGCUUCUCAAGGAACUUCUCCCGUUUGCGCAUGGUCAUAAAAAAGUGAAGAAAUACGGCGCAUAGUGAAGACACCAUGGCUAUGGUAUCGGUCACAACAAAUGCUCUGAAAGCUGCUUUCUUUGAUAAAAUUGCCUUGCCAUCAUCCUCUUUGUAACCACCGGGCAAGGUGAAACCUGCAGCAAAAGUUACUGUUGUUAAAAGCGCGGACACUAUCAAAUGGGUUUCACCUUGUUUUCGUAAUUCAGAGGUGUAUUUCUCCUUGUACUCUUUGCUUUCUUUUUCUGUCUUCAAUUUCUUCAUUGACUUCUCCCGAGCCAUAGAUGAAUUACCGGGCAUAGCCCACUCGAACUGCUCUUGGAUCUGAUUCAGAAAUUGGAUGAGAGGAACAUUUAAAUUUAAUUCAAUUGAACAAUCCAUUUUUUUCACAUGCACUCAUUGCUGAUGAAAAUCUGAUAUAAGUGAAAAAUGCGCGUUACUUAAAUGCAUCAAAUCAAGCUUAUUUAUUCCAAAAGAUAUGACGUUAAUCGAGUUAUUUGUUUGUUCUAAACCCUUUUAAUAAAAAUGAUAUGUUGAGUGCAAAUUUAUUUAAAUUUCAACAUCAAUAUAAAUUAUUAAAUAAAUCCAAUAAAUUCAUUUUUUUAACUCAUAUAUAAGUUUUGGAAUAGAUGUUUUGCAAUUAUCUCUUUACAAUAAGAUAAACAAGAGUCUUACUAAUAAUGGUGAAUUCUGGUGCUGGGGUCUUAUGCCCAUCGUGAGUCGAUAGGCUACGGAUGAAAGGAUGGUAUGUUUAGGUUCAAGGAAACCAAUCAUAUGGUUAAAAGUAACAAAACAUUGCGUAUUUCAAAGAAAAUAUUUUCGUUCAAAUGAGCACAUGCAGUUUGAGAAACACGAUAUAACGAGCAUUUUUCAAUACAUGGUAACAAAGUGAUGAGGGAGCCUUUCCCUUUUCGUUGAAACAUUCUCCUUGGCCUUCAAAGUCAUGUCGUAAGCUGUCAAUUUUUCAUUGUUGUACUUAUUUAUUUAUUUUGUAUUUAAUUAACUGCGUUAUGGCCCUCAUGUGAGCUGCAAUAGUGACAUUUUUGUGUUUCAAAUGUUGAAUAUUCUCUAAAAAUUAUUCACUUUGUAGUAUUAUUAUAUAUCAUCUAUAUCCUAUUAUCUAUUUAAUUUAUUAAAAAAAUUAUAAGAUAUUAAUUCAAUAUCUAUUAAACUGUAAUCUUAAUUAUUAAAAAUAUAUGAUAAAAUCUAAAUUAUUAGAUAAGAGUAUAAAUAAAUAAAAUUAAAAUAUAAAAAAAUGUAAUCAAAUUAUUAAAAAAUUGACACAAUUAGAUACAAAACAAUAAAAGUAAAUUAUAUACAUGAUAUAUUAUAAUUAAUUCCACAAUUUUGUACGUACGAAUUUGAUAUUAUAGCGAAACUAAUCUUUCCAUCAUAUUUGUUAGUAUAAAACUAACAAUGUCUUGCCUAGUUAGUUUCCUUUGAGUCUCAAUGUUUUCUCGAAUAAACGUCUCAAGUUUGAGAGACUAGAUAGAAAAGAACUUUUUUUUGGAACUUGCAUUAUACUUGAGUUCUAAUGCCUAAUGGUUAUUUAUCUUCACCAAAUUGAAACGUUUUCUACGUGUCUUAAUUGCUUUUAAAUGUCAAUAAUUGGUUGGCUCUACAGUUUUUGGGCUUAAAGCAAGAUGUUUUAUGGUAAUGAGUGACCUUGAUGUAACGGGAUAAUAUUUAAUGCUUUGAUAAUUAAUGACUGUCGAAUGAUAAUUAAUGAUGCCCAGAUAGUCUAAUACCAAAACGGAAAAGGGAAUGCCUGGACGGAUGUUGUUGCCUCCGAUAAAAGGUUGUGUGGUUUGAAAUGUCAUUUUUUCUUAUUCAGUGAAUGACUUUUUCUAUAAUAUAAUUUAUUGGAUUGAUUUUUAAAGCAUUUUAAAUCAGUUGAAUUACCAGCUGACAUGGUAUUUAUUGUGGGUUUUAGGUAUUUGUUGCGUAUGGUAGGUGUGUGGAGGAUAAAGUUUUGAUAUUUAAUGCGUAUGAAUUAUUGGAUGAAAGGAUAGGCUUUUAAAUCAGUUGAAUUACUAGCUGACACGAUAUUUAUUGUGGGUUUUAACCUUUUAGGUAUUUAUUGCGUGUGGUAGGUGCGUGGUGGAUAGAGAUUUGAUAUUUAAUGCUUAUGAAUUAUUGGAUGAAAGGAUAGGUUUUUAAAUCGGUUGAAUUACUAGCUGACAGGGUACAUUUAUUGUGGGCUUUAGGUAUUUAUUGCGUGAGGUAGGUGAAGGGUCUCCAAAAAGCCCGCGGCCCACGGCCCGGCCUAGUGGGCUAAAGCCCGGCAGGCCCGAGCCCAUUUCUAGAUGGGUCGGGUCAUGGGCCCCAAUUUAGGCUCGAUCCGGCCCGACGGGCUGGCCCGCCCGUAGGCCCAUAGGCCCGCCACUUAAAAUAUAUAUAUAUAUAUAUAUAUAUAUAUAUAAAAUAUUCAAGAAAUAGAAAAUACUACAUUAAUAAAAAUAUUCAUUGCUAACUAUUUUAUUCAUUGAAUGUAUACAUUACAUUUGAAAAUGUGGGAAAAGUUUACAUCACUACAAAAUAAGUACAUCCCAACUAGGUUGGCACCUACUUAUUUCUCAAUCAUUGUACUUUUCAACCACAAAAAUAAAAAUAAAAAUAUGAUAUACAUUUAGUAAAAUAUUUUAAUCAUUAUCUUUUGGCGGUGAUGGCGAAAUAUCGCAAAUCCAUGAAGAUCUUGAUGAUUUUAGUUUUUCCAUAUCGACAAGCAUAUUUUCUUUUUGAAUAGAAUCAAAUAUCCUUUUAUCUGCUAUUGCCCAGUCUUUCACACAUAUAUUUGCUUCAAUAGAAUCCGGCGCUAAGCUGCAUCGUUUAUCACUAACUACUCUUCCAUCUGCACUAAAAGCAGCUUCUGAUGCAACUGUACUCACAGGAACUGUUAGUACAUCACGAGCAAUGAUAGAAAGCACAGGAUAUUUGUGUUGUUGUGAUUUCCACCAUAUUAAAAUAUCAAAAUCUUCAUCAUCUUCAAAUGAAAUUAAAUCAAUAUUAAGAUAUCUAUCUAAAUCAGUUGUGUUGUUUGGAGAACUAUUUGUUGUCUUCUUUCAACUUUUUAACAUUUCUAGAGCUCCUUUAUAAAAAGAUGAAGAGCUUGUAGAUGUAGGUAGUAAUUUAAUAGAACUAAUAUCAUCACCAUAUUUUUCUUUAUAAUAGUUAUAUAAAUUAUAUAAUAAUGAAUUUAGUUCAUUUUUAAUUUCUUCAAUUUUUAUUUGGUCAUUAAAAUAAAUAAUUGUUAACCAUUCAUCCAAAGCUUCAAAUUUCAAUCUAGGGUCUACAAUUAAAUCAAAAUAAAAAAUUAAAGGUAUUUCUCCCCAAUAUUUUCUAAAUUUUUCUAUCAUUGCAAAUAUUGCAUCAUUAAAUAUAUCCAAAUUUAAAUAUUUUUGAAGUACAAUAAAAAUAUUAGUUAUUUGCAUGACAACUCGGUUUGAAGAUGGAUAACAUACACCACAAAAUUUUUUUGUUGAAGUAUCAAAUACUUCAAAAAGAUCUCUUAAAAGAUCUGCAAUAUGUCAAUCAUAAUCAUUUAAUACAUCAAUAUCUGUUUCACAAUCAUUGCUAAUUAAUUAUAUUUCAUAUAGUUCUACUACUUUUCUAUAUUUUAUAAUAGUUUGUAAAAGUUUAUAAGUGGAAUUCCAUCUAGUGGGCAUAUCCAAAUUUAUAUAUUUUUUUUCAUAUUUAACAUUUUGCAACAAUAAAAAAAUAAUUCAUGUUUUGCUUGAGAACUAUAAAGACCCGUAGCAAUGCCUCUAAUUUUUUAUAAUGUAUCAUCAACGUGCUUUAAUCCAUCUUUUAUAAUUAAAUUUAAAAUAUGUGCACAACAACACACAUGAAAUAUUUUACAUUGAUCUUCUUUUAUUUGCCAAUAUCGUUUUAAUCUAGAUAUUGUUGCAUCAUUAUUAGAAGCAUUAUCUAAUGUUAUUGUAAAUAUUUUAUCACGAAUGCCAAAAUCUAUAAUUUCAUCAUUUAUUAAAGAUGCUAUAUUUUUACCAUUAUGUGGAGCAUUUAUUAUUUUAAAUGAAAUAAUUCUUUUAUUUAAUUUCCAUUCAUUAUCAAUAUAAUAAGCAGUUAUACAUAAAAAAACUACUGUGAGUUAAAGAUGUCCAAAUAUCAGAUGUUAAACAAAUUCUUCCUUCAAAAUUUGCAAAAAAAAAUUUUAAAUUUUCUUUUUGUGUUUCAAAAUUUUUUAUAAGAAUUCUUUUAACUGUAUUUCCAAAGCAACCUUGAAACUGAGGAUUAACAGCUCGUUGCAUUGUUCCCGUAAAAUCAUGAGUUUCCAUGAAAUUGAAAGGUUGUUCUGCUUUUAUUAUAUAACCAAUCAUUUCUUCACGACAAUAAGAUUCAUCAUAAGAAAAUGUUUUUAAAUUUUCACUUUCAUCUUUACCUAAUUGCAUAUAAUUUCUAAUAUCUACAUUAUUUUUAGUUUUACAAUUUUCAUGAUGCCUUUUUAAAUGACUUGUACCUGCAUUUGAGUCACUACUAAGAAGUUUGUUACAAAUUUUACAUUUUGCUUUUAUUUCUUUUUUAUUAUUUUCUAAAUUUAUUUCUAUUCUAUCAAAAAAAUUCCAUAUAUUUGAAAUAAAUUUUUUGCUAUCACAUGCAUUAGAUGAAGAACAAGAACCACUUGCCAUAAUUAUAAUUAUUGAUAAAAUAUUAUGCUAAAAAUAAUAAAUGUAAAAUUAAAAUGUAACAAAUAAAUAAAAGAAAAUGUGAAGUAUGUUACUAAAUUGGAGAACCGAAGUAGAAAUUCCUUCAAAUUUGAACUCUUUGAACCACAAAUGCUUGUUUUUCAUCACCAAUAAUAUUGAAUAAUUUGAGACAAAAUGCAAUAAUUGGAAAUAUUGUGGAAUGGGAGAGAGCUUAAGAGUUGAGAGAAUAGAAAAAAUUGAGGGUAUUUAAUAUUUAUAGGGAUUUAAAUAUUAGGAUUUAUUUAUUUAUUUAUUUUUUAAAUGUCAAGACCGUUCAACGGUCAUAUAUUUGAUAUUUAUGAGUGGCAUGUUCAAUGGUCAUGCGACCGUUGAACAGCCACCUCACUUUUAUUUUUUUUCAAAAAUCAUACAACAUUUCUAAUAUAUAUAUAUAACUAAUGCAAAAUAGUUAUAUAAAAGAGGGUCAGCUCAGUUGGUGGCUAGCUCUCCUUGAAUACUCAUAUAUCCAUAAGGGAAGGGGUUUGAAUCCCCCUCCUUUCAAAACUCAAAAGUAUUUUAAUUUUUACCCAAAACCCACCCAAGCCCGUAGGCUUGCCCGCCAAGCCCGCCCAGCUUGAGGGCUCAUAGGUUGGGCCACGGGCCUUAGAUUUACCAAGGGCCUGGCCCGGCCAACGUCAACGGGCUCAGUGGCCCGCCCCGAGCUGGGCCAUGGGCCUUACUCCUCCGGGCCGGCCGGCCCGACCCGGCCCGUUGGAGACCCUUAGGUAGGUGUGCGGUGGACAAAGUUUUGACAUUUAAUCCUUACGAAUUAUUUGAUGAAAGGAUGAUGGAAUCUUGGAAUUACUUGGCCUCCUUUAAAGAUGACAUCUAAACAUUUAGUAAAUUAAUUUAAUAAAUAUCAAUUCUAUUCUACAUUAUUUCACGUUACAUCAAAAAAAUGGUAAUCAUCACACUGUUAAAUAAUAAUAAUAAUAAUAAUAAUAAUGACUAAAUCUAUGUUUGUUCUAGAAAAUGCUAAGGAAAUGACAAAAAAAUCAUGUAGAAAAUUAUUUUCUUUAGUUUGGAUGAUAUGAUUGGAAAAAAAAUGUUAAAGAAAAUAUCAUAAUAUUCUUCCUAUUAUUUUCUUUAAAAAAAUAAGAAGGAAAAUAAGAAGAAAAGAGAAGAGAAAAGUUGAAGGAAAUUUUAUCGGACUCGUUUUCACCGAGUCUCUUAUUCACCUUUGGACGACGUCGUUGGGGUCCAUAUUACAUUCCUUGAGCAUGGCGUGGAUCUCCUGCUCUGAACAGUUAACAACCUCCCUCAAGCUUUAAACCAUCUUUCUAAGCGCCGUCGGAAUUACAGAAAUCCCACCACUGCCUUUUCUAUUCACGCUGCUCACACCACCACCGCCACCACCACCACCACCUCCUCCGCUCAUGAUUUCUCUCUCUUCUUUCUCUCUACACCAAACUCUCAUAUCUUUCCUCUCUUUCUCUCCUUGGUUGCCCUAUUGAUUCUGCUGCGAUAAAACAAGAAGAUUUCUAUGCCCCCACCCUCUCUCUCUUCCUUCCUACCGAAAACCCUCUUUCUUUCUCUCUCUAAAAACUAUUUUUAUUAUUAUUUUUUGAGGAAUGAUUAUAACAUUUUGUUUUCUUUCCAUUUUUCCUUGACUUUUUUUCGUGGUUAGUUGAAUAAAAGAAAAUGAAUUCUUUUUUUGUCCCUUGAAUUUUCCAUGGAUAACAAAAAAAAAAAAAUUAUAUUUCUUUCCUUAGCUUUUUCUUUCCUUCCAUUUUUUCUCCUAAUUUUCUUUCUCUUACAUUUUCUGGAACCAAACAUAGCCUAAAUUGUUUUAUAGUUUCAUUUCAUUUUUUUAUAUUAUAUAUGCUUUUUUUUUUUGUUGGCAAUUUUAUUCAAAAGUUCAAACUUAAUCAUUUAUUGUAAGAAUUCAAAUUUUUAGCUUGAUAUAAUACUUAUCCGAUAUCAUACUAUUUUUCUUUAUAAAUUUAAGAAUUUAGACUCAAUUGAAUUCAUUUUUCAAAUAAUAAGAAUAUAUUUUAUUUCUAAAAAAAUUUAAAGAAAUAAUAAAAUAAUAUUAAAGAAUGUACGUGAUUUCCUUAUUUAAAUACCAAAUAAAAAGUUGAGGAAAUAAAAUUUUUAUUUAGUUAAAAUUUUUAUUUUUCUUUUACCUUUUAAGGUUUGGAAAAGUGUAAGGUGCCAAAUUCAUACAUAUUGAAGUUCAAAUAUGAGUUGUUAAAAGUUUAUGAUAAAAUUUUAAAAUUAAGGUAUUAAAAUAUUUUUUUAAUACCUUAAUUUUUUAAAAACCAUUAGUUUUUUAAUGCAAGAUUUUAAAAGUUCUUAUAUAAAAAGCUACUACCAUUUUCUAUUUUCAAAAAUAGAAAAUAUGAAAUAUAUAGACUGAAAACUUAGUACAUAAAUUUUUAUUUAUUGGUUAAUAAAAUUUAUAGUUAAAAUAUUUAAAAUUUAUAAAUAAAAAACAUUGCAUUUUGUUGUUAAAUAUAUAAAAACAUUUUAUUUAUAAUAAAUAAUGUUCGAUGCUAAUGUCAUUUUUAUGUUAUGCUAUAAUCAAUUUUUAAUUCUUUUUUUAAAACUAAAAUUUUAAUUUCUUUAAUUAAAAUUUUUCUUUUAAAAAUGAGUACUACAAAAAGGAAUUGAAAUAAGACUAAAUUUCCAUGAUGCUUGCAUGUGAUGACAGUUUGGCUGCCAUCUCCAUUUGUAGUCGAUUCUACAAUUUGAUCCAUGAGUAAUAUAUAUAUAUAUAUAUAUAUAAAAUGAAAUAAGAGUAAAUUUCCAUGAUGCUUGCAUGUGAUGAUAGUUUGGCUGCCAUCUCCAUUUGCAGGUUGGAAUUAGAAUCCAAGUUAAGAUUCUACAAUUUGAUCCAUGAAGUGAAGUUGGGUGAUCUACUAACUUCUAUAACUAAAUUUAUGGCUUGGAAGACCACCCCCUACUGCGAAGCUGUGUGGUGAAGGGAAGGUGCAUAUGUCCUUUCUUUGUCUCAUCUUUAAUUUUUAUUUUAUUUGAUUUGAUUUUUCCUUUAUAUUAAUUGAAAGGUUAAGGAAAAUUCCUAGCCGGUAUAAGAACUGUGUCGAGGCUGAGCUCAAGUCUUCUCUCGUCUCGUCUUUAAUUUUUUCUUUUUCCUUUUUUAUGUGUCUUUUCGUUUAUAUUAAUUGAGUGGCUAUUGGAAAUGUUUUGUCCAAAGCCAAAUAUUUAAUUCAUUGUGAGGUAAAUAAAGACAUAAACAAAGUUUAAAUAAUAAAGAAAAUAAAAGCAAAAACUUUAUAAUUCUUAAUGAAUUUAUGUUUACCCAUGGAUAAGAUUUUAUAUUUAAGUAAUUUUAUCAUCCAUGUAAUUAAACUUUAUUAAUAUUCAGAAAUCAAAUUAUGAAAAGGCCAAAACAAUUGCAAUAAUAAAAUUAUGAACACUCCCGCACAAGUAAGGCCUAUAUAAAAAGUUCUUAUUUUAUGUUAGUUUUAAGGUAAUUUAUAUAAAAAUUUACAAAGAAUAGGUAAUUAAUAAAUGACUUCACCAUUGUACCCAUGUAAACAAUAUUAAUAAAAUAAAGGGGAAUUUAUGUAACCAUACACCAAGGGGCAAAAUUUUGCCUUUUGGAAACUUAACUUUUUACUUUUCAAAUUCAAUGGAUUUUGUGAAAAAUAAACAAUCUUUCAUACACUGUAAUAGUGAUGUUGAGACCCUUCCAAAAAUACCCUCCUAUAAUUUGACAUCUCUCCUAGUUGGAUAAGUUGCUUGUUGUCCACUUAAGCCAAUGACAUGACUCAGUUACAUGUCAUCAGCCAGCUAGACAUUCCACAUGGAUUGAUGUUUUAAACAAUAUUUACCCCCAAAUAUCUUCUUCUUUCUUCAACCAAACCCUAACACCAAAAUCCAUGUUCUUUCUUAUUCGUUCACAGGCACAACCCAUCACAAGGCGAAAGGAUCCAUAAAAAAUCUGGUAGGUUCUCAAAUCGCGAUAACCCAUCAACCCCAAACGAACCUCCAAACUUGAUCUCUUAUUUUGUUUCUCCUCCAUCACCAUAAGGAAGACAACAUCUUCAUUUUCCCACCAAACAUCAAUCUGAAAACAAAAGUCCAAGUGCGAACCCCUUAACAAAGGCCAGGUAGACAAAAAAAAAACCCAUUUCCUUCUUCUUAUUUCAGGAGUGACAGUCAUUUUUCUCCUGGUUGUACUUCCUAUUUUGCUUUUACAUCGAAAAAGGAGAAAGAAAGCAAUUGAAAGAACGAGAUAACGAAGAAUAAAAAUAUUGUAGUUGCAUUUAACUUUUAAAGCAAGGGUUUUUCCAAGUGAUAUAUAUAUAUGUUAUUAAAUUUUGUAAUAACUUUAUAUUUUGAUUUGUCAUUUUGAUUCUUUGAGAUUUGAAUAAUGUCAUAGUUAUGUGAUUUGUGCAAUUUUGUGAUUUAAACUUGAUUACAUUGCAUAUUUCUACAUGUUCAAUGUCCAUUAAUAUUGUAUCUAAAUUUAUAUUUUAAUUUAUUUAGGGUUUAUUUGAAAUGAAAUAUGGCUUAAAUUUUGAUAAAUGAUGGGAAAAUGAGAUGGUGGUAAGCUAUAUUGAUUUUGUUUUAUUUCUGAAUUGUUGUGUUUGUGUUGUAUGUGGUUGUUGGGAAGAAUACAGAAAAGAGAAGAAAAAUAUGAGUAUUGCAUGUGAAGGGAAUACAAUUUUUAGGAAUGUUCAAACAAUUUGUUGUUUAAUGUUGUUUAUAUGGGAUUCGAGAUGUUUUGUUGUUUAAUGUUGUUUAUCUAGGAUUCCAAAAUGAGUAAUUUGAGUGAUCUUUUAUAGUUGUUAAUUGGUGAAUCUAAUGCAUGGGAAAAGAAUUCAUGUUUAGUCAUGAGUAGAUGAGUAUAAAUUUUAAAAAUGAUUGGGAUUAAAGUUUGAAUAAAUUUCUUAAUAAAAGUUUUGAAUUUGUAAUGAAUAAGGAUUGAAUUGAAGAAGAAAAUAAAACAAAUUUAGUAAAGCGGGCAUGAAUUUAUGUGGGAAUUAGGGAAAAUAGUAUUGGAGCCUUAGGUUCAAAAUUGAUGGUCACAACCACAAAUAUGAAAUUUGUUUUGUUUAUGUGUGUAGUGGUCAUAGUAAGGGUCUACCCUUAGAUGAAGGGGUUGGCCGUAAUUCAGUUAAUGACAUUUGGAUGAAAUUAUUGUUUUCGUAAGAGGUUGCAGUAAGUGAAUUAAAGGCUGACCCAUUUGUUUGGAGGUAGGCCCUUAGUUGUAAAUAUUGUUGUGGUUUAAUCUGGAUAGUAGGCAAAAUAAAGGCUGACCCAUUUGUUUGGAGGUCGGCCCUUGGUUGUAAACAUUGUUGUGGUUUAAUUUGGGCAGUGGGCAAAAUAAAGGUUGACCCAUUUUUUUGGAGGUCAGCCCUUGGUUGUAAACAUUAUUGUGGUUUAAGUUGGGCAGUAGGCAAAAUAAGGGUUGGCCCAAUUGUUUGGAGGUCGGCCCUUGGUUGUAACAUUGUUAUGGUUAAAUUUGGGCAGUGGGCAAAAUAAAGGUCGACCCAUUGUUUGAGGGGGUGGCUCGAAGAGAGUAAAAUUAGCACAAUUUGGCUUGAAGAGUUACCAAAACAAUGGUUAGCCCAUGAAUUGAGAGGUUCACUCCCUAACUUAUAUAACAUAACAAAUUACUACGAAGUAAAAUAGAAUAAUUGCAUUGCUUAAUGUUAAGUAUACACUAUGCAUGUCUAUAUUUACACCAUUAAUUGUAAACUAUGAAAUGUAAAUGAAGCUCGUUUGUAAAGUUUCAAAGAUAAAUGAUGUAUUAAUAUAUGAUGGUCAUAGGCAUGAUAAUCAGUUUUGUUAUAAGUAAGUUGGUUUAUGCAGUGUUAUUAAGAAAUUAGUUAAUUGUUUCAGCUUGAUUAAAGGUUCAUGCUUCUAAACAGGGGCUGCACAUGAUCGAGUAGCAUUUAAAUGGAUCCAAAUAAUACAAUUUAUUGUUAUCUGCACAUUGGAGGAGAGCUAGUAAGGGAUGAACAUGGAAAUGUGGAAUAUAUGGGUGGGAGACGAGAGGGUCUAAGUUUAGAACGAUCAAUGACAUAUAAUGAUUUUGUUUCAAGGAUUUGUGGGAAAAUGAACAUCAAUAUAGUCGGACCAACAUUUUCAUAUACUCUCCCGUUUGAUUUAUAUGCACUUCAACCAUUGAAAAAUGAUGAAGACUUGACAAACAUGUUUCAAUUUAGUGACCGAUGUGCACGUGUAUAUAUAUGUUUAGCAUCAACAGUUGAAGACGAUGAAACGAUUGAGAAUGGAGGACAAGGGUAAGUUAUAUCAAAAAAAUAUAUAAUCUUAAAUGAUUCCAUGUAUUUAUUUAUUUUGUAAUAUUUAUGCUUAUUCAUUAGAUGUUAUAAUGCAGCUUGAACGAAACAAUCGUAGGGUCUAACUCACCGGUCCCAUAUUCAACAAGAGAUGUUGAUAUUAGAAUGCAAUCACGAGGAUUUCAUCAAAGAUGUGCUGAAUCACAUGUUGGUCCACUAGAGUCAAGUCGUUUUGAGAGUGCAAUAUUGGGUAGUGGGCAUACCUUCUCAACUGCAAAUGAAUUUCGGGAUGCAAUAUAUCUCAUGUCAAUAGGAGGCCGUUUUAGAUAUAAGUUUAAGAGGAAUUGUCUUGAUUACUACUCAAAACAUGCUAUUUUGUAGCUUGUAAUUAGCUCUUUUAAACACCCUUGAGUAGUAAUUAUUACCUUUUAACCCAAUUAACAUGUUAAGGACCCUUGCAAUCCGUUUCUAACAAUUAUGUUAAGUUUUGGUGCUUUUUGAUAGCUUUAUGCUCACCAAAGCAAUUUAAGAAUGAGGGAGAGCUAUUUAUAGUUCAUGGCAAAGCUUUUGAAAGCUUAAAUUUAUGAAGAAAUCAAGCUAUGGAGCCUCAUAAUCCUUUGCCUUAUUCGUUCAAAGUAUACAAGGAAGAAACAAUGGAGAAGAGGAAAACAGGGGAUGAAAAUAGGGGACACAGCUGCAGUCUUUCAUCGCACUUUUGGAGCACUUUCUGAAGUCCAUUUUUUACAUUCUAUAUACCAUUUCAAAGCUCAGAAAGUCAAUAAUCCAACGGUUCAAACCAUGUAUGAUUUGGAGCUGAAAUGAGAAAGAUAUGGCCUUCGGAAGACAACUGCAUCAAGCUGAGGGACAAUUUCGCACACCACUGUGCAAGGUGCGAAUUCCUCAGUCCACUGUGCGAGAAUUUCGCACACCUCAAAUCAAGGUGCGAAAUUGGAACUCCAGCGUGCGAAAAUUGGAUAUUUUUGCCGACUCUUUUUCUUCUGAUAUUUUUGUGUCUAAAUUUCCAUUUUCUCCUUGUAUUCAACCACUCAUGUAAUUCCUUAGCUAGGAAGUAUCCAAGGAAGGGUAAAAUUACCUUCCUAUAUAAAUUCUCUUGUAAUCACUGAAAAGGAUCUUCGGAGCUUUCUCCAGGAGACCAACUGAUGUAAAUUUGAUACUUAGUGAAAUACAGAGAUCUCUUUUGUUUUCUUUUUCUCUCUUCUAUUUUCUAUUUCCUUGCAAGUCAAACACCCUCUGAGGAUGUUUUCCCAGAGGAUGAGAGGCUAAACAUUUAGUUUCUUGGAGUAAAGGAAGCUAGGUGAAAAGUCCAGAUUAAAACAUGGAAAGUUUCCGUGCAUUAAAUUCAGGUAGUUGGAGUCCAUAAAUGGUUUAUAAAGCCAAGGUUUUGCCUUAAAUUCCUUUGAAUCACUUUGAAUGGCCAAUACAUGGUAAGCUUAAGGUCUCUGUGGAUGCUUAUUGCUAGAUCCAUAUCAGUCCAUUAGUUAUCAUGUACGAGCCAUUGGAAAGUGAUUCAAGGUGAUAGCCCAUAGUGUCUUAAGCCAUUAAUGGACCUUGACUACCAUCUCUAGUGACUUUUUAUGGAUUAAAACUUCAUUGUCAAACCUAUACCGGUUCGGGAAAUAACUAUAGGUUAAAUCCCCAAUGCGAGGAGAAAAAUCCGGAAUUUUCCACUUUGCAUCUGGCACUUGAACCUAGCAACCUUCAGCUCCGGGAGACUUUCUUUCUUACACUUUUUACUUAGUUCUAUGUGAGUUUAGUUUAAAUCACCACUUUCAAAACAAUUUUAUUUUCUUUUAAAUUUCAAGUUUGUGCUAAAGGAAAUCAUUAGAAUCAAUUUCUAAUUUAGAGUCUGUCACUGAUAGAGUGAAAACCCAUCCCUGAGUUCGACCCUAGAACUACUAUACUAUAGUAGCUUUGCUACGCCAGUAUAAGGUCAUAGGUUUUAUAAAUGUUUUUGAUUAAAAGACCCGGCUGGGCAUCGAAUCAAAUGGCGCCGUUGCCGGGGAUGGUGCCACAAUACAGUGAUACAACCUUUUAGAGGCUACUUGUGAUUUUCAUCACAACCAGGGUGAAUUCCUUUUUCACUAAUUUCAUUUUCUUUCAUUUUUCUUUUGUUAAUUUUAUAUUCAUUUUCUUCCUAACUUUAACCUUUUCUUUAGUUUCCUUUUGUUUUUACUAUACAGGAAUUGUAACUUGUGCAUGCCCUAUUGGAUUAGGGACCAAGAGGGAAGAUUAGUAAGGAUUGAGAAUCCUCAAGACACAGAGUUGGAUAUCUGUGUAAAUAUCAUGGACCCUCCACCAGAGGAUCAGAAUUCUCAACAAGGUCAAGGGGGUAAUCCCAAUGCAUACCUAUCCAUGAGGGAUAGAAUGCAUCCCCCAAGGAUGAGUGCACCCUCAUGCAUCCUGCCCCCACUUGAGCAGUUGGUUAUAAGGCCCCAUAUUGUGCCCCUCCUACCAACUUUCCAUGGAAUGGAGAGUGAGAAUCCAUAUUCUCACAUCAAGGAGUUUGAGGAGGUGUGUAAUACCUUUAGAGAGGGAGGAGCUUCAAUAGACUUGAUGAGACUCAAGCUAUUCCCUUUCACUUUGAAAGACAAGGCAAAAAUAUGGCUUAAUUCUUUAAGGCCAAGAAGCAUAAGGAAUUGGGUUGAUCUUCAGGCUGAGUUUUUGAAAAAAAUUUUCCCCACUCAUAGGACCAAUGGGUUGAAGAGACAAAUCUCAAAUUUUUCUGCUAAAGAAAAUGAGAAGUUCCAUGAAUGUUGGGAAAGGUAUAUGGAGGCCAUCAAUGCUUGUCCUCAUCAUGGUUUUGAUACAUGGCUCUUAGUGAGCUAUUUUUAUGAUGGAAUGUCUUCUUCCAUGAAGCAAAUUCUUGAAACCAUGUGUGGGGGAGAUUUUAUGAGUAAGAAUCCUGAAGAAGCCAUGGACUUUUUAAGUUACGUGGCUGAGGUGUCAAGAGGAUGGGAUGAGCCCAACUCAAGAGAGAAAGGAAAGUUUCCCUCUCAACAAACCCAAAAUCCAAAGGCUGGAAUGUACAUGUUAAGUGAAGACGUGGACAUAAAAGCUAAAGUGGCAACAAUAGCUAGGAGGUUGGAAGAACUUGAAUUGAAAAAAAUACACGAAGUCCAAGCCAUUUCCGAUACCCAAGUCAUGUUAUGCCAUGCACCAUUUGCCAAUCAUGUGAUCAUGUGGUAGAUGAGUGUCCAACCAUGCCAGCUGUGAGAGAGAUGUUAGGUGAUCAAGUAAAUGUUGUGGGGCAAUUUAGGCUCAACAACAAUGCAUCUUAUGGAAACACCUAUAAUUCAAGCUGGAGAAACCACCCAAAUUUUUCUUGGAAACCAAGGACACCUCCAUACCAACCACAAGGCCAAACCCAAGUACCUCAACAACCAUCUUCAGUGGAGCAAGCCAUUGUAAACCUGAGUAAAGUCAUGGGUGACUUUGUGGGUGAACAAAAGGCAAUUAACUCCCAAUUGCAUCAAAAGAUUGAAAAUGUUGAGAGCUCUCAAAUAAAGAGAAUGGAGGGGAUGCAAAAUGAUCUAUCUCAGAAGAUAGAUAAUAUUCAGUACUCCAUCUCUAGGCUUACCAACCUAAACACAGUGAUUGAGAAGGGAAAGUUCCCCUCUCAACCAAGCCAAAAUCCCAAGGGUGUUCAUGAAGUUGAAACCCAAGAUGGUGAGUCUUCAAAUUUGAGGGAGGUUAAAGCUGUGAUCACUUUAAGGAGUGGAAAAGAGGUUGAUCAACCCCUGCCUAAGGUGGGGCAUGAUGAAGAACUCAUAUCAAAGAGACCCUUGAUUAAUGAGAGCAAAAGCCAAGAAGAGAAGAGUGGGAAGAAGAGUGCAUCCAAAUCAAGCAUCGAGGAAGAACCAAGGAUAGUGAUUAAGGAGGAUAUGAUGAAGAAACAUAUGCCUCCCCCUUUUCCUCAAGCUUUACAUGGAAAGAAAGAAAUCAAGAAUUCAUCAGAAAUUCUUGAGGUUCUGAGACAAGUGAAGGUGAAUAUACCCUUACUUGAUAUGAUCAAACAAGUCCCCACAUAUGCAAAGUUUCUAAAAGACUUGUGCACAGUCAAAAGAGGUUUACAGGUGACAAAGAAUGCAUUCCUCACUGAGCAAGUGAGUGCUAUCAUCCAGAGUAAGUCCCCAGUUAAGUAUAAAGAUCCGGGAUGUCCCACCAUAUCAGUCAACAUUGGAGGGACACAUGUGGAAAAAGCUUUAUUAGAUUUGGGAGCAAGUGUGAAUUUGCUCCCAUACUCUGUGUAUAAACAAUUGGGACUAGGAGGAUUAAAGCCCACAACCAUGACCCUCUCCUUAGCUGAUAGGUCGGUCAAAAUCCCAAGAGGAGUGAUAGAGGAUGUUCUAGUUCAAGUGGACAAAUUCUACUAUCCUGUGGAUUUUGUGGUGCUUGAUACUGAUUCCACUGUCAAGGAAGAAAAUUAUGUACCAAUCAUCCUAGGGAGACCUUUCCUAGCUACCUCCAAUGCUAUUGUUAAUUGUAGGAAUGGGGUGAUGCAGCUCACAUUUGGAAACAUGACAUUGGAAUUAAACAUAUUCCAUUUAUGUAAGAGGCAUCUUUACCCUGAUGAGGAGGAAGGAUUUGAGGAGGUGUGCUUGAUCAACACUUUGGUUGAAGAGCACUGUGACAAGAGUUUAGAGGAGAGCUUGAAUGAAAACCUGGAAGUCCUUGAAGAUGGGUUCCUUGAACCCUCUGAUGUGCUAGCCAUUAUGUCUCCUUGGAGGAGACGGGAAGAGAUCUUACCACUGUUCAACCAGGAAGACUCUGAAGGAGUUGCUGUGGAGGACCCUCCAAAGCUUAUUUUAAAGCCACUUCCUGUGGGUUUGAAGUAUGCAUACUUGGAGGAUGAUGAGAAAUGUCCAGUGGUAGUUUCCUCAACCCUCACUAGUGAUCAAGAGGAUAGUCUUUUAGGAGUCCUCAGAAAAUGUAAGAAAGCCAUAGGAUGGAAAAUUUUUGAUCUUAAAGGGAUUAGCCCUUUGGUGUGCACCCACCAUAUUUAUAUGGAGGAAGAUGCAAAACCAGUGAGGCAACCCCAAAGGAGACUGAAUCCUCACAUGCAAGAAGUGGUGAGGAAUGAAGUUUUGAAGCUACUUCAAGCUGGGAUCAUAUAUCCCAUCUCAGACAGCUUGUGGGUGAGUCCCACCCAAGUAGUCCCAAAGAAAUCUGGAAUCACUGUGAUCCAGAAUGAGAAAGGGGAGGAAGUCUCUACACGUCCUACCUCAGGAUGGAGGGUGUGUAUAGACUAUAGGAGGUUGAAUUCAGUGACUAGGAAGGACCAUUUUCCAUUGCCUUUCAUGGACCAAGUCCUUGAGAGAGUCUCAGGACAUCCUUUCUAUUGUUUUCUAGAUGGUUAUUCAGGGUACUUCCAAAUAGAAAUUGAUUUGGAAGAUCAAGAAAAGACGACCUUCACUUGUCCCUUUGGUACUUUUGCAUAUAGGAGAAUGCCCUUUGGUCUAUGUAAUGCUCCUGCAACUUUCCAAAGAUGCAUGCUAAGCAUCUUCAGUGAUAUGGUGGAACGCAUCAUGGAAGUUUUCAUGGAUGACAUCACUGUAUAUGGAAGUUCUUAUGAGGAGUGUUUGAUGCAUUUAGAAGCUGUUCUCCAUAGAUGUAUUGAGAAAGACCUAGUGCUAAAUUGGGAGAAGUGCCAUUUUAUGGUGCAAAAAGGAAUUGUCUUAGGACAUAUCAUCUCCAAAAAUGGCAUUGAGGUAGAUAAGGCAAAGGUGGAGCUGAUUGUUAAGUUGCCACCUCCCACAAAUGUUAAAGGAAUUAGGCAAUUCCUUGGACAUGCCGGGUUCUAUAGGAGGUUCAUUAAGGAUUUCUCAAAAAUCUCAAAACCUCUGUGUGAGCUUUUGGUAAAGGAUGCCAAGUUUGUGUGGGAUGAGAAGUGUCAGAGAAGUUUUGAGGAAUUGAAACAAUUCCUCACAACUGCACCAAUAGUGAGAGCCCCAAAUUGGAAAUUACCUUUUGAGGUAAUGUGUGAUUCAAGUGAUCUUGCUAUGGGGGCUGUUUUGGGGCAAAGAGAGGAUGGAAAGCCCUAUGUGAUCUAUUAUGCAAGCAAAACUUUGAAUGAGGCUCAAAAGAACUACACAACUACUGAGAAGGAGUUGUUGGCAGUAGUUUUUGCCUUGGAUAAGUUUCGUGCUUAUUUGGUAGGGUCCUCUAUAGUGGUGUUCACUGACCAUUCUGCUUUGAAGUACUUGCUAACCAAGCAGGAUGCCAAGGCAAGAUUGAUAAGAUGGAUUCUUUUGCUCCAAGAAUUCAAUCUCCAAAUCAGGGAUAAAAAGGGGGUAGAAAAUGUGGUAGCUGACCACUUGUCCAGACUUGUGAUAGCACAUGACUCACAUGGUCUGCCUAUCAAUGAUGACUUCCCUGAGGAGUCUCUCAUGUCAGUAGAUGUAGCUCCAUGGUAUUCUCACAUUGCAAACUUUUUGGUUACUGGAGAAGUACCAAGUGAGUGGAGUGCUCAAGACAAGAGACAUUUCUUGGCUAAGAUCCAUGCCUAUUAUUGGGAGGAACCUUUUCUUUUCAAAUAUUGUGCAGAUCAAAUUAUAAGGAAAUGUGUUCCUGAGCAAGAGCAAUCGGGAAUUCUUUCCCAUUGCCAUGAUAGUGCAUGUGGAGGUCAUUUUGCCUCCCAGAAAACAGCUAUGAAAGUGAUCCAAUCAGGCUUCUGGUGGCCCUCUCUUUUCAAGGAUGCCCAUUCUAUGUGCAAGGGAUGUGAUCGGUGUCAAAGGCUUGGUAAGCUAACACGCCGAAAUAUGAUGCCCUUGAACCCCAUCUUAAUAGUGGAUAUCUUUGAUGUCUGGGGUAUAGACUUCAUGGGACCAUUUCCAAUGUCGUUUGGACAUUCCUACAUCUUGGUAGGAGUGGAUUAUGUCUCUAAGUGGGUAGAAGCAAUCCCAUGUAGGAGCAAUGAUCAUAAAGUGGUACUUAAAUUCCUCAAGGACCACAUCUUUGCAAGAUUUGGAGUGCCAAAAGCCAUUAUAAGUGACGGGGGAACCCACUUUUGCAAUAAACCUUUUGAGACUCUUCUAGCCAAGUAUGGGGUUAAGCACAAGGUAGCUACACCUUAUCACCCCCAAACAAGUGGCCAAGUUGAGUUAGCUAACCGAGAGAUCAAGAAUAUAUUGAUGAAGGUGGUUAAUGUGAAUAGGAAGGAUUGGUCUAUCAAGCUCCUGGAUUCCUUAUGGGCUUAUAGGACAGCUUACAAGACCAUUCUAGGAAUGUCUCCCUAUCGCCUUGUUUAUGGCAAAGCGUGUCAUCUUCCAGUAGAGAUUGAGUAUAAAGCAUGGUGGGCAAUCAAAAAGCUCAACAUGGAUUUGACAAGAGCCGGGUUAAAGAGAUGUUUGGAUUUGAAUGAAUUGGAGGAAAUGAGGAAUGAUGCAUACCUCAAUUCAAAAAUUGCAAAAGCAAGAUUGAAAAAAUGGCAUGAUCAGUUGGUAAAUCAGAAAAAUUUUACCAAAGGACAAAAAGUUUUGCUUUAUGACUCUAAACUUCAUCUCUUUCCAGGAAAGUUGAAAUCCAGGUGGACGGGUCCUUUCAUAAUUCAUGAAGUGCAUCCCAAUGGAGUGGUGGAAGUAUUCAAUCCCACAGGCAAUCAAACCUUCAAAGUUAAUGGCCAUCGUCUCAAGCCAUUCAUAGAGCCUUACAGUACAGACAAGGAGGAGAUCAACCUCCUUGAACCACCACAACUCUGAGGGAAAGCAGGGUAUCAUGGGCUAAAUAAGUCCAUGAAUUUUUUGUUAUAGUUUUAUAGUUAUAUCAUUAUUUUUAUUUCUUUUUAUUAUAAUUUUUCCUCAAUCUUAGUUUAUUUUGUCUUAAUUCAAGUCAAUUUUGAUGAUAAAUUUCAGAAAAAAAUCAUGAAAGAUGGGGAGAACUCUUCAAAAGCAAGACAGGGGAGUAAAACCAAGGAAACAGAGCACCUGAUUUCAAGGUGCGAAAAUUUCGCACACCCCAAAACCAAGGUGCGAAAUCCUCGGUCCAAAGGAGCCAUUUUCGCACACCCCAAAACCAAGGUGCGAAAUUUUGUUCAAGGUGCGAAAAAUGAUUUCAAGGUGCGAAUUCCCUAAAAACCAUUUUCGCACACCACUGUGCAAGGUGCGAAAAUUUUCGCACUAUGCGAAAUCUCCUCCUGGCACACGAGUGCCAUUUUCGCACACCUCAAGCCACUUUUCGCACCGUGCGAAACAAGGUGCGAAAAUUUCGCACACCUGAUUUCAAGGUGCGAAAAUUUCGCACACCUCAUUUUAAGGUGCGAAAUCCUCAGCUAAAGGGGUGCCAUUUUCGCACACCUAAUUUCAAGGUGCGAAAUUUGCAGGCCAAGGUGCGAAAAUUUCGCACGGUAAAAUUUUAAGUUCCAAAAAUUUUAAACGGACUUUUAAAUUAAAAUUUUACCCCCGAAAUUGUGCCUAACGUCCAAAAACGACUUUUCGGUUGCCUUGGAAAAUUUUAAAACAUCAAAAACCCCCUAAACCUCAUUCCUAUAUAAUCCCUUGAAGACCAGAAGCUCAAAGGACUCCCCCACGAACCAGCUGAGAAGCCUCUGGAAUCCCAAACAGUCGCCCACCUCCAUUUCGGCCAUGGCGAAGACCAGAGGAGGCCUUUCCGGCUCCCCAUCCUCACCGACACCUCGACCACAUCGAGCCGCCAUGGGAGCCGCAGCUUCGCCACCUGUUCAGGCCCCGGACAUUCCCCCAUCUGAGGGGGAAGCCCCUUCUCAGCGCCGAUACCCCACCAGGAGAUCACCCGCGGACCCUGUGCCACCCGCCGACCAAGCUCAGAGACCUGCUUCUCGGCCCCCUGCCAAGAGAACCAAGUUCUCGGGUCCUGGAGAGUCAGAGCCGCCUACAGAGGAGCCUCGGAUUCCUGUGGAGAUUACCCCCGAGACCCUUAUCAGGCGUCCCAUGAUAGCCGGACCACCGAUAGAGGGCAACUUGGAUUGCAGAGAUCGAUCCUUCCACUCCGAGACCUACUUUGAUAUAGAGGCCCUCAAACAGCAGCCAGAGCUCAGAGAUUCAUUCCGACUGCUGCAGAGGUAUCACAUGGAGGAUCUUCUCACUCCUAGGCAAUUCUACUAUCCCAGAGUAGUUAUAGAUUUUUAUCAAUCUAUGACUACUCGUGGCCUCCGCAAUCCUACCCUCAUCCAAUUUACCAUAGACGGACGCCAGGGUGCCAUUGGAGCUCGCCACAUUGCUGAGGCCCUCCGUAUACCUUAUGAGCCUGUGAUUCAGGCAGAUUUCAGGGAGUGGUCCUCAUUCUCUCAGAGCGACAUGGUCCGCAUUUUGUCCAGGGGGACUUCUACAACAUCAGUGUUGACUAGGAGAGAGCUUCCAUCUGGGAUGCUCCUUAUUGAUGUGCUCCUGCGUGCCAACCUUUUCCCCCUUCAGCACAAAGUUCAGAGGCGAGGAGCUAUACUUGAGGCGUUAUUUAGGAUUUCUGAGGGCUAUUUCUUCGGCCCUCAUCAUUUGAUUAUGACUUCUCUUCUUCAUUUUGAAGAGAAAGUCCAUCAGAAGAAGCUUCAAAGGGCAGAUGGCAUCCCAUUACUAUUUCCGAGGCUCCUCUACCAGAUUUUAGAGCACCUGGGCUAUCCUGAACAGCCCCGUCUUGAGAGGCGCCGCCAUUGCCGAGAGGACUUCUCUCUCGACAAAUGGCAUCACUUGGUAGCCUACUUUGCACCCCAGGGAGCCCCAGCUGUGCCUGCACCUCCAGAGCUACCCCAAGAUGAGCAGAUGCCUCAGGCCCAGCAGGAUGAGAUUCUCACAGAGACCACACCUCCUGCCCCUGCAGCACACCCCUCAGAGCAUAUUCCUGAGCCUAUACAUCCUAUUUCUCCUAUCACUUCGGGUGCUCCACCAGUCAUGCCAGCUACCCCAGCACCUCCUCUUUCAUCUGAGCCCACUGUCACCGUUUCUCUUACGGAAUUCAGAGGCUUAGAGCGUUCAUUGCGGACACUGAGCACUGCUCAGGAUUCUAUUAUCCACCAGAUGGCCACUAUUCGGGCACACCAGGAUCAGAUCAUUGCUACUCAGGCCCAGCAUACCACGAUCCUUCAUCAGAUUCAGCAACAUUUGAGUUUGCAGACACCUUUUGGGCAUGAUAGGUCUGCACCAUCCGAGCCUCUAGAGCUAGAUACGGAAAGCUUACUAGCUGAGCAGCCCAUACCAGAGGAGGAGAUCAGAGCAGAGCCAUCACAUGACACCCCUCAUAUUUGAUAUUUUUAUAUUUUACUUGUUUUUUAUUUUAGACUUGUAAAUCCCAUCUUUUGCAUGUGUUAUAAACUGGGAUUGGAAGUAUUACUUGAAAUCAUACAUUGUAUAUUUCUUUUACAAGUAAUAUAUAUAUAUAUAUAUAUAUAUAUAUAUCCUUUUUGAUUAUAUUCCCUUUUCUCAUUACUCUUUUGUCCUUGGAACAUGUGGUUUAAGGUACUCCAUACCUCCUUUACACUCAGACUUUGUCUCACUCAGGAGGUACCACUUCCUCCCUUUAUUUUUAAUUGGGGGGAGAGUUGAGAAAGGAAGUUUUGUGUUAAUACUAAGUUAUUUUGGUAUUUUUAGUUGAUUUUGGUAUUUUUAGUUGAUUUUUGCUUAAAAUUUAAAAUUUUUAAAAGUUUUUUGAAUCAUUCUCUAUGGUUGUUAAAGAUAAUUUCUCAAAAAUAAAAUAGGAUAAGUCGAGUUUUAACUUAAUUAUUUAAGUCUUAGAGUUUGUUUUAUGCUUUCAAAGUUGAUAAUCUAUUGAAGCCUCUUUGAUUUAGAACUUUCUUCUUCCAUUUCAAGCUUUACACACACUGUGCACAUUAGAUCCCGGAUAUAUGAUGUAAAACUUUCUACCUUCUAAGCUUAGAAAAAUUUUGACUUGGUUCAUUACUUAACCUCUCUUUAAUAGUGUUGGAACACCUCAUAAAGACCAAUGAGUCUUUGAAAAAAAAAAAAAAAAAAAAAAGAAGAAUAAGCUUCUAUUCUUUCCUUGAAACCUAAGCAUGAUCCGAAGGGGUAGCGAAAGCCUUUAAAACCCGAUGCCCUAAACCUUGAUUGGUUGGGAGUCAUCGAUCCUCUGCUUGCUACAUAGGUGAAUUGGUUAAGAUUAGUGAGUAAAAAGAAUUGUGAAUAAGAAGGUGUGUUCCUAACCUAUUAAGAGUUGAUUAAUUUUGCCAAUGUUCGAGAAAAGCUUAGGUUGGAGGGUGAGGAUAGUUGUAUAUACUAUAUCCGGAAGCUAAUCUCGUUAACACUUAGCUUAUUAUGGAAGAGUUUGAUUUGGAACCUUGAGAGUAGAGAUUCUUUUGAUACCUAAUUGCAUAAUCUCCACUCUUUGUACUUUUUGUUUAAGUUUUAAGCUUUGAUAACUCCUGUUGCAUUUUGAAUCUUCAUAUCUUUAGUUAGCCAGGUGAGAUGAGUUUGGAUAUCAGUCAUGCCUCUCAAUUAUUUUUUGGAAAUGAAUUGCAUGACCUCUUUUAUGUAUAUUAUUACGUUUGCUUAGUUUUUCUCUCCUUAAUUGCUAAGGGACUAGCAAUAUGUCGGUUGGGGGGAGUGAUUACUACUCAAAACAUGCUAUUUUGUAGCUUGUAAUUAGCUCUUUUAAACACCCUUGAGUAGUAAUUAUUACCUUUUAACCCAAUUAACAUGUUAAGGACCCUUGCAAUCCGUUUCUAACAAUUAUGUUAAGUUUUGGUGCUUUUUGAUAGCUUUAUGCUCACCAAAGCAAUUUAAGAAUGAGGGAGAGCUAUUUAUAGUUCAUGGCAAAGCUUUUGAAAGCUUAAAUUUAUGAAGAAAUCAAGCUAUGGAGCCUCAUAAUCCUUUGCCUUAUUCGUUCAAAGUAUACAAGGAAGAAACAAUGGAGAAGAGGAAAACAGGGGAUGAAAACAGGGGACACAGCUGCAGUCUUUCAUCGCACUUUUGGAGCACUUUCCGAAGUCCAUUUUUUACAUUCUAUAUACCAUUUCAAAGCUCAGAAAGUCAAGAAUCCAACGGUUCAAACCAUGUACGAUUUGGAGCUGAAAUGAGAAAGAUAUGGCGUUCGGAAGACAACUGCAUCAAGCUGAGGGACAAUUUCGCACACCACUGUGCAAGGGUGCGAAUUCCUCAGUCCACUGUGCGAGAAUUUCGCACACCUCAAAUCAAGGUGCGAAAUUGGAACUCCAGCGUGCAAAAAUUGGAUAUUUUUGCCGACUCUUUUUCUUCUGAUAUUUUUGUGUCUAAAUUUCCAUUUUCUCCUUGUAUUCAACCAUUCAUGUAAUUCCUUAGCUAGGAAGUAUCCAAGGAAGGGUAAAAUUACCUUCCUAUAUAAAUUCUCUUGUAAUCACUGAAAAGGAUCUUCGGAGCUUUCUCCAGGAGACCAACUGAUGUAAAUUUGAUACUUAGUGAAAUACAGAGAUCUCUUUUGUUUUCUUUUUCUCUCUUCUAUUUUCUAUUUCCUUGCAAGCCAAACACCCUCUGAGGAUGUUUUCCCAGAGGAUGAGAGGCUAAACAUUUAGUUUCUUGGAGUAAAGGAAGCUAGGUGAAAAGUCCAGAUUAAAACAUGGAAAGUUUCCGUGCAUUAAAUUCAGGUAGUUGGAGUCCAUAAAUGGUUUAUAAAGCCAAGGUUUUGCCUUAAAUUCCUUUGAAUCACUUUGAAUGGCCAAUACAUGGUAAGCUUAAGGUCUCUGUGGAUGCUUAUUGCUAGAUCCAUAUCAGUCCAUUAGUUAUCAUGUACGAGCCAUUGGAAAGUGAUUCAAGGUGAUAGCCCAUCUAAGCCAUUAAUGGACCUUGACUACCAUCUCUAGUGACUUUUUAUGGAUUAAAACUUCAUUGUCAAACCUAUACCGGUUCGGGAAAUAACUAUAGGUUAAAUCCCCAAUGCGAGGAGAAAAAUCCGGAAUUUUCCACUUUGCAUCUGGCACUUGAACCUAGCAACCUUCAGCUCCGGGAGACUUUCUUUCUUACACUUUUUACUUAGUUCUAUGUGAGUUUAGUUUAAAUCACCACUUUCAAAACAAUUUUAUUUUCUUUUAAAUUUCAAGUUUGUGCUAAAGGAAAUCAUUAGAAUCAAUUUCUAAUUUAGAGUCUGUCACUGAUAAAGUGAAAACCCAUCCCUGAGUUCGACCCUAGAACUACUAUACUAUAGUAGCUUUGCUACGCCAGUAUAAGGUCAUAGGUUUUAUAAAUGUUUUUGAUUAAAAGACCCGGCUGGGCAUCGAAUCAUGUCUUAAGCAUAUGACUGUAAUAUGUGUUGUUGAAGGAUGCCCUUGGAAAGUAACUGCUCGUGCUGUUGGGAGAACAAAAAUAGUUCAAGUGCAUACAUUUAUAAAUGAACAUAACCACUCUUUAGAAGAUGUGUCAAUUUCCGAACCAGUAGUUCGUUGUAAUCGAGCCACAGCUAUGAUUGAUGAUGUUAUUCGUUCAAAUCCAGAUUACUUACCCCGUCAAAUAUGUAAAGACUUUCGUCGACAAUACGGAAUGCAAUUGAAUUAUUGUCAAGCAUGGAACUUGAAAGAGAAGGCUAAAGAACGAAUUCAUGGUGUGCUGCAAUGUUCAUAUAAGUUGUUACCUUGGUUAUGUACAAGGCUUAUUGAAACAAAUCCAGGGACGAUUGCUGAAUAUAGAUGUUCGGAUGAUGGUCAUUUUAUGCAAUUGUUUGUUGCCCUUUCAGUGUCAAUUCAUGGGUUUCAACUAGGAUGUCGGCCUAUUAUAUCAAUAGAUUCAUCCCACAUGAGUGGGCCAUACAAGGGUGCUUUAUUUUCAGCUUCUUCCUAUGAUGCUGACGAUGACAUGUUUCCACUUGCUUAUGGCUUAUUUAGCUCUGAGAAUUACGAGGAUUAACUUUGGUUUUUAGAGAAAUUGAAUAUGGUCAUAGGUGAAAGAGAUGUUAUAAUAAUAUCUGAUAGGCACAAAAGGAUUAUCCGUAGUGUUUCAGAGGUAUUUGGUAGUGAAAACCAUGCACAUUGCUAUCGUCACAUUAAAGAAAACUUCAGUAGCUUUCUAACAAAGCUAAACACUAAAGGGAGGAAAGGAAAGGAAAAUGCUUUGCAAAUGCUUGAUUCUAUCGCCUAUGUUAGGUUAGAUUGUGAUUAUGAGGUUGCAAUGGAUACUUUAAGGACAUUUAAUCAUGAUUUGGCGAAGUGGGUUGAAGAAAAUAACCCUCAACAUUGGGCAAUCUCUAAAUUUAAGAAGAUGCGUUGGGAUAAGAUGACAAGUAAUUUGGCCGAGUCUUUCAAUUCUUGGUUAAGACAUGAACGACACCAUAACAUUUGUGUUUUCUUCAUCGAGCAUAUGGAUAAGUUAGGAUCUCUUUUAGUCAAGCAUAAAAAUGGACUUGUAAAAUGGAAUGGGUGUAUUGGUCCUAAAACAGAAGAAAAGAUUGCAUUGAACAUUGGAAAAGGUGAAAAUUAUAUCACUUAUUUACACUUAGGUAGUUCGAUGAAAGUAUCCAAUGGAAAAGCAUUCCUGGAAGUGGACUUAAUGGAGCGAACUUGCACAUGUAAAGCAUGGCAAAUGUCUGGAAUCCCAUGUGAUCAUGCUUGUGCAGCUAUACGGCGAAUGGGGUUUGAUGUAUCUGAUUAUGUUGAUGACUGGUAUAAGUACAAUUUGCAAGAGAAGAUAUACUCUGGAAGCAUGCGUACUUUGGUAACGCAUGACAUGCCAAUGAUUGAUGAAGAUGGAACCGUUCGUGAUGCCUUGGGUCAUACUUAUCCCUUUCUUAAUCCUCCAACCACAAAGCGACCUCCUGGAAGACCUAGGAAACGUCGAAUCGAGUCUCAAUUCAUGUAAAAAAAAACAAUUCAUUGUUCUCAUUGUAAUUAGCCUGGGCAUAAUCGUGCGACAUGUAACAACCCAUUGCUGUAAGUUUUUUUUUAUUAAACUUCAUAAUGUAAGAUCGACUUUAUAUUAGUAUGAAAUAGUUUGGUAAUCUUCGUUACUGUUUCAUUGAUUAUAAGCAAUGAGUAAUUUAUUGGAUUUGAAGUGUUUGGUGUACAUAUAUUGUGAUUGUAUGUUGUUCUUCAAUAUUAUGGGAUAUGUUACAUGAUAAUGUAAUUGUAAUAGAAAAAUAUGUACCUUGGUCAUUAUUGUUCAAAGAUGGCAUUGAAGUGACAUAGAUUCAUAUGGCGUCCUUGGCAAAAAAACGAGAUUGUUAACUAGUGGGCAUAAUCGUGGCGAACCUUUACAUGUAGGGGCUGCUACUUUUUGGCUGAUGACCCUUAAGCAUAUUAUUUAGUUUUGUGUGAAAUGGGCAGUAGCCAAAAUAAGGUUGUGCCUAUUAGAUCAUAGGCAACCCUAUCGUUUUUCAUCUUUAAAAUUGGUUUCGUGUUAUGUGAGGUGUCUGUAAAAGGGAGGUUGAACCAUUAACACCAUGGGAAGACAUUCGAACAUUAGUUUAGUAUGUUAUGUGUAGAAGGCAAUCUAGGGGCGCACCUUCCAUUUGAAAGGCAUGCCUAUGUGUUAAUGAUAUUAUAUAACUAUACUACAUGCAGAAGGCAAAGCAGGGGUGCACCCUUGGUUGCAUAGGUAUGCCCAUGGGUAUGAUAACUUUAUUGGGAAAUUCUAUAUGCAGUAUGCAAAGUAGGGGCACACCCUUGAUUUUAGGGGCAUGCCUAUUGCUAAAACCAUUAUAUUGGUAGGCUAUGUGCAGUAGUCAACCUAAGAGCAAAACCUUGAUGGAAGACACAUAAAUGUGGGUGAAAAACUUCUUUUUGUUAAGCUACUUGCAGUAGGAAAAAGAAAGACAUGACUCUCUAUCAGAGGCAUGCCUUUAGGAUGACUAGAGUUGAGGUGUGGGUUGGGCAGUAAGGCAAAUGGAGGCAUACUGAUAGCUUAAAGGUUGGCCCUUGAUGUUCAUAUGAAAUAAACGUUGGAAAUGAUUCCUUGUUGAUUCAAAAUCAUAGAUUUUUUCUAAAAAUUUAAUUGUUCAAUUUUUAAUUUAUUUUUUAUUAUCUUAAUUUUUUUAACUACUUUUUUUAUUUAGCUCAUUAAUAAUUUUUUUUUAUUUAUCCGUUUACUUUUAUUUAAUUUCAAAAUUUUGUAUUUUUAAAUAUUACAAAAAUAGUUGUGCUUAGAAUAUGUUACAAUAUAACAAAAAAUAUAAUGAAGUCCUAAUAUUUUAUAACUAAAAAUUAAUUUGAUUAGAUAAAUGAUUAAUAAUUUUAAUUAUUUAAAUAAAUUAAUUUUAAUAGAAAAAUUGCCACCACAUAUUUGUAAUAAAUUUUUAGAAAUCAUAUCUCAAAUCAAAUAUUUGAUAUAAAUCAAUUUAGUUUUUAUUUAAAAUUUAAUAAAAUAUAUUUUAAUAAAAGUAUUUUUUAAUUUUAAAAUAAAUAACUUAAAUAUAUUAAAUGUAAUUAUGACCCAUCCAUGCUCAGAUGGGGGUCCCGGAAUCACUAGACUUGGAUGUACCAAAUUCAAUGAAGGAUGUACCAAAUUUAAUUAAGGAUGUACCAAAUUUUGUUAAAGAUGUACUAAGGGCUCCAAAGUGUGAUACGAAGUGGGGAUCGGCUCCAAAUCACUCUGUUAUGGGUUUCUAAAUAAAAUAGUGGCUCAUCCAUGGUCAGAAGAGGGUCCCGCAAUCACUAAGCUCGGAUAGACCAAAUUUAAUGAAGGAUGUACCAAAUUUUGUGAAGGAUGUACCAAGGGUUCGAAAAUGCGUUCCGAAGUGGGGAUCGACCCCCAAUCACUUUGUUAUGGGUUUCUUAAAGAAAUUACAGACCAUCCAUGUUGAAAUGGGGGUCUCAGAAUCUAUCGGAUCGGAUGUACCAAAUUUAAUGAAGGAUGUACCAAAUUUUGUGAAGGAUGUACCAAAUUUUGUGAAUGAUGUACCAAGGGUCCAAAAAUGCUUUCCGAAGUGGGGAUCGGCCCCAAAUCACUUUGUUUUGGGUUUUUAAAUGAAAUAGUGGCUCAUCCACGGUCAGAAGAGGGUCCCGGAAUCACUAGGAUCGGAUAUACCAAAUUUUGUGAAGGAUGUAACAAGGGUCCGAAAAUGCGUUCCGAAGUGGGGAUCGACCCCCAAUCACUUUGUUAUGGGUUUCUAAAUGAAAUUAUCGACCAUCCAUGUUGAAAUGGGGGUCUCAGAAUCUGUCGGAUCGGAUGUACCAAAAUUUAAUGAAGGAUGUACCAAAUUUUGUGAAGGAUGUACCAAAUUUUGUGAAUGANNNNNNNNNNNNNNNNNNNNNNNNNNNNNNNNNNNNNNNNNNNNNNNNNNNNNNNNNNNNNNNNNNNNNNNNNNNNNNNNNNNNNNNNNNNNNNNNNNNNGGGAUCGACCCCCAAUCACUUGUUAUGGGUUUCUAAAGAAAUUACAGACCAUCCAUGUUGAAAUGGGGGUCUCAGAUCUAUCGGAUCGGAUGUACCAAAUUUAAUGAAGGAUGUACCAAAUUUUGUGAAGGAUGUACCAAAUUUUGUGAAUGAUGUACCAAGGGUCCAAAAAUGCUUUCCGAAGUGGGGAUCGGCCCCAAAUCACUUUGUUUUGGGUUUUUAAAUGAAAUAGUGGCUCAUCCACGGUCAGAAGAGGGUCCCGGAAUCACUAGGAUCGGAUAUACCAAAUUUUGUGAAGGAUGUAACAAGGGUCCGAAAAUGCGUUCCGAAGUGGGGAUCGACCCCCAAUCACUUUGUUAUGGGUUUCUAAAUGAAAUUAUGGACCAUCCAUGUUGAAAUGGGGGUCUCAGAAUCUGUCGGAUCGGAUGUACCAAAUUUAAUGAAGGAUGUACCAAAUUUUGUGAAGGAUGUACCAAAUUUUGUGAAUGAUGUACCAAGGGUCCAAAAAUGCUUUCCGAAGUGGGGAUCGGCCCCAAAUCACUUUGUUUUGGGUUUUUAAAUGAAAUAGUGGCUCAUCCACGGUCAGAAGAGGGUCCCGGAAUCACUAGGAUCGGAUAUACCAAAUUUUGUGAAGGAUGUAACAAGGGUCCGAAAAUGCGUUCUGAAGUGGGGAUCGACCCCCAAUCACUUUGUUAUGGGUUUCCUAAAGAAAUUAUGGACCAUCCAUGUUGAAAUGGGGGUCUUGGAAUCUGUCGGAUCGGAUGUACCAAAUUUAAUGAAGGAAGGAUGUACCAAAUUUUGUGAAUGAUGUACCAAGGGUCCAAAAAUGCUUUCCGAAGCGGGGAUCAACCCCAAAUCACUUUGUUAUGGGUUUUUAAAUGAAAUAGUGGCUCAUCCACGGUCAGAAGAGGGUCCAAGAAUCACUAGGAUCGGAUGUACCAAAUUUUGUGAAGGAUAUACCAAGGGUCCGAAAAUGCGUUCCGAAGUGGGGAUCGACCCCCAAUCACUUUGUUAUGGGUUUCUUAAAGAAAUUACAGACCAUCCAUGUUGAAAUGGGGGUCUCGGAAUCUAUCGGAUCGGAUGUACCAAAUUUAAUGAAGGAUGUACCAAAUUUUGUGAAGGAUGUACCAAAUUUUGUGAAUGAUGUACCAAGGGUCCAAAAAUGCUUUCCGAAGUGGGGAUCGGCCCCAAAUCACUUUGUUUUGGGUUUUUAAAUGAAAUAGUGGCUCAUCCACGGUCAGAAGAGGGUCCCGGAAUCACUAGGAUCGGAUAUACCAAAUUUUGUGAAGGAUGUAACAAGGGUCCGAAAAUGCGUUCCGAAGUGGGGAUCGACCCCCAAUCACUUUGUUAUGGGUUUUUAAAUGAAAUUAUGGACCAUCCAUGUUGAAAUGGGGGUCUCGGAAUCUGUCGGUUCGGAUGUACCAAAUUUAAUGAAGGAUGUACCAAAUUUUGUGAAGGAUGUACCAAAUUUUGUGAAUGAUGUACCAAGGGUCCAAAAAUGCUUUCCGAAGUGGGGAUCGACCCCAAAUCACUUUGUUAUGGGUUUUUAAAUGAAAUAGUGGCUCAUCCACGGUCAGAAGAGGGUCCCGGAAUCACUAGGAUCGGAUGUACCAAAUUUUGUGAAGGAUGUACCAAGGGUCCGAAAAUGCGUUCCAAAGUGGGGAUCGACCCCCAAUCACUUUGUUAUGGGUUUCUUAAAGAAAUUACUGACCAUCCAUGUUGAAAUGAGGGUCUCGAAAUCUGUCGGAUCGGAUGUACCAAAUUUAAUGAAGGAUGUACCAAAUUUUGUGAAGGAUGUACCAAAUUUUGUGAAGGAUGUACCAAGGGUCCAAAAAUGCUUUUCGAAGUGGGGAUCGACCCCCAAUCACUUUGUUAUGGGUUUCUAAAUGAAAUUAUGGACCAUCCAUGUUGAAAUGGGGGUCUCGGAAUCUGUCGGAUCGGAUGUACCAAAUUUAAUGAAGGAUGUACCAAAUUUUGUGAAGGAUGUACCAAAUUUUGUGAAUGAUGUACCAAGGGUCCAAAAAUGCUUUCCGAAGUGGGGAUCGACCCCAAAUCACUUUGUUAUGGGUUUUUAAAUGAAAUAGUGGCUCAUCCACGGUCAGAAGAGGGUCCCGGAAUCACUAGGAUCGGAUGUACCAAAUUUUGUGAAGGAUGUACCAAGGGUCCGAAAAUGCGUUCCGAAGUGGGGAUCGACCCCCAAUCACUUUGUUAUGGGUUUCUUAAAGAAAUUACAGACCAUCCAUGUUGAAAUGGGGGUCUCGGAAUCUGUCGGAUCGGAUGUACGAAAUUUAAAGAAGGAUGUACCAAAUUUUGUGAAGGAUGUACCAAAUUUUGUGAAUGAUGUACCAAGGGUCCAAAAAUGCUUUCUGAAGCGGGGAUCGGCCCCAAAUCACUUUGUUAUGGGUUUUUAAAUUAAAUAGUGGCUCAUCCACGGUCAGAAGAGGGUCCCGGAAUCACUAGGAUCGGAUGUACCAAAUUUUGUGAAGGAUGUACCAAAGGUCCGAAAAUGCGUUCCGAAGUGGGGAUCGACCCCCNNNNNNNNNNNNNNNNNNNNNNNNNNNNNNNNNNNNNNNNNNNNNNNNNNNNNNNNNNNNNNNNNNNNNNNNNNNNNNNNNNNNNNNNNNNNNNNNNNNNGGGACCUCAUCUGACCGUGGAUGAGCCACUGUUUCAUUUAAAAACCCAAAACAAAGUGAUUGGGGUCGAUCCCCACUUUAGAAAGCAUUUUUGGACCCUUGGUACAUCAUUCACAAAAUUUGGUACAUCCUUCACAAAAUUUGGUACAUCCUUCAUUAAAUUUGGUACAUCCGAUCCGACAGAUUCCGAGACCCACAUUUCAACAUGGAUGGUCCAUAAUUUCAUUUAGAAACCCAUAACAAAGUGAUUGGGGGUCGAUCCCCACUUCGGAGUGCAUUUUCGGACCCUUGGUAUAUCCUUCACAAAAUUUGGUACAUCCGAUCCUAGUGAUUCUGGAACCCUCUUCUGACCGUGGAUGAGCCACUAUUUCAUUUAAAAACCCAUAACAAAGUGAUUUGGGGUCGAUCCCCACUUCGGAAAGCAUUUUUGGACCCUUGGUACAUCAUUCACAAAAUUUGGUACAUCCUUCACAAAAUUUAGUAUAUCCUUCAUUAAAUUUGGUAAAUCCGAACCGACAGAUUCCGAGACCCCCAUUUCAACAUGGAUGGUCCAUAAUUUCAUUUAGAAACCCAUAACAAAGUGAUUGGGGGUCGAUCCCCACUUCGAAAAGCAUUUUUGGACCCUUGGUACAUCAUUCACAAAAUUUGGUACAUCCUUCACAAAAUUUGGUAUAUCCUUCAUUAAAUUUGGUACAUCCGAUCCGACAGAUUCCGAGACCCCCAUUUCAACAUGGAUGGUCUGUAAUUUCUUUAGGAAACCCAUAACAAAGUGAUUGGGGGUCGAUCCCCACUUCGGAACGCAUUUUCGGACCCUUGGUACAUCCUUCACAAAAUUUGGUACAUCCGAUCCUAGUGAUUCCGGGACCCUCAUCUGACCGUGGAUGAGCCACUGUUUCAUUUAAAAACCCAAAACAAAGUGAUUUGAGGUCGAUCCCCACUUUAGAAAGCAUUUUUGGACCCUUGGUACAUCAUUCACAAAAUUUGGUACAUCCUUCACAAAAUUUGGUACAUCCUUCAUUAAAUUUGGUACAUCCGAUACGACAGAUUCCGAGACCCACAUUUCAAAAUGGAUGGUCCAUAAUUUCAUUUAGAAACCCAUAACAAAGUGAUUGGGGGUCGAUCCCCACUUCGAAAAGCAUUUUUGGACCCGUGGUACAUCAUUCACAAAAUUUGGUACAUCCUUCACAAAAUUUGGUAUAUCCUUCAUUAAAUUUGGUACAUCCGAUCCGACAGAUUCCGAGACCCCCAUUUCAACAUGGAUGGUCUGUAAUUUCUUUAAGAAACCCAUAACAAAGCUAUUGGGGGUCGAUCCCCACUUCGGAACGCAUUUUCGGACCCUUGGUACAUCCUUCACAAAAUUUGGUACAUCUGAUCCUAGUGAUUCCGGGACCCUCUUCUGACCGUGGAUGAGCCACUAUUUCAUUUAAAAACCCAUAACAAAGUGAUUUGGGGCCGAUCCCCGCUUCGGAAAGCAUUUUUGGGCCCUUGGUACAUCAUUCACAAAAUUUGGUACAUCCUUCACAAAAUUUGGUACAUCGUUCAUUAAAUUUCAUACAUCCGAUCCGACAGAUUCCGAGACCCCCAUUUCAACAUGGAUGGUCCAUAAUUUCUUUAGGAAACCCAUAACAAUGUGAUUGGGGGUCGAUCCCCACUUUGGAACGCAUUUUCGGACCCUUGGUACAUCCUUCACAAAAUUUGAUAUAUCCGAUCCUAGUGAUUCCGGGACCCUCUUCUGACCCUUGAUGAGCCUCUUUUUCAUUUAAAAACCCAAAACAAAGUGAUUUGGGGCCAAUCCCCCCUUCGGAAAGCAUUUUUGGACCCCUGAUACAUCAUUCACAAAAUUUGGUACAUCCUUCACAAAAUUUGGUACAUCCUUCAUUAAAUUUGGUACAUCCGAUUCGACAGAUUCCGAGACCCCCAUUUCAACAUGGAUGAUCCAUAAUUUCAUUUAGAAACCCAUAACAAAGUGAUUGGGGGUCGAUCCCCACUUCGAAAAGCAUUUUUGGACCCUUGGUACAUCCUUCAGAAAAUUUGGUACAUCCUUCACAAAAUUUGGUACAUCCUUCAUUAAAUUUGGUACAUCCGAUCCGACAGAUUCCGAGACCCCCAUUUCAACAUGGAUGGUCCAUAAUUUCUUUAGAAACCCAUAACAAAGUGAUUGGGGGUCGAUCCCCACUUCGGUACGCAUUUUCGGACCAUUGGUACAUCCUUCACAAAAUUUGGUACAUCCUUCAUUAAAUUUGGUACAUCUGACCCUAGUGAUUCCGGUACUGAUUACUACCAAAAAGUGCUAUUUUGUAGACCUAAUUAUAAUGGUUUUAAGCACCUUUGAGUAGUAAUCAUAUUCAUUUAACCCAAUUAAUUCAUUAAGGUCCUUAGUAAUUGGUUUUAACCAUUUUGUGGCAAGUUUACAUGUUUUUAUCAGCUUAUGAAUCAAUUCAAGCAUGCCAAAUGAUUGAGGAGAGUUAUUUGGAAUCCAUGGCAAAGCAAUGAAGAGCUCAAAUUCAUGAAGAAACUAAGCUUUGGAGCCUCAUAGUCCUUUGCCUUAGUCGUUCAAAGUAUGCAAGGAAAGAGCACUGGAGAGAGGAAAAACAGAGUGAAGAAAACAGAGGACAGCAGCUGCAGUCUUCUUGUGCACUUUUGGAGCACUUCCCGAAGUCCAUUUUCUACAUCCUAUAUACCAUUUCAAAGCUCAGAAGUCAAGAAUCCAACGCUUCAAACCGUGUACAUUUGGAGCUGAAAUGGNGGAAGUAUAAGCCUUUGGAAGAUGACUGCNNNNNNNNNNNNNNNNNNNNNNNNNNNNNNNNNNNNNNNNNNNNNNNNNNNNNNNNNNNNNNNNNNNNNNNNNNNNNNNNNNNNNNNNNNNNNNNNNNNNGUUCAGCUUGUUGAUGCGAAAAUAUUUCGCAACCCUCUUGAGUGUCUGCGAAAUCUCGCAGANACCAUUUUUCACUUGCGAAAUGUUCCUUGGAGCUUCUCGAUAUUUGCCACCGACUCUUUUGGAUAUUUUUCUUCAGAUAUUUUUGUAUAAAUUUCCAUUUUCUCCUUGUAUUCAGCCACUCAUGUAAUUCCUUAACUAGGAAGUAUCCAAGGAAGGCUAAAUUACCUUCCUAUAUAAACUCUCAGAUCAUGUAAUCCAUCAAUCAAUAUAUAGAAUAUACAGAGCCUUGCUCUGUUUUUCCUUCUCUUUCAUUUUUCAUUUCUUUUUAUUUCUAGCCAACCAAACUUUGAGGAUUUUUCCUCAAAGGAUGAGAGGCUAAGCUUUUUGUCUCUUGGAGUGAGGAAAGCCGGGUAAGUUUCCACAUGCAUAAUUUGGAAGUUUUGUUGUUUUAGUUUUUAAUGAAGAGAAAGUGUAACCCGUUAGUGAUUUCUAUGUUUUUAGUUAACUUAAAACACCUUAGAGUCAUCUGGGCCAACACUUGGUAAGGCAAGUGAUUUCCAACCAUGGAAAUGCACUAGUUUACCCCUUGUGAGCCUUUGGGAGGUGACUUAAAGGUAGGAUUUUUUAGAAUAGCCAACACUUGGUAAGCUUUUGGACUCCAAGGAGACAUCCAUUAGUUAUCUCUUGCGAGCUUUUGACGGGAAGUCCAAGGUUAAAGAUCAUCUUGAAUGGCAAGUGCUAGGUGAGAGGUAUGAGCCAUUGCAAGAUGCAUCAGUGAGAGGGAUUUAGUGUUUGAACCCAUUAAUGGGAAGCAUCUGUACAACACCGGUUAGAGAAUUAACUAUAUGUUAAUUCUCUAAUGCGAGGAAAAGAAACAAGUGACCGGAACUCCCUUUUUGUAUGAGGAAUCUGAGCCUAGUGAUCUGAACUCCAAGAAACAUCUUUUCUUUAUAAGUAAAAUCAGUUACUAUUUUUGGUUAGUUUAAAACCAAACCUUUUUCAUUCAAACAUCUCUAUGUUUUCUUUUAAAGCUAACCUUGAAAUGAAAAGGCACCAAUUCAACUUUGAAUUAACAUCAUUUGUGAAGUGAAAACUCAUCCCAGUGAACGAUCCUAGAGCCACUAUGCUAUAGUAGCUUUGUCUUUGCUACCCUAGUAUAUGGUGUAAUAGGUUAUAAAUUUUGUUGAUUAAUCCCUCAAUCAAGGAGCACCAGCUGGACACAAAUCAGCUGAGACACCAAUUGGGCACGAAUCAGGUACCCCCUUAGUGCCAUGGAUGGACCAUAAUUUAAUUUGGCAACCCAUAAGUGAUUUAUUUCAAAAUUUAAAAAAUACUUUUAUUAAAACAUAUUUUAUUACAUUUUAAAUAAAAAGUAAAUUGAUUUAUAUCAAAUAUUUGAUUUGAGAUAUGAUUUCUAAAAAUAUAUUACAAAUAUGUGGUGACAAUUUUUCAAUUAAAAUUCAUGUAUUUAAAUAAUUAAAAUUAUUAAUCAUUUAUCUAAUCAAAUUAAUUUUAAGUUAUAAAAUAUUAGGACUUCAUCAUUUUUUUUGUAGCAAAUUCUGAGUACAACUAUUUUUGUAAUAUUUAAAAAUACAAAAUUUUGAAAUUAAAUAAAAUUAAACGGGUAAAUAAAAAAAGUAGUUAAAAAAAUAAAGAUAAUGUAAAAUAGAAUGAUAAUAUAAUUUUGAAAUAAAGUAUUAGGUAAUGACAACGUUUUUUUUGUAGGAAUGAGCAUGAAGGAAAACUAUGGCCACCGCCUUCAUGUCAUACACAUCCCCAAUGGUAUUAUAAACUUUGGAAUCUUAUGUUAUAUGCAAUACACAAAAUAAGGGCCCACCCUUUAUUUCACAGGCAUGCCUAUGUGUCGAAGAUGCCAUGUGCAGUAGCCAAAUUAGGGGCAGACCUUUCAUAUGACAUGCAUGCAAGUGGGUGAAAACCUAAUCGUAGUUAUUAUUUGUGCACUAUCAAAAAGAUAAGCAUGCCCUUGUGCAGGUGGCAUGCCUUCAUAGUGACUUUAUCUUACUUGUUGAUUGGACAGUGUGGUCAUGGGAGGCAGACCCAACACAUGAAGGGUUGGCCCUACACAUUCACAUUGAAAUAAAAUGUAUGGAUAAUUGAUUCAUAUGUGUUAAAGCCUAAAAUAUAGAGUCAAUACAUACUAAGAUUGGAAAAUAGGCAAAAUGUCAUUCAGACAUUCAAAAUAACUUAAACCAACCUCAUAACUAGCAUCACAUUUACACAUAAAUAUUGCAUAGAGUGUUGACAAUUGGUGCAAGAGAGUAUAAAGUUUACUGAUGAUUAAUGAAAGCAUGCAUAUUGAUAAGCAUUGGAAAGCGUUAAAGUAAAAGGAGUUAAGAAGUUGUUUGAGAACGAGAUUUUAUAAACUUAUUACAAAAUCCAUGAAAAUGUUGUGCGCACACAUACGCAUUCGAUUGUAAGACGGAUAGAAAGUAAGGUUACUCCUCUUCAUUAGUCGGUGCAUCUUCGUCUUCUUCAUCUCCACCAUCAUCAUCACCAUCUUCCUCGUCAUCUGUCUGUGAUGGCGUAGGAGGUAGAGCAUCAGGGUGCAAUGCUUUCCAUGCUGCAAUGGAACGAUCGCAUUGUUGACGCACAAUCUUCAAUUGAUUGUUCAUUGAUUUGCACAUUGGGUAAAUAUCCCCAAGCUGAGAACUUUUAGUUGACCUACGCGACGAAGAGGAUGAUGUUUGUUUGUCUAUCGACAUUUUCAUGCGCAUAGGUUGCAUGCGCGGGAUUGACUCAUAAGGUAGUGUCUUGAAAUCCAACCCUGCAUUUUGUAAAAGCAAGCAAACAGUUGAACCAUAUGGUAAUGCACGUGUGCUCACAUUACUACGCCGUGCCUCUAUCAUGUUAUGGCAAAUAAGUGCGGGCAAAUUAAUUUUACUGCGACGUGCCAUGUGAAACAGAAUAUGCAGAACAUAUAGUGUAAGCUCAUUAAGAUGACCCUUCUUAUUCAAGACAGUAUGAAACAAUAUCAGACUUAGAAUCCUGUAUUUUGGAAGUAGAGAUCUAUGUUCAACGCUUGUACCCAACUGAAAACAAUGGCCGCAUAAUUCCUUUGUUAUUGUGUCUGACAUUGCCUUGAUAUCAAUCUCUGGAAUACAAAAGUUAAUAGCUUUCUUGGGUGUUUCCAAAGAGAAGGUGCGUCCAAUAAGGGAUGGGGAAACCCGCACAGCAACUCCCUUGAAUGAAGUGUGAAAUGAAUAUUUCUCCUCGUCAACAUUUCUGAUAUUGUUGUAGAAUGCUCGCACAGGAGUUGGAUAACAUUCUUGCGUUAGCUGUAUAAAUGGUCUCAAUUUGUAAAAAUCUAGUAACUCAGCAACGCCAUGUUCUUCAAACCCAGCAAUUAGUAUGACACGCUCAAUGGCAAUUGGUCGUUUUGCUAUGAGCUUAUCACAUUCGUGCUCAUCAGGUGGGUGGCGAGGCAUGAAAGGGUCAUGUUGGACUUCCUCAGGUACAGUUGACGUUGAGCCAUGUCUAACCUUCUUUUUAGGCGGCAUGAUGUUUGGUCCUUGUAAUGGCACUACAUAUUGUUAAAAAUUCAGUGAUGGAAGUUAGAGAUGAAAAGUUUCAAUUCAUUGCAUCCAAGCCAACCACAAAUAGCUUAAAAAGGAAUUCAAGCAACUCCCAAAAGAGUGGUUGCCACAACCAAGAGAAAAUAUGUGCAGAAAACAAUGAAAAACAAACCUUAUUGUUGUUGUUAUUGUAGCAAAUUGUUGACGAUUAUGCCAGUGAAAAUCUUACAGUGAAAUGGUAGAGUAGCUAAAAUGGAGGAAUGGGUGGGUGGAAGAGGGAGGUUGUGAUGUGCAACGUGUAUAGUAGAAAAUGAGGUGUAAAUGGGAAUGAAUAUGAGUUGUUGAGGAUGUGAUGUCAACCAAACUGAGUAAAUGGUUGAAGUUGGAAUGGAGGUCCGCCUAUGCACGAGAUGUGGCUAGUACAUACAUGCAUUUAAUGUUCCAUAAUGAGUGCAUAGUUACAAGUCACUAAAAUUGGAUGGGAUGAAACAACGUGAAUGAAGUCUUCUACAAGCCUACAAUUGGAGACUAUCAUUAUGUGGAGUGAAUGUGAAGUUAUUAUGUGGUAGGUGCAUCAUAAAUAUUGGUAAUAUGAAGUCUUCUACAAGCCUACAAUUGAAGACUAUCAUUAUGUGGAGUGAAUGUGAAGUUAUUAUGUGGUAGGUGCAUCAUAAAUAUUGGUAAUAUGUUGACCUCUAGUUAUUAAAUGUCCACUGUGGUACAAUCAAAUCAAAUGCAACAAAAGUUUUUCAAGUUUUUGUUCUCGUUGACAUAAAAUGGCCAAAUAUUUAUCGAAUAAGUGUAAUGUAGUUGAUACAAGUAUGAAUAAAUAUAAUAUUUAUUAAAUUUUUAUAAGAAAAGUAGCAUUAAUUGAUUUAAUAUAUUUAAGAGAUUUAUUUUUAAAUUAAAAAAUACGUAUAUUAAAACAUAUUUUAUGACAUUCUAAAUACUUUAAAAAAUGUAUCAUUAAAUUAUUAAAAAUGCUAAAAAAAACUUUCACAAUUGACAAAAAAUGCGCAUGGACUCCAAUUUUUUCCCACAAAAACAGUAGUAGAAGUUUAUUUAAUUCAAUUUGGAAAAAAAUGACCCAUAUCAUUAAAAAUAAUUAUUUUUAAAAAUCAUCCGUAAAUAUAAAAUUCUAUGACUUUAUUAAUCUGAUAGCUACACAUAGAAGCUAAUCACCUUGCUAAACAAAGAUUUAUUACCAGUAUGAUAUUUUCCAUCAUGCCAAACGCUGCACGAGUAUGCAAUUUCGUUUUGUAAAUGCUUAUUGAUUCGACUCAUGGUAGCUUAGCUUUAAAGGCGUAUCAACAAAAUUUAUACCUUAAAUACUAUUACUAAAGUAGCCAAGCUACUAUAGCAUAGUGGUUCUAGGAUCGUUCACUGGGAAGGGUUUUCGCAAACACUAGUGAUAUUCAAAUUAGGAAAAUAGGUGAUUUUCUUAUGGAUGUUAGCUUUAAAAGAAGAUGUAAAUGUUUUAGAAAGAUUUAAACUAAUCUAAGCUAACAUUAAAGACUAAAAUGAAAGGGUGUAAAAACAAGUUUCUCAAAGAUAGGAUAGCUAUGCUCUGGCUCUUAUGCAAAUUGGAAAUCUCAUGAUAGGCUCCUCGAGUUGGGGUUGCAACUAUGGUGAUGCUUGCUUCCCGAACCGGUAUGGAUUUAGCAAAUCAAGUUUUAAUCCUUUAAAAUGGCAAAACAGAUGGUAGUGAAUUUCAUCAAUGGUUAUUCACCUUAGACUUCCUUUGAAUGGCUCGUAAGAGAUAACUAAUGGUCUAAAGCCAAAAGCUUACCAAAUAUUGGCAACUCAAAGUCAUUCCAGGUGAUAAACUCACCUUUCAAUGACCAUUGAAAUUGGUUCUAACGAAUUAAUGCAAAACUUGGAAUUGAAAACCUCACCUUCCAAUAGCUCGUAGGAGAUAACUAAUGGAUAGAAAUCCAAAAGCUUAUCAAGUAUUGGCCGUUGGAAGUUGUCCAAAGGAAAUAAAAACCAAACUUUGCAUUAAUGAACCAUUAAUGAAAAACGACUACCUUACCUUCCAAGUGCGAGAAAUUUCCAUGGGAUUGCAUCCAAGCCAUCACAUAACAUCCAUACUUUGAGAAACUAAAAGUUUUAGCCAAUCAUCCUUUGAGGAAAAGCCCUCAGAGGCUGUUUAGCUUCCAAGAAAAUAAAAUAGUAAAGAGACAAGAGAGACGAGAGAGCUCUGUAUAUAUUUUAAGUGUCAAAACGUCACCUAUGUUAUAUAUUCCAAGAGGUGAUUUCCACCCCUUAUAUAGUCUUUACAAAAGCAAAAGCUUGUGAUUGGUUAGUUACAAGGAUAAGAAAGGAAAUUACAUCAAAAAAUACAAAGGAAAAUAUCUAAAGUGGAGUCGGCAAAAACAGAGGAAAAUUCGCACCACGCAUGGGUUAUGCGAAUUUUGAAGGUGUUAUGCGAAUUUCGCAAAACACCUUGUGUCGUGCGAAAUUUUCGCACAACCUGGAGCAGUUGGCUUCCAAAGGCCAUAUCUUCCUCAUUUCAGCUCCAAAUCGUACACGGUUUGAAGCUUUGGAUUCUUGACUUCCAGAGCUUUGAAAUGGUAUAUAGCAUGUAAAAAAUGGACUUCAGGAAGUGCUCUAAAAGUGCGAAAGAAAACUACAGCUGCUGUCCUCUUUGCUUCUCUUCACUUUGCUUGCUUUUCCUCUUUGCUUCUCUUUCCUUGCAUACUUUGAACGACUUUGGAAAAGGGCUAUGGAGCUCCAAAGCUUGGUUCUUCAUGAAUUUGAGCUUCCAAAAGCUUUGCCAUAACUUGUCCAAGUAGCUCCUCCAUCAUUUGGCAUGCUUGAAUUGAUUCAUAAGCUGAUAAAAACAUGUAAACUUGCCACAAAAUGGUUAAAACCAAUUACUAAGGACCUUAAUGAAUUAAUUGGGUUAAAUGAAUAUGAUUACUACUCAAAGGUGCUUAAAACCAUUAUAAUUAGGUCUACAAAAUAGCACUUUUUGGUAGUAAUCACUUAUAUCAUCCACAAUCAUUUAAACCUCCAUAAAUGAUCAAUAACUAUUUGUAUUUCAUGGCAUUGGCAGAAUUGAACCUUUUGGGAAUACAAGAAAUAAUGUUGAUGGGACAAAAUUAGAACUUCUAACAAAGUACAUAAAUUGGAAAGGUAAGACAAAUUGAGAAACCAAGAAAGAACCACUAGAUUUAGCACACAUUUAGGGUUCCAUUAUGAACUUUCAUCAUGAAACAUUUCCUAGAAUCAAUAGCUAACUAUAGUCCCCAAUGCAACCCAAUUGGCAUCUUUUGCAAUAGAAAUACUGGUGGUUGAUGAGCCCAAUCACAGAACUUCAUGAGCUUUCCCAUAAUACCUGUUUAUAAACGGUGCCUGAAAGGCAUUCCAAACAACAAUAAUUACUAUUUAAAGAUUAAUGAGUCAUACUUAUUUCCUGAAAAAAAAUGUAGAGAGGGCACAAAUAAGAUAAUGCAAUUAGCAUUCAUUAACAAGUGUCUGCUCUAAUAGAAGAGGCCAAAUUCAUUGAUAUGCUACAACCAAUCAACUAUUUUUUGUACUUAUUCACAGAAUGGAUGGCAAAACAUACCCUCAAUAAACCAUGGCCAAGUGAAAACAAGGUGACUAAACAGAAAAAACUCAACUUAAUUAGCUAAGUAAAAGUCAAACCAUUUAGAAAUAGUGUCAUAUUGAUCCAUUUGGAUACCAAGGAAAAAAAAUGGCCACAUAAUGACAAAGCUUUUGGGCGAUCAGUUAGUUGAUAUUAAAAAUAGCAGACAUGUUAUGUUAGCAUGGAACAGAUAAAUAAAUUAAACAUAUAUUCCAUCAAGAGAUUAUUUUUUGACUAUUUAUGUAGGGAACGACUUAUAGCAAUACACCAUGAUCUUGAAUAUCGCAUUAAGGCCAGCUUCAAAAUGCACAAGAUUCAUAGGCUAUCAAUAGUCUCAUAUGGAGAAACAAAAAUAGUGGUGUCGAAGAUAUUCUGUUCUUUCAAUAGAAGAAAUGUUCAAAAUUGUACCUUAACAUUUUAGAGUUUUUGUCAAUGAAGAAUAAUCGGAACAAACUCUAACAAAUUCUAUCUUAUGCUCUCUCUAGCUUUUAACAUGACUGUCCAUAUUAGAUUGUGUUGAUUGGUUGGGCUCUUGAUGAUUAUAGAGAGGUGUUUUUGUUAAUCUCUCAAUCUAAUUGCCUUUAUGUCUUAUUUCUAAACUUCUUGUGUACAUUUGUGCACCUUCUUUUAAUUAGGUGGUGUUAAUAAUAUUAUCUUUUGCAAAAGAAAAAAUAAAUUGUACCUUAACAUUUGAUAUGCCAGGAUUAUCAUCGGUCUGGACUGAGUAGAACUUGUUAAACUUCAUGUUUUCAAAUGCUGCUUUAGUCUAUUAACUCAUUUCUGCAAGGCCUUUUUCUAGGCUUCUCUAGCCUACAAGAAAAGGAAUUGACAAGUACUCAACAUAUUUGAAAUUUAUGUGCAAGACCAAAACUAUUGUAACGAUUGGUAUCUGUUAUAAAAUACCUGUCUAUUGGCUUUUUUUGCCUCUCGGACAUUGUCUUUGACAAAAUUAUGAGCAACCAAAACAAUUUAAGUUCAUGGUAUGGUUAAUUACAUGCAAGAGCAAUCAAUUACAUGCAUAUCAUCAAUUACAGAUCACCUUAAAUGCAUCCUUUUGAUCUGCAUCAAAUUCAUUCUCCUCAAUUAGCUUAUCAGUGACCUCCUAAAGAUAAGAGAAGUACAGUUAACCACAAGAUGUAAAUAAAACAUAAUAAAAACCUAUAAAGCUUAUGAGUAAUGAAGGAACUUAUUCUUUUAGAGGGUUCCUUCCACAACACUCCCCUAGGAAAUAUUAAAGCAGGAACAAGUCGUCCUUUGUCUUAUUAAAUGUCUAACCAUCAAAAAUCACUCUAAACUAAGUUUAGUAUCAAUUGAUUUAUAGAUGCGAGACAGCUAAACCCACAAUAAGAUGGUAACAAGGAUUCUUUCAGCUAAACAGAAAAUACAGCCAUUUGACUAAAUUGGUUUACAGGGUUGUUGAAUUAUCUAAUAAUUAGCUCAUGAUUAUACAUAAACAUAGAAAAUUGGGGAUAAGUUUAAGCAACCAGACCAUGUCAUUACAAUAUUAUCAACUGAUUUAAACAGGUUAUAUGGAAUAGCACAAACGAUUUAUGGAAGCAUUAAGAAAUUGUCAAUAAUAUAACCUUAAAAAAUAAAAAUGUCAUUUACUAGAGUUUUAUAUAUAUAGGGAGGAGAUAGCACCUAACCUGGUAGUCAAAUGAACCAUGCAUGCAUUGGAAGUAGUCUUGAUAACUUAUCCCUUCUAUUGUACCAUAAAAAAGACAUGACAUAGCCUCAAAAUCUAUUAUUCACUAUCAAUGACCAAGUUGAAGUUUAAAUUUGAAUGUAUAGUUAAAAAAUUGAAUGAAAUAAAACCAAAGAAAUUAAUUGUGAAGGUUACCCAAUACUAUUCUGCAUCGUUGGUUGACCAAAUAUUGGCUGUAACCAUUUCACCAAUUUCGUUUUCGCUAUCAAGAACCAUAUGAGUUGCAAAUUUCAAUCUUUCAAGGCUCAUGCGUUCCUACACAUUAAACUUAUGUUAGACCCUACAUCUCGGUAACAUUUAACAUGUACAUUUGAAAAUAAAACCAUAACAUCAUAUUUAACAACUUACAGAAUUAAUGGUUCUAUUAAGACCACUUCCAUCCCAAUGUUGCAUAUAGAGAAUAGCAUACAUCCCAGUAUGACAUUUGCAAUAACAAGUAUGAUUUGUGACAUGUUAUUAACAUAGGACCCAAUUAGGAUUGAAAAUGAAUACAUGAAAAAAAAAAUAUGUAACUAACAAUUUUGGAUCGCCAUCGAUAUCUGCAUACUGUGGAUGUAAAUUAUUUAUAUUCACAUCAUUCCGUUUGAAGGAAUUUUUUAAUAACUGCGACAUAAAUCCAACUACUUUGAAAGCUUCAUUAACAAAGUGAACACGUUGAAUGCUAUUAUAUGAUGAAAGUAGAUCCACCCUUUUAGCCUCCAAAUUGAUUACCAUGAUGACCCAUUCAUUAAAUUGGAAUAAGGGGAUAUAAAACUACAAAACAGACAAUCAUCAUAACAACAAUGAAGGCUUAAAUAUUUGAAAUAUAAAUUCAAAAUUAUUAAAAAAUUGUCAUCAAUCUAUGUAAUCAAUACAAUAGUCAAGCAUUACCUGGUUGCAAAAUUCAAGAUUAACACAAUAGCUACCUAAUCUUUUCUUGAGUGUUGAUUUUGAGGUAGACUUGCUCAUUGAACCACAUAUUUCUUGUAAAAAGUUGUUGAGAGCAUAGUAACAAUGUAUGACUAAAGCUAUACAUGCAUCUUAUAUUAGGGACAAGAUUUGGUGUACUCGAGGAAAAAACCUCACCCCAAAGUAUGGAUUAAAAAAGUGUCUGCAAUAAGGAUUCUCUUCUUUUGCAUUCAUGUAUCGGCAAAACAUGGAAAUCACCUACAUAAUGCCUCUUCAUUAGUUAAAAUGAUCAAUGGAAAGAUGAAGGUAUUUUUUUCUUAUUUAUCAUAAACCUUACCGGAAUAUCAAUGAAGCUCUCCCCUACUAAGCAUUAAAAUUGUUCCCGUGUCACGCCAUAGCCACCAUAUGCACAAAGCAUCUCACUAUUAAUCACAUGAAACACAAGACGUGAGUAAUUUUUUUUGUUUUCUAGAUAAAUCCAUAAUCAUAGUCUUUUAAGAACAAUACUUGUUAAACGUGUGAUUUGGGACUAACCUUGGAUCUUUUGACUCAUCAAAUACAUAGUCGGCAACAUGUGUCUCUUCCUCCGUCAACCUUUUAUAUUUUGAUACACAUAAUUGUACAAAAGGUGACUUACACGCAGCUGCUCGUUGCCUAUGACGACGUACUUUCAUUUUUACUCUUUGUGGUCGUAUUUCUUCUGAGGCUUGUGGUGCUACAUCCACAUUGUUGUUCAUGCACGAUUGCACUAACACCAACAUAUUGUGUGGCCCAGGGUGAAGGGGAUCCUCGUUUGAAAAGAACACACCAUCUUCUAUGUUGGGUCUUUCUGACACCCCUUCAUUUGUACAUCCAACGUCAUCUUCAAAAGAUCUUCUUUGACCACCAGAAUGAACAGGUGAAUGUUGUGGAUUAUUUUUAUAAAAUGGUGCACCACUUUCAUUAACAUGUUCAUGAAAAUUUGACGGUUGGCCUUCAUCUGUGCGAUAAUGUGAAGAGGUGAAACGAGUCCUCAACACUUUCACGUCACGGUUGUAUGAUGCAAUAAGACUAUUAAGAUGACUUUGUGCAUCGGUGAUUUGACGUUGUGUUGCCUCCAUGCGAGCACAAAUAACCUAAGUCAAACAUAAUGAAGGACCAUUAAAUGACAUAUAUUUAAACUAAGCCUUAAUAUAAGUUACUAUUCAUAGUCAUUAGGUAUGAAGGAUUACAUCAAAGUCUUCAUUCUCAUCUGGGUCAACUGGGUCAUCAACUGUAGGAGCCUUAUUUUUUUCUGUUUCAUCUUGCUCCGCCGAUGUGCUAACCAACUAUCAUUGCAAAACAUGUAAAUUGUCAUCCCAAUAAUCUAAUUACAAUGGUAAUCAACUAUCUUAAUAUAACUAAAAGCUAAUUAUACCUCAACUUUGCCAAAUCCUCCAAGCAUUUCUAACUCCAACUUGAUGCGUUGCUUGACCAAAAAAUCAUUCCAUGCAGCAAUGCGAGGAGUGGUAAGUUCCACAUACAUGGCUGGAAAAUUAGAUAUUGAAAAGUAGAAUAUCUGUUGCAUUAUAUAAGACAUAAUUAGUGGUAACAUCAUGGCCAACAUAGUGUAUAACCAUUAUUGAAUAUCUAAUACAUGGACAUAUACUUAUAAAUAAGACAAAAAGUUACCUGUAGAAACAUCAAACACCCUUUAAUCCAAACACUUUCCUUCCUCCUAUGUUCAUGUAUAGCUUGAAUCAAAAAUUCUAAGACAUUCUCCCCAAUUUAUGUUCCCAAGUAACUGCUCUCGGGGUGUAUACCAUAACGAGUGACUACCUUCCAAACGAGAAGUGGGUGCCAAUAAGGUUGCACAAGCGAAAAUCAAGAAGACCCGCUUAAAUUCCUCCAUAUCAUCGAUGCCAACCAUCAUUGACUCUAUAUCUUGCAAACUCGGCAUUUGACUAGCUUUAACACUUCCCUUCUCAACAAUUAACUUUCUUCCACUAUGUGGAAUGCCCAUCGUCAUCCCAACAUCAUGACAUGUCAAAGAAACCUUCUUACCCCCAAAUAACUCGAGUUGGGAAUAAGCAAUGUUUGUGUUUUUUAUCAACCAAAAACAUAAAUCUAAAUUAACCUCCUUACAACCUAAUUGCAAUAGCCCACCAAAACCAAGUUCUCGUAUUACAUCCUUCUUCACUUCUGAGAGCAAAUGGAUUCCAGAGAGGAAUCUACGGCUAGAACAACGACACCGUAUGUUCAUAUUAUCACUGCAUUAAACAACUAUAAUUCAUUAAUAAAUUAAUCAAAUGUUAAAGACAUGUGAACGUGAAUAUAGUGUUCCUAUAUACAUUCAUCAUAAUUAUUACACAAAUAUAACAUAUAUUAACAAAGAAAUGGGAAACAUUUUGUUACAUCAUGUAAAUGAUAAUCAUUGAGAUCGGUUUCCUCUAGCCUUUCAAUAAUAUGGUUAUCAAUAAGGGUGAAAUUGUUAUAUAUAGGGUCACCCACUAUGAUACCCACUGCAAAAAAAAAAAAAAAAAAACAGACAAUGUGCAUUUUAGUGGGUCAGCCAAUAAAAACAAAUGGUACGCCUCAAAGUUACAUACUCAUCUAACCAUAUCAAUAUAGUUUAGGGAAAAGUGGGAUUUGAUUCACUAAUAAGAAAAUAUAUGAUAAAAAGAAUCCCAAAUAUUUUAAAUUAGUAUUAUCUUCAUCUAUUUAAAAAUAAUUUGAAAUACAUGCAAUGAGUUAUCCAAUUAUUCCAAAAAAUGUCAUUUUAUUUUUUAUGUUAUUCAAAUCAAUUGAAAACUACACUCCUCCAUAUAAAUGUUUCCUUAUUAUUUUAGAUUUUUUUAUUAUUAUUUUAUUAUUUAAGAUUUUUUUUCCUCUAGAAACAAACACCUUAUAGGAUUCUUAUUUUAGUUUUCUAAAAGUUUAGGAAAUAUUGUCAAACAAAUCAUAUUUAAUCAUAAUUACGAAUUCAAAAAGUAAUAAGAUUUUUUAUUAAAUAAUAAAGAAUAAACUCGUAAUAUAUAAUUCUUUUAAUAUUAUAACAAAUUUAUUAUUAAAAAACUUUAAUAACAAAUUUUAUUCAUUAUUAUAUUAAACAAUUAUUAAUAUUAUAUAAUAAAUAGAAAUUUAUUAUUGGUUUAUUUAUUAUCAAGAAUAUGAAUCUAUUUUUAACUUAUUAAUACUAUAAUAAAUUCUGUUUUUUUUUUCAAAUUAUUACUUUAUAAUGUUUCUAGAGAAAAAAAAUUCCCAAAUAAUAAAAUAAUAAAAUAAUAAAAUAAUAAAGUAAUAAUAAUAAUAAUAAUAAUAAUAAUAAUAAUAAUAAUAAUAAUAAUAAUUUAAGAUUAUUGACAACUACACUCCUCCAUAUAAAUGUUUCCUUAUUAUUUUAGAUUUUUAUUUUAUUUUAUUAUUUUAUUAUUUAAGAUUUUUUUUCCUCUAGAAACAAACACCUUAUAAGAUUCUUAUUUUAGUUUUCUAAAAGUUUAGGAAAUAUUGUCAAACAAAUCAUAUUUAAUCAUAAUUACGAAUUCAAAAAGUAAUAAGAUUUUUUAUUAAAUAAUAAAGAAUAAACUUCGUAAUAUAUAAUUAUUUUAAUAUUAUAACAAAUUUAUUAUUGAAAAACUCUAAUAACAAAUUUUAUUCAUUAUUAUAUUAAACAAUUAUUAAUAUUAUAUAAUAAAUAGAAAUUUAUUAUUGGUUUAUUUAUUAUCAAGAAUACGAAUCUAUUUUUAACUUAUUAAUACUAUAAUAAAUUCUGUUUUUUUUUUUCAAAUUAUUACUUUAUAAUGUUUUUAGAGAAAAAAAAUUCCCAAAUAAUAAAAUAAUAAAAUAAUAAAGUAAUAAUAAUAAUAAUAAUAAUAAUAAUNNNNNNNNNNNNNNNNNNNNNNNNNNNNNNNNNNNNNNNNNNNNNNNNNNNNNNNNNNNNNNNNNNNNNNNNNNNNNNNNNNNNNNNNNNNNNNNNNNNNNNNNNNNNNNNNNNNNNNNNNNNNNNNNNNNNNNNNNNNNNNNNNNNNNNNNNNNNNNNNNNNNNNNNNNNNNNNNNNNNNNNNNNNNNNNNNNNNNNNNNCUUUUUUCAAAUUAUUACUUUAUAAUGUUUUUAGAGAAAAAAAAUUCCCAAAUAAUAAAAUAAUAAAAUAAUAAAGUAAUAAUAAUAAUAAUAAUAAUAAUAAUUUAAGAUUAUUGACAACUACACUCCUCCAUAUAAAUGUUUCCUUAUUAUUUUAGAUUUUUAUUUUAUUUUAUUAUUUUAUUAUUUAAGAUUUUGUUUCCUCUAGAAACAAACACCUUAUAGGAUUCUUAUUUUAGUUUUCUAAAAGUUUAGGAAAUAUUGUCAAACAAAUCAUAUUUAAUCAUAAUUACGAAUUCAAAAAGUAAUAAGAUUUUUUAUUAAAUAAUAAAGAAUAAACUCGUAAUAUAUAAUUCUUUUAAUAUUAUAACAAAUUUAUUAUUAAAAAACUUUAAUAACAAAUUUUAUUCAUUAUUAUAUUAAACAAUUAUUAAUAUUAUAUAAUAAAUAGAAAUUUAUUAUUGGUUUAUUUAUUAUCAAGAAUAUGAAUCUAUUUUUAACUUAUUAAUACUAUAAUAAAUUCUGUUUUUUUUUUCAAAUUAUUACUUUAUAAUGUUUCUAGAGAAAAAAAAUUCCCAAAUAAUAAAAUAAUAAAAUAAUAAAAUAAUAAAGUAAUAAUAAUAAUAAUAAUAAUAAUAAUAAUAAUAAUAAUAAUAAUAAUUUAAGAUUAUUGACAACUACACUCCUCCAUAUAAAUGUUUCCUUAUUAUUUUAGAUUUUUAUUUUAUUUUAUUAUUUUAUUAUUUAAGAUUUUUUUUCCUCUAGAAACAAACACCUUAUAAGAUUCUUAUUUUAGUUUUCUAAAAGUUUAGGAAAUAUUGUCAAACAAAUCAUAUUUAAUCAUAAUUACAAAUUCAAAAAGUAAUAAGAUUGUUUAUUAAAUAAUAAAGAAUAAACUUCGUAAUAUAUAAUUCUUUUAAUAUUAUAACAAAUUUAUUAUUGAAAAACACUAAUAACAAAUUUUAUUCAUUAUUAAAUUAAACAAUUAUUAAUAUUAUAUAAUAAAUAGAAAUUUAUUAUUGGUUUAUUUAUUAUCAAGAAUACGAAUCUAUUUUUAACUUAUUAAUACUAUAAUAAAUUCUGUAUUUUUUUUCUUCAAAUUCUUACUUUAUAAUGUUUCUAGAGAAAAAAAAUUCCCAAAUAAUAAAAUAAUAAAAUAAUAAAGUAAUAAUAAUAAUAAUAAUAAUAAUAAUAAUAAUAAUUUAAGAUUAUUGACAACUACACUCCUCCAUAUAAAUGUUUCCUUAUUAUUUUAGAUUUUUAUUUUAUUUUAUUAUUUUAUUAUUUAAGAUUUUUUUUCCUCUAGAAACAAACACCUUAUAGGAUUCUUAUUUUAGUUUUCUAAAAGUUUAGGAAAUAUUGUCAAACAAAUCAUAUUUAAUCAUAAUUACGAAUUCAAAAAGUAAUAAGAUUGUUUAUUAAAUAAUAAAGAAUAAAAUUCGUAAUAUAUAAUUAUUUUAAUAUUAUAACAAAUUUAUUAUUGAAAAACUCUAAUAACAAAUUUUAUUCAUUAUUAUAUUAAACAAUUAUUAAUAUUAUAUAAUAAAUAGAAAUUUAUUAUUGGUUUAUUUAUUAUCAAGAAUACGAAUCUAUUUUUAACUUAUUAAUACUAUAAUAAAUUCUGUAUUUUUUUUUUCAAAUUCUUACUUUAUAAUGUUUCUAGAGAAAAAAAAUUCCCAAAUAAUAAAAUAAUAAAAUAAUAAAGUAAUAAUAAUAAUAAAAUAUCUAAAAAGAAUGGAAAUAUUUAUACAAUGGAUUCUAAUUGUCAAUGGAUUAGGAUGACAUGACAAGUAAAGGGCUAUUUUUGGGAAUAAUUAAAUCAUAAAUUAAAAAGUGCAUGCAUUUUAAAUUAUUUUUAAAUAAAUGAAGAUAAUAUUGGAAUUUUCUUUGUCAACCAAUCAGUUUUGAGAAAAAAUGUUCUUGUAACGGAUAAGCUCCAAGAGGUUAGUUUUUGUAUAUAUAUAUAUAUAUAUAUAUAUAUAUAAUGUAUAUAUAUAACAGUUCAUGUAAAUUUUGAUUUUUUUGUAAAUUAAAAUAUAAUAUUUUUUUAUAUUGAUAAAUAAAAGUCAUAUUGUUUUAAACUACUUUAUUCAACAAACAACAAGAUCGGUGGCCCCAACAUUGAUAUGGUUACAAAAAUAGCUAUAAAAGAAAAUAUGACAUCAAAAUCCAAUUCAAUAAAAAUCAUAGUCCUCAAACCUCUGUUUCAUUAAAAGGUACAUAAUCCUACAAUUCACUUCAUAUGACUCAUGAAGUUAGCGCCAUCAAGAUGAAUUGUCAUAAUUGAAACAAAUCUACAUAAACAAAUAGAGACCAUUUCACAUUUUAAACUACAAUAUCCAUCAAACAACAACAAGACCAAUGUUUACAAAAUUAAUGAAGUUACAAAACUACUGAAAGAAAAGAGUAACCUACCAUUUAAAAAUUUUCUACAUUUGUAUUAAAAAUAUAUGGUAACAAAAUUUUCUAUUAACAUUAAUUUAUUUAAAUAAUUAAUAUUAUUAAUAAUUUAUCUUAUCAAAUUAAUUUUAAUUUAUAAAAUAUUACUGAUAAAAACUGAAAUUUUGAUUUAACCAAAAUAAAGAUGGAUAAUUAAUUAUUUAUAAUUAAUAAUUAAUAAUUUUGAUUUAUAAUAUUGUUCUUGUGAUUUGUUUCCUUUUUAUUUCUAUACUAUAUCUAAAAAACAAACAUGCUCGUUGCCAUUCGUUGAGGCAUUAUGGGAAGGUGAAGGACCCAACGGUGGAGAAUUUGUUGCCGGAGAUUGAUUUUGAGCACACUGUUGGGAGGAGAUUGGUUUCAACCUCUGGAACUCGGUCUGUGGUUCUAAUGGUGGUUGAUGCUUCAGAUUUUGAUGGGUCCGGCCACCACGCGUGAGGCAUCAAGAAACCCCUUUGUUGAAUUCUUCUCCAGGCAAGCAUCAUGCCUUAUUUUCCUCUGCCACUCUCAAUCCUCGCAGGUGCUAAUCUAAUCAUGUUAUUAAUAUUUAUUUUCAACCCCAAUUUGCUUCCCAAGAAAAUCCAUCCCUCAUUCGAUUUCCGGGAAAAUUCAUCCUCGUUUAAUUUCCGAGAGAAAUCCAUCAAAACUCCCAAGGAAAACCAAAAAAAAAAAAUGCUUUUAUUUUGUUGCUCCCCGUGUUUUCUGGAUCUGUUCUAAGGUUUUAUUUGUUUUUGUGCCAUUGGAUUUAAAUUCUACAAACCCUAAAUCCACGAUUUUUGAGCCACGCUGAAAACCACAACCUUUGCCCUCAAAUUGUGGAUCUGUGUGCGUGUGUGGCGGGUUGGAUUUAAAUUCUACAAACCCUAAAUCCAUGAUUUUUUUGCCACGCUGAAAACCACAACCUUUGCCCUCAAAUUGUGGAUCUGUGUGCGUGUGUGAUAUUUUUAAAAAAUUACCCAAUUUUCUGUCAAAGAUCUCAACAAGCAUUAAUACCAACCCAAAUUAACUCAUAAAUCCAUUACAUUUGUACCUGGGAAAGCUCCUCUCAGCUCGGACCACUUCUCUCUAUUUUCACUGCAAGCUUCCCUCGCGAAUUGUGGCUGUGAAAGAAAGUGAAAAAAUAUGGGUUUUUGGAGUUAGGGUUUGGUUCAGGAGAGAAGAAGGGAUUUGGGGGGUUUGGUUGAAAGAGAGAAGAAGGGAUUUAGGGUUUUGAUUCAACACAGAAGAAAUGAUUUCGGGUAAAUCUCACUAUUAUAUUUUAGUAAAUAUUUUUUAAAAAAUAUUGCCACAUGGAGUGUCUACAUGUCAUAUGAGCCAUGUCACUGGCUUAAGUGGAACAUGACUUUGCUGAGUAAUUGAUUAUGUCAAAGUGUAUGAGGGUAUUUUUGGAAGGCUCCUCAAUAUCACUAUUACAGUGUAUGAAAGGUGAUUUAUUUUUCACAAAAUCCAUUGAAUUUGAAAAGUAAAAAGUUAAGUUUCCAAAAGGCAAAAUUUUGCCCCUUGGUGUAUGGUUACAUAAAUUCCCCUAAAAUAAAGUGGGUAAAGUAAGUAACGGACUUUGACAAUUAAUUUAAUGAAUUUUUUUGGUUCCCUUAAAAACUUUUUCUGUUAAAAAAUGAAAAACUUCACUAAAUUUGAAUUAAAAAUUCCAUAUAGUUUUUAAAAUGACCACAACCUAUAAUUUGCAUAGACUAAGGGCAAGGAGAUAUUUUAUACCCAUACUUUAAUGACGCUUCUCUGAAGCGCCAAGUUAUAGAAUUAACAUUAUCACACUUUGAAUAUGCACCAUUAUAUACCCAAUAAUACCUAAAUAAGCCUUAUCAAACGAUGAUGCUUCUAAUAAGCAUCAUGGAUUGAAAAAUACUACACUAAACAAUGAUGCUUUUAUUGGGUUUUUCCUCAUAUGGAAGGCCCAAAUUAAGAGCCCAAAAUUUAAGCUCUCUUAGGCCUUUAUAUAAAAGGGUUAAAAGAAAAAUCCUUCUUCUUCUUCUUCUUCCAAUUUUUUUUUGCAGCCACUAGAGAUAGAAGAAAAAAAUAUUAGAAGGAGAAAAGAGAGAGAGAAGGGGAAAACCACCAUUUUUUGAAACUAGAGAGAAAAAAACUCAAUUUUUCUUCACUGUCCAGAUUUCAUCAAAGGUUUGAUCCCGCUUCAUCUGUGGGCCAAUCGACUUGAUAUUUGAAGGAGAGGUUCGUGACUCAUUGAUCUUCAAUCUGAACGGUAAAGAUCGGAUUUGGAGUUCCGUACGGUCUUCUUUCAGUCCGAGAAUAGAGCCUCUGUUUUAGUGAGUUUUCUAUCCGAACAGUUUUGAUCAUGAGCUUCGAUCAAGUUUAAUCCGUGGUUCGAUUGAGUUGAUUUUUGGUAAGCACGUUUAGAACUUGUUGAUCUUCAUUCUGAACGGUGAAAAUUGGAUUUGGAGUUCGAAACAGUUAUAUUUCAGUCUGAGAACAAUGAUUGUGUUUGGUGAGAUUUCUCCAUUGUCUUUUAUGCAAAGUUGUUGAAAUUGCCAAGAUUAAUUUGUUUUGAGAUAUGACUGAUGUAUGCCUCUAGUUUUAUCUAGAGAGAAUUGUGUAACCCAUUGAUUAUAUCAGUGGAGUUUUUAAGUGGCCUAAGGGUCCCGUGGUUUUUACUUCUCACAUUAGAGAAGGUUUUCCACGCUAAAAAUUGUUAGUGUUCAUAUAUUUGUUGAUUGGGUGAAUUAUUAUUGCUCUAUUUGAUUGAUUCCUAUUAGGUUCUCACAAGAAGGGAUAAAACCUGGUUGCGCAUUGUUUGUGUUUAUUCCAUCAAAGUGGUAUCAGAGCAUUGGUUUAAGAUAAUUUGUGCCUUGUGUAGAACAAUGAAAACUAAUACAAGUAGAAUGAUUACUCUGAAUGGCUCCAAUUAUCAUGUUUGGAAAGGAAAGAUGGAAGACUUAUUGUAUGUGAAGGAUUAUUAUUUUCUUGUGUUUGCUUCUGGAAAGCCAAAAAAUAAAACUGAUGCAGAAUGAAAUUUACUUCAUCGGCAGGCUUGUGGUUAUAUCAAACAGUGGGUAGAUGAUAAUGUUCUCAAUCAUGUUAGUGAAGAGAAACAUGCAUGGAGUUUAUGGAACAAACUCGAACAGUUAUAUGCUAAAAAGACUGGUAACAAUAAAUUAUUUCUGAUCAAGAAUAUGAUUAGCUUGAAGUAUUAAGAUGGAACUCCUAUGACAGAUCACUUGAAUACAUUCCAAGGUAUUAUUAAUCAGUUGGCUGGAAUGAAUAUCAAGUUUUAGGAAGAGGUGCAAGGGUUGUGGCUUCUUAGUACAUUGACGAACUCGUAGGAGACAUUUAGAACUUCUUUGUCUAACUCAGCUCUAGAUGGUACUAUGAAUAUAGAUUUGGUUAAGAGUUGUGUUCUGAAUGAAGAGAUGAAAAGAAAGUCAUAGGGUUCCCCUUCACAGUCAGAUGUCCUAGUUACUGAAAAAAUGGGGAGGAGUAAGAGUAGAGGUUCAAAGAACAAAGAUAGAAGCAAAAGCAAGACUAACAAGUUUGCCAAUGUUGAGUGUCACUAUUUCCUUUUGAAAGGGCAUAUAAUAAAGUAUUGUCGCCAAUUGAAGAGAGAUAUGAAACAAGGGAAAGUGAAGAACAAGAAGAAUGAUAAUGGUGGUGAAGAUGAUCGAGUUACCACUACUACUUCAGAUUUCCUUAUUGUUUAUGAUAGUGAUGUUGUUAAUUUUGCUUGCUAGGAGACUAGUUGGGUGAUUGAUAGCGGUGCCUCAAUCCAUGCUACACCUCGGAAAGAUUUCUUUACAUCUUACAUAUUCGGUGAUUUGGAAGUGUUAGAGUGGGUAAUGAUGGCUCAGCUAAAGCCCUUGGUAUGGGAGAUGUGCGUUUGAGACUAGUAAUGAUACUAUGUUGAUUUUGAAGAAUGUCAAACAUAUUUCGGAUAUCCGCAUGAAUUUAAUCUCUAUAGGUAAGCUUGAUGAUAAAGGGUUUUACAACACCUUUCGUGAUAGUCAGUGAAAGCUCACUAGAGGUUCUAUAGUGGUAGCAAAAGGAAAGAAGUGUUCCUCAUUGUAUUUGAUGUAGGCAAGGGUAAUUGAUUCCAGUAUCAAUGCAGUGGAUGAUGAUAGCAUAGUUGAGCUUUGGCACAACAGACUCAGUCACAUGAGUGAGAAGGGCUUGAUGAUUUUGGCUAAGAAGAAUCUUCUUUCUGGUAUGAAGAAAGGAUCUUUGAAAAGGUGUGCUCAUUGCUUAGUAGGAAAGUAGACCAGAGUUGCAUUCAAAACACACCACCAUACAAGGAAGUCAGGUAUGCUUGAUUUAGUGUAUUCUGAUGUGUGUGGUCCUAUGAAAACAAAAACACUUAGUGGAUCUCUAUAUUUUGUGACUUUUAUAGAUGAUCAUUCAAGAAAUAUUUGGGUGUAUGCCUUGAAAACAAAAGACCAAGUAUUAGAGGUGUUUAAGCAGUUUCAUGCUCUUGUUGAGAGACAAUCUGGUGAAAAAUUGAAAUGCAUCUGGACUGAUAAUGAGGGUGAGUAUUCUAGUCCUUUUGAUGAGUAUUGUAGACAACAUGGUAUUCGACAUCAAAAGACACCUCCUAAGACUCCUCAGUUGAAUGGGUUGGCUAAGAGAAUGAAUAAGACACUGGUUGAAAGGGUGAGAUGUUUACUUUCGCAGUCACAGUUUCCAAGAUCCUUUUGGGGUGAGGCUUUGAAUACUGUUAUACAUGUUCUUAAUCUUACACUAUGUGUUCCUUUAGAAUUUGAUGUUCCGGAUAGAAUUUGGUCAGAUAAUGAAAUCUCUUAUGAUCACUUGCGUGUCUUUGGAUGCAAGACUUUUGUGCACAUUCCGAAAGAUGAGAGGUCUAAGCUUGAUGCUAAGACAAGACCUUGUGUAUUCAUUGGCUAUGGUCAGGAUGAGCAUGGUUACAAGUUUUAUGAUCCGGUGCAGAAAAAGCUUGUAAGAAGCCGAGAUGCUAUGUUUAUGGAAAUCAUACCAUACAAGACAUUGAGAUGACUGAUGCAACAGAGUUUCAGUAUAGUGAUAAUCUGAUUGACUUAGAUCCAGUUCCUUUGACACAUCUUCCUACAUAGGUUGAAGAUGAAACACAUGAGGACCAACCUAACAUUGGUGGUGUUGAAACUCCCACACAGGUUGAGAUGGAUAAUGAUGUUCAUGAGCAGUCACCAGUAGCAGAGGCUCCACCAGAUAUUCCACUCAGGAGGUCUACUAGAGACCGACAUCCUCCCACAUGGUAUUCUGUUGAUGAUUAUGUAUUACUAACUGAUGGGGGAGAACCUAAAAUUUAUGAGGAAGCCAUGGGAGAUGAAAAUAAGAUGAAGUGGGUUGAUACUAUGCAAGAUGAGAUGAAGUCAUUGCAUGAGAAUCGUUCUUUUGAGCUUGUCAAGUUGCCAAAGGGAAAAAGAGCUUUGAAGAACAAGUAGGUUUAUAGAGUGAAGCAAGAAGAACACACUUCACAACCACGUUACAAAGCUAGAUUGGUUGUCAAAGGAUUCAGUCAAAAGAAAGAUAUUGAUUUUGAUAAGAUUUUUUCUCCUGUUGUUAAGAUGUCAUCUAUUCAUGUAGUUUUGGGCUUGACAACUAGUCUUGAUUUGGAGAUUGAGCAAAUGGAUGUUAAUACUGCAUUUCUCCAUGGUGAUUUAGACAAAGAAAUUUAUAUGGAACAACUAGAGGGUUUCACAAUAAAAGGAAAAGAGGAUUAUGUGUGUAAGUUGAAGAAAAGUCUUUAUGGCUUGAAGCAGGCACCGAGGCAGUGGUAUAAGAAGUUUGAAUCAGUUAUGGGGAAGCAAGGCUACCGAAAAACUUCUUCUGACCAUAGCGUAUUUGUGCAGAAAUUCUCUGAUGAUGAUUUUGUUAUAUUGUUGCUCUAUGUUGAUGAUAUUUUGAUUUGAUAGAAAUGUUUCAAGAAUUGAUAAGUUGAAGAAGCAAUUAAGCAAAUCCUUUUCCAUGAAGGAUUUGGGGUCAGCAAAGAAAAUUCUAGGUAUUAGAAUUGAGCGAGAUAGAGUAUCCAAGAAGCUGUAUAUGUCACAGGAGCAAUAUAUUGAAAAGGUGCUUGAAAGAUUAAACAUGAGCAAAGCUAAAGUAGUUAGUUCUCUUCUAGCUAGUCACUUUAAGCUAAGCAGCAGACAUAGCCCUUUUACAGAUAAGGAGAAGGAAGACAUGAGAAGAGUUCCAUAUGCCUCAAUAGUAAGAAGUUUGAUAUAUGCCAUGGUAUGUACUAGACCAGACAUAGCUUAUGCCAUUGGUGUUGUUAGCUGCUUUCUAUCUAAUCCAAGAAGACUACAUUGGGAGGCAAUUAAGUGGAUUAUGAGAUCUUUGCUAGACACUUCCAAGUUGAAACUCACUUUUGGAAGUAGGAAACUAAUACUUGUUGGAAUCAACCUUCAUGGUAUGACCUCCAAAUAUAGGUGCCCCAACUUUUGGUCAAUUUUUGAAGUAUUGGGAAUUCCAAUUGCACUUACAUUUGAUAAGUACUUUGUAUAAAACUCGAUGUUUUCCUUUGCAAUAUAGCAUUUGGCAAUGCAACCUUUGGGUUGUUUACUGUUUCGUACAUAGCCUUUUAACACUUUCUUGAACCUUUCAAAUGGGUACAUCUACCUAAGGUAAACCAGUCCACAAAGUCUCACCUCUUUUAUAAGAUGCACCAUAAGAUGUACCAUGAUAUCAAAGAAUGAAGGUGGGAAAUACUUUUCAAACAAGCACAAUGUCGCCACAACCUCAUUUUGUAACUCAUCUAAUGUAGACCUCAACCACUUUAUUACAGAGAGCAUUGAAAAAGGAACUCAAUCUACAGAUGGCAUUCCUCACAAGCUUUGGAAAAAUAGUUUGUAAUGAAACUGCCAAUAACUGUUGCAUUAAUGUAUGAUAGUCAUGGGAUUUCAAGCCAUAAAGCUUCAAGUCUUCCAUUAACACAAUGUUUCGAAGGUUAGAGCAAUAUCCAGAAGGAACCUUCAAUUGUGAAAGAGUUUGGAAAAAUACCUUCCUUUCCAUUUUGGAAAGUGUAUAACAUGUAGGAGGGAGAUAUGUUCUCUUUGAUUCAAACCUUGGUGCCAAUUCACUUCUUAAGCCCAUGUCUACGAGAUCUAAACGAUAGUUGAGUUCAUCCUUUGUCUUACCUGGAAUGUUGAGUAAGAUACUAAUGAUGUUUUCACAAACAUUUUUCUCAAUAUGCAUUACAUCCAAAUUAUGACGAACAUGAAGAUAUUUUCAAUACUCAUGAUCAAAGAAUAUGAACUUCUUCUUCCAACAAUUUGCAUUGAUAACUUUGGAUUUACCACGAUUAACUUUUUUUUCCUCCAUGAAUUACAAAUGAAAUUAAUUUUCCUGAGAAUUUCCUUUCCACUUAAUAUUUGUGGAGGUGACCUAAACUCUUGUUCACCAUCGAAUGUUUUUUUUUUUUGUUUCCUAAAUGGAUGGUUGCAUGGAAGAAAUUGUCUAUGUCCUGUAUAUGAGUUAUUUUUUUACAUGUUUCAAUCUAUGAGAAUAUGUUUCUUCCCUGUAUAUUGGACAACCAAAAUAUCCUUUAACUGUGCACUCAGACAAGUUUCCAUAUACAGAGAAGUCACUGAUUGUCCAUAAUGGAACAAAUCUUAAUGUAAAGAACUCUCGUUGAUGUUCAUUGUAAGCUUGGACUCCGACCUCUCAUAAUGUUUUAAGAUCUUCUAUCAACGAUGUUAAAUAGAUGUUAAGGUCAUUACUAGGUUUUCGUGGACCUAAAAUUAACAAAGAUAACAUCAUAAAUUUUAUCUUCAUGCACAACCAUGGAGGAAGGUUAUAAAUUAUCAUGAGAAUAGACCAAAAACUAUGUUUGCUACUUAAUGAACUGUGAGGAUUUAUGUCAUCUGCUGAGAUGACAAGUCUUAGGUUUCUAGGUUCUAAGGAAAACUCGGGCCGUCUAUGGUCAACUAGCUUCCAUGAUGGUGAGUCUGAUGGAUGACACAUUUUCCCAUCAAAAUCUCUUUCUUUGGCAUGCCAUAUGAGGUAUUUUGCGAUUUUUGAUGAUUGAAACAUUCUUCUAAAUCUUGGAACUGGAGGAAAAUACCACAUUACUUUUGCAAGAACUCCCUUCCUCUUUUUAGUUUCUGUCAUGUUUGUCUUCCACCUUGAAGUUCCACAAGAAGGACAUGAGGAUGCAUCUUUCAACUCAUUCCUAUAAAGUAUACAAUCAUUAGGACAUGCAUGUAUUUUCUCAUAUUCAAUUCCCAAUGUAUUCAAUGUCUUUUUUUGCUUCAUACAUAGACAAAGGCAACUCAUUAUUUACAAGCAACAUAUUUCCAAGCAUUUCUAAAAGCUUUGAAAAGCUUUUAGCAAACUGCCCAAAGCAUGCUUUUAGGUUGUACAAUUCAAUCAAUGUAGACAAUUUUGUAAAAAUUCUACAACUAGGAUAUAAAGGUUUUUUUACAUCUUUCAAUAAUAUUUGAAAUGAUUCUAGGUCAUUUUUACAAUCCUCCUGUGCAACUUGAACCAUUUCUAUUGUAUUAUGCACAUCAUCAAAUUAAACUCUAUCAUAAUGUUUUGCUCUUGUAGUUGGUGGUCCAAUUGGAGUUGCCUCUCCAUGCCAAUACCAUGUAUUAUGGUAACUUUGAUCAAUUUCGUGGAAAAACAUAUGCUCUCUAAUCUUUUGAGGAGUAUGGAAUAUCAUAUUACCACACUAUAAGUAUGGACAUUUAAUGGAGUUUUUAUUUUCAGAAUUUUGUAUUGCAAAUGUGAUAAAAUGUGAUAAAAUGUUCUACCCCAUCCUUGUACUCCUUCGAUCUUCUAUCCUUUGAAAUCUAUGAACGAUCCAUUUUUUAAUAACAAACUUCCAAUAGUGAUCAAACUUCAAAUUGAAGAAAAUAUCAACAUUUUCUAUGUCAUUCAUUUAGCAACCUCUCUUUCCUCUGUUCAAAGAAUAAUCAGGAAUCAAUUUAAUACAACAUUUGCUUAAGAUGCUAGAUUUAAGAGAAAAAGUGUGAGCAUUAAUGUCCUAACCAUUUUGAAUUGUGUACAUAGAUUUACACUAUUGGAAUAACACGCUAAUUAUUGACAAUUUUAAAAAGUGCUAAGGAAAAAAAAGGUCAUUGUAUAUAUUAUAUAUAGUAGUGAUUAAGAAGCUAUAAAUGUUAUUGACCUUGAAUACUUGCAUUAAAGAGGAUGUACAAUCUCAAUUAAACAAGUGCAUAUUAAUAUUAUUAACAUGUACAAUUCAAGUUGUGUUGCAUUUUUUUUAUGGCAUUUAACAUCUCCAACUUUGUAAAUUAGGGAAUGGUUCCUAUCCCAUAUAAGAAUACAUAAUCUCUAUGAGUCAACUGCCAAUAUGCUCAAUUUAAUUUAAAAAGAUUUCAGCAACAUUUCCUUAUGAUUCUCCAAGUACACAAAAUGGAUAAGGCAUAAUAUGUAACCUUGUCCAAGUAUGUACCCAAAGAACAAGAAGAAAGAGUACCAAAAUUUAUUUAAAAUGAAUUAAGAAUAAGCAAUUAAUUUCAUUGAUAUUAUGUUUUCCUACACUGUCCAGUCAAACAAUUCAAACAUCAUUUGUAGAGAAAAAAUCUUUAUCACAUGGUAGACAAUUUAAAAGUUGUCAACGUGAAACUAGUAUAGAUAAAACCAUUUUCACCUUUUGACAACUAAAAUGUCUUUACUAUGUAAUAACAAAAACUUUUGUUUGACAAUGAUACUUGAACGGGAACUCUAAGGUUGUAUGCAAGCAUAGUUGAUUAAAAUUAAAACACAAUUACUUACUAAAAUAUUACAACAAAACAACAUAACUCUCAUUCUAUUACGUUUAUCUUAAAUAUAUAACAUUUAACAUGGAGACCCAAAAACCUUUUCACAACUUAGAGAGAAACAUCUUCUACAAAAAGGUCCACACCAAAUUUAAUCAAAUUAAUCUAAAUUGGCAAUUUUAAAUAAACAUCAAGUAAUUAUCCUUCAAAACAAAUAAUAAGACAAUCAAAAUUUUACAACUAAUUUUUUUGUCCAAAUUUUAGCCUAUAAUGGUAUUUUGUGAACUAAAUAAUUUUAACUUGUCUCUAUGCAGUGCUUUUAUAUUUGGUGUUUUUUAGAAGAAUUGACAAGCAUUAUAGGGAUAAUAUAUGGUUUAACAUAUAUUUUUUUUCAUUUAAAAUAAAAAUUAUGAAAACAUUAAGUAUUAAGAUGACAAUAUUUUUGGUUUGAUUACAAUUUUAAUCUCUUUAUUAUAAAACUAAUAUAAUAUACAUCUAAAUAAUGUGUAAAGAAAUUCUAGAUGCCUAUGUAAAUAAAUAAAUAGUGCAUCCUAAUGAAAAAACUGAGAAUUAAUUUCAUAUUUUGGAACAUUCUAUACAAUCAAUGAUAUGAAUAAAUUAGAUUAAACAAUAUAAUCAAUUAAAUCAAUUAACAUUUCAUCACUUAAAAUUAAUACAUGCAAACCUAGGUGUUAGUGUGUGAAGCAUGACUCGCUUUGUAAACCAUAUAUCAUAAUAUAGGAGCACACGGUAAUGAAUAGGGAACAUGGUUUUCAUAAUUUUAAAAAAUUAAUACAUAAAUUUUGAAAUUAUAAUUUUAACCUUUUAAAUAUCUAAACUAAGUAAUCAUCAUAAUAGGAAAUUUAUCCCAAAUACCCUUUUGAACCAAAUAUCCUAAAAUUGUUUUUAGGUUAUAAUUAAAUUUUGUGUUAUCAAUUUUAAUUUAAUUUUUACUAUUUUCUGUUUUCAAAUGGUUUGGUAAAUCAUUUUAAUAUAUUUAUAAUCAAUCAAGUAAAUUAAUUUAAUAUAAAAUAUAUUUAUUUAAAAUAAUUUUUAGUUUAAUAAAUAAAAUAUUCAUAUUAUACUUUUACGAUCAUAUUUUAUCCAUAUAAAUAAUAUUCACCCAUGAUAAUAUUUAUAUUUCUUUUAUAUCAUAUUUCCUACAAGAUCUCAUAUUUGAUUUUAUUUCAUGUCAUUUUGAACCUUUUAAAAAGUUCUUAAGAAAACUUUGAAACAUAGAAUUGGUUUAUUCCCUUUUUCGUUUUUCUGUUAUUUUUAUAUAAAAUAAAAAUAGAGAAAAUACCCAUAUUUGAACAAUAUACCUAUAAAUUUGGAAUUCUUUUAUGAAAAAAUCAAUUAAAAUGAAUGAGAUAAUAUUUCUAUUUUCAUCCUUGAACUAUUUAAUCGAAAAGAUAAGGAUUAAAAAAUUGUAGAAGGCAUUUUUUUCUUCUUAUUUUUAAAAGAUAAAGAUCAUUGUUUUGAAUUUUGUGUUUCAAUAUACCUUAACCAAAUAACCGUUUCUUUAUUAAAUAUUCAUUUUAUUUUAUUUUUAUCAAAUUGAUAAUAUUAAUAUACGACAAUAAUAAAUGAUUAAGAAGAAAAUAGUAAUAAAAGCAACAGAGAAAAUGAUGACGAAUAGAAUGAAGAAAGAAGAAAUCUUUUGCCUGGACAAUGCCACAUCAAAGCAAAAUGAGACCAAGGGAGGAAGUGCUCUGGAGGCUUCAAGCCUUGAAUGGAUGCCAACAAGGCGUAGUGGAGCCAUCCCCUUGACUCACGCCUGAGCAAAGCCUGAGCCAUGGUAACAAAUAUCUUUGAAUAAAGAAUAUUUUUCUUACAUACCCCAAUUAUUGUUAUAUCUAAUUGACACCAUAGUACGUGCUAAUAUGCCUAAAAAACUUGUUAGAUGCAAAGAAGCUUGUCCAACAUAAAUACCAUCGGGAUUGUACUUCAUCAUAAGCUUUACCCUUCUACUCUAGUUCUUGAUAAUCAUAGACUUUUGAGUUAUCCCUCUACACCUCCUUUUUGUAGGUGGUUUUUCUCCUUGCUCUAGAUCCCUACUUGUAAUAAAAAUAGUUAUAAAGUUUAAAAGUAAGUUUAUAAAAUAUCCAUAAAUCCAUACAAAAUUUGUAUGAAAUAUCUAACUAAAAUUUUAAGUAUCAAAACUUCAAUUGAGCUAUAUAGAACACAAUAUUGAAAAUAGAUCUGUCAAUGUUUUUUUGAAGCCAAUCUGACAUUAACUAAAAUUGAAACCAUACCAAUUAUCUAAUAGUAUAGACAAAUGAACCAAUAAGCAUAAGGUUUACCUUCUAGAAAACUAUACUAGCAUAUCAAUUCACCACAUAAAAAAUGAACAACAACUACUUAGACAAAUACAUGUUGCAAUAAAAACUAAAAUGCAUUUUGAAAUAAAAUAAAAUUUUGAUCACAUCAUUAUAACAAGCCUUCAAUUCAUUUACAUAUAAGAUUUGUUCUUAACCCAAAUCCCCUCACCAUCACGUCACAUACAAAUUGCAUCAAAGUCUUCCAUAGCAUCAAAUGAUUCAACUUGUGGCAAAGAAAAAAUGACUGGAUGGUGUUCAAUAGAGUUGUCCAUGAGAUCAUCACCCUCGUCCCUUUCCAAGAAGUCUUGUUGAGAAGUUGAUAAAACAAUUGACCAUCUUGGAUCAAGUUCAUCUUGUACGUAUAAAACUUGCUUAGCCUAAGAAGCUAAAAUGAAAAGAUUUGAUUUAUGAGCCAUUUUGUUGAAGUCAGCUAAGGUUAACCUAAGAUCAUCAACUCUAAUUCUGUUCUUAUUAUCAACCCAAUCACAAUUGAAGAUUGGAAUCCUAAACAUGGUAAAAUCAAGGUUCCAAAUCUCAGUAAUAACCCCAUAGAAACAAACCUCACCAAAUACUGGAUUUUUAUCCUUGGCACUAGCAAUUUGCAUUGUUGUUGCUACAAUAUUGACUCCACUGUUUUGGGUAGCUCGUAAAUCAUCAUGCCCCUUGGUAUGGUAGUGGCACCCAUAAUGACACAACCUUGAUACUUAAACACAUAAUGGCUAGGACCAUGAGCUAUCCAUUUAAGGGUUUUAGAUUAGGUUCUUCAUUACUAAUGGCAACUUCAACUUGUAUAGAUAAGUUAUAGUUAUUAUUAACAUAGAUAACCAUGAGUGUAAAGAAUACGAUAAAUUUUACUACCACUCUAGUACCUUAUGUCGCAACCAAUAAGUAAAAGUACGCAUAGGCUCAUCUUGUAGCCAUUUUUGUCUUUUAGCUUGACAUGGAUAUUUCAUUUUCAACCAUUUCAUGUGAUCUUUAUGAAGUCAUGUAUAAUAAUUUUAUAGUUAGUAUCCUAUAUUUAUUAUAAGUAUGAUAAACAAAGAAACAAAAGUGUGUCCCACUUACUUGACAUAAGGUUGGAUGAUUGUUGUAUUCUCCAACACAUAAUGAUGUGCUUGUAACCAUAAAUUGGAAUCAACCUUCAUGGUAUGACCUCCAAAUAUAGGUGCCCCAACUUUUGGUCAAUUUUUGAAGUAUUGGGAAUUCCAAUUGCACUUACAUUUGAUAAGUACUUUGUAUAAAACUCGAUGCUUUCCUUUGCAAUAUAACAUUUAGCAAUGCAACCUUUGGGUUGUUUACGAUUUCGUACAUAGCCUUUUAACACUUUCUUAAACCUUUCAAAUGGGUACAUCUACCUAAGGUAAAUCGGUCCACAAAGGCUCACCUCUUUUACAAGAUGCACCGUAAAAGAUGUACCAAGAUAUCAAAGAAUGAAGGUGGGAAAUACUUUUCAAACAAGCACAAUGUCACCACAACCUCAUUUUGUAACUCAUCUAAUGUAGACCUCAACCACUUUUACUAUAGAGAGCAUUGAAAAAUGAACUCAAUCUACAAAUGCCAUUCCUCACAUGCUUUGGAAAAAUAGUUUGUAAUGAAACUGUCAAUAACUAUUACAUUAAUGUAUGAUAGUCAUGGGAUUUCAAGCCAUAAAGCUUCAAGUCUUCCAUUGACACAAUGCUUCGAAGGUUAGAGCAAUAUCCAGAAGGAACCUUCAAUUGUGAAAGAGUUUGGCAAAAUACCUUCCUUUCCAUUUUGGAAAGUGUAUAACAUGUAGGAGGGAGAUAUGUUCUCUUUGAUUCAAACCUUGGUGCCAAUUCACUUCUUAAGCCCAUGUCUACGAGAUUUAAAUGAUAGUUGAGUUCAUCCUUUGUCUUACCUGGAAUGUUGUGUAAGAUACUAAUGAUGCUUUCACAAACAUUUUUCUCAAUAUGCAUUACAUUCAAAUUAUGAUGAACAUGAAGAUAUUUUCAAUACUCAAGAUCAAAGAAUAUGAACUUCUUCUUCCAACAAUUUGCAUUGAUAACUUUGGAUUUACCACGAUUAACUUUUUUUUCCUCCAUGAAUUACAAAUGAAAUUAAUUUUCUUGAGAAUUUCCUUUCCACUUAAUAUUUGUGGAGGUGGCUUAAACUCUUAUUCACCAUUGAAUGUUUUUUUUUUCCCUAAAUGGAUGGUUACAUGGAAGAAACCAUCUAUGUCCUGUAUAUGAGUUAUUUUUUUCCCUGUUUCAAUCUACGAGAAUAUGUUUAUUUAUUGCAUAUUGAAUAACCAAAAUAUCCUUUAACUGUGCACCCAAACAAGUUUUCAUAUACAGGAAAGUCACUGAUUGUCCAUAAUAGAACAACUCUUAAUGUAAAGAACUCUUGUUGAUGUGCAUCAUAAGCUUGGACUCUGAUCUCCCACAAUGUUUUAAGAUCUUCUAUCAACGAUGCUAAAUAGAUGUAAAUGUCAUUCCCAAGUUUUCGUGGACUUGAAAUUAACAAAUAUAACAUCAUAAAUUUUUUCUUCAUGCACAACCAUGGAGGAAAGUUAUAAAUUAUCAUGAGAAUAGGCCAACAGCUAUGUUUGCUACUUAAUGAACUGUGAGGAUUUCUACCAUCUGCUGAGAUGACAAGUCUCAGGUUUCUAGGUUCUGAGGAAAACUCAGGCCAUCUAUGGUCAACUAGCUUCCAUGAUGGUGAGUCUAAUGGAUGACGCAUUUUCCCAUCAAAAUCUCUUUCUUUGGCAUGCCAUAUGAGCUUUUUUGUGAUUUUUGAUGAUUGAAACAUUCUUCUAAAUCUUGGAACUGAAGGAAAAUACCACAUUACUUUUGCAGGAACUCCCUUCCUCUUUUUAGUUCUUGUCCUAUUUGUCUUCCACCUUGAAGUUCCACGAGUAUGACAUGAGGAUGCAUCUUUCAACUCAUUCCUAUAAAGUAUACAAUCAUUGGGACAUGCAUGUAUUUUCUCAUAUUCCAUUCCCAAUGCAUUCAAUGUCUUUUUUGCUUCAUACAUAGACAAAGGCAACUCAUUAUUUACAAGCAACAUAUUUCCAAGCAUUUCUAAAAGCUCUGAAAAGCUUUUAUCAAACUACCCAAAGCGUGCUUUUAUUUUUAUAAUUUAAUCAAUGUAGACAAUUUUGUAAAGUUUCUACAACUAGGAUAUAAAGGUUUUCUACAUCUUUCAAUAACCAUUUCUAUUGUAUUAUGCACAUCAUCAAAUUGAACUCUAUCAUAAUAUUUUGCUCUUAUAGUUGGUGGUCCAAUUGGAGUUGCCUCUCCAUGCCAAUACCAUGUAUGGUAACUUUGAUCAAUUCCAUGGAAAAACAUAUGCUUUCUAAUCUUUUGAGGAGUAUGGAAUAUCAUAUUACCACAUUGUAAGUAUGGACAUUUAAUGGAGUUUUUAUUUACAGAAUUUUGUAUUGUAAAUGUGAUAAAAUGUUCAACCCCAUCCUUAUACUUCUUCGAUCUUCUAUCCUUUGAAAUCUAUGAACGAUCCAUUUUUUAAUAACAAACUUCCAAUAGUGAUCAAACUUCAAAUUGAAGAAAAUAUCAAUAUUUUCUAUAUCAUUCAUUUAGCAACCUUUCUUUCCUCUGUUCAAAGAAUAAUCAAGAAUCAAUUUAAUACAACAUUUGAUUAAAAGGCUAGAUUUAAGAGAAAAAGGGGUGAGCAUUAAUGUCCUAACCAUUUUGAAUUUUGUAUAUAGAUUUACACUAUUGGAAUAACACACUAAUUAUUGACAAUUUUAAAAAGUGCCAAGGAAAAAAAAGGUCAUUGUAUAUGUUAUACAUAGUAGUGAUUAAGAAGCUAUAAAUGUUAUUGACCUUGAAUACUUGCAUUAAAGAUGAUGUACAACCUCAAUUAAACAAGUGCAUAUUAAUAUUAUUGACAUAUACAAUUCAAGUUGUGUUGCAUUUUUUAUGGCAUUUAACAUCUCCAACUUCGUAAAUUAGGGAGUGGUUCCUAUCCCAUAUAAGAAUACAUAAUCUUUAUGUGUCAACUGCCAAUGUGCUCAAUUUAAUUUUAAAAAAAAAAAAAAAAAUGGCAGCAUUUCCCUAUGGUUCUCCAAGUACACAAAAUGAACAAGACAUAAUAUGUGACCUUGUCCAAGUAUGUACCCAGAGAACAAGAAGAAAGAGUACCAAAAUUUCUUUAAAAUGAAUUAAGAAUAAGCAAUUAACUUCAUAGCUAUUAUGUUUUCCUACACUAUCCAAUCAAACAAUUCAAACAUCAUUUGUAGAGAAAAGAUCUUUAUCACAUGGUAGACAAUUUAAAAGUUGUCAUCGUGAAACUAGUAUAGAUAAAACCAUUUUCACCUUUUGACAACUAAAAUGUCUUUACUAUCUAAUAACAAAAAUUUGUCUCACAAUGAUACUUGAACGAGAACUCUAAGAUUGCAUGCAAGCAUAGUUGAUUAAAAUUAAAACACAAUUACUUACUAAAAUAUUACAAAAAAAAAAAACAUAACUCUCAUUCUAUCAUGUUUAUCUUAAAUAUAUAACAUUUAACAUGGAGACCUAAAAACCUUUUCGCAACUUAGAGAGAAACAUCUUUUACAAAAAGGUCUACACCAAAUCUAAUCAAAUUAAUCUAAAUUGACAAUUUUAAAUAUACAUCAAGUAAUUAUCCUACAAAACAAAUAAUAAGGCAAUCAAAAUUUUAUAAUUAAUUUUUUGGUCCAAAUUUUAGCCUAUAAUGGUAUUUUGUGAACUAUAUAAUUUUAACUUGUCUCUAUGUAGUGCUUUUAUAUUUGGUGUUUUUGAGAAGAAUUCACAAGCAUUAUAGGGAUAAUAUAUGGCUUAACAUACAUUUUUUUUUCAUUUAAAAUAAAAAUUAUGAAAACAUUAAGUAUUAAGAUGGCAAUAUUUUUGGUUUGAUUAAAAUUUUAAUCUCUUUAUUAUAAAACUAAUAUAAUAUACAUCUAAAUAAUAUGUAAAGAAAUUCUAGAUGCCUAUGUAAAAAAAUAAAUAGUGCAUCCUAAUGGAAAAACUAAGAAUUAAUUUCAUAUUUUGGAACAUUCUAUAUAGUCAAUGAUACAAAUAAAUUAGAUUAAACAAUAUAUUCAAUUAACAUUUCAUCACUUAAAAUUAACACAUGCAAACCCUACGUGUUAGUGUGUAAAGCAUGACUCGCUUUGUAAACCAUAUAUCAUAAUAUAGGAGCACACGGUAAUGAACAGGGAACAUGGUUUUCAUAAUCUUAAGAAAUUAAUAAAUAAAUUUUGAAAUUAUAAUUUUAACCUUUUAAAUAUCUAAACUAAGCAAUCAUCGUAAUAGGAAAUUUAUCCUAAAUACCCCUUUGAACCAAAUAUCCUAAAAUUGUUUUUAGGUUAUAAUUAAAUUUUUGUGUUAUCAAUUUUUAUUUAAUUUUUACUAUUUUCUAUUUUCAAAUGGUUUGGUAAAUUAGUUUAAUAUAUUUAUAAUCAAUCAAGUAAAUUAAUUUAAUAUAAAGUAUAUUUAUGUAAAAUAAUUUUUAGUUUAAUAAAUAAAAAUUUAUAUUAUACUUUUACGGUAAUAUUUUAUCCAUAUAAAUAAUAUUCACCCAUCAUAAUAUUUGUAUUCCUUUUAUAUCAUAUUACCUACAAGAUCUCAUAUUUGAUUUUAUUUCCUGUCAUUUUUAACCUUUUAAAAAAUUCUUAAGAAAAUUUUGAAACAUAGAAUUGGUUUAUUCCCUUUUUCGUUUUUCUGUUAUUUUUAUAUAAAAUAAAAAUAGAGAAAAUACCCAUAUUUGAAAAAUAUACCUAUAUAUUUGGAAUUCUUUUAUAAAAAAAUCAAUUAAAAUGAAUGAGAUAAUAUUUCUAUUUUCAUCCUUGAACUAUUUAAUCGAAAAGGUAAGGAUUAAAAAAUUGUAGAAGACAUUUUUUUCUUCUUAUUUUUAAAAGAUAAAGAUCAUUGUUUUGAAUUUACUGUUUCAAUAUACCUUAACCAAAAAACCGUUUCUUUAUUAAAUGUUCAUUUUAUUUUUUUAUCAAAUUGAUAAUAGUAAUAUACGACAAUAAUAAAUGAUUAAGAAGAAAAUAGUAAUAAAAGCAAUAGAGAAAAUAAUGACGAAUAGAACGAAGAAAGCAUAAAUCUUUUUCCUGGACAAUGCAACGUCAAAGCAAAAUGAGACCAAGGGAGGAAGUGCUCUGGAGGCUUCAAGCCUUGAAUGGAUGCCAACAAUGCGUAGUGGAGCCAUCCCCUGACUCACGCCUGAGCAAAGCCUGAGCCAUGGUAACAAAUAUCUUUGAAUAAAGAAUAUUUUUCUAACAUACCCCAAUUAUGUACUAAAGUAGACAGCUGAGAGUUACUACUUGUAAGCAAGAAUAGCCUGAUCAUCUUCAUUGAGGAGCAUUCAUAAACACUACUACUGUUUUAAAAGUGGAUUUAUGCAAAUUUAAUACAGAAUUCCUCCAACAAUCACCCAAGAAGACUUGAUCUUUACUUAAUUAACAAGUCCAAAUAGAGAUAUUUGGGCUUAGGUAGAGAUAUGAUCUACUGGACCUAUAUAUAAGAUGAAAUUGAAUCGUGACAUUUAUUAGUUUAUGUCAUUUUAUACGCAAUGUUGUCGUUUUCAUAGCAUAACUAUAUUUUGUUUUCCUAAAGAUCUUUUAGGCAUAUCUCAUAAUGUUAUAGAAUCUGGGUUAUAAAAUUAACUAAUUGAUAAAAUUGUUCACAAUUAUUUUUAGUAUUGUGACGUUGAUUUAAUAAAAUUCCACUUAGUAGUUUUAUAUCCCUUAAUAGCCAUGCCUCAUAGUUUUAAUAUGAAAUAUUUUUGUUUCCAUGGCUAAUCUCACCUUGUAUAUUUGAAAGCCCUGUUAUUCUUGGAGAAAUGUUAAUUAAAAACUCGAGUUUGCUCUAUUUUAGUCAUCAACAAACCCUAUCUAGUGGUAGCAAUAAAUUUACCCUGAUUAACAAUAUAAAAAAAGGCAUAAUAUAAAGGAAGAUGUGAUGUUGUAAAGAUUUGACCCCAAGAAACCAUGAAAAAUGAAACUAUUGCAAUUUAAAUAUUAAAACUAAGCAGAGACGAGAGCUAAAUAGUGGUAUAAACCUAGAUAGUGCAAUAGGUGAAGAAAUAGCAUAGGAUCAAAUUUGUAUGCAAGUUUUUGUCUUUAAACAUGCAAUUGUUUGAAGCAUGAGAAAUUCUCAAUAUUUAAUUUCCAUUACAUUUUAUUAAUCAUUUCCUUUUAUGGACAAAGAUUUUGGAUGUAUAUAUUAGUGAAAGUGAGGACUCAAGCAUGCUAUCUGAUCAAAGAAUUUCCAAUGAUUUUUUUUUUCUAGCUCCCAAAUUUUUGCACUAGUCUCCUUUUCCAAUAAGUCACAUGGAAAAUUUUAAGACUAUCCACCUCAAAAGCAUUAGCAUUAGCAAAAAAAGCAAUUUAAACUUUUAGUUGUGUAUGGAAAGUAUGGGUGUGUAUUUCAUUUUCAGUAAGAAAAAAUAGCAGUAUGUACAUAAAUUACCUAUGACUGAGGAUCAAAGCAAAGAUGAAAACUGUGAUCUGGAAAGCUAAUGACUAUAUCCAGCUUCAGUGGCUCUUGUAUAAAUUGUCAUAACAAUGAGAUGUUUUACUAGAAAUAUCUCCAAUCUGCCUCUUAGCAAUGCUGGAAAUGCAAGAUACUUAAGAAGAAGACAUUAACUAGAUCAACAUCUUAUCUUAAAACUUCGAUUUAAGAAAAGAGUGCUAUCUUUGGGUACUUAGGAAUUCAGGGGAAGCUACUAAAACUUACUUUUGCAUGAUGUUUAGAUGAUAGUAACAUGAACAUCUAUGGCCAUGCUACUUCAUGGAUGAUUGUAUUAACAGAGCAAUUCCCGUGUCAAAAUUCCUUUAGUUAUCACACCUUGAUUCACUUCCAAGGCCCCAGUAAUAAAAAAAUAAAAGGUUUCAAGAACCCACAUAUUUGAUGAUGAAGUCUUCUGUUUCAAUUGACUUUAAAGCCACAAAACCAAUAACAUUUUGGUGACAUUAGCUUCUUCAUUAUUGGAGCUAUUCAAUAGCAAAUAACCCCCUACCCCACCAGCCAACCACCCUAAAAAAUACCUCAUGUUUUGGUCUUAAACACCCCAUACAAAUAUAACAAUUUGACUUGGAGAAUUCCAUAGAAUAUUUAGUAUGGGAACUACUCUGAAGAUUGACCUGUCUUGGCAAGAGCUCCAUAUGCAGAACCUACAGGCAUAAUCUACCCCAACUCCUACCCAAAAUUUUCGAUUAAAACAUAUAGGGUUUUACUUCGUUUAAAGAUAUAAAUCAAAUUCAUAGGAAUCGUUUUGGUUGGUAACACAUUUUUAUUUAAUAAACCCUAAAAAAGUUAUAUUAAAGGUGAUAAAAAAAUUAAUAUAAUUUUUAAUGAAAUUAAGAAAAACCAAGAAAAAAUCAGGACUUUACCUUGAAUCACUAAGUGGAUGGAGACAAUGGAAUGUCUUGCGGUCCCAAGUUGUUUCUUCUCAAAACAGUUGGAGUUAUUUUUCUCGUUUAUUUGGAGAAAAUAGGCUUUGGCCAAAUGGAAAAUGAAAGAAAAAAAUUAGGGUUUAGAUUAAAAGAAAAAACCCCACCAAAAUCUAUGCAUGUGCAAAACUUACUCUUCUAAUUAGUGGACUUCCCACUUCAACUGGUCUUUCAAUCUCGACUACAUUGAUGUAAUACUUCUAUUGUUGAAAUGAAAACCUGUAAAUCUCAUCUCACUUUUGGUUACUUCACAAAGGAGAAGGCCAAACACAACUCUGACAACUGACCACUAGUACAUCCUAGGCAAGUGAAGACUUAGGGUUUUGGAUGCUCUGAAUGUGAGAUUUGAAGGUAUGUGAAGGAAAAUCAUGUUUUGGCGGGUGAGGAAAUCGUGUGGAGGGAGUGGAAAUUUUAGGCAUGUUUUAGAUAAAUAUAUAUACUAGGUAGGAUAAUGACACUCUUUAGAAACAUCAAGAAUGCAAAAAUGUUAUAUAUCCAAUGACACUUAAAAUAAGCACCAACAUUUUUUAAUUUAUACAUAUCAACGACACUUGCAGAUGUGUCAUAGUAAACAAGCGCCAAUGUUUGGGCAUAAAAAAUAAAUAAUGACAUUUUUUUAAAAGUGCUAAGGAAGGAAGUGUCAUUGUUCUUGUUUUUUGUAGUAGUGAUGGUAUGGUGGAAUGAUUUUCUCUCAUCUGUGGGCGUACACAUGUUUGACCUAACCAUAUUAAAAUCUCUUAUAUCUUUAUGUGGAUUAUUUUAUUUUUGUGUAAUUGAACUAGUAUUGUUUGCAUCAAAGCUUUUGCUAGUUCAACAUAUAAUUUGUGGUGUAUGUUAGAAUUGUGUUGAAAGUGUAAGUCCUAUUCUCCUAUUUACAAAAGGCAUAAACUUUUGCACUCUAAACAUUUCAUGGCCAGCCUGAUUUUAUGCAUGUAUUCAAAACCAAAUGGUGAAUGAACACUUGAGUAGUAUUGGAGACGGAAAAGAAGAGAAGUAAUAUUGGAUAAAAGGGACANNNNNNNNNNNNNNNNNNNNNNNNNNNNNNNNNNNNNNNNNNNNNNNNNNNNNNNNNNNNNNNNNNNNNNNNNNNNNNNNNNNNNNNNNNNNNNNNNNNNUUACAUCACACAAAUUCNUUUUUUUGCAUUGAAUCUGGUUGAAGAGUUCACUACCAAUUUUUGAACUCUAAGAAUAAUAUGUAAGUAGUGCAGGCAAACACAGGAAUCUUGAAAGACAGAUAAAAAUCAAAUAACAGUCAAAAUAAAAUGUAAGUUUAACAACAUGAGAUACAAUGGAGAUCCGUAUCAAACUCCUCGAAGCUUCUGGGUCUCCAUAUUCUGCAGAGAAGUCUCGUCUGCAACUUUGUACAAGUCAACAGCCAAACUUCAUUUCCAAAUUGAUGAGUGUCCAAAAUGUGACCGACAAAUACGUUAUUAAAAGGGAAAAACAAAGGACAGAAAAAGAAAGAGAGGAGAAAAUCUAUGCUUGAUCUUUGGCACUGAAUUACUGGUUUUACUUCCAGUCAAUCCAUUCAGAUAUCUUCUCAACGCACAAGAAGGGAUUGAAAAAAUCCCAGCUCCAAUUUUCCAAAAAACAGCUUAGUCCACUAGUCAGUCAAGAACCAUGACGACUUGCAACACCCCAGUCUUCUUUGUUUUACAGAAGCUCUCAAUUUUAUAAGUGCAGACAGACCAGAAUCUCACUCAGCUCAGCUUCACAAAUUCAAGUCAGCAAUCACUCAAAUGCAUUAAACUAAUUUUUAUGCUCUUCUCCUAUUGAGAGAAAUAGGCAUUCACUUUGAAGAGACAACGCAAGUUUGUGUCAGUAGGUUAUAUGUGUACCCUGAUAAGCAAAUCCCCUCUACUGAUGGAGAUGCCAAGCUCUAGCUUGAGAUUACAGUGGUGGUUUUUCCUUGUCAACCUCAUCAUUUGUAUUAGUUUGCUUCGGUUGGAAUCUCUUUCCAGCACGCCCACUUUUGGAAAUGAAACUGAUAAGCUUGCAUUGCUCACCAUCAAGCAUUAUCUGGUUGAUGUUCCAAAUGGAGUUCUGAGUUCCUGGAAUGACUCUGCAUUUCUGCCAGUGGCAUGGGGUUACAUUCAGUCGCUGACAUCAGAGGGUCACAACGAGGGUCAAAGCUUAGGUGGUUCCUUACCACCUAUUGGGAACUGAACAUUCCAAAGAGAGUUGGUGUUGUCCAACAAUCACUUGCACGGUACUAUACCCAGUGACAUUGGUCUUUUACGAUGGAUGCAGCAUCUCAAUCUGAGCACAAAUUCCCUCCAAGGUGAGAUUCCGGUUGAAGUGCUUGAAAUAUUUAUAUUUGGAUGUAAAUAACCUGUCUGGUAUGAUUUCUCCCUCACUCUAUAAUAGGUCAUCUGCCAUUGAAUUUUUUGUAUCUGGCAACAUUCUGUCUGGAAAUUUUACUCCAAACAUGAGGUUUAAUUUUCCUCAACUCCGCAAGUUUGGCAUAGCAGGGUAUCAGUUUACUGGAAUAAUUCCAGAUACACUAUCCAAUAUUUCAGGACUUGAACUUUUGGAUCUAAGUAACAAUUAUCUAACUGGCCAAGUCCCUGAUAGCUUAGGAGUGCUCAAGGAUCUGUAUUGGUUGAACCUUGAAUUCAAUAAAUUAGGAAGGGGCAUGUCAGGCGAUUUAAAUUUUCCAUAUUCUUUGCCAAAUGUCAGCAGUUUAAGACUUAUCAAUCCACAUGCCAAUAAUUUCCGGGGCGUGUUACUCAUCUCCAUUGUUAAUCGAUCAACCCAACUGCAGAAGCUUAUCAUAGGGGGCAACAAAAUAUCUGGAAGCAUCCCAAAAGAGAUUGGGAACCUGAUCAGCUUAACUGUUUUCAGUGCAAUGCGGAAUAAUCUUACUGUGUCAUUCCCAUUUCAAUUGGCAAGCUUCAGAAUUUAAGAGUAUUCGACUUAAAUUGGAACAGGCUAUCAGGUCUGCUCCCAUCCACCGUCGGCAACUCAAGUCAACUAUACUACCUUGACAUGGGCUACAACAAUUUGGAAGGGAACAUUCCUACUCACAGGAACUGCCAAAAUAUGGAAAUUCUUUUCCUCGAUCACAAUAAGUUGAGUGGUAGUGUACCUGAAAAUGUCACUUGUCAUUUCAAUCAGUUGAGAUCACUCUACCUACAGCAAAACACAUUCACCGGUUCUCUCCCAACAGAUGUUGGUCAACUGAAAAACCUAAAUCAGCUGCUUGUUUCUGACAACAACUUGUCAGGCAAAAUCCCCAGGGAACUUGGCAGCUGUUCGAUAUUUGAGUACCUCGACAUGGCAAAAAACUCUUUCCAGGGAAACAUCCCUCUGUCAUUUAGCUCAUUGAGAGGUAUUCGGUUCCUAGACCUUUCAUGCAACAUCUUGCCUGGAACGAUUCCCAAAGAACUACAUCUUCUUGGUUUGUUGAGUUUAAAUCUGCCUUAUAACUACCUUGAAGGUGAGCUUCCAAGUGGAGGAGUUUUUAAAAAUGUGAGUGGGAUUUUAAUCACUGGGAACAAGAAGCUUUGUGGGGGGAAUCCCUCAACUUCAGCUGCCAGCAUGCUGUGAUGUAGAGUCAGCAAAGCAUGGCAAAGGGAAGCAUCUUUCAACCAAAAUUGUUAUAGCCAUAAGCAUUACUGGUGUUUCUUGCUUGGCUUUCAUAGUGGCUUCAGUUCUCCUCUAUGGGAGAAAAACGGCUGUAAUGAAGCCUUCUUCCACCUUUUUAAGAUAUGGAUACUUGAGGGUUUCUUACAAAGAGCUCCUCAAAGCAGCUAGUGGAUUUGCUUCUUCCAACUUGAUUGGCAUGGGAAGUUUUGGUUCCAUAUACAAAGGAAUUCUAAUUCGAGGUGAAAGACCUGUUGCAGUGAAGGUACUGAACCUUCAACACCGUGGAGCUACCAAGAGUUUCAUGGCUAAGUGCAAGGUCCUCAGGAAUAUUCAGCUUCGGAAUCUCCUUGGAUUCAUAACUUCAUGUUCAAGUGUGGACAACAAAGUUUGUGAUUUUAAGGCUCUAGUAUUUGAGUUCAUGCCUAAUGGGAACCUAGAUAGCUGGCUGUAUCAUGAAUCUAGAAAUUUAAGCUUCAGACAAAGAUUGGAUAUCGUAAUUGAUGUGGCUAAUGCUCUGGAUUAUCUUCAUCACCAAUGCCAGACGCCAAUUGUUCAUGGUGAUCUAAGGCCAAGCAAUGUUCUUCUUGAUGAUGACAUGGCUGCCCAUGUUGGGGACUUCGGGUUAGCCAACCUCCUUCCUGAAGCUAACGAGAUUCUGAGUAGUGGUCUGUAGGUUUUCAUUGAAACAGAGUGUGGAAACUCUUUGGAAGCAAUAGAACGUUGAGGAAUCUGAAGUUCUUAAUUUUAUUAAGCUUCAAACCACUUAUUUAUACAACUAGCUUAAAACAGAAAAACAUAAAAAUAGCAACAAACCUGCUACCUAUAGAUAAUUCCUAAAGAAUAGAAACAACCAACAAACUUCCUAAGAAAUAGGUAAAUCUUCCACAUGACUAACUUAUUUGACUACUUCCACUUCAAUCUACUCAGCUCCAUGUCAGCAGCUCCUAUGACAUGUCAUUCAACACUCCUCCUUGUCUUUGGAGCUGCAAACUCCAAGCCUUUGCCUUAAGAACUCAUAUCUAGCUUUGGGAAGUGGUUUGGUUAAGAUAUCAGCAUUCUGACUUUCUGUUUUACAGUAGACCAACUGAAUUUCUCCCUCCUUCUGUACCUCUCUUAGGAAAUAGAGUUUCAACUUGAAAUGUUUUGUUUUUCCAUGGAACACCGGAUUAUUUGCAAUUGAAAUUGCAGCUUGGUUAUCUACGAGUAUUUGUGUGCUUUCAUUUUGCUCCAUAAGCAAGUCAGCCAUUAAUUUCCUAAUCCAGAGAGCCUGAUUCACAGCAGCGGCAGCAGCUACAUAUUCUGCUUCUGCUGUAGAUUGAGCUAUGACUUCUUGCUUUUUGGAACACCAUGAAAAAAUAGCAGAACCAAAGCUGAAACAAUAACCUAAAGUACUUCUCAUGUCAUCAACACAACCUGCCCAAUCACUAUCUGAAUAACCAUGGAGAGUAAAGUUUUUAACUUGACAAAACCUCAGACCAUAGUUAAUUGUACCCUUGACAUAUCUAACAAUUCUUUUUGCUGCUUGAAAGUGAAUUUCACUAGCACAAUGCAUGUACCUUGAGAGUAAACUUACAACAUUCAUAAUAUCUGGUCUAGUUGCCGUUAGGUACAUCAAGCACCCAAUAAUGGUCCUGUAAAGCCUUUCGUCAGCUUUUGCAGCUCCAUUUUUUUUGCAAAACUUCUCAUUUUGAUUCAUUGGAGUUGCACUUGGAUUGCACUCUUCCAUCUUGAACUUUUUCAGGAUUUCCUUGGCAUAUUUCUGUUGACAUAUGAAGAUCUCAUUCUGCUUUUGUUGUACCUCCAUGCCAAGAAAGAAUGUCAUCCUCCCAAGAUCAGUCAUCUCAAAAACAUCCUUCAUUUCCUUUUUGAAAUUGCCAAUUUGCUUCAUACUGCUUCCUGUCACAAGUAGAUCAUCAACAUAUAAAGAUACCACAAGUGUUUCAUCACAAACCUUCUUGAAGUAUAGAGUAAAUUCACUUAGGCUUUUUGUAAAGCCUAACCCUAACAAAUGUGAAUCAAUCCUACUGUACCAUGCCCUUGGUGCCUAUUUUAAACCAUACAAGGCCUUUUUCAGCAAAUAUACUUUAUCCUCCAUUCCUUUAACAAUAAAACCUUCAAGCUGCUCCACAAAAAUUUCUUCCUCCAAGUAUCCAUUCAAGAAGGCUGAUUUGACAUCCAUCUGAUGUAUAUUCCAGCCCUUUUGAGCAGCAAGAGCCAGGAACAUUCUUAUAGUGUCCAAUCUAGCAACUGGGGCAAAAGUCUCAGAGAAAUCCACCCCCAAACAUCUGAGCAUAUCCUUUGACAACCAGUCUUGCCUUGUGUUUGUUUAUAGAACCAUCAGAAUUGAGUUUGGUUCUAUAAACCCACUUGACUCCAAUUGCCCUUUUAUGUCUUGGUUUGUCCACUAGCUCCCAAGUCUGGUUUUUUUCAAUCAUUUUAAGCUCCUCCUUCAUUGCAUCCAUCCAUUUUUUAUCCGUUGCAGCUUCUUCAUACCUUGCAGGCUCUAUUAUAGCAAUAUUGCACCUCUGAUAGAUGUCAGAGAGUGAUCUGGUUCCCCUGACAGGUUCAUCAUCAAUAUUGGCAUUCUCCUCCUGAAACUCAAGCUUCUUAUCAUUCUCCCAACUUCAAAUUCGAAGAAUUUGACAUCUCUACUAACUAUGACUUUGUUGUUUUUUGGAAGAUAGAUUCUAUAGGCCUUUGAUAUUGAGUUAUAACCUAUAAAGAUCCUAGCUUCUGCUUUCUUAUCCAAUUUGUCUCUCUUAACAUGUGGAAUAUAAGAGAAACAAAGACAACCAAAUGUUUUUAAAUUUUGCAGCCUUGGUUUAUAGCCAUACCAUGCUUCAAAUGGAGUCUUUUGUUGCAAAGCUUUUGUUGGCAGUCUAUUUAGCAGAAAGACUGAUGUAUGUGCAGCCUCAGCCCAGAAUUUCUUUGGCAGCCCUUUCUCAUGCAGCAAACACCUUGUCAUUUCCAUAAGUGUUCUAUUUUUCCUCUCAACGACUCCAUUCUGUUGAGGGGUAUAAGGUGUUGUAAGCUGGUGCUCAAUGCCUGCAUCCUCACAAAAUUUGUUAAAUUUCUCCGAGGUGUAUUCAGUUCCAUUAUCAAACCUGAUCACUUGCAUUUUACAUUUACUUUGAUUUUCAGCCCAAGCUUUAAACUUCCAAAAGAUGUCAGCAACCUCAGAUUUAAAUUUCAUGAAAUAAAUCCAGCACAUUCUUGUGUGAUCAUCAAUGAAAGCAAUAUAGAACUUACUGCCAUUCAGUGAUGGUGUUCUCUGAGGUCCUCCCACAUUAGUGUGUACUAACUGCAACUUCUGAGUAGCUCUCCAGGCCUUGUUUUGUGGGAAAGGAAGUCUUGCUUGUUUCCCGUACUGACAUGCUACAUAGGUAGGAGGCUUCACCUCUAAUUCAGGCAAGCCUUCUCCAAGAUCGUUCUUCUUCAUAAAGAGAAGGGCGCUAUGAUGAAAGUGCCCCAAACGCCUAUGCCAAAGCAUUGUAUUGCUUUCUUCUUUGUGAAUUGCAGCCUGCUCUUCUUGCAUCAAAUCCAAGGCAAAGCCUUUGCCUUUCAUUUGAACUAUAAAUACCUCUCUGCCUUGUGCAUCAGCAAUCAUGCACCGAUUGUCCUCAAACAUCACCUUAUAGCCUUUUUCCAGCAGCUGACCGACACUCAAUAGAUUUUGAUUAAUCUCAAGAACAUAUAAGACAUUAGAAAUUAAUUUCAAACCUGUGUGGCCUUCAAUUGCCACUGUUCCUUUGGCCUUACUGCAAGAUAUGCUCCAUUUCCAAUUCUAACUUUGGAAGUAACAGUUUUGUCAAGUUCCUUAAAGAGCCCUUGAUCAUAAGUCAUAUGGUUUGUACAACCACUGUCUAUAAGCCAAGUUUCUGGGGAGCUACUAGUGGCAAAGCAUGAUACCACAAAUAGUUGCUCAUCUGGAAGUUCUUCCACAGCAACCUUGACUUCUCCUUGCUGCUGUUGAGAUUUGCAAAUCCUUUCCACAUGCCUUAGAUGACCACACUUGUGACAUCUUACAUCCGGCCUCUACCAACACCUUUUUUGUGGAUGAUUGGAUUUUUUACAGUAAGGACAUGGUGGAAACUUUUGAGUGUUGUUGUUGCUGUUAUUGUUGCUUUGCAUCUCUUUUUUGUACUGAGAUAUGGCUUGAAAUGCACCCUCCACAGAUCCUUCUUGUCUCAUAAGCCUCCUUUGUUCUUGAGCCUGUAAUGCAUUCAACAACUCUGCCAAGGUGAUACUUGACACAUCUUUUGAGUUUUCUAGAGAUGAUAUUGUAGUCUCAAACUUUUCAGGAACUGUUAUAAAAAUUUUCUGAACCAUUCUAGAAUCAAAAAAGUCAGUACCAAGAAGUCUUACUUUGUUAACAAUACUAAGAAGUCUGUCUGAGUAAUCCUUGAUUGUUUCUGAUUCUUUCAUCCUUUGCAUCUCAAAUUCUCUAAUCAAGUUCAGCACUUGCAUACCUUUGACUCGUUCAUUUCCUUCAUAUUCCUUCUUCAAGAAGUUCCAUAUUUCAUUUGUUGUCUUCAGUGUCAUGAUUCUGGUGAAAAUUGUAGAUGAGACAGCUGCAGCUCAAGAGAACCACAUAAUGCGAUGCUCUAAGGGUUUCAAAGAAAGACACGAGGCUUGGGAGAGGUUGAGUUCAAGAUUAGCUAAGGUAGUACAUAGGGUUCCUUAAGGAAGUACCUAAAGGGAGGAAUAUAUUAAUUAUUCAUAUAUAGCUUCCCCUCCCUAGACGAAGGAAACAAAAUCUUUUGCACUUUGUUUUGAUAUGUAAUUGCCUUUCUAACAAUUGGGUAAAUCAUUUGACCUAAUAAAUGUUUAGAUCAUUGUAUUAGUAAAUAAGUCCGUAGGUGAAACAACUACAUUAAUUCCUUUUUUGAAAAGGCCUUUGAGAAGCCAAAAACUAUUUUUAAAUUGAAUAAGAGCUUAACUAAUUUUUUUAAAAAGAGUUAAAAGCUACAUAAUAUGAAAUCUAGGAAAACGUUAAUUUGUCGUAGAAGCUUUAUUUUAGCUUAUAUGGGAAACUAUUUUAUGUUAUAAGAUCAAUAUUGCCCUUUGAGAAUUAUAGCUUCUUCCUUGAGCUAAAGGCAAAAACAAAAACCUAUCCGAGUAGGAGAACAAAGUACAAAACUUGAUUCUUACCAGGAAAGCAUAAAUUGAAAAUCACCAAUUAUCCCAACAUCCAACUCAAUAAAUUAAAACACCUCAAAAUCAAAAUGUCAAAAAUAUAUCAAUUUUCUUCUAUUGAAACAUAAAACAAACUGAAUGCUUGAAACAACAUCAACCAUCCAUUAAUUUGAUUUUUGGUCAAUCACCCAUUUCUUUCUUUUUUAAAAAUAAGAAGACCACACAUUUAGGUAGAAUCGCUCUCUGCUACAACGUAGGCAAUGCCUACAUAAGAACUAAAUCCUACCCACAAAAUGUCUCCUCAAAAAACUAUAAUUAAAAAAAAUGAAAUAAACAAGGGAGACAUCAGUUAUAUAUAUAUAAACAAGGGAGACCAGUUCAAUUGCAAGAAAUCAAAGAACAAAAGGUUCACAAACUUGAAAGCUACCUUUGAAAUUCUUGAAAAAAGUAACAGAUUACUGUACCACGACAUUGAUUAACCCAAUGAAAGAAUUUAACUCCACAAAAAGAUAUUUACGCAAAUGAGGUUAGGCUUUUAAGGAUUUGGGUUUUCAGGAUGAAGAGAAAGACGAGGCAGAGGCCAAGGUUUCAAAAAUUUAGGGUUCUAGGAGGGACAAAAGCAAAUGGAGUUUUAGGUUUCCGUUGACAGAGUUGGUGUCGAGGUGAAAAACGUUAGAUCUUUUUAUUUUUUAUUUUUUGGGCUUUUAAGGUUUUUUGGGUAUUCAGAUGUGGAGGCUGAGCUGGACGAAUGGGAGGGCAUUUUGGGAAUGAAAGCACACUUCAGUACAGAGUGCAUGGAAUUGCCAAUAUUUUCGGCAUUAGCACAGAUUUCUUGAUUUUCCCAAAGUUGGGGGUUGAAAAAUCCUAACAUUGUGAACCCUUGUUUUAUAGGUAGAGCAUAAGGUGUGUCCAUUGUGACACUGUAAAGAAGUCAACUUGGUAAAAACCACGACACAAUUUUUAUGCCUUAAAAGCAAAUAUAAACAAUUAAAAAGAGAGUCGAAAACUCAUUUUUGAUCUAUUUCUGAACCAUACCAGGCAGUAGAUACCAGACUUUGCAAUCAAACAUCUUAUUUGAUGCGAAGGGACAAGCCAAUGACCAAACAAAUAGAGGAGAAAACAAAGUGUCGAGGAAAAGAUGCCACAGAAAUCAAAAGAAAGUGAAAAAGUGUGAGUCACUUGAAUUUCUUAAAUAGCUAAAAACAGGUGGCUUACCUAUUAUGGCUCUUCAUGAUGAUUUAUUCUUUUGGUGAGAUUCUAGGUUGUGAUAAGCAUACAUGGCAAAAGAAAAAAAAAUGUUUUAAGAACACAUGGAACAAUGAUUAAUCAUCUUUCCGUGGAAGAAAAAACAUCUAGCUGGAAUACGUUGACAAUGGAAAGGAAGCAAUCAAAAGGAAGAACAACCAUUCAACAGUUCCACCCGAAAAAUCCAAUGCAAGGUAUAGCAAAAUAUAACAAUCACAAAGGAAACAAAUUAUUAUGUGAUCUACCAGUAAGUAACAGAGACCAGAGAACAUGGGAGUACACUAUUGAAGAGCCGCUUGGAACACUAGUCUACUCAUAAUAAGUAGAAAUAGUGAAAUAGUUCCAAUUAAGUUAUAAGAUGGUUCAAAACCUCAUAAAACUAGAUAAGAACUUCCAGUUAUCUUCUAAUUUUAGCAGAAACUAGAGAAAUUAGUCUUCCAACUAUAAAUAACUGUGAAAACCCUUAAGAUUUCAGAUAAUCAAUAGAAGGAAUCCCAGAUAGAGAUGGUGUUAAAAUAUGUCAACAAGUCUAAUUAUAAGAAUAUUCACAUACUCCAACAUAACUUGUCAAGCAUAUGAUACUCAUAAACUGUUUUAAUUUCAUACUAUAAAUGAUAAUAAAAAAAAAUGCACUAGCAUCUCUCUCUUAACUUCAUAAAGCUGCAGAUAACAAUAGGAAAAUUAAAGAUGUUUGAAUUAAAUUUAUAGGAGCAACAGCCUAACAGGAGAACGUAUAAUUCUUAAAGAAUGGAUUAAAGAUCAGUCUUGUGUGUAACAAUAUCCUUUGUUUCUGAAGCUCUGGAUGGAUGGGGCAAAGUGCUUUCAAGAUUAUCCACUGUGAUGUUAUUUGAUACAAUCAAGGCAGGAAGACCAGCAGAAUUGUUUAUAAUAAGUUUUGGUAUCAUACUAUCAUGGAGUUUCUUCUAGAAACAAUUCAACAUAAUUCUUCUUAACACAUUACAAUAUAGGAGUUUAAAAGGUUCUCCCCAUCAUGAAACUAAUCACUUCAAAUUGACAACCAAUUCGAAUCAGCUCCAAUAUCAAAAUAAGCAAUCCACAAAAAACCCAAGUGCCAUUCCAUCCAUAUACCAAAAUAAACCUUCAAAUCCAUUUGAAGAAAUCAUUUCAUCCAAAACCCACUUGUAAAAACACAUUAAACUCAACAAAAAAAACAUACCAAAAAAUAAUCCAUCAACCCCAAAAACCCCAAAUCAAUUUCCCUUGUUGAUUGAUUGAUUGCAAUAGUAUUACACAGGCUUAUCAUUUUGUCGCCCUAGAAAAUGAAAUGCCCAAGUUCUCAAUUGAGUGGAGAUUUCAAAACAUUGAAAAACCUAAUACCCCAAAUUCUAAUAUUUUUUGUUCCUUCUCCCACAAUUCUCAUCAACCAAACGGAGAAUGACGAACGUAUCAAAUUCUCUAUUGAUGGGAGAUUUCAAUUUUCUUGCUUCCCAAACAAUGCCCAAAACUCCAAAAUUUCCCUUUUUCCCAUACUUUCCUACCAAUCAAACAGACAAUAACCAAUCCAAGAAACCACCUAAAGAGGAGAAGAAAUGCACACAUAUACACACUCACUUGGUGGAUUGGUGGGUACAUGUAAUUGGUGCACACGGGGCACUCAAGCAAUUCAUGAACGCUAGUCGCCGGAGCAGUCGCCGAAGGAACGACGCCUUUUUGAAGAGGCUUCGACGAGAACUGAUGAACCACAUGAUUGUGAUUGAGAUUGUGAUGAUGGUAAUGAAGGUGGUAGAUCUCCUCUUCUUCCAUGUCAUCCGAUGAUGAUACACACUCGAUAUUAUCCAAGUCCAUUAACACACGACCAGAACCAAACAGCUCCUAAAAAGGAGGUUCUUUUCUUCCUUCUUCUCUCUAUCUGUUUUUGUAUCGAGUUUCCCCAAAUUUGAAAGCUUAUCGGGUCGGUUUUACAAAUUUGAUAACUUUGAAGAACCCGGGCGGGGGGGGGGGGGGGGGGGGGUUUUUGGAAAGGGGGGUUUUAAAAAAGUUAUAAUGGGGGAAAAAGGAAAAAAUUUUUUUAAAAAGGGGAAAAUUUUGGGGUUUAAAAAAAUUGGGGUUUGAAAAAAAAAUUUUGGGGAAAGGGGCCCCCCAAAAAAAAAUUUUCCCUUUUUAAAACCCAAAUUUUUUUUUUAAAUUCCCCACAAAAUUUAAGGUAAAAAAAAAAAAAGGGGAGGAAGGGUUUUAAUUUUCUUUGUUGGGGAACUUUUUUUUUUAAAAGGGAAAACCCCAAAAGGGGUUUCUUCCCCUUUUAAAAAAAAUUUUUUCCAAAAAUCCGAAGACCCCCCUUUAACCUGGGGGUUUUUUUUUUUUUUUAAACCCCUUUUCCGGAUUUCCAAAGGGAAAAAAACCUUUAAAAANNNNNNNNNNNNNNNNNNNNNNNNNNNNNNNNNNNNNNNNNNNNNNNNNNNNNNNNNNNNNNNNNNNNNNNNNNNNNNNNNNNNNNNNNNNNNNNNNNNNCCGGGGGGGGGGGGGGGGGGGGGGGUCUAUUGACAAGGAUGCAUUAUAAACAGUAUAUAGUGCGUAAAAAGGAAAUAAUUUUUUGAAAUAGUGGACAUAUCUUGGGUUAUACAAACUUGGGGUUUGAAAAUAAUAUUAUUGGGAAAUGGGCCUCCCAAAACACAACUUUCCCUUUUAAGAAUCCAAAUUUUUAGUUCAAAUUCCACUACAAAUUCGAUGUAAAAAUAAAAGACUGUAGAGUAUGGUUUUAACUUUCCUUGCUUGCGACUCUUCUUUUUCAAUAUGGAUAAGCCCAGAGCGGGUUCUCUCCCCUCUUAGAAAAGAGUUCAUCCAAAGAUCCGAGAGCCCUCAUCUACACGUGUGCAUUAUCUUCUCUUUUAGACCCCUUCCUCGGAUUGCCAAAGGGAACAAGACCUUGAAGAAACACAGAAUAAACGAAAUGACUAUUUUUUUUGUGAGCCAUGAGGUUAUUCUUCUAACCAUGCCCGAAAUCGUACCUCUCCAAUUUUGAAAAUAUUCCAAUAUAAAGGAGAGGAAAAAGCAAGAGCAGAGGAUGCAAGUGAGGAAUGAAAGGGCAGAGGAAUGUGGUAAAACAGCGUACAAGCCGGUUGUGAAAGCGAUGGCCAUUGCUCCCAUGCCAAUCAUGGUCAAAAUAAAGGCCGAAACCAAGUGCUUUGCAAGGAACUCCUCCCCAUUACGCAUGGUCAUAAAAAAGUGAAGAAAUACAGCGCAUAGUGAGGAGACCAUGGCUAUGGUAUCCGUCACAACAAAUGCUCUGAAAGCUGCUUUCUUUGAUAAAAUUGCCUUGCCAUCAUCACCAUUGUAACCACCGGGCAAAGUGAAACCCGCAGCAUAAGUUACUGUUGUUAUAAGCGCGGAAACUAUCAAAUGGGUAGACCUUGUUUUUGUAAUUCAGAGGUACGUUUCUCCUUGUCCUCUUUGCUUUCUUUCUCUUUCUUCAAUUUCUUAAUUAUUUCCUGAAAUUGAUGAAUCAAUUUUUGUCACAUUCAGUCACUCAUUGCUGGGUAAACAAGAAGUCAUUGAAAAUCUGAUACAAAUGAUAAAUGCGUCUAACUUAAAUACAGUAGCAAAUCAAGCUUCUUUAUUCCAAAAGAUUGAGGUUAAUGGAGUUAUUUGUUUGCUCUAAACCUUCUUAAUAAAAAUAGUAUGAUGAAUACCAAUUUGCUUAAAUUUCAACACCAAUAUAAAUUAUUAAAUAAAUCCAAUGAAUUUAUCUUAUUUCCAAACAUAUUUAAGAGUAACAAAACAUAGCAUAUUUCAAAGAAAAUAUAUCUUUUCGUUCAAAUGAACUCAAACAUAUAACUGAAGUGAUGUGGAAGCCUUACAUUUUUCCCAAAAAUGUUCUCCUCGAUCCCGUCGUUAACUGUCAAGUAUUUCACUAAUUUCUUAGUUUCCCUCUCCCAAAACCAAGAUCUAGUUUCAGGCAUAACCAUCUCGAAGGCACCUUGGAUCACAUCCUGAAAUUGAAUAAAAGGAACAUUUCAAUUUAAUUCAAUUGAUGAAUCCAUUUUUUUCACAUUCAGUCACUCAUUGCUGGGUAAACAAGCCAUUGAAAAUCUGAUACGUACAAGUGAGAAAUGCAUCCGACUUAACCAACCUUUAAUUAAAUACAUCCAAUCAAGCUUAUUUAUUCCAAGAGAUCUGGGGUUAAUCGACUUACUUGUUUGUUCUAAAACUUCUUAAUAAAAGCAUGAUGAGUGCCAAUUUAUUUAAAUUUGAACAUCAGCAUAUUCAAUAAAUCCAAUAAAUUUAGAGACAAUGGGGGUUAAAAAAAAUUGAAGGAAGACAAAAUAAAAUUUUAUCAACUCUUUAUCCUAUUCAUCUUCUACUACUUUAAAAUGUGAUAAAAAAUAAUUAAAAUGUGGAAAAGAAAAAAUAAUAAUUCUUGAUGUUAUGUUUGGUUCUUGAGAAAUCUUAAGACUUUUUUGCUCAUAGAAAAUGAUAAAAGAAAAGAACAAAAAAGUGAAAACAAAUAAUAAGGCUAUGCUUAUUUCCAAAAAAUAUAAGGGAAAAUUUAAAGAGAAGAAAAAUAUAAAUAGAUAAGCAUAGCCUUAAUGUUUUUCAUGAGCCAAAUGUAGUCCGAGAAGAAUCCAUGAAAAUUUAAAAAAUAAAACUGGAAAAAAUAAAAUAUUUUCCCUAGAAAAAAGUGGAAAAAGUUUGGAAAACGUGCAUUUCGCAACGGUUUAAUCUUUUGUUUUCUAAACAUUUUUAUGAACGAUAAAAUAAGAGAAAAUCUUAUAAAUUGUUCUUAUCUUUUUAUUUUUGUAUCUUUCUAUUUUUCCUUUCCUCAAAUUAAUCUUAAACUACAUUUGAUUUUAGAAAGUACAGGAAAAAAAUAUUAAGAGAAGUUGUUAUUUUUUUUUUUUUUCACAUUUGGAUACAAGUGAAAAAAUGAUAAGAAAAUAUAUAAAAAUAAAAAUUAUACUAUAAAAAGGACUAGCUAUUCACCAGUUCUAGGUAGUUUCAUAACAAAAUAUCAAACAUUCACGUAUAAUUGAAGUGAUGUGAGACUUCACCUUUUUCUUGGAACUGUCCUUCUUGGCCCUCGAAAUUAUGUCGUAAGCUGUCAAGUUUUUGCUAUUAUACGCCUUCUUAUCCACAUUCCAAUCGAAUAAGAACCGAAAAUCUGAAAUUUGAUAAGAAGAGAGCAAGUGGAUGGGUGUGUUUCCUUGACCAUCUUUCUCAUUUACAAGUCCUCUGGCUCUUAACCAUUCAUUUUGAAAGUAAUCACUAGGCUUAUAAUCAUGGUCUCCCUUUUUCAUCAGGGAAAAGUGAAAAACAUUAUGGCCGUCGUUAUCGACUUGCUCGCAACAAUCUGGAUAGUGAGAUAGGAGCUCCUCUAUUAUGUUUUUAUGAUGGUGGAAAGAUGCAAUAUGAAGGGCAGUCUUGUUACCAUCAUUGAUCCCAAGAUAUGCUACACUCUUAUCUGAAUUCUCUAGCAGUUGCCUCACAAUUGUUGGAUGACAAUUUCUCUCUGCAGCACAGUGAAGUGGAGACCACCCUUUCUCAUCCACUUCCUUAGUUAGAGCUGGAUUCCAUUUCAAUAUCGCGUCGGUCAUUUCUGACAAAUGGAUAAAUGAAAAAAGAGAGUAAAAAAGAAAGUUCAGAAAAAUGAAAGAAAAUAAAUAAAGUCAAAUCAACCAUGGCAGUUUCCCUUUUAGUCUAAAUAUGUGAAAAUAACAUAAUCAUUGUAUUAAACCCUCCGUAUUAUGAGCAUACUACCUUGGUCAUUGCAGAGUACAGCAGCAUGCAAGGCCGUUCUACCCAUGAAGCCACUGUAGGCUGGUGAAGUGCGAGUUUUGUGACUUUUGUCUAGGAUAAUUUGCACUAUUCUGGUAAAUCCUCUCUCAGCAGCCAUGUAAAGAGGAGUCCCACCAGAAACAUUAGCACCAUAAGUAUACUCAGGGUCUUUCUCAAUCAAUAACUUCACCAAAGAAUAUUGGCCAUAUCGCACUGCCUCAUGCAAGGCUGUGUCUUUCUCCUUAUUUGUCAUCCUCAACAUCAACUUAUCUGCUUCAAGCCCAGUUUCAAUAUCUGUGGCAGCGUCUAAAAGAGCUUUCACAACAUCCAAAUGCCCUUCCCUUGCUGCAAGGUGAAGCGGAAUGUCCCCUUUCAGAUUAGGGUGUAGCAGUAGAGAUGAAGAUGAAGGCAACCUAAGGAUCAAAUUCACAGACUCCAGUUGACCGAACUGGGCAGCGAUGUGGAGUAUUGUGUUAUGCUUUGGGGUUAAAUGGACUAGUAAGUCAUGAUCUGAAAUUUUUUCGAGGACUUCAAUGUUCCCCUUUGCUGCCGCCUUGUACACGUCCGCAUCCAUGCCCGUGAUGACAGUGUGGCUGCCAUCUCCAUUUGCAGCUUGGUUGGAGGUCUGGGCUGGGCUAGGAUCUUGAGCUACAACCUGAUUGGAAUUAGAAUCCAUGUCAAGAUUCUGAAAUUCUUCACUGAGGUUCGAAGCACCCAGCUGAUCCAUUAAGUGUUUAUGGGUUGGAAGUGAAGUGAUCGACUCCACUCAUCACGUUUAUGGCUUGGAAGGUGGUCCCCCUUCGCUGCAAAUGAAGUUGUGUGGUGGAGACGUCCUUGCUCUCAACCACAAUAUUGAUUCCAUAAUGAGGCCAAUGUUUGUGUUAAUAGCAGCAUAAACAAAAUUUAAUUUAAUAAAGAAUGUAAAAGCAAAAACUUCAUCUCUUAUAUUUUUGUUUAAUAAAUUUAUUGAACUCUUAAUAAAACAUAUUAAACUUCAAUGUCGAAAUUUUUAAAAAUAAAAAAUACAAUUGCAUUCCAAUGUUUGCUAUUAAAAAUCAUAUGAGAUUUUUUUUCUCAUGUUUAGUAUUAUUUACAAAUUAUUUGACAAUUUAUAAUUUAGUAUCCAUUUGAAUACAUUUUCUUAUUUUUUAUUUUUAAAAAUAAAAAAUAAUAAUAAAUUCUAUAUAAAAACUAUAAGCUUGGUUAAAAAUUAAUAAAUUAUUUUUUUAUAUUAUUUUAAACUUAUUUUAUUUAUUUAUUUUUAUAUAUAAAAAUCAAAUAAUUUAAAAAUAUAUAAAUUUCUGAAUAAUUUUAAUUAUAUUUUCUAUAAUAAAAUCACUUUCUUCCACAUUAUUUUUUCUUUAUUUAACAUUUUCAAACCACCAAAUAUAGGGCUUGUUUGGUUGCUGUUUUUGAAAACUGUUCUGGAAAACAGUUUUUGAGAACAAUUUUUAAGAACAGUUUUUGGUGUUUUUUAAAAAAAAAAUUAUGUUUGGGAACUGAAUUUUGAAAAACAGUUUUUGUUCUCAAAAACAAAAAAACAUGUUUGGUUGAGUUAAUAAAAAAAAAAUUUAGAACAAAUAAAAUAAAAAACACGUUUGAAAGAUUUUUUUUUUUCUAAUUAAUAAAAUAUUUUCUUCAAGUAAUUUUAUAUUAUAAAUUUAUAAUAAUUUUUAGAUAUAUAAUUCAUUUAAAUUAAAAAAAUUAUUUAUUUUAUUAAUUUAAAAAUAAAAAUAUUUUUUAUAUUUUUUUAAAAUAAAUCAAACAUAAUAAAAUCAUUUUUAUUAAUAUUUUUUUAUUUAAUCUUUAACUUUAUUAAAAAUUAUAGCAUUUUCUAUUAAAUUGAGAUAAAAUUGUUCUCAUGAUUUGUUUUUUUUUUUUUAUCUCUACUAAAUAUAAAAUUCAAAAUGCCACCCUUCUCUGAUCGGGCAUCAAAAAGCCCUUUUCUGAAGUUGCCCUCCAGCCGAGAGAAUCCCUAAAAGGCCCUAUUUUCCUCUGCCACUCUCAAUCCUCGCAGGUACUAAUCUAAUCAUGUUAUUAUUAUUUUUUUUUUUUUUGCAACCCCCGUUUGAUUCCCAAGAAAAUCCAUCCCCCAUUCGAUUUCCAAGAAAAUUCAUCCUCGUUUGAUUUCCGAGAAAAUCCAAGCAAAAACCCUGCAACCCCCGUUUGAUUCCCAAGAAAAUCCAUCCCUCAUUCGAUUUCCGGGAAAAUUCAUCCUCGUUUGAUUUCCGAGAAAAUCCAAGCAAAAACCCCAAGGAAAACCAAAAAAAUGGAUUUUCUGGAUCCGUUUUAGGGUCUCUUUGCUAUUGUGCCAUUGGAUUUAAAUUUCACGAACCUUGAAUCAAAACUGAGAAACGGGAAAAAUCAAGAAGAGGUGACGCGACUGUGCUGGAGAAGAGAUGAAAACGGGAAGAAAAAAAAAACACGGAGAACAGAUGAUUUUUUUUUUGUUUAAUUUUGUUCUGUAAACAGUAAAAAAACGGGGAAAACAACGUUUUAUUGUUCUCUAAACAGUGUCAUUUUGAGAACACGGGGAACAACAAAAACAAAAACAACUCUCUCAACCAAACGAGUUUUUGGUGUUUUUUGUUUUCAAGAACAGAAAACAGUUCUUGAAAACACUAAACAAACAGGCCCAUAGACUUUAAUUUCUAUGUUUUUCUUUUAUAUUAAUAGAAUGUCAUUGAAAAGUCCUUGAUAUAUUUUGCCAGCUCAUGUACGACAACUGUGGAAAGGACGGACUGUAAAGAAAGAAUACGUUGAUUACUUGUGUGUUGGAGAGGAGGCGCUCAAUUUUUAUUUUUUUUAUUUUUUCCUUGAGUUGGUGAGUGAUAACUGGUGUAAAGAAAGAGAACGAAGAGGCAGGGGAAUAUUUCCAGAAAAGCUUCAUAUCAUUGUAGUAUGGUUUAGUACUCUGAUUUGUCCAUGUAUAUAUAUAUAUAUAGUUUUGAUGGCGGUAAAAUAUUAUGUUUCAAACAUACAUACAACACACUGUUUCCUACUUAUCCUACGCACACAGCAGCUUCUUUGAACUUUCUUGAAGUGUUAUUCACGUGAUUAUCCUCUAUAAUGUUCUCUAUUGUAUAGUGGAAUGAUUCUCUUAUCCAUAGAUGUGAGAUUGGUUGGCCGAAUCACAUUAAAACCUCAUGCACAUUUGUAUUGAUUAUUUUAUCUUUAUAUUCUUGAAUGAAUUUUGUUUGCAUGAAAGUUUCACUAGCACAACAAAUUGGUAUUAGAGAUCCAAGUUGAAGACUUUUAGAAGAGCAAAAUAUUACAGAGCACAUAAGACGAAGACAAAAGAAAUUUCAGAUAAUGGUUGACAAUUUUUAACUAUAGUGACUGACUCAUUGUUUCAUCAUUUAGUGAUGAAUGAUAGUUGUUGUUAUCCCUUCUUCUUUAAUAAUUGAUGAUGUUAUCUCCACUCCUUCAAUAAUUGAUGAUGUUAUCUCUACUUCUUGCUCUCGUUCAAUAAUUGAUGAUGUUAUCUCCACUCCAAUAAUUAGUGAUGCUAUUUUCACUCCUUUCAAUAUAUUAUAACUAACUAAUAACAUCAAUACCUGUGGACCCGCAUUUUUCACGUGCGUCCCCACUCGAUCGGCGAGACUCGCUUUUUAGUUGUAAAAAAUUAUUUAGUUUUGGAAAAGUUGGAGUCGCCACUUAUUUUAUUUUUAUUUUAAAGGGAAAAUAAAAUGAGAAAGAAAAACCUUAAAAUGUGACUCCAUAAUUUUUGGAAAAAAACAUGUCUUUGAAAAAACCCGAGUCUAGGUCCGGGGAUCAGGUUACUUAUUGGGAAGGUACCUCUAGGAGGUAGCACCCCUCUAAGCCCUUUUAAGGUCUCUACUGACUAAGUUGAGGGAAACGUGACAAUUAAAUGGUUGAUCAUGGAUACCUAAGUAAGCAAGGUGAUUUCAAAAAUAGCAUGCCAAACAAGAUCAAAUCACAAUAAAGGAGAGUUAAGAUGCGUACCUGAACCACUUCUUAAGCGCUAUCAAAAGGACAUAGAAGAUUAGUUUGAAAAUGUGAUACAACAUUUGUUUUAUCUAAGCAAAUCAAGCAUCUAUCUGAACACCUAAGAAUCACAUCAUGUAUGGAUCUAAUCACCAAUAGCAUACGUGCCCACAUAAUUCUCGAAAAUAAGUGAGGAAGAGCAUACCUGGGUAGCAAGCUAGUACUCCUUUAUGGGAAACAAAAUUAGCCAAAUAACAUAUCCAAAAUAAUCUCAUAUAUACCACAAAAUGAAGCACCAUCAAUCGAAUGUCAAACAAAAAAUAUUUGAGGAAAUAUCAUGAAUGUCGGGCCCCCCUCCAAAGCCCUAAUUAAUUUUGUAUGAGUUGAUUCUAUAAAUUCCAUUAUUUGGAAUCAUGAAUUUUGCUCAUGCUUGUUGAAAAAUCGAGAAAAACCAUGAAAAUUAGUUGAAAAUGAUGAAAACGCAUGCCGGAAGGGAAAAUGGCAGCAAAUAGUAUGUUAAAAUAUGGGUUUUAGUGACUAGAAGGACUCUAAAGAUGGAUUUUUCAAAGCUGGAAAUGCUUGGUCGUAAAAGAAUUCAAAAAUUCAAUUUAAAAUAAUAAAUUUUCAAUCAAAGAAGCAAGGAGAGGAGGAGGUGUGUGUAGCAAGAUAGCCAUGCUGGAAGUAGAGUCCGGGAGUAUGAAGGUGCUAGUGAUUGAGCUGUUGAUACUUGAAUGAAAAGACCUUUAUAGAUUGCUGAUAUGACUGGAGGAGAACUAACAGUAUUCAUUUUAGUGUCCAUGCUCACUGGGUUUGGGGUGUAUAAUUUCAUCAGCAAAGACAUUCCAACCCGACUCUGGCUUUUCAAGAUCACAAUUUGCAUUGCUAGCAGGAAAUUGUAGUGAAGCAAUUAAGGCUUGAUUCUAGAUCUGAUUCCCUUACUGCCACUCAUUCUUCUCUUCUCUAAGUUCAGUUAGAGGGAAUUUGCAUUCAAUAGUCUUUAAAACUGGAACUAGAAAUCCCUGACUUCCAACUAUCUCCUCAGAAGGUUUGAAAUUGACAUGUCCAUCAACUGUUGGAUUCCCGUCAUCCGAGUACAUCAACUCACAUCUAACAGCCACUAGAAACUACAGAAGUAUCAGUGUUUCCAGACGGGUCUUCCCUGAAGAUACCAUGCAAAACAUAUAUCCUUUCAACUUCGGUUUCUAUGCCUUUGCCAUAACGCAAACUGAACUGUCACUUAGCUUUAGCCGGAAGAACUGGAAUUCUGGACCUUCGCGAUUUGGAUGGCAAAUCAGCUAUUGCAGAAUGAUUGGCGAGUAGCAAAUGUAAACAAUUUCGGGUACUUUGAUAGCAACCCUCAUUGAUAACCGAGAGAAGUAUGCUAAAUGCUGAAUUUAGUGGAUGAGUUGAUGAUGAUUUUAGUAAAGGGUGCGUUCAAAAUGAGGAUGUGAAGAGUGGUUGGGCGAGUAUGCUGAUGUGGGACAAACUGGAAUGCAAAAAUGGGACACGCUGUGUGCGAGCACAUACAAAGUCCACUACCUUCUGAAUAAUGCCAACUUGUCAUCUUUAUAGAAUGCAUUGUUCAGCAUCUUAACUCUCUCUCCAUAUCAAAUAUGUUGGCCAAAUUUUUAUAAAGUUCUCUCCAUAGUCCACGCAUUGGCAAAUCAAGAGUCUGACCUACAUCCUCUGACUUCAAGAGCGCUUCGCUGUGACCAAUCUUCAGACCAAGAUCAGCUUCUUUGGUGAUCUUUGUACCAAGUGAGGAACUUCUAGGAUAUACCGGAUUAUAGUAGCAGCGACAUCGUCAAACCCAGAAAAGGGACUACUUGUUGGCAAAGGUGGAAGCAUGGGCAGUCCUCCUUCAUCAAGAAAAUUAAAAAGGAUGGAAUGAGUUCUGGUAAGAAUAGAAUGCAACUGCAGGAUAGCAUGCAUUGUUCCGGAUGUGAGUCGGUUCUUGAUACCAAAACAAGCAAUCUCAAUAGGUCACUUCUGCUCAUGCAUAUCUAUAUUUUCAUCAUCUGCUGAAUCUUCAUUCCCGCUAUUUUCAAUCCAUGAAUCUGUUGAAAUAAAGUAUCUGUGUAGAUUGUCAUCAUCAAGAAUGUUCUCAUUCUCUUCCAAAAGAGCCAUAAUGAUGGCUUCAGCAUUAUUAACAGCAUGUGCAGCAACAAGAAACUGGACAAAGCUAUCACCAUUUAUGUCGAAGUCGUUUUCCAUCAGUGGCCUAAUCUGCACCCUGUUUUCUAUUACUGCUUUCUCCAUUGAAUUUAUGGGCUUGCAUCUUUAAGUUGUGAACUGAUGUAUUUGGUACAGUUUAGGCAUGCUCAUUCUCCAAGCAUAACAGACGAUAAUCUGAUAGUUAUGUAUCUAUAAAUAGCUUGAUAAAUGGUUUGCCUCUAUUGGGAAAGGAAUCAAUAAAGCUAUCUUUGAGAAGUAAUGAAACCCUGUCAUUGUUUGAUUGUACUGAUUGUAUGAGAUCUCAAUCUUGAGCAGAAUGACUUCAGGUAGCACUUCAUCACACGCAAAAAUUAGGCAGCAGCUUCAACACCAAACAAGAUGCAGUUCUCUUAGCUUGUGAUAAUAUGUAAACACCUGCACUUCAUUCAACUUAUAUACAGGAUGCCUUUUAGCAAUUGAAUUAUGACAUGCCAAUUUAACAUGUAGUGGACCUAGUUCAAAAAAACAAGCUCUUUAUGUCGAGGAAGGAAUUCUUGAGAAUCUGGAACAUAACUGUGAGUAAUCUUGGAAACAAUUGGACAAUCUGUAGGUUCUUCACUUGCUCUCAUCGCUAAGUUACCCCAUUCAUUCUGAUACCUGGACUUGCUACCUCUGAUUUACUUGGAGAUCAUCAACAAGAGGACAAUCAAGGUAAAGUGAGCCCACUGAUUCUUAUUCAUGUUGGUUAGAUGCUAACUUGCUGAUGUGUUCUGUCAAACUAAGCGAGCCAACUGGUGUGUUCUGUUGAAUUGAGAAACACUAUAUUUACCCCCAAAUUUAAAUCUUUUAACCUGAAUUCAGAAUCAGCAGCGUCAUUAGAGUCACUGGCAGUGGCAAGCCUCUAUUCUUGCCCAAUUCUAUCAACAAUUUCUCAUUUCUUGAAACUUGCAUUUCCGAGAAGAGGAUUGUCUUUUGCAUUCUGAACAUUCCAUUAACUGCUUGAAGCUGGUAAAGGAUUAGGAGGAGUGGACAUUUGAACUUUUAUUACAGCUUUGCUAUUUAAAUUUGAAGAACUAAUUGGUUUGCACUGUGUCUCAACAGCACUGCUGUUGGAUUUGACUUGCUUCGAUUUACUAUAAGUAGUAAAAUCGUUCUCAAAAUCCACCAACCCAAUGGACUCUGGGGAGAAAGGUUCAGCCUGAUGCAUGCUAUUAGCAUUGGAAGUUGUCCCGAUCAUAGCAAGAUCAAUCAAACUUUUACCUAGCUGACUUAUCUUCAUUUCAAUCAUAGUAUCUUCGAGGAGCAAACUGUUAUUGAACUACAUGUCGCACACGUCCAAUAGUAGGAAUAAUCGGCGCUUGUCUGAGAGCUUCACAAAAGCAAUGUGUGUUUCAUCAACGUUCGGAUCAGAUAUUGGAGUUUCCUGUAAACUGGCGGAACUGUUGGAGACUUUGGCAUCAUAAAUUGCAGCAAGACUGAAAUCCUGAAUUGCACCUCUAGGUGUUCUAGAAAACUUAGUCAUGUCUGCCUCCUAUGUUCUCUUCUGAUAAAUCUGUUCUUUCCAAAUGCUUUAAGAGGUUGAAAUCAAUACAAACUGCAGAAGCAUCAUGGUCGUCGAUGUAUUCAAAUUCUAUAUUCUUCAAGGAAUCACAAGUGGGCACAGUUUCGUCUAAAGGAGCCAAACCAUCUGAUCAACUUGGGGAAAUAUCCAUGGUUCUAAGGAUGGAAAGGAUGCUAACUAUGCUAUUUGAAGCAGAAGACUGGUAAUGUAACUAGGAAUGCAACCUCAGGUGCCCUCAACUUUCUUCUUAUAAUCAAGGAUGAUGAGUUUAUUGCAUAUGAACCCACAAGGCGAGCUUUGCCACUUGGAAAUUUCUGUUAUAUGCUUCACUCACUGAUGUCUUUUGGACUAGAGGUCUAUUGGCCACAUGGAUGCUUUUGCUCAAUGCCUCAUUCGCAGAUGGUUUUAGAGCCUAAGGUCUAUUUGCUGCCUGAGCACUACUUCUAUCCAUUGAGACACUUGAUGCCGCUCCCAAAAGGUCUCGCAGAGAAUAUUCAUUCAAAUCAAUAUCACCAUUGUGCAUGGCCUAACUAUACACGGCAGCAUCUCCAUUGCAAAUGACCAGGUUGUCGGAGUCAGCAUCCCCAUUUCUGAUGAGCCGACUAUAGGUUCCGGGGUUGCCAUUAUUUUUUUCAAAUAUAUUAAGCUCAAUGGAAUUGAAAUGCCUCUCUGGUUCAGUCAGCUGAUUUGUCAGAUCCUGGUUUAUUUUUAAUACAUUUCGUCGCUUCAGUUCUAGUUCAGAAGUCAACUUCUACCGACUCUAGAGGUACGAAUAUUCUGCUGUCAGUGGCUUGCCUAUCAAUUCCUUGCAUGUAUGCUUUCCUUGCCAAAAACUUGCACUGUCUCAUCAAGCAGAUGAUGAAUCUCCCCAUGCUAUUGAUCAAUUAUGGUCCACCACGUUCAGCAGUUUUUCAGAAAGGGUGCCUGUGUCUAUGCCUUGCUCUAAUUCUAUAACUGAACUUCUUUGGAAUAUGGUGCAGGCAUCCCUGAAACCACUUGCCCUUUUUAUACAUUGCAAAAGUGUAUCCAGUUCUUUAGCCAUCUCUUUACCGUUGUCGAAUUGUCUUGAUAAAUGCGAUUCAGAGUUCAGUUGUCCUUGUAAGGGGAGAGUUCUGUAAUUCUCCUUGAGAGGAUAAGACUUAUAAUUAGGAGACUUGGCUGGAAACUGCAUUGACAAUUGUGUACCUAGAGUCGAAGAUAUUGGUUCGACAUUCUCUACCACCAUUGAACCUCUCUGUCAUCUGCUCUGACUGACGGAACUUCUCUUGGACAUGCUAAUUCAUGCGACAAGUUGCCUGAUACGCAGGCUUGCCUUGCAAUUGAGAAUGUCAUUGACCAUGCUGCAUUAGUUCUGGUUGUUCUCCAAUAGAUAGGCCACCAUUGAACCUCUCUGUCCCCUGCUCUGACUGACGGAACUUCUCUUGGACAUGCUGAUUCAUGCGACAAGUUGCCUGAUAUGCAGGCUUGCCUUGUGAUUGAGAAUGUCAUUGACCAUGCUGCAUUGGUUCUCCUUCGUAAUCCUUUGGAACUAAGUUCAGGAUUCUGCAUGUUGUACUUCUUAAUGGAACUUGAAGAUACCUCAUCUUCAUCUUGAAAUACAGCAUCAGGUAAAAUAUUUAUUUAUUAAUAUAGGCCAAACACUGUGGAGUCAGGUCUAUGUCCACUUUGACCAUCUCCGGAAACAAUUCGAUUGCAAUCUCUGGACGUCCUAUAUGCAAAUAACCAGAUAUUAAUAAAUUCCGAGUGACCACGUCCGAUGGGGCAUUUCAUCGAAUAGCCGUUGAGCACUUGAAGCGACACCAUAUUUACCAUACAUAUCCAUAGGAACACAACAAAUAGACAUCUGAAUCAAAACCCGCCUUGAUUAUGGUGGAAUGAAGCUAAACUUGCACAAAGAUAGAUCCAGAUUUUACAUUCAAGGAGAUCAUUUUGUUGAGAAUGUGAGCGGUAGGCGCAGACCCAUGUUGCUGCAAAUGACCCUUAUCCAGAGCACAACUCAACAGUGUCGUCUUGUCUAUGUGCAAUCAAAUUAGUGAGUCUUAUUGUGGCUGAGAUGUCAGCACUCAAAUAUGCGAAACCUGUGGCAACAUGGCCUGAGAACUGCUUGAAGUAUUUCAACGGAACAGGAUUGAUUAAAUUCCCAUUCAAUUUGCCCUUUGUUCAUGAAAUUGGUUAACACCUUCAGCCUUGGAUUACUCUCUUUUAUAGCAUAGACAGAUGACAUGGCUACAGAAGCAUCAUGUGUGUGUUCAUUGUAGGGACCCCUCCCCCUGAUAACAUGUGGCGCGCUUCGCUAUUCGGAGCAACUCCAUCCGGAUUCCCCAAAGAGGGACACGUGGCACGCUCCCCUAUCCGGACUCCCUCAGGGAGAAGCACACGUCACUCGCGAAUGUCACGCUCGAACGAUAACAUAUCAUAUCCGGAUCACUGACUGAAGUGAGCAAGUCUUGCUACAUCAUUCCGACAGCCUGCCACAGCCCACGUUCUGCCGCCUGCAGAGCGAAAAGACAGGAAUGAUGGCAAGUCGCCCCUCACGAUCUCUGACAGCCGUCUAUAGGGUGAUGAUGACUCUGCCACCACCUAGAGGCAUCAUGACGAGCCAAAAAGUCUUCCUAUCAUUAAAGAGGGAGGUAGAGCUUCUGACACUAUAUAUAAGGACCUUCACACAAGGAGGAAGGUAAGCUUGCUAUACCUAGAAAAAGGCUAACUGCUUAAUCUCUCUAGACAUGGUUGACAAAACCAUCGGAGGGUGUGUCUGGACACCUUGUCCGGACAUCUUUUGCAGGGACAACUGAACUAGAAAUCUAUCUUGGUUGAAAGCGUGCGUCCACUUGGAAGCUACGUGGAUCAUCGGGACGCAAGGCCUCAACAUUGGCACCGCCUGUGUGAAAAUCGCUGAUUCAGUCGCUGGCAAAGAUGUCCACACCUUCCAGAAGCCGCUCGUCUGCUAGGGGAGAAGAAGAUAAUACCGAAUGGCGCCAAGCCAUCGAGAGAAGACAGUUGGCAAGCGAGCGACAAAUGCAGGCUCUCCUCCAGGAGACAGCGAGAUUGAGAGAAGAAAACGUUGUGUUGCGCAUCCAGGCUUCAUCGAUGGAGCCUCCUCGUGGUUAGCGCUCAAGAGGCCAGGUAGCAAACUCAAGGCCUGACCUAGAGUCAAUAUACCCUGGGACAACAGGAGCCAUCCCUGAAACAUGCAACGUUAGGCCACAAGAGCGACACACGCCCAUGCACCAAACUCCCCAGGAGGAAAGCUCGAACUCUACUCGUCUCUCGUCAAAGAGACAACGCGAAAAAAGACCCCAGUUUUCGGGCGCAAUGCGCGCGAGACUAGGCCCACAGGAGCCUGGGAGGCCAAGGCCGCCAGUAGCCACAACCUGGGGAGCGCACCCUGACCCUAUGGUCACCUCUUUGGUGCAGAACGUUCCCCCGCACCAAGCGAUACGACAAGCUGGGAGAAACCUCCCAAACGAGCCACCCAGUGGCUCCAUCAGCAAAAGGCUGGACGACAUACUCUCCACGCCUUUUUGCUCUCAUAUUAUUCAUUACGACCCCCUAAGGGGAUUUCUCGUGCCUAAAUUCUCCACGUACGAUGGGUCCAGCGACCCCUUCGACCAUAUCAUGCAUUAUCGACAACUCAUGACUCUCGAUAUAGGAAACGACGCGCUGCUAUGCAAAGUAUUCCCCGCCAACCUACAAGGGCAGACCCUCUCAUGGUUUCACCGCCUACCUCCCAACUCUGUUGAUAAUUUCAGGGACCUGUCGGAAGCUUUUGUGGGACAAUACUUAUGCUCCGCUCGGCAAAAACAGAACAUCAGCACUCUGCAAAACAUAAAAAUGCAGGAGAACGAGUCGUUGAGGGAAUUCGUGAAGCGGUUUGGUCAGGCCGUGUUACAAGUAGAAGCUUACAGCAUAGAUGAUGUCCUACAUAUCUUCAAGCGAAGCAUCUGUCCAGGCACCCCAUUCUUUGAAUCGCUGGCUAAGAAGCCUCCUACGACGAUGGACGACUUGUUCCGGCGCGCGAGCAAAUACUCAAUGCUCGAAGAUGACGUGCGAGCAGCCACUCAGCAAAUCUUGGUUGCUGGACAGGCAUCCAGAAGUGGUGCGGAAAGAAGUGCCAAAAUUCCAGACCGGCCAAGGCCGUCAAGUCAAAGGCAGGAAGAACAAAGCCGUCCGAAACAGCCGCCCCUUACACCCUUUUCCAUAUCCUAUGAGAAGCUUCUCCCUAUGAUCCAAGACAUGUCCGACUUCAGGUGGCCCGAACCCCUCAGAACGGACCCAUCCAAAAGGGAUCAUAGUAAAAAAUGCGCCUACCAUAAGGAGCAUGGUCACACAACGGAGAUGUGCAGGAGCCUCCAUUAUUUGGUCGAGAAACUCAUAAAAGCGGGACAUUUGAAGCAAUACCUCCGCUCGGAUGCCAGAGGUAGGGACGCUUCCCAAGAUCACAACUCUGGAACCCCCAGGGUUCCAGCCGCCCCCAAAGCCAUUAUAAACUAUAUCAACGGAGGCCCAUUGGACGAGGAAUACGACUCCAAACGAAAGAAACAAAGGUUGUUGCGGGCAGCAUCGGUGCGUGAGCGAGUCAACUCCAUACGGCCUGGGAUAACUGGGGGGGGGGGGGGGGGGGUUGUGCGCCAGAGAUCGACCUCCGGAAUGGUUCCCACAUACCCCCUCAAGCAACUCAGCUAAUACAUACAGGGCCUCUGAGUGGUUUAAGCACUUGAGAUAGGGGCCUGUAAAGGACCGCUUGUACAAGUGCCCCCUGAUCAAGGUGAAACGGGCGGCUUGGACCCGGAUCUUGUGUCUUGCUUGGGCUCUUCGGGCAGAGUGCUUGUUUGGAGGUACCUUAUAAUGUCUUCCGUCCACUCUUGGUCGUCUGCUUGGUUUGCCUCAAUGGUAUUGCAAGUGGAGGUUUCCGCGACGGAAGGGUUGACUUGCACAUGUAUAGGCAAUAAUAUGGCUUCUUUGAUAGGGAGUGAAGCAACUAUGCCUGCUAGGGCGUCGGCACGUCCAUUUUCAGUUCGUUUUUCUUUUUUCGAUCGUCCAUUCGNNNNNNNNNNNNNNNNNNNNNNNNNNNNNNNNNNNNNNNNNNNNNNNNNNNNNNNNNNNNNNNNNNNNNNNNNNNNNNNNNNNNNNNNNNNNNNNNNNNNGGGGGGGGGCCUCGCCCCAUAGAUGGGACAAUCAUUUUCCCACCAGUAGACCCCACACGGAUAUUGCAGUCGCACCGCGACGCCCUCAUCCUGUCCCUAGAGAUAGGAGACUUCGACGUGAGAUGCAUCCUAGAUGACCCGGGCAGCUCGACCGAUCUUGUACAAGCAUCGGUCAUUAGCCACAUGGGGCGCAAUCUAACAGGCCUCGAAAACCCUGGGCGAAUUUUGUCCGGAUUCAACGGAGUGUCAACUACCUCAUUGGGAGAUAUUGUACUGCCGGUCCAAGCUGGCCUAGUCACUCUCAACGUACAAUUUUCGAUGGUACAAGAUUUAUCACCCUUCAAUGUCAUCUUGGGGCUCACAUGGCUGCACUACAUGAAAGUCAUCCCCUCUACGUAUCAUCAAAUGGUAAGCUUUCUUACCAAGGAUGGACAAAUUGACCUAUACGGCAGCCAGUUAGCCGCUCGCCAGUGCUACCAGAUAGCACGAGAGGUAGGAACCAGUCAGGAGGAUAAACCCCUCCCUAAGUCCACCCACGCGCUGGACCAAUAACAAUUACUGAGUCCGGCGGACAAAGAUCCCCCGGCAGCGGAUCCCCUGCGGACAAUCCAAAUUUCGGAGGAAGAUACUCACUUUACAUAUAUCAGUUCCCUUUUGACGCUUGAAGAGACCCGGAACAUCCAAGACGCCCUCCGACAAAGCCAUGACGUUUUCGCCUGGGCGUAUUCUGAUAUGAAGGGAAUUCACCCCUCCAUCGUCUCUCAUAAGCUUAACGUUUUGCCAACAACAAGGCUCGUCAAACAGAGGGUUAGACGUUUUCACCCGGACAGGCAAAAGAUUAUCAGGGAAGAGAUUGAAAAGUUGCUAGAAGCCGGAUUCAUUAGAGAAGUGGAGUAUUCGGACUGGUUGGCAAAUAUAGUGGUGGUACCCAAAAAGGAAGGCAAAUGGCGGGUGUGCGUCAAUUACACCAACCUCAAUAAUGCAUGCCCAAAAGACAGUUUCCCUCUGCCACGGAUAGACCAAAUUGUGGACUCCACUGCUGGGCAAAGGAUGCUCUCCUUCUUGGACGCCUUCUCCGGAUACCACCAAAUCCUCAUGUCCCCGGCUGAUGAAGAGAAGACAACCUUCAUAACGCCACACGGUCUUUAUUGCUACAAAGUCAUGCCGUUCGGACUCAAAAACGCUGGCGCCACUUAUCAGAGACUGAUGACGAAGAUCUUCAAGCCUCUGGUCAGCCGCACAGUGGAGGUAUACAUUGACGAUAUCGUGGUUAAAAGCAAAACCCGAGAGGAACAUGUCCUCCACUUGCAAGAGGUCUUCCACCUCUUAAAGAAGUAUGACAUGAAGUUGAAUCCUUCUAAAUGCGCCUUUGGCGUAAGUGUUGGCAAAUUCCUGGGAUUUAUGGUCAACCAAAGGGGGAUAGAGGUUAGCCCGGAUCAAGUUAAGGUAGUCAUGGAAACGCCACCCCCCAAGAGCAAAAAGGAAUUACAGCACCUCACAGGCAAGCUCGUCGCGCUAGGACGCUUAUAACCCGCUUCACUGAUGAGUUGCGACACUUCUUCUUGGCAAUACGAAAAGUUGGAGCGAGCGGAUGGACGGACAGCUGUCAGAGCGCUUUCGAAAAAAUUAAACAUUGCCUCAUGCAACCACCCAUUCUAAGCAGUCCCCUCUCUAGAGAAAAAUUGUAUAUGUACCUGGCUAUAUCGGAGUGGGCAAUCAGUGCUGUUCUGUUUCGCUGCCCCUCGCCCAAGGAACAAAAACCUAUUUACUACGUCAGUAGAGCGUUGGCGGACGUAGAAACAAGGUAUUCAAAGAUGGAGCUAACGGCCUUGGCUCUUCGAAGUGCCGCUCAGAAGCUCCGCCCUUACUUCCAAGCCCACCCGGUGGUCGUGCUAACUGACCAGCCCCUUCGCAACAUCCUGCACAAGCCGGACUUAACCAGACGAAUGCUUCAAUGGGCCAUAGAGUUGAGCGAAUAUGGAAUCGAGUUCCAACCCAGGUUGUCCAUGAAAGGCCAAGUGAUGACUGACUUUGUGCUGGAAUACUUCCGAAGGCCUAUCCAGCGUAAGGAACCAAGUGAAAAAGAGUGGUGGACUUUGCGCGUUGAUGGAGCCUCCCGGUCAUCAGGAUCCAAAGUAGGGCUCCUGCUGCAAUCCCCAAUAGGAGAACAUCUGGAGCAAGCCAUCCGACUGGGGUUCCCCACCUCUAACAAUGAAGCGGAGUAUGAGGCCAUCCUAUCCGGAUUGGACCUCGCCCUAGCUCUAUCCGUCUCCAGGCUCCGGGUCUAUAGUGAUUCUCAACUCGUGGUAAGGCACGUCCAGAAAGAAUACUAAGCUAAGGAUGCGCGCAUGGCGCGAUACCUGACUAAAGUAAGGGACACCUUACAACAGUUCACCGAAUGGACGAUCGAAAAAAGAAAACGAACUGAAAAUGGACGUGCCGACGCCCUAGCAGGCAUAGUUGCUUCACUCCCUAUCAAAGAAGCCAUAUUAUUGCCUAUACAUGUGCAAGUCAACCCUUCCGUCGCGGAAACCUCCACUUGCAAUACCAUUGAGGCAAACCAAGCAGACGACCAAGAGUGGACGGAAGACAUUAUAAGGUACCUCCAAACAAGCACUCUGCCCGAAGAGCCCAAGCAAGACACAAGAUCCGGGUCCAAGCCGCCCGUUUCACCUUGAUCAGGGGGCACUUGUACAAGCGGUCCUUUACAGGCCCCUAUCUCAAGUGCUUAAACCACUCAGAGGCCCUGUAUGUAUUAGCUGAGUUGCAUGAGGGGGUAUGUGGGAACCAUUCCGGAGGUCGAUCUCUGGCGCACAAGGCCCAUUCGCAAGGGUAUUACUGGCCCACGAUGAAAAAGGAUGCGGCAGCCUAUGUCAAAAAAUGUGACAAGUGUCAAAGGCAUGCCCCCAUACCACAUAUGCCGUCAGAGACGUUGAAACCAAUUUCAGGCCCCUGACCCUUCGCACAGUGGGGCAUGGACAUAGUAGGACCCCUACCAGCCGCAGCUGCCCAGAAAAAAUUCCUGCUCGUCGCCAUAGAUUACUUUAGUAAAUGGGUGGAAGCUGAAACAUACGCUAGCAUCAAAGACAAAGAUGUCACCAAGUUCGUAUGGAAAAACAUCAUCUACCGCUUUGGAAUCCCCCAAACCAUUAUAGCCAACAACGGUCUACAGUUUGAUAGCAUCGCUUUCCGGAAUUUCUGUUCGGAACUAAACAUCCGGAAUUCAUACUCCACACCGCAUUAUCCUCAAAGCAAUGGACAAGCAGAGACCACAAACAAGACCCUAAUAACUGCCUUAAAAAAAAGGCUUGAGCAAGCCAAAGGGAAGUGGGUAGAGGAGCUACCCGGCGUCCUGUGGGCUUAUCGAACCACACCCGGACGGCCGAUAGGAAACACUCCUUUUGCCCUCGCAUAUGGUAUGGACGCAAUCAUUCCUACAGAAAUAGGGCUACCCACUAUCCGGACCGAGGCAGGAUGGCAGGAUGAUGCAAAUGCGGAAUUGGGAAGAAAUUUGGACUGGGCAGACGAAGUAAGAGAGACCGCAUCCAUCCGGAUGGCCGACUAUCAACAAAGGGCAGCCGCUCACUACAAUCGCAAGGCAAGGCCCAGGAGUUUCAAAAGUGGAACGCUAGUUCUUAGAAAGGUUUUCGAAAACACUGCUGAGACAGGAGCAGGAAAGUUUCAAGCCAAUUGGGAAGGCCCCUAUAUAGUGUCCAAGACAAGUGAAAGUGGAGCCUAUCAUCUACAGAAGCUAGACGGAACCCCAUUGCUCCGACCAUGGAAUGUAUCCAAUCUAAAGUAGUAUUACCAAUGAAAGAAAGAUAGAAGUACAAUGUGAAUGAGUAUGUUUUAUUAAUACUUGUGAAAUUGUAUACAAGAAGGUUCUCCGGACUACUAAUACAGAGAGAAAUGGCAGUAAAAGUUACAAAAAGAAAAGCUCUCAUUGAGAGGGCUUGCGGCGCAACUUUUCUUCCUCGCCCGGGGGAAUCGAAGGGACGUCCCGUUUGAUACCAUGCUUCUUCAUGCAGCAACGGUAGCCAAAGAGAUACAUCUGUCUACCUGCUUCUGGUAUUCCGUCUUGAGUUCCUCCUUUUGCGCAGCAAACUCAGCUUCCAACUCUUCUUUUUGUGCUGAUAAAUGCAACUGCAAGUCCUCUUUCUAUUUUUUCUCAAUUGACACCUUUAUCCGGAGUUGUCUCACCUCCCCCCUCAGCUGGGUCGUCUCGUUCUCCGCCUCGUGCAGGCGAGCUUCUGUAGCUUCCUCCCAUCUCUUUGCCUCUGCUAGCACUAUCCGGAAAGCCUCGUUGUCGUCCUGAGACCUCUUCAAAGCUUCGGCACUCUCUUCAGAGGCUCUCUGGGCAGCGGAUAAGCUGGCUUCGGCCUGCUCCAAUCUCGAGGGCAAUUCUUCUUCACCACUCAUGCGCUGGGAGACAAAAGCCUUCAUGUGGUCGGAAAUCCACAGCAGGUCUAAAAAAAGAUCGCGUUGUUGAACCAUGCCGCGAAUACAGCUCACCAGCUGCAGAAAAACCCACAAUAAGAAGUUCAAUUACAAGCCAUGUGACAAACACACCAGUAUGGCAAGAAAAAUCAAGAGGAGUAGCUAUACCAUUUCUGCCGCCUCAAACAUUUUCACUGAAGGCAGAGCAACAUCUGAGCCAGGUGGAAUCCGUUUCAACAACUCUUCCAACUCCACAUAGCUGAAAGGGCUAGCGAAGGUGCAAGCCGCAUCAUCAACUGAACUCCCUCCUGACAAGGCGUUAUGGUGUGGUUCCUCCCCUGGAUUCGGGUCCCCAUCAUUCACGGCCGACUGGAUCUCUUCGGGCGAACCCUCAUCCGGGACUAGCACCAGGUCGGUUGGGUUCUCUUUCGCCAUCUCCGUCUCACUCUCCUCCGGAUGAUCCUCCUGGGUGGAUGAGCAGCUGACUUCGAUGGUUUUCAGAAGACGAUCCUGAAGCCGCCCGCUGAUGCCGAACUUUAAAUCAAUGGCCGGACGAGACCUCCCCGCAGCUAGCCCCUUCACCGAUACAAGUGCAAGGGAACUCGACUCACAAGGGGGCAAACCCUGCCUUUCAGCCCCCAUUUCUUCCAUUGGAGGCACCGUAGGAGGCAACAUUUCAGCGCAAAAGGGCCCGACUACAUCCGCGUCCGGAUGGGGAGAGCUGGGCUGAUACACUGAGGUUGCUUCCUCACCUAGAAGAGCCAGUCGUUCAGCCGCUGGCAUUGAAGGCCCCGAUCCAUUUUGACCAGGGACACGUACAGAAUCGCUUGAAGCAGAGGGCAAGUCGGAGGGAGCUGGAGAUCUUAUUACUAUUCCCUUUAUGGGAGCUGGAGAUUUUAUUACUACUCCCUUUGUGGGAGCUGGAGAUUUUUUACUAUUCCCUUUGUGGGAACCUUCUUCUUCUUUCCUACUAGGGCGUUAGCGGGAGGUAAGGCACGGAGCGUUUAUCACCAGGGGCCCUCCGCAAAGUUCCCUCUUGUCUUCUUUCCUCCCGUUCGCUGAGAAGAGCUUUGCAUGCCUGGGCGUCUGCCUUUCGCACCUCCGUGUAGAACGGGAUAUCUUUGAGAACGAAAUGCUCCCUAGGCACUACCUUUUUUGGCAACUUCCUAGGGAGAAUAUUGGUGACGUACGCCUAGGGCUCCCGGACAACGGCCAAUAAGUUUCGCGCAGUAAGCAGCAUCUGAUGAUGUCUCUCAGCUGCAGUAAUCUCAAACAGCUUGUUCAAUCGGUCGAAGGACGAUUUUUCCACCAACUCGACCACGCGACCCCUCUUGUCCGUAUCUGCAUUAUCAGCAACCAAAGAUGUUAGUCAUCUGAUAACCCCAAAAUAAGAAGAGCAACAGACGAACGCCGAACAAACCCCACAAACUACCUUACCCGGAAGCACCAGCGAACGGUUUGGGGAAAACGGUCUCCGGAUGCUCUAGUAGACCAACCCAGACACCCUAGACUAAUACAUGCCCCUUGGCUCCUCCCUUCGUCGAAUCCGGAAGAUCAGUCACCAAUUGGAGAGAAGGUAGGCGGGCAGCCAGACUGAAGACGUCAUUUUCCCCUUCUUGAUGGAGUAGAUGAAAAGAACCUCCAGCAGUGAAAGGUCCAAGUUGAACAGCAUGCUCAAAAUGCUGCACCCCAUGCCAUCAGUACCCGGACCAUGUUGGGAUGGAUGUAGGCCGGGGGGAUCUGGGUGAAGUGGAGAAAUUCUUUGAACAACGAUGGGAGGGGGAACCAGAGCCCAGCAUUGAAUUGCUCCUUGGUGAAGAAGAUAGCGUUGUCCGCAGAUUUCUCAAUUGACAUGACCUCUCCGUCCAUAAGUUGAACGGACACGCCAUUCGGGAUGCAGAAGCGUUCGCAGAACUUCCUCACGUUCAGCUUGUCCACGGAUUUUUCCGCAUGGACCUUUCUGGAUGCAUCUUUGCCGCUCUGCCCUGCCGCGCUAGACGAAGCAGCGUCCUUGUUCGUAGACAUUUUUUAGAGUGGGGCUGAAGCGGAACCUGCAUGGUAGGAUGCCAACAGUAAAAAAAUAAGGACCCGACCCCACAACCCUAACGGCAAAAAUGCCCAGAAAACCUAACAUAACCAGCAUCUCCAUCCUAACCCUUGACUCUACCCCAAAGAAAGAUCGGCAACCCACAAAAGGUGCAGGGGGGCAACAGAAACCCUAACGCACCCAAAACACAACAGAAUCCCUCGAAAAAGCCCUAAAAACCGACAUCGACCCCCAGUAGCAAGUACCUUGCCCAACAAGCCAGAAACAACCGCAAAACAAACACAAUGAGGAGAAGGCAGGGAUAGAGAACGUACCGAGCGUAAACUAGGAAAAUGGAGAUGAAGUCCGCGAUGCAGUCACCGUCACGACACGAGUAUUGCUAGCAAAAACCCUAGAACCUCACUCACAGACGAAGGUAUGCAGAAGGUUGCAGAGAAAGCACUACCAGCAAAAAAUGCAGAAGAAAAAAAUGCAAGAGUGAGGGGCUCAAUCUGCUAUUUAUAGCGAGACAGCCCCUCAGUAUCCCAAACGUCCAGCCGCGCCGUUGCUGAAAAGACACGCUGCCUGGGAAAUCCCAGAGACGACGGCUCGUCAUAAAUACCCUGUUUCCUCUUCGCCUCCGCGCACCACGUGGCCCAAUGAGUGCAAAAAGUAACAUAAGUUUCAAAAACAAUCAUUUUUAACUCGCCCAUUCUGCCCGGGCAAAAUCGGCAGGCUAAAAGGGGGGCAUUGUAGGGACCCCUCCCCCUGAUAACACGUGGCGCGCUUCGCUAUCCGGAGCAACUCCAUCCGGAUUCCCCAAAGAGGGACACGUGGCGCGCUCCCCUAUCCGGACUCCCUCAGGGAGAAGCACACGUCACUCGCGAAUGUCACGCCCGGACGAUAACAUAUCCUAUCCGGAUCAUUGACUGAAGUGAGCAAGUCUUGCUACAUCAUUCCGACAGCCUGCCACAGCCCACGUUCCGCCGUCUGCAGAGCGAAAGGACAGGAAUGAUGGCAAGUCGCCCCUCACGAUCUCUGACAGCCGUCUAUAGGGUGAUGAUGACUCUGCCACCACCUAAAGGCAUCAUGACGAGCCAAAAAGUCUUCCCAUCAUUAAAGAGGGAGGCAGAGCUUCUGACACUAUAUAUAAGGACCUUCACACAAGGAGGAAGGUAAGCUUGCUAUACCUAGAAAAAGGCCAACUGCUUAAUCUCUCUAGACAUGGCUGACAAGACCAUCGGAGGGUGUGUCCGGACACCUUGUCCGGACAUCUUUUGUAGGGACAACUGAACCAGAAAUCUAUCUUGGUUCAAAGCGUGCGUCCACUUGGCAGCUACGUGGAUCAUCGGGACGCAAGGCCUCAACAUUGGCGCCGUCUGUGGGAAAAUCGCUGAUUCAGUCACAAAGACGCAAAGAAAGGGUGAACCAGAAAAAUAUCAAUUAACAUAAACAGCUCCAUUUCUCAUAUUAAUCCAUGGGCUGGACAGGGGAAACAAUAAAGAAUUGGAUUUAAACAUAAACAGAGUAUUGACCAAAUUCAAGCACAGGGUCAUAUAUUUCAGCAGACACCAACGACAUUAAAGGAACAAAAACAAAACAGGGCAAACAAGUAAGCAAACAAUCUCAACAAAGAAAUUUGUGGCCCUUUCCGUCCACACCAAUCAACAAUAUAUUGAAUAUUCAGAAAUGACCAAUUGGAGAAAUCGAGUAUGAAUAAGAACACCAAAAGUAACCAGAAACAUACUUGGGCAGUCUUGCUUCCAAUCGCUCCCUCUUUCUGCUCUUCUCUGCGCUUUUCUUCAAGAUCUCUCUAAAGAAAACCCCCAAAGACAAUCUCCGAAUCUUCCCCAAAAAAUCCUCAUUUUCAACAUCCUUUUGCACGUAUAUAUAUCAACCCCCCCAAAGACCUAAAUCUGUUCCAAAACCAAAUAAGGAAAAUCCCCCUUUCCUUUUUGUUCUUUUCUUCCUUUUUUAAAUCUACUUUCCUUCUUUUAACACUUUAAAUUUCCUUUCCAUCCUCCGUUCAGCCGUGAUCUGCUUUCCUUUCUUUAAGGAUAUAAAUCUCCUUUCCAUGUUGCAUAGAAUAUCCCCACAUGUAUGCAGCCGUGUACAUCAAGGAUCUCAUCCGAUGUGUGCAUUCGAAUCUCAUGCCAAAAUAAAAUAAGAAUUAAAAUUAGUAAAGGUCAUGAAAUUGAAAAUUAAAACUAAUUUAAAAUUAUGCAAUUAAAAACAUUAUGUCUAUCAUAGGUACACAAAAAUAAUUAAGACAUCAGUUUACACAAUUAGUCAUUAAUCUCAUGCAAUAUUCUAUAAAAUAAAUAAAUAAAAACAAAUAACUAACCAAAUAAUAAUAAAUAAAUAAGUAAAUAAAUAAAUAAAAUAAAUAGAUAAAUAAAUAAAUAAGAAAUCAAGUACAUGCAAGCAUUAAAAAUGCAAAUCAUGCAAAUUAUGUAAGUCAUAUAGGAAUUACCUAAAAGGUAACUGUAGACCCUCAAUUUUGUCCCUCGACACUGGCAUUUAUCCUUCGGGUGUCACAUCCACCCAUCGUUCGCAUAUGGCACCACUAGGGCCCUUUUUGGGCUUAGUCGGUGUCCGAGCCUCGUGUGGGUUUGUCUGUGGUCCAUUGUGGUGCAUAUGUGGUUCAUUUUGGAGGGUCACCAUGGCCAUUUUCCUAGUCGUUCACAUCACGCUAUAGGAAGGAAGUGGGGUCAUCCCGAUGUUUUAGCUUAGUUGGAGUUUAUAGGGGCAUGUUGAGGUUCGGAGCACUCGGGCUUGUUUUGAUCGUAUCUCCCUCAUCCAAACUUGAAAUCAAGAACCGUUUCUUUUUAUGGAUUCCUUAUUCUUCUAGGAACAUUCUGUAAAAUUUUCAAAUUUUUUUUGCAACCAGUCGGCUGGUUGGCAGCCGGUUUAGCCGGUUUAUCGAGUCAGCCGGUGUAGAACACUGAUUUUUGGUAAUUGUUUUGAUCAUAUCUCCCUCUUCUGAACUCGAAAUCACACACCAUUUUUUUCAUGGAUUCCUUACUCUUCUAGGAACAUUCUGUCAAAUUUUCAAAAUUUUUUGCCAUCGGUUCAACCGGUUGGCAUCCGAUUCGGCCGGUUCAGCUGGUUCAUUGAGUCAGCUGAGGUAAAACACUAAUUCUAGUAAUUUUGAGGCCCAAAUCCUACAUGGCUCAAGCCCAUAAGCUCCAGAUUGGUUUUGGGCAAUGUUGUGGGUCCAUUUUGGGCCUUGGUUUGGGUUCCUUGCAGCCCACCACGAAUCCAUAUGGAUUCUUGGUGGUGAAGCAAGCUGAAAAUUGAAGGGAGUGAGUUGGCCUCGUAAGUUUAAGAGAAAUAAUGGGGGGUGUGGUUUCCAUGCUGAUGGAGGGGAUUUCGGUACUGAAGGGGAAGGAACCCAGGAGGCUCAAAUGCUAAGAGGGGUAUGAGUAUAAAAGGUGAGAGGAUAGGAGAGCAAAGAACCUUUUGGCAUUUUUGAGAGGGGAAAUUUUGCUGGUGAGAAAAACAAAAGGUCAGUAGCAUCUUCUGAGUUGAGAGUGUAGACCCUCAAUUUUGUCCCUUUAGCACAUGUCUUUAAAAUUCGUUUUCAAUGCUCCACAAUAGUUCCUUGGUGGCCCAUGGCUACUCAUACCACUUACCUUUUUCUGAGUCACCUCGGAGAUUUUGGUUGAGGGAUUAUUUGAUCCCUUAUUGUGACCCUUGGUAGCCCUAAUUUAGACUUAGGUUUUUCAUUCAUUUUUAGGAUAGCUUUUAGAUACACUUGGCCUUUAGGCACCGCUCUAGGCCCACUUAGGCACACUUGGCCCAUUAGGCACUUUUAGACUCACUUUUUGUAUGACUUACACGGUUGCAUGACUCGUGGAGCCCAGUUUUUGUUAAUUUGUUUAUUUUUAUUUCUUAGUUUUAGUUUUAUGAUUAUCAAUCACUCUUAUUUUUAUUUGUUUUCUUCCUCUUUAUAUUAUCUUUCUUAACUUGAUUAUUCAUUAUGUUUUUUUUUAUUAUUAUCCUCUAGUUUGUUUACUUAUUUAGUUACUCAUUCAAUUAUUUACUUUCAAAAAUUUCAUGUUUUUGCAAGGAAACUUACUAUUGGAGUUUAAGGAAGGUGGGACUCUCCUUGGAAGGUUUUGGAGAGGAAUUUGAAAUUGGGAAGACUACUUUUGAAUUGGAAGAUUUUAAGAAAAGGGAUAAGGAGAAAAAAUGAGAGAAAAUAGGAGAUUUCACCUUUUUAGGGAGAUUUAGGUUUUAGGGAAGGGCAGAUAUAUAUACGUGAGAGAGGAAGGAAAAGGGGGGUUUUUUUUUUCGAUUGAGGGAGGAGAUUCUUUUGGGGGCAGCAUGCAUCGAAAGAUUUCAGAGGGAAGAAGGAAGAAGGAGUGACUGGGCAAAAAAGGAUUUGUAUAUGGGAAAUUGUCUUCAGAGGUAAGAGGGAAGAUAGCCGGAAGCCAAGCCAUUGCAGCCAAGACUGCCCAGAAUUUAAAAUCCAUUGGGUCUGGAGGAGAGGCACAGAGGAGAGGGGACUUUCAGCAUGCAUUAAGAACGAAGUGGAAUUAGAAAAGAGAAGCAAUCUCUGCUUCUUCAGAAAAGUUCUAAGGUAAACUCCAUGUGAAUCUUGCUGAUUUCUCAUAUAUUGUUACGGAUAUUGUUUCAUUCCCUACUUUUUUUUUUUUUAUCAUUUGAAUUCAAUGAGACUCUAUUUUAUGGUAUAUUAUUUCAAGAUUUGGUUGCCCAGAUUCUCUUUAUUCCUCCCACCAACCUAAUCUCGUGGACCGAAAUAUGAAACACGACUUUCUCUAGAUCAUUCUAUUUUCAUCCUUUAUGCUUUCUUUUCUUGGUUGCCUUCUUUGUUCUUGUGUGUAGUUUCAAGGGAGACGCGCAUCACUAAUUAAUCACGUUAGAGAGGAGCUUUUGAAUACUGCUGAAACCUGGGACUUAGAACCCAAAUUCGGAAGCGGCAAGCUGGCUUGAUGACUCUAAUGAGAAUUUUGUUUCAUGGGAAAAAUGACUUGAUAGCGAUUGAAUAUGGAUUGAUAGGGAAUGGAUACUUCAAUGCGUCCUAUAGUGGAUUACAAGUUUGGUUCCCUUUAGGGAAGGCAUGUCCAAGACAGGGGAGGGCAAAGUUUUGUGUUCGUGACAUCCUAGGAGCAGUCAGGAUGGCUAAGACCUUGUCAAUGGAUCUCAGUUGUUGUUCUGAACAAUCUGAAUUCAAGCCUGUCGAAUUUAAGCAGUGCUUUUGAGAGUUAUGGGACUGCGGAAUAACUACAGCUGAUCCAGCUUAUUUCACGACCUUUUACUCUAGCGUCAACCUGAAUCCAAGGCUUCCUCCACCUCUCAUUUAAUGGGAGAAUCAAUGCCUGUUCCCUAUCCACUUACAAAGAGGAGUCUGAUGACGAUAGGCCAUCCCGGAAAACCUCAGAUGAUUGGCCAGAAAGCAGCAGUGCAGUUAUGCCUAGACAGAGGACAGUUUCUUCAGCGGAUUGUCAUAAAAGUUCAGUUGAUCUGAUACAAGAGGACUUCCCCUGCACCUCAUCACCUAUAUAUAAUUAGUUUCCUUCCUCAAGCUAUGCAGCGAUGGAUGAACUAUUUAAUCGCAUUACCUCUACAUAAAGAUCUCUCAGGGAAUGAACCACUCUUAUAAUGACACGGAAAAACUUCCCCAUGCACUCUCCAAGUUCCCUUCAGUUGAGGUACAAUCUAUGAUGCAGUCUCCUAGGCUCACCCCUCCUCUGUAUGCAACAGCAGCAACGUAUAUCACUUCAGGAAGUCCAUUUUAUCCUAAUUUGCAGACAAUGAUGGAUCCUCAUCCGCAAUUGUUAGUCUAAUAUCAAAGGAGAAGCCUAUUAUCCUUAGUCAUGCAGGAAUUGAAGAUUGCAUUGGCCUUCCCCCAAAGCUGCAAUUCCCCCUUUCAUCACGGAACUUGAAUUUGGAUGGACUCUCAAAUUUGGCUUUUUCUCUGUUUAUACCUUUUAAAGGUCACUCGGUACAUUGUUACAUCUAAGUCCCUUUGAGUUGGAAGAUUCUGUGGGAGCAUUAAGAUGCAUUUUUUUAACCCUUUGUUCGAUUAUGUCCGUAUUUCUCUAUUACAAACUUUGAGCAAGCAUUUGGAAUGUCUAUCAGAUGAAGGUUCCUAAUUUGCUCCCAUUUGUUUGAGGUGUCUUAAUUGAGGUUUGCUGGAUUCAGCACGUGGCCAAUUUUCAUGGCUGAUUUCCUACUGAUUUAUGGUUCAGGUUUGAAACCUGGUUUUGAUUUUAGUUGAUUGAAGUUAUUUGACAAUGACCACUGCAAACAACCUGUGGCUGUAAAGUUUGAGAUACUUCGGUGUUUGUGUGAUAAUGUGAUUGCAGUGGAAGUGCUAAGAUCAGAGCUCAGUAGAAGAUCAUUGGCAGCUGAGCCUGAUAAGGAAUUCAAUCAGAAUGUUAACAUUGAGAUUUGCAAGAAAAGGAAGGUCUGCUGUUAAAACAGAAUGGAUAUCACAAGACCCGUCACUGAGACAUUUGGAUUUAUCAUUUGUUGGUGAAUCAAUCAUGUAUCCAGAAAUAAACUUACUUAUAGAUGAACUAUAUCAUAAGGCAGAUUCGUACCCUUUUUGUGACAAGAGCGCAGUUUCCUGAAAAGGUCAGAGAACUACAAUCUGUUGCUCGGUGUUACAUUAGCAUAGAUGCUACAACAAAGGACAACUAGAAGGCAAUUUCCCAAGACCUAAUGCCUCAUUUCUGAAACCUGCAAGUGGAGAUGAAGUAUUAUCCAAAGAAUCUAAAUGAUGAUAUGGUGCUUCAUUAAAAUCUGUCUAGAGAAUUCAAACAGAUCAAUGUAGAGCUAUCUUUAAAGUCAUUCGUGAAAUCCAAAGGACAAAGCGCGGCAAAAGAUGCUACUGCUCGCGAUCUCGAACGCAAAGCAAAGAUUGUGGUAUCCAUUGAUCCCGAGAAUAUUGGAUCUUCUAAAGAGAGUUUAUGGUUGUUCCGACAGAUAAUUUUCUUUCAUCAAAACUGCUGGUUAAAAUUUUAAACGAACACCCCCGAGAGUUCAAUGAGAUGUGCCCUUACCCGUCUCGGAGCCAUGAACGAAAGCCCCCAUGCUAUUCAGCAAAUGUUUCUCGAAUGUCAUAGUCCUCUUUGAUCCAGCAUUCAGCUUUGAGUGAUCCUCUUCAUAGGAAAGAAAAAGGGAAGUGACAAUUCAGCUUCUUUUGGUAUGAAUGAAGAUGAGGAUUCUAGUAUUCAGAUGAUAUUCUCGGAUAAUGACCAUCCGGAAUUUGACUAUGAUGUUUUAUCAUGUUCUCAUAAUGGUUUGAAUGAAGAUUGUGAUAUCCAAACAAAGAGUAGUUUGCAAACAGAAUCCAUUUGCCUUCUACAAAGCUCGGGAAAAAUUGUGUUGAAUAAUUUAAGGGCGGAGGAUAAUAUUGAUGAGUUUCUAACAGAAGCAAGCUCAUCACCUUCAGCAUGGAGUAAGGUAUCUCAGAAUGUGCUGCGGACUGUGAUGCGUACAUGCUGUGAAGCAUACAAGCAGACAGAUGUUCUCCAGUUUCAUUGCAAGCAUGAUCUGGAUCGAAUAUGGACACAUGUGCAAUCUUGAAUGCUGAUAUGCAGCAGCAUCUAUUAUGCCAUUAGCCAAAUUUUGUAAUUUUUGUGGUCCUAUUAAUAUUUCGUAUUGUAUUCAGGAUGAUAGAGUGCUUGAUGCUCCCGGUGACGCAUUGACAGAAUGGUUAUACCAAGACAGUUAGAAGUGGGCUUCUUCCGGUUAAAAGGAAGAGUGAGGCAAUGAGCAGCAGUAUCUAUACUGCUAAUAAACCUCUAGUUCAAAAGACACGAGCCAACGAAGCACAGAGUAUAAAUUUCCAAGUGGCAAAGCUCGCCUUGAGGGUUUAUAUGCAAUAAACUCAUCAUACUUGAUUCUAAGAAGAAAGUUGAAAGCACCUGAGGCUGCACUCCUAGUUACACUAUCAGUCUUCUGCUUCAAAUAUCAUAGUUAGCAUCCAUUCCAAUCCUUAGAACCAUGGAUAUUUCCCCGAGUUGAUUGGAAGGUCUGGUUCCUUUAAACAAAACCAUAUCCGCUAGUGAUUUUAUGAAGAGUCCAGAAUUUGAAUACGUUGACGAUCAUGUUGCUCUUGUAGUUUGUUUCUUUGAGAUGAAGAAGGGCCCUAAUUUCAACCUUGGGAAGCAUUUGAAGAGAACCAGAUUUAUCAAGAGAUGACAUAGGAGGCAAACAUGACUAAGUUCUCUGGAACACUUAGAAGUGUAAGUCAGAAUUUCAGCCUUGCUGCAAUAUAUGAUGCCGAAAUUGCCAACAAUUCCGCCAACCUACAGAAAAUUCCAAUGUUUGAUUUGAAUGCUGAUGAAAAACACAUUGCUUUUGCGAAGUUCUCAGAGAAGCACCGAUUAUUCCAUCUAUUGUACGUGUGCGACAUGAAGUCCAACGACAGAUUUGCUCCUCGAAGAUGCCAUGAUUGAAAUGAGGAUGAUGAUGCUUUGGCUAGUGGGAACAUUAAAUCAUUAGUUCUAAAGAAAUCAACUAGGUAAAAGCCUGAACCUUCCUUCCCAGAGUCCAUUGGGUUGGUGGAUUUUGAAAACGAUUUUACUACUUAUAGUAAGUCGAAGCAAGUCAAAUCCAGCAGUAGUGAUGUUGGGACACAAUGCAAAUCAAUUAGUUCCUUGAAUUUAAACGGCAAAGCUGCAAUCAAAUAUCCACUCUUCCUAAUCCUUUACCAGCACCAAGCAGUUAAUGGAAUGACCAGAACGCAAAAGAUAACCCUCUCCCAAGAAAUGCAAGUCUCAAGAAAUGAGGAACUGCCGACAGAAUUGGGUAAGAAUCGGGGCUUGCCACUGCCAGUAACUCUAAUGACGCUACUGAUUCUGGAUUCAGGUUAAAAGAUUUAAAUUUGAGAGUAAACAUACUGUUACUCAGUUCAACAGAACACAUCAACAAGCUUGCUUAGUUCAACGGAACAUACCAGCAGAGGUGGCAGGUCCAGGUAUCAGAUGGAAUGGGGUAACUUAGCAAUGAGAACAAGUGAAGAAUCUACAGAUUGCCCAAAUGUUUCCAAGAUUACUCACAGAUACGUUCCAGAUUCUCAAGGAUCCCUUCAACACUGUCGAGCUUGUCAAGAAGUAGGAGAGACUGCAGUAACUUCAAACCUUUGCACAUAAUGAACAUCUACAAUUUGUCAGAACUGAGAUGACUCCCUAGAACUUGCAAAAUUUAUACUCUCAAAUGCAGUAGGAACAGAAAGUUGUACCCUCAGAUCUGAAAUUGAACCUCAAAGAUCGAAACAGGUGAUGAUGUCCAAACAUGACUAAAAAAAAAUAAAGCAAGGAAGUUAAAGAAUUCUAAUACAAAAUUACAGCUGGAGAAUUCUGAUUUGCAAGUUUUGUUCUGAGGUAGAAGAAAUAAAGAAACUAAACCAUAGUUUGAGACACGGAAAAUGGAGUUUUGUCAAAGAAAUUGGGCAACUUCAAGCAGAUCAAUGUGUUGACGUGAAAAGACUUAGACAACUCCCUGCACCAUAAACUUGAGGAGGAAGUCAGGCUGCCAACAGAUGAAUAUGAAGGUACAGAAAGGCUUGAGGAAAAGGAAAUCGCCUUCAUUUUCGACCAGGACCUAUGAUCACCCUCCAAAGCUGAAACCAAUUGGGGAAUUGAUGCCAAAACUCUUGGAAGUAAAUCUGAAUGUAGGGGGAUUUCAAGGAAUCAGAAAAGGCCUGAGAAUGCAGUGAUGUAAGGUACUUGAAAGCAUGCAAGAGAGUAAAAAAGGGGAAUUUAAAGAGAAUAACAGCAGCACCUGCAAUCACCAGCAAUGCAAACUUAGCUGUACUCCCAAGCUCCAGUUCAUCAUUUCUACCUUGCUACACACACCCUCUCCUCUAUUUACUUCUGUGAUUGGGAACUUACUGUUUUAAAUUGAAUUUUUGAACCAUUGUUCAACUAAACAUUCCCAGCUUUGAAAAAUCGAUCUUAGGAGCAUCUAGGUGUAAAAUCCCAGUUUUAACAUGCUAUUUGCUGCCAUUUUCCUCCGAGCAUGCACUUUCACUAUUUUAUUUCAUUUUCAACUGUUUUCAUGAUUUUCUCGAUUUUCUCAAGCAUGAAUAAAACUUCAUAAUUCCAAAUCAUGGAAUCUAUGGAAUCAACUCAUGCGAAAUUAAUUAGGGCUUUGGUGGGGGCCCGACAUUCAUGAUAUUAUCUUCAAUAUUAUUUGCUUGAUAUCUGAUUGAUUUUUUAUUCUUCUCGAUGAAAUACUUGAAUUCGCUUUAUAUUUAUUGUUGAGAUAUCCUUGUUUCCCAUAGACGUGUGGAUGCUCGCUAAAUCAGGUACGCUCUUCCCACCCUACAACUCUGAAAUUCUAUGAAUGUGUACGUUAUCAUGAGCCAUGACCAUGUUUGAUGCCACAUUUGAUUGUGUUGAUGCUUGUUUGAUCAUCUUUGAUAAAAUACAUGUAAUGUGUCAUAUUUCCAAACUAAUCUCCUAAGUUUUAUGAUAGCGCUUGAGAAGCCGUUCAGGUACGCACUUCGACUCUCUCUUAUAGUUGGUUUUCUUAUUAGGCAUGCAAUAUUUGAAAUCACCUAGCCUACUUAGGUGUCCAUAAUUAACUGAUUAAUGGUCACACUUCCCUUAACUUUGUCAGUAGAGACCUUUAGAGGGCUUAGAGGGGUGUUACCUUUUAAAGGUACCUUCCCAAUAGGUAACCUGAUCCCCGGACUUAGACACGGGUUUUUCAAAGACAUGCUUUUUCCAAAAAUUAUGGAGUCACUUUUUUUAAGGUUUUUCUUUCUUGUUUUAUUUUCCCUUUAAAAUAAAAAUAAAAUAAGUGGCGACUCCGACUUUUCUAAAAAUUAAUUUUUCACAAAUAAAAAGCGAGUCUCGCCGAUCGAGUGGGGGCGCACGUGAAAAAUACGGGUCCACAGAGAGCGUGGGGGAAAGCUUCAGCACUGUGGUUUUUUUGAAGAGGAGAGUGACAGCAUCUCAGUUUUGGAAGUCAUCAUCGGCAUACACGGAUCAUAUUUGGUGGAGAUUCUGAGGUAAGCAUGCUGAAUUUUCUUUACUUACAGUUUAUCUUCCUCGUCUUCAUGUGCUUUUUCUCCUUCCUCAUCAUCUUUUCUUCCCUUUGAUAUGAAGAUUGUAUUGCUUGGGUGUGGAUAAUAAAGGCCACACAUGAUUGUUGUUGAUUGGUUAUGAAUGGUUUAGGAUCUUUCUGAUCGAAUUUGGGAUUUUUUAUCAACCGGCUAAACUGGUUCAGCACAAUAGCUGGCUGCCUCUGUUAGCCAUGAGGAACACCUACCUUUCUUUGUAUGGUUCUCACUCAUUCGGGCUCGGAAUUGAGAACCGUUUCUUUUGUUUGCUUCCUUAAUCACUUAGGAACUUUCUGACUGAAUUUGGGAUUUUUUAUCAACCAGCUGAACCUGUUGGAAACCGGUUCAGCACCAUAGCUGGCAGCCUCUGUCAGCCAUAAGGAACACCUGCCUUUCUUUGUCUGGUUCUCACUCAUCUGGGCUCGGAAUUGAGAAUCGUUUCUUUUGUUUGCUUCCUUAAUCACUUAGGAACUUUUUGACCGAAUUUAGGAUUUUUUAUCAACCAGAUGGACUAGUUGGAAACCGGUUCAACCGGUUCAGCACCAUGGCUGGCUGACUCUAUCAGUCAUGAGGAGCACCUGAUCGGGCUUUGUUUGGUUCUCACUCAUCCAGGCUCGGAAUUGAGAACCGUUUCUUUUGUUUGCUUCCUUAAUCACUUAGGAACUUUCUGACUAAAUUUGGUAUUUUUUAUCAACCGGUUCAGCACCAUAGCUGGAAGCCUCUAUCAGCCAUGAGGAACACCUGCCUUUCUUUGUUUGGUUCUCACUCAUCCGAGCUCGGAAUUGAGAACCGUUUCUUUUGUUUGCUUCCUUAAUCACUUAGGAACUUUUUGACUGAAUUUGGGAUUUUUUAUCAACCGGAUGGACCAGUUGGAAACCGGUUCAACCGGUUCAGCACCAUGGCUGGCUGACUCUAUCAGUCAUGAGGAGCACCUGAUCGGUCUUUGUUUGGUUCUCACUCAUCCAGGCUCGGAAUUGAGAACCGUUUCUUUUGUUUGAAUCCUCACUCAUUUAGGAGUUUUCUAGAAAAAUUUGGGAAUUCUUCUCAAUAGGUUUUACUAGUUGAGAACUAGUUCAACCUGUUCUGCUGGAGGACUUUAGGUAACCCUCGAUUUUGGCAUUUUUCGAGCCCUUAUCCAUUGGGGCUCAAACCCAUUUGCUAUAGGGUACUUGUGAGCCAUCUUGAAGGUUUAAGUCAGUGUUUGAUUUCAGUUAGUAUGGGCAAUUUUGAAGUUAUGGGUGGUGUGGUCUAGAUGAGUCUAGUUCGAUUUGUAUGACAUUUGGGGAGUCCCUUACCUCAUUUCAACCAACUAUCUUCCUUUUUGGCACAAGCUUGGAUGCUUGAUUUUGAAUACAUGUUGCGUGAUUGACUCACCCUCUGCUGUAGCACAUGGCUAGGGACUACAAGUACGCAUCGUUGGUUUUGAUUGUUGAAUCAUAUGCAUGCAUGGUGCUUAAUCUUGAAUGUUUGUUAUGUGUUUAUCAACCUUUUAUGCAGCGCUUGGCUAGGGACCACAGGUACGCACCCAUUAUUUUGGUUGGUUGAAUUCAUAUGCAUGCCAAAUACCAACUAGGAUUGUGUGAUUCAUGACAUCUAUUUAGCCUAGGGUUUCAUCUUUGACCCAUAUGCUCCCACAUACCCAAUUCAUUAGUAGAGACCGAGUUCCGGGCCUAGAGGGGUGCUACCUCGCAUGAGGUACCUUCCCAAUGGGUAACUUGAUCCCUGGACCCAGAAUCUAGUUUUCGCAGACCGUUUUUUCCAUACUGGGGUCAUUAGGGGUUUUUGUUCUUACUUAAUUUUCCCCAUUUUAAAAACAAAAAUAAAAAGUAAGUGGCGACUCCAAACGACACCGUUCCUCACCGAGGGCGGGUUUUUCAAAACUGGAAAACUCAACUUUUUCAUUAUUUCUUUUCAUUUUAAAAGCGAUGUCGCGCCGGUCCGAUGGAUCAGGUGAGGGUCCACAGUAACACAGGUGGGUCAGAUGCCUAAGUGAAUCUAAAGUGAGCUUGUGUGGGCUAGAAGGUGCCUAGGUGGGUCUAAGCGGGUCAAGGUGAAUCUAAGCGGACCUAGGGUGGUGCUUAAAGGACCAAGUGCAUCUAAAAAACUAUCCUAAAAAUGAAUGAAAAGCCUAAUUCUAAAUUAGGGCUGCCAAAGGUCACAAUAAGGGGUUAGAUAAUCCUUCAACCAAAGUCUCCGAAGUGGCUCAAAAAAGGUAAGUAGUAUGAGUAACAAUGGGCCACCAAGGAACUACUGUAAGUAUCGAACCAGUAUCUAAUAGGACAUGUGCUAGGAUGACAAAAUUGAAGGUCUACAAUACCUUAGUUGUGUUUUCAUAUUCAUCUCAGACUUCUUUGGACUUUGUUGCCUUCGAAAUUUGAGGAAAAAUACUUUCUGCAAUUGCUUGUUGAAUAAAAAAUAAAACAAUGUCUCAACAUCUUUCUUUCACACAUUUCUAAUAGCAUAUGUUAGAAUCUCCUCUUCUAUACAAUCCUUAUUCACAAACUCCCACAAAUGUUCAGAGAUAAAAAAAAGUCCAUAUCUUUGAGCUUUAAAUGUCAUAUCCGCUUCCUUUAAAAAAUGGUAUCAUAAGCUGGAUUGGAUAACCAUUCAAUGAACUUGACUAUGAUGCCAAACAAUAAUCCAAAAAAGACGCAAUCUUAACAAUCGUAAGAAAGAAAAAGGUUAAAAAAGCGUUCUCUGCAAUAGUAAGGAAGAAAGAAGUUAAAAAAUAACAAAACACUUCGAAAAAUCUUUGGGAUAAAAGAAAGAAGUCUGAAAUUUUAUUCUUUAGAUUUAUCGUGAAAUAAAGCGCCUCAUUGAUAUGGCUUGCAAGGUGGCCCGCUUCACAGUAAAGUUGUACGUAUGGCCUCUUCUUUAUUUAUUAUUUCUUUUAAUUUCUGUGUUUUUUCUGUCAUAUUAAUAGAAUAUCAUGGAAAAUUCCCUGGUAUAUUUUGCUAGGCCCACAUCCUAGAACUGUGGAAAGGCCGGAUAACAACGUUGAAUCAAAUAUGAUGGAAGACGUUGGUUAGUUGUGUGGUGGAGAGGAGGCGCUCAAGUCUUCUCCUUUGUCUCUUAUUUAUUUUUUACUUGUGUCUUUCCUUUAUAUUAAUUGAGUGGUCAGGAAAAUGUUAUUCAUAUUCACAACUGUAUCCAUUGACACUCAGGUCAGAUAAAUCAGUUCAAUACUCUAUGCACAUUUAUAAUAUAAUUCUAAUUCCAAUACAAAAUCAAUGUAAAAAUAAAAGAAAGUAGAAUAUAGUUUGAUUCUCCUACUUUCAACUUUCCCUGCUUUGGACUCUUGUUUUUCAAUAUCAGCAAGCGUAGAGCCGGUUCUCUUUGCCCUCUUAUAAAAGAGCUCGUCCAAAGAUCCGAGAGCCCGAGUCUACACAUCUGCAUUUUCUUUUCUUAUAUAACCCCAUCCUCAGCUUGCCAAACCGACCUUAAACAAAAACAAAGAGGCUAUUCUUUCUUUUUCUUGAGCGAAGAGGUUAUUUUGUCUACCAUGUCCGAAAUCGUACCUCUCCAAAAUUGACAAUAUUCAACAACAAAGGAGAGGAAAAAGCAAGAACAGAGGAUGCAACUGAGAAAUGAAAGGCCCGAGGAAUGCGGUAAAACAACGUACAAGCCGGUUGCGAAAGCGAUCGCCAUUGCUCCCAUCCCAACCAUGGUGAAAAUAAAAGCCCAAAGCAAGUGCUUCUCAAGGAACUCAUCAUCUUUGCGCAUGGUCAUAAAAAAGUGAAGAAAUACGGCGCAUAGUGAAGACACCAUGGCUAUGGUAUCCGUCACAACAAAUGCUCCGAAAGCUGCUUUCUUUGAUAAAAUUGCCUUGCCAUCAUCUUCUUUGUAACCACCGGGCAAGGUGAAACCCGCAGCAAAAGUUACUGUUGUUAUAAGCGCGGAAACUAUCAAAUGGGUUUCACCUUGUUUUCGUAAUUCAGAGGUGUAUUUCUCCUUGUACUCUUUGCUUUCUGUCUCUUUCUUCAAUUUCUUCAUUGACUUCUCCAUAGCCAUAGAUGUAUUACCGGGCAUAGCCCACUCGAACUGCUCUUGGAUCUGAUUCGGAAAUUGGAUGAGAGGAACAUUUAAAUUUAAUUCAAUUGAUCAAUCCAUUUUUUUCACAUGCACUCAUUGCUGGUGAAAAUCUGAUAUAAGUGAAAAAUGCGUGUAACUAAAAUACAUCGAAUCAAGUUAUUUGUUUGUUCUAAACCUUUUUAAUAAAAAUAAUAUGUUUGAGUGCAAAUUUAUUUAAAUUUCAACAUCAAUAUAAAUUAUUAAAUAAAUCCAUUAAAUUCAUUUUUUAACUCAUAAAUAAGUUUUGGAAUAGAUGUUUUGCAAUUAUCUCUUGACAGUAAGAUAAACAAGAGUCUUACUAAUAAUGGUGAAUUCUGGUGCUGGGUCUUAUGCCCAACGUGAACCGAUAGGCUAUGGAUGAAAGGAUGGUAUGUUUAGGUUCAAGGAAACCAAUCAUAUGGUUAAAAGUAACAAAACAUUGCGUAUUUCAAUGAAAAUAUUUUCGUUCAAAUGAGCACAUGCAGUUUGAGAAGCACGAUAUAACGAGCAUUUUUCACUACACGGUAACAAGGUGAUGAGGGAGCCUUACCCUUUUCGCUGAAACGUUCUCCUUGGCCCUCAAAGUCAUGUCGUAAGCUGUCAAUUUUUCAUUGUUGUAUGCCUUCUUAUCCACUUGAUGCCUCCAUAAGAGCCCAACAUCACGAAUUUGGUAACAAGAGAGUAGGUGGAGAGGUGUGUUUCCUUGAGCAUCUUUCUCAUUUACAAGUCCUCUAGUUCUUAACCAUUUGUUUCUAAAAUAACUAUGAAUGUAAUAAUCAUCAUCUCCCUUUUUCAUCAUGGCAAAGUGAAAAGCAUUAUUGCCCUUGUCAUCGACCUGCUCCCGACAACCAGGAGAGUGAGAUACGAUCUCCUCUACUAUUUUAGUAUGAUGGUGGAAAGAUGCAAUAUGAAGGGCAGUCUUGUUCCCAUCUUUAAUCGUAAGGUAGGCUACACUCUUAUCUAUAUUUAGUAAUUCACCCACUAUUGUUGGAUCACAACCUCUCUCUGCACCACAGUGAAGUGGAGACCACCCAUUCUCAUCUACUUGUUUGGUGAGAUCUGACUUCCAUCCCAGUAUCAUCUUUGUUAUUUCUGAUACAGAUAAAGGAAAAAAGUCUGAGAAAAUUAAGGAAAUGAACAAAAUAAAUAAAUGCACUUUCCUUUUGAGUCUACACUUGUAACAAAAAUCAUUAUAUUAAAUCUUGGGUAUUGUGAAGCAUACUACCUUGGUUAUUGCAUAUUACAGCAGCGUGCAAGGCCGUUCUACCCAUUAAGCCAUUGUAAGAUGGUGAAGUACUAUUGUCUAUGAUUAUUUUCACCACGUCCCUAUAUCCUCUCUCCGCAGCCAUGUAAAGAGGAGUCGUACCUGAAUCAUUAGCACCAUAGCUAAAAUCAGGGUCCUCCUCAAUUAGUAACUUCACUACAUCAGAAUGCCAAUAUCGCACUGCCUCAUGCAAGGCUGUGUCUUUCCCCUUGUUUGUCAUCCUUAACAUAACCUUUUCUGAACUGGUCUUAGUUUCAAUAUCCAAGGGAAGUUGUUUUGCAGUAUUUAUAAGAGCUUCGACUACCUCUAAAUGUCCUUCCCUUGCUGCAAGGUGAAGCGGAGUGUCCCCAUUCAUAUUAGGGCGUUGCAGUAGAGAUGAACAUGAAGGCAACUCAAGGAUCCAUUUCACACAAUCUGUUUGACCAAAUUCGCUUGCGAUAUGGAGUAUUGUAUUAUGCUUUGGGCUUAAUUGGACUUCAAAUUCAGACUCCGGAAUUUCCUCCAAGAUUUUAAUGUCCCCCAUUGCUGCCGCCUCAUACACAAUGUCUACCAUGGUUUUGAUGUUAGUUUGGCUACCAUCUCCAUCUUGAGUUGCAACCUGAUUCGAAUUAGAACCCAAGUUAAGAUUCAUCAAUUCUGCACCAUGGUGGAAAUGCAAUGAAGAAAAUAAAGAACAAAAGUAGAAGAAAAAAAAAUCAAACAUGAGACAAUAAUUUUGCUUAAUAUUUUUUUUUCUUUGAAACUAAGCAUAGCUUAAGUGUUUGUUAAGCCCUUUAGUCCUCUCAAACGGUGGUGAAUUGAACUAAAAUGAAGUCAAUAUAAGUGAUCUAUUAUGUCAAUAUAUUGUAAAGGAUAAUGCAAAAAAGAUGUUUUCCCAAAAGAGAGAAGUUAAAAAAUAAUAAAGCAAUUAGAGUUUAGAGUGAAAGGAAAGAAGUAUAAUUGAGUUGAUCUGAAAUAUAUUCAUCAUAUUUCCAUUAAAUAGGCAAUCAAACUCAAAUAAACUCCUAAAUAAAUUAUCCACCAAGUCACUAAAACAAGGCCUAUAUGAAGUCACAACCCUUUUUAGAAUAACACAUCGGACUCUUACCUUAAUUUGAACAAAUCUAAGACUCCAAUAUAUCAUAACAAACCAAUAACACAAAUACCUUAGUUGUUCUUUGAUAUUCUAUUUGUAAAGCAUCCCAAGCUUCUUUGGACUUUGUUGCCUUUGAAAUUUGAGGAAAAAUAUUUUCUGCAAUUGCUUGUUGAAUAAGAAACAAUGCUUUAGCAUCUUUCUUUCGUACAUCUCUAAUAGCAUUUUUUGAAAUCUCCUCUUCUAUAUAACCCAUAUCCACAAGCUCCCACAAAUCUUCAGAGAUAAAAAGAGUCCUCAUCUUUGAACUCCAAAUAUCAUAUCCACUUCCUUGAAAACAUGGUAUGAUAGAUUGAAUUGGGAUAACCAUCUGAUCAACUUGACUAUAAUACCAGACGUUAAACCAAAAAGGAUGUGUUCUCUGCAAUCUGCAAUCGUAAGGAAGAAAGAAGUUAAAAGAAGGUUCUCUGCAUUUGUAACGAAGAAAGAAGUUAAAAAAAUAACAGAGCACUUCAAAAAACCUUUGGGAUGGAAGAAUGAAGUCUGAAAUUUUAUUCUUUAGAUCAUUUGUUAUGAAAUAAAGUGCCUCAUUGGUAUAGCUUUCAAGGUGGUCCCUUCACAGCAAAGUUGUACGUCUGGUCUCUUCUUUAUUUAUUAUUUAUUUUUUUGUCAUAUUCAUAAAAUAUCAUGGAAAAUCCCCUGACAUUGAAUUUUCAUUACAAAAUUCCAUAUAAUUUUUAAAAUGACCGCAACCUACGAUUCAUACAUAACAGAGGGGUUUAAUUUAUUUUGUAUUUAAUUAACUGCGUUAUGGCCCUCAUGUGAGCUGCAAUAGUGACAUUUUGUGUGUCAAAUGUUGAAUGUUCUCUAAAAAUAAUUCACUUUCUUCUCUUAUAUACAUCUCUUGUUGUCUAUUUAAUAGAAGGAAAUUAUAGGGUAUUAAUUCAAUACCUAUUCGAUAUUGUAAUUUUGAUUAUUAAAAAUAUGCGAUGAAAUCUAAAUUAUUACAUAAGAAUACAAAUAAAUGAAGUUAAGAUUUAAAAGAAUGAGGUUAAGGCAUAAAAAAAAUGAUACAAAUUCGAUUCAAAGCAAUAAGACCGAAUUAUAUACAAGAUAGGUUAUGAUUAGUUAAUAACAUUUUUUGUUAAAAUAUUUAAAAUUUAUAAAUAAAAAAAUAUUGUUUUAUAUUGUUAAAUAAUCAUAAAAGCAUUUUAUUUGUAUUAAAUAAUACUAUAUAUUAAUGUUAUUUUAUGUUAUGAUAUAUACAUUUUUCACUUCCUUUUUUUAGGAAAUAAAAAUUUAAUUUCUUUAAAUGAUUUUUUUUUUUUUAAAUGAGUGAUAUACAAAAAUUGAAAAAAAAUUGAUAGGAAUAAAUUUCCUUGAUGCUUGUGAUGACAUCCAUGCAAUCCAGAUUCAUAUGUCCUUUCCUGUGUUUUUCUUUAAUAUUUUUUCAUUUCUUUUACGGGAAAGAAAAAAAAUUCUGUGUUUUUCCUUUACAUUAAUUGAAUGGUUAUAGAAAAUCCCCUUUUUUGUUUUGGUAGCCCAUGUAUAAGAACUGUGUAAAGGACGGAUAAGCAUCAAAUAUGUCGGAAGACGAUUAGUUCGUGGUGCAGAGGCUGUGUUGGCUCAAGUAUUUUCUCUUCUCUCUUCUUUAAAGUUUUAUAAAGUUAUUUUCUAUUUUUAUGUGUCUUUUCCCUUUUCUAUUUUCUCUCUUCUUUCUGCUAUCAUUGUUUUCCCAAAAGCUCGAACGGAAAAUACAAGGCAAAAAAAUAAAAAUAAAAAUAAAAAACAAACGAAAAAAAGGAAAAGAAAGGGAAAAAAAAUGAAAGAAAAUUUAUUUUUAUAUAUUAUUUCAAACUCAUUUUUAUUUAACCUUUUCAUAUAAAUAUUAAAUAAUUAAAAAAUGGACAAGUUUGUAAUUAAUUUUAAUUAUAGUUGUUUUUAUUUAAUAUUUUCCAUAACAUAAUCAAAUAUGAUAAAAUAAUUUCUUUAGUAUUUUUUUUUCUUUAAUAUUUUCUAGGAAUCAAAUAUAAUGUUGGAAAUAGUUCUAAAUUUUUAUAAGGUGGAUAGAAAUGUAAAGAAAAAGAGAAAAUACCAAGUGGAGUAAGGAGGCUCGUAGUUUAAGGUGAUAGAUAUAAGGGAUGGAGAAACAUGAGAUAUUUGAGGAACCAAAUAGUUAUAUUUGGUUAUAUCUUUUGCAAUAUUCUCUUUGGUGUAAUAAAAAUAUUUUCUCUCAUUUAUAGAUAUAGACAUGUUUGGUCAAAUCAUGUUAAAACCUCAUGUACCUUUUGUGUGGUUUGUUUUAUUUUUGUAUUCUUCCUUUAAUAUGUUUGCAUUAAUGUUUUUGUUAACACAACAAGUAGUAUCAUAACCCAAGAUGAAGAUCUCUAUAAGAGUUAAAGGAAAUAAAGCACACAAGAGGAUUGUAGAAAUAAUUUUAGUUGAAGGUGAAGUUGAUUGUUUUUUCGUGGGGAUAUGAUACAAAAAAGUUUGUCAUAUGGAGAUGAAAGAUUAACUUAAUAAAAUUUGAUAUAAAGUAAAGAUUAUUGGAAAGUAUCUCAAAUUCCUAAUUAGUAAACAUUUCUUUUUUUGUAAAGAUAUUGUAUAAAAUGUUUUCUAAGUUGAUAUGUUAUUAUAAUAUUAGAUUUUUUUUUUUAUAGAAUAAGGAAAAUUGUUAAAGACAUCUUUAUAUAUAUUUUAGGUCAUAAGAAAAAAGUUAUGAAAUGCAACAGGACUUAUGGAAACUAUACGAGAUGGAUAGAGAUGUGAAGAAGAAUCAUAGGAUAUAAUGGAAAGAUUUUCUCCCACAGAUAGGCAUAUUUGAUCGAACCACGUUAAAACCUUAUAUACCUUUUGUGUGGUUUGUUUUUUUAUUUUUGUAUUCUUCCUUUAAUAUGUUUGUAUUAAUGCAUCCAUGCCAACACAACACAUAACCUACAUCAUAUUCUUUUAAAAGAAAAUGCAAUAAUAAUAAUAAUAAUAAACCUAGGAAAAUUCUAACAAAUAAUAUCUAAAAAAUAUUUAUGUUGGUUUUAAAAUAACUUGAAAAAAAUUAUAAAGAAUAAGUCAAUAACUAAUUAGUAUAUAGCUCCAUCAUUAUACUCAUGUAAAUAAUAUAUAUUAAUUACAUAAAUUAUGGAAAUUAAGUAAUAUAAGUUUUAACAUCUAAUUUUUUAGAUUUUUUUAUUCCCUUUAAAACUUUUUCUAUAUAGGAAUGAAAAACUUCAUUGAAUUUGAAUUACAAAAUUCCAUAUAGUAUUUUAAAAUCAUUGUAACCUAUUAUUCAUAUAUAAUAAUGUGGAUCAAUUUAAUUUUUUUAUUAAUUGCAUUUUGUGGCCUUCCACUACAAUAAUAACACUUUUAUGUAUAAAAAAUUUGAACAUUACCUAAAUAAAGAUUGAAAAUUCUUGUAUAUCAAUUUAAUACCUCCCAAAUUUGUUACCUUGGUCAUUGGGGAUGGCAAGUUACCCACAUCCCAACCCUAUUAUGUCCGUCUCUAUAUAUUCUCAUCUUUGUCAAUAAAUAAAUAAACAAACACAUUGGGAUGGGCUGAGUAUAAGAAUUUUCCAUAACCACCCGUUUAACCUUUUUUAUUUUAUUUUUUAAAAUUUUUAACUUUUAAAAUUUUAAAUCAUAUUUAAAAUAAAUAAAAUUUAUAAUUUUUUUAUGAAAAGUAAUAUUUUAUAUACAUUACAUAAUUAAUAAAUGAAUUUAUAUAUAUAUAAUAUUAUAUAUAACUCGAAUGAAGUGGGAUAAAGUUAAAUUUGAACAUGUUUAGGUCUUUAAAAAAAUUUCUUAAAUUUAUCUUAAACUUAUUUAUAUUUAUCUCAAAUUUGUCUUAUUAUGAAUGGGAUGGAAUAGAUAUUCGAAAAAAAUCUGCUCCACCAUUCCUAUUCAACCAUUAAAAAUGUGUAAGAAAUCUAAACGAUACAAAUAAAUGGUAUCUAAAUACAAAAGAAAGACAAGGAUACAAAACAAUAAAAUGCAAAUUGGAUUCAUAGUGAGAAUUAAGAUCAAAUUGUACACGUGACACCUUAUGAUAAGUCCCUUUUUUCAAUAAGUAACGAUUUGAUAUUGUAACGGCCCCAAUAAUUCUAUCAUAUCGUUAUCAAUAAUAGAAUGUAACAUGGCUUAAAAUGUUUCUUUUUCAAUCCAAUGAAUGAUGAAUGAUUUCUUUCCUAGAAUAUAGCAUCUAUGGGAUAUGUUAAAAGCAUUUGAAAUUGGCACGUGAAUCAGUACUGGUCGACAAGUUCUAACCAUUUAUUGUGUCAUUGUGGAUGAGAGGUGUGCUAUGGAAGUGUGAGUUAAUGGCCGACAAUUUUUAACUCAUUGUUUCAUCCUUUAGUGAUCAAUGAUAGCUGGUGGUAUCUCCACUCCUUCAAUAAUUGGUGAUGUUAUGUCAGCUUUUUACUCUCGUUCAAUAAUUGAUGAUGUUAUCUCCACUCCAAUAAUUGGUGAUGUUAUUUUCACUCCUUUCAAUAUAUUAUAACUAACCAAUAGCAUAAAUACGUUAGUUGUGUUUUCAUAUUCAUCUCAAGCUUCUUUGGACUUUGUUACCUUUGAAAUUUGAGGAAAAAUACUUUAUGCAAUUGCUUGUUGAAUAAAAAACAAAACAAUCUCUCAACAUCUUUCUUUCACACAUUUCUAAUAGCAUAUGUUAGAAUCUCCUCUUCUAUAUAAUCCUUAUUCAUAAGCUCUCCCAAAUCUUCAAAGAUAAAAGGAGUCCUCAUCUUUGAGCUUUAAAUGACAUAUCCGCUUCCUUGAAAAAAUGGUAUCAUAAGCUGGAUUGGGAUAACCAUUCAAUUAACUUGAUUAUGAUACUAGACAAUAUUCCAAAAAGGACGCAUUCUUGACAAUCAUAAAGAAGAAAAAGGUUAAAAAAACGUUCUCUGCAAUACUAAGGAAGAAAGAAGUUAAAAAAUAACAAAACACUUCAAAAAACCUUUGGGAUAAAAGAAAGAAGUCUGAAAUUUUAUUCUUUAGAUUUAUCGUGAAAUAAAGCGCCUCAUUGAUAUGGAUUGCAAGGUGGCCCGCUUCACAGCAAAGUUCUCUUUUUUAUUUAUUAUUUCUUUUAAUUUCUAUGUUUUUUCUGUCAUAUUAAUAGAAUAUCAAGAAAAAUUCCCUAAUAUAUUUUGUCAGCCCAUGUCCUAGAACUGUGGAAAGGCCGGAUGAUGGAAGACUUUGAUUAGUUGUGUGGUGGAGAGGAGGCGCUCUAGUCUUCUCCUUUGUCUCUUAUUUAUUUUUUACUUGUGUCUUUCCUUUAUAUUAAUUGAGUGGUCAGGAAAAUGUUUUGCCCAAAGUGGAAUAUUUUAGAGUAAUAUAAAAAUAAAUAAAUUAAUAAAGAGUAUAAAAGCAUAGACUUUAUAAUUUUUGCUUAAUAAAUUUAUAUUUACACUUGAUAAGAAUUUAUAUUUUAGUAAGUUUAUCAUCCAUUUAAUUAAACUUCACUUAUUUUGAGAAAUCCAAUAAUUUUAUCAUCCACUUGACAUUUAGUUUUGUUCAUUUUUUUAUUCCCUUAAAACCCUUUUCCAUAUAGUAAUGAAAAACUUCAUUGAAUUUUCAUUACAGGGUUGCAUAUAAUUUUUAAAGUGACCAUAAUAGAGUAGAUCAAUUUAAUUAACUGCAUUAUGGCCUUAGUGUGAGCUGCAAGAAUGACAUUUUUGUGUGUCAAAAUCUUGAAUAUUUUCUAAAAAUGAUUCACCUUUUAAUCUUAUAUAUUGUGUCUUAUUAUCUAUUUAAUAAAAGGGAAUUACAGGAUAUCAAUUUAAUGCCUACCAAAUUUGUAAUCUCGGUCAUUAAAAAUAUGCAAUGAAAUUUGGAUUUUUAAAUAAAAAUAUGAAAUAAAUAAAAUAAAAUAAAAUAAAAUAAGCAAAAGAAUGAGAUCAUGAUAUAAAGAAAUAUGACAUAAAUUGUAUUUAUAUAUAUACACAUGACACAUUAUAAUUAGUUUCCUUUUUGAUACAUGAUGGACCCUAAUCUUUCCAUCAUUUUGCAUUUAAUAAAGGUUAUGUCAUUUAAAAUGUCUCUUUUUCUUAUUUAAGGAAUGACCUUUUUCUUGAAUAUAAUUUAUUGGAUUAAUUCUUAAAGAGUAUUUGAAAUUGGUUGAAUUAGUGGCCUACAUGGGUUAGGUAUUUAUCGUGGGUGGUAGGUGCAUGGUGUAUAAAGUUUGGAUAUUUAAUGCAUAUGAGUUGUUUGAUGAAAGGAUGGUGGGAUCUUGGAAUUAUUUGGCCUCCUUUGAAGAUGGCAUCUAAACAUUUCUUAAAUCAGUUUAACAAAUGUCACUUUCUAUUCUACAUUUUUUCAUUUCAUAUCAAAAAGAGUAUUCAUCACUUGGUUAAAUACAAAUAAUAAUAAUAAUAAUGAUUAAAUAAUUUUUAUAUUCACACCUUUAUUCAAGAGUUCAAAUUCAACCAUAUAUUUUAGAGUCCAAAUUUUGAGCUUGAUAUGGUAAUUAUUCAAUAUCAUAUCAUUUUCCUUCAUAAUUUUAAGAAUUUAGAUUCAAUUGAAUUCAUUUUUUAAAUAAUAAGAAUAUUUUUUAUUCCUAAAAAGUAUUAAAGAAAGGAUCAAAUCAUAUCAAGGAAUGUGGUUUAUUUAUUUAUUUAAAUACCAAAGAGAAAGAUUAGGAAAAAUGAUAAUGGAUUUUAUUUUCUAUUUUCAUCCUUCAUAUUUUUUCCCUUUUAAUUUAAUGUUCUAUUUUAUACUUUUUCAAUUUCAUUCCUUUUCUUCAAAUUAAGAUAAAAGGCCAUAUUUUUCUUAAAAUUCAUUUAGUUAAAUUUUUGUUUUUGUUUUAGAUUUUUAACAUCUAAAAAUGUCUAAGCUACCAAAUCAAUACGUGGCUAUUGAAGUUCAAAUCCAAGCCACUAAAAGUUUAUGAUAAAAUUUUAACCAUUGAAUAAGAAUGCGAACAAUAAUAAGACCAAGGUACAAGUAGUAAAACAUAUGAGGUAUAAAGUGAAAGAAUUUGGGUAUAAAGUAAUAGAACCUAAAUUACAUUUGAUUGGUGGGUUAACAACAUUGAAUAAAAUAAGCUAAGUUUGAUUGGUUGAAUAGGAUUAAAUAAAACAUAAAUACCUUCAUGUCUCUUGAUAUUAUAUCCAAUAAAAAUGGUAUCUUAAGAUAUUAUAUCUAAGUGAAAAAAUUAUGUGUAUAUAUAUAUAACAGAACAUUUUAUAACAUUUCAACAUCAAUAUUUUUUUAAAUAAAAAUAUAUUGCAUUCCUAUUAAAAAAUGAAAUCUUUCUCAUUUUUAGGCUAUGUAUGGUUCCUGGAAAAUGAUAAGGAAAGGAAAAAAAAUGUAGAGGAAAAUGGAUUUCUUUAGUUUGGAUGACAUGGAAAAUAUGAUGGAAAAUAUUAAAGAAAAUAUUGUAAUAUUUUCCCUAUUAUUUUCCUUAAAAAAUAAUGAGGAAAAUAAGAGAAAAAGAGAAGGGGAAAGGAGGGGGGGGGGGGGGGGGGGGGGGGGGGAAAUUUUUUAGGGGCUUUUUUUCCCGGGGGUUCCCCCCCAAAUUUCCUUUUUUGGGGGGGGUGGGUUUUCCCCCCCCCCCCCCCCUUUUUUGGGGCCCCCCUUUUCCCCCCCCCCCCUUCCUGGGGCGAAAACCCCCCCUUUUUGGGAACCCGGAUUCCCCGGGGGAAAAAAAAUUUUUCNNNNNNNNNNNNNNNNNNNNNNNNNNNNNNNNNNNNNNNNNNNNNNNNNNNNNNNNNNNNNNNNNNNNNNNNNNNNNNNNNNNNNNNNNNNNNNNNNNNNGGGGGGGGGGGGGGGGGGGGGGGGGGGGAAAUUUUAUCAGGCUCUUGUUCACCGAGGCUUCACCUCUAACUUCCUCUUCAUCGGUGGCUAUGGCUUCUCACCAUCGUCGACCCUUUCAAUGGCCACCACUAUCACUCCGACCACCUUCCAGUGCCGAAAACCCACCCUUUUCAGGAACCCGAGUUCCCAUGGAUGAAAUGAAUUCUUCAAAUCCAGUGAAUGUAUUCGGAUCCAUGUCUUCAGAUCAGGUAUGAAUUGAACUCCAAUCCACCUCAUCCUUUGAAAACCCGAAACCCAAUGUAAUCGCUCUCUCUUAGGUUCUCUGUCUGGGUUUCUAUGUUGCUUUCUUAAAUUUCGCCAUAAUUUUUCUAAACUUUCCUGGCUUGUUGCUUUCUGGAUUUGGUCUGAUUUUUACCCUUGAUGUUCUGCUAUUGUUUACUAGCUGAUGGUUUUUUCAUAAUUUGGUUGGGUUGAAUGGGUCUGCAGUUGUGUAUUGCAUAUAUGUAUAUUGUUGUUGCCUCUGAGUGCUUGGUUAUUGUUUUAUAUCAUUGUUGGUGGCAUCAAUUUUUGGACGGUUUAACAUUGGAUUGUUAGAAGUAUCAGUUUCUACUCUCUUAAUUAGAAAUGUUACCAUAAAAACAAAAUUAAGAUGUUUGUUGCAUUACAGACCCAGUAGAUUAAAUAAUAAAACAAACUGAAAAUAGUCAAUAAAUUUGGUAGUAUCAGUUUCUAAGCUCUCUGUGUAGAGCAAAAUGGCAUGGAUAGCAAGGAGAGGGACAUUGAUUAGGUGUCUAUUCGAAGGAUAUGAGAUGAACCUUAUGGAGCCUUUCUGGUAUCUAGGGAUAAACCUGUCCUGUCUUUUGGUUUGUGGGGGGCUUGAAGGUGGGAUAUGCUAUAAUUGGGGUUGUGUUUUCAAAUGGGAAUUGGGCUUGAAGGUGGGAUAGCUUGAUUGGAACUCCCUGUGUAGAACAAAAUGGCAUGGAUAGCAAGGAGAGGGACAUUGAUUAGGUGUCUAUUCGAAGGAUAUGAGAUGAACCUUAUGGAUUGAUGAGAUGCUUUACUUGUAUAUUCCCAUGUGGUAGCAUUCCAACAUAGAGGUCUCCAGGGUUCAAUCAUAUAUUUUUUUUUUUAUCACUUUUUGUAUUUUUGGGGAGGAUCUUAAUCCUUCUCAUGUAUUUCUUGUCACAUUUAAUACAUUUUUAUUUCUAUUAAAAAAGAAAAAACCUUAUUUUAAAAUUUUUUGAAGCUUUUAACAUUCUGCUACUUUGCUACCAGGUUAAGUCAACUCAGUCAACCAUGCAAAACUAAUUCAGCAGACAUGGCCAUCAAAUUGGAUAGACUGCCAGUCCAAUUCUAAUAACUAGGAAUAACAUAAUAAGUUGCCAUUGAUUAAUAACAGGGAAACCUCAACAAUGAGUAACAUGUAAGAAGCAUUAUCAAAUAAAGAGAUGGUAGGUGCUCCAAUGGAACUUGGAAUUCAUUGGUAGAGUUUAUUAGACAAGGAGCAAAUAAGAUGAACUUCACAGAGUAAUCCAUAAGGUUUUCUGUGGUCAAUGAAAAAUUCCUGAAUCAAGAAUUCCAUGAAUUCAAAAAACUUAGAUGAAAUGCAGAGUUGGUAACCUGUUCUUUAUGUCCCUUCCUCCAGUUGGGAGAGCAAAUGGCUGCAAGACUUGAGGGAGGGCAACAUCCUUGUGCGGAAUAAAUCCAACAUCAUAACUUGGUGAACACACAACUCGAAUUGAGUUUUUUACAAGUAGUGGAACUCCUUCAGUUGCCCUCACGCCAAUAUCAUGGCAAGUAAAAAAAAAAAAGUGAUCAGCACCCAGGGUCCUAUUCCAAUAAGGAUACUUGGACAUCAAGCUCUGCACAUAAUUCUGAACAAUAAUAGUCAUAUUUUCAUAUGAUGUACCCUGUAAAACAGUUGCAUCACACAGAUUAGAAAGAGAUAAGAACACCACUAAAGAGGGAAAAUUCAUCAACUUGAAACCAGAAACUUUAAGUUAUGCAUGCUAGAAUUUCCAUAUAUAUGGUUCAUGCUCCCUUGUUUUCAGAAAAGCAAACAAGUUGAAGGCAACUUAUUCAAAAGCUUGCAUGUCACUUGAUACACAAAUUCAAUAUGCAUUUGAACUAAAAUAGUGUAUCAAAGGAACCUCAAUGAUGAUCCCAUUUGUUGCAUUUGAACUAAAAUAGAGAUUCAUUUGAACUAAAAUAGUGUAUGGGUUUUCCAUUUCUUUUUACCUAAUUUACUUUUCUAUUAUUUGUGCAGGCAAAGCGAGUUCAUCCUGAUAAAAAUCCGAGUGACCCUUUGGCAGCUGAAGGAUUUCAGGUAAGUUCAUUUCUUUCUCAUUCAUUCAUCAUCUUCUUCUUAAUACUCUACUCUCCUUCAUUCAUCCCAAAACCAAGUGGAAGACCAAGUAUUCUUAAGUAAUCAUGCAAAUUUUAGACUGAAUAAUGAACUUAGAAAGAGUUUCAUUUUGUUAUCAUGUUUUAAACUAGACAUUUCAACUCUAGUAAGGUCUGUUUUACCAUUUCAAGAAGUGGUAACUUGUCAUUAAUUUAACUAUCAUAAAUAGUCAUAAUCAAUCUUAGAUUAAGUUAAUUUAACUAUCAUAUUUCAAGACUAAAUAAUGACUUUACUAAAUCAUUCCUCUUACUUUGCUAUCAUGUAGACUUAUAAUGAAGAGUGGCAAAGACUUAGAAGAUGAGCUGCAACUUGUGUAGCUAUGUAUGCUGCAUAUGCGGCAAUUCUUGUUUCAGUAUAUCAUCGCUCAAACUAUUUGGAGAGAUCAAUCUCUAAUGAAGGAGAUUAUGAACGACAUGCUUUGAUGGAAAGACUUACACUAAUGGAUAAUGAAGAUUGUUAUAAUCAACUACGUAUGGGAAAGAAUGCAUUCGCAAGACUAGUAAACAUUCUUCGGGGAACAGGUCGUCUUAGAAAUAGUGCACAUAGUAAUGUAGAAGAACAAGUUGCCAAAUUCCUUCAUAUUGUUGGUCAUAAUUUAAGGAAUAGAACUAUGAAAUUUUAUUUCAAGCUUUCUAGUGAAACUGUUAGUCGUCACUUUCAUCAAGUUCUUAGAGCUAUAAUAUCUUUAGAUGAUGUCUUCUUAAAGCAGCCUAAUGGAUUAAAGUGCCCUCAAGAAAUCAAGGACAAUACCAAAUUUUGGCCUUACUUUAAGGUAAACUUACUUAUCUAAUAAACAUCAUUAGAAUAUUAUUUAUAUUUCAAAAUAAAUUAAUAAUUUUGUUUCUUUAUAGGAUUGCAUAGGGGCGAUUGAUGGGUCCCAUUUUCGUGUAAAAGUGUCAAAUGAUGUUGUACAAAGGUAUCGAGGGCGAAAGUACUAUCCAACACAAAAUGUUUUAGCAGCAUGUUCCUUUGACUUGAAGUUCACAUAUGUUUUACCUGGUUGGGAAGGAUCUGCGUCAGACUCGAGAAUCCUAGAUAAUGCAUUAAUGAGAGAUUUUGAUAAAUUGAUUGUUCCACAAGGUGAUUAUUGGUGAUUAGAUAAUAAUUUAUUAGCUCAAGUGACUGUUACUAAUAACAAAGAUCCUUUGUCUAUGCUUCUUAGGUAAAUAUUAUUUGGCUGAUGCAGAUUUUCAGCUAAAAAUUGGAUUUCUUACCCCAUAUAGAAACACUCGUUACCAUUUAAAAGAGUAUAGUGUUCAUCAACCAGAAAAUGCUCGAGAGGUUUUCAACCUUCGACACUCAUCCUUGAGAAAUGCAAUUGAAAGGGCAUUUGGUGUUUUGAAGAAAAGGUUUCCAAUAAUAGCUAGUGGGACGGAGCCACAUUACCCUGUUGACACACAAUCUGAUAUUAUACUAGCUUGUUGUAUCCUCCAUAACUAUCUCAUGGGUGUUGAUCCAAAUGAAAGAUUAAUAGCAGAGGUCGAUAGAGAGCUUUUCAGCGAAGAAGCGGAGUUUGAAUCAAUGGUCUUGAGUUUAGCUGAAAAAUGCAAGGAAUGAGAAAUCUUAAGGGAGAAAAUAGCCAUGGAUAUGUGGAAAGAUUACAAUAGAAACCGUUGAUGAGUCAUUUUUUUUUUUAUGGUUCUUUUCUUAUAUAGUUUUUUUUGUUUCAUAUUAAGUACGAUGAUUGUAUUUAGAACUAUAACUCCUCUAGUUAAAAUCACACUUUGAAUGAGUUACAAUGAAGUUAUUAUUAUAUCUCCUCCUCUUGACUUUUCAUUUUAAACAUAUAUAUCUAUAUAUAUAUAUAUAUAUAUAUAUAUUAUUUCAGAUGGAACAUAGUGAAGGCUUUGAAGUACACAAAAGUGUAAGUGAAAAAAGAAACUUGACUUGGAUUGAUGAAAUGGACAACUUUUUGGUUGAUCGAUUAAUGGAGCAAAUGUAUAAAGGGCAAAAGAUAGGAGGAGUCUUCACCAAGACAACUUAUACAACAGUUGCGCGAGAAAUUGGGGAAAAUUUUGAAUUGAGUUGUAACUCUGAGCACAUAAAAAAUAGAAUGAAAACUAAAAAAAAAAAAAAACUUUUAUACUGCUCAAGAAGUUUUACAAAAUGGUAGUGGAUUUGGUUUCAAUGAAUCAACUCAAAUGAUCGAAGCUACCACAAAAGUAUGGACUACUUACACUAAGGUGAGUUAAUUAUUAUUUUUGAGUUAUUAGAAAUAAAAAUUUUGCAUGUAAUGUAGAGCUAUAAAUUUCUAAUAGACAUUAUCACAAUUGAACUUGAGUUUUGUUAAUAUUUGUUUUUUCUGAUGUUAAAAGGCACACCCAGGAGCAUCUCAGCUCAGAUACAAACCUAUUAGAAAUUAUGAUAAGUUGUCCAUUCUUCUUGGAAAAGAUCGAGCAACAGGAAGUCUUGCUGUAGGUGCAAAAGAAAGACAACUUCGUUGGGCCCAGGAACAAAAUUUGGAUGGCACAAAUCCAUUAGGAUCAUCACAACAUGGGAUCAGAGAUGAAACAUUUUCUUAUGUUGAAAAUGAAGCAACAACUGAGACAUCUUUCUCAUCUGCAGAUGCAUCUGUUUCUGCACCAAAGUCAAACAAGGAAACAAAAAAGCGAAAAGAAAAAUAUGCUGACAUUGUAAGUGAAAAAUUAAGGUCAAUUAGAGUUGGAAUGGAUGCAGUUGUUGCGGCUUUUGAUAGAAGCAACCCUCAAAAUUAUACAGAAGAGCAAUUGUUUGAAGAGAUUGCUAAGAUUGGAGGCAUGAGUGAUGUAUCUCAUAUGAAAGCAUAUCAAGCUCUUACUAGUGAUGUGAGUGCAGCUCGAGCCUUCCUUGCUUGUCCAAUUGAUAGACGUAAGCUUUGGUUGUCAGUUAAAUUUGGACCUACUCUUUUUGAUGCCUAAUUUGAGAAGGAGAUUAUUUUUAUUUUUAGUUUUACUUUUGUUUUGGGGCUAUACGUGAAGUUUUGAUAUCAAAACUCAAGGAUGAUAGUUGACUAUUAGAAAUUGAUCUAUUAUAUUUUUAGAAUUAUGAAGACUUCUUUUAUUCAUUUGCUAUAAGGGCUUCUUUUUAUUUGUUUGUUAUGGAGACUUCUUUUUAUUCCUUUGUUAUGGAAUUUUUUUUUUAUUCAUCUAUCUUUUCAACAUGUUAUUCAAUUAUUCCUUUGUUUCGUUAGCUGAAAAUUUGAGGAAAUUAUGCAUUUUUUUUGUUUAGACCAGCUUGUUGUUUCUUGAGUUUUCAAUAAUUUACAAAUUAAAUUUCAAAUUCUGGACUUCUUUCAUUGAUUUCUCUUAUUAUCUACGUUUUUGCAGCUACCGAACAGAGCACAGAGUUCAGUUUGAUUGCCUCAGGUGGUUAAGGUGAUAUUUUUUGCAUAGAUAGCAUAAUGGGGUUGUGGAGUGGCACUCUGUACAGUUGGCUAAUUUCAGUGGCUAGCUGCUGUUAGAAGUUGUGUAAACCAACUUAAGGAUAAUCAAAUCUGCAACUACUUUUACCUUAGUUUUGAUACCCGUUUUUACAUUUUUAUCUAGUCCUUUUUGCUCAUGUAUCUCUACAUUGAUCAUAGCAUAUAUGUAUGAAUUCUGCAUGUUUCAUUGCAGAUAAAUGAGUGGUUAUUCAGAGGGCAGUGCACUGUAAUGGCAGCCUCCAUAUCAUCUUAGUUCAUUCAAAACAUUAAGCAGUUUAUUAUAACAUCCUUUCUAGUGCAGGAUUACCAGCUAAAGAGAAGAGUUCUUGAUACUGAUAUAUGUAGUACAGCUCUGAUAGGAGUUGUUCUAAACCUUCAAGGUUUAAAUGAAGGUGGCUUCCUAAUCUUAGUUGCUUGCUCAAAGCUAUAUGCAAUCUCGAUCAUAUUGUCACUAGUUUUAUGGGACAUCCCGGGUUGGUGUGAAAGGUUAACAAAUGCUACCACCCUGAAACAAAAUAUUAUUUAUUGUAAUUUUUCUCUUCAUUUUUUAAGUGAUACACCGGGUGAUAGUAUGACAAUUGAAAUGAAUCACAAUAAAUUAUUCAAAUAACAAAAAUAAUUACAUUGUUUGAAUUAAUAUUUAUUUUUAUUAAUAAAAAUAAUUAAAUAUUUUAUAUUGAAAUUAUAAAUAUUUUCUUUAAAAAAAAAAAUCUACAUACCAAUAUACAAUUUGCACGUAUACACAAAAAAACCAUUAAAACAUUCAUAGAUAAGGAUGAAAAUAUUGGUUUUUAACACGCUAGGUAUGAAAAUUUGUUAAUAUUUUUUUUUCUUAAAUUUAUUAAUCCAAAUAGUUUAACUAUAGAUGGAGAAUGAACAAUACAGAUAGUGGUAUGUAUCACUGAAUACAGUUAAAGGGAGGGUUGAAUGAGACUGAUAUUUUUCUACCAAUCUACUCCAAGAGUUCAAUUUUUGUUUUCCUAAAAAAGUUAUAUUAUUCAACAAAUUGAUAACCAUCUAAAACAAAUUGUUGAUUUUAUUUUCCUUCCAUUUUUCAUUUACUUUUUUUUUCGUGGUUAACCAAACAAAAGAAAAUGAAUUCUUUUUUUUUUCCCUUGAAUUUUCCAUGGAUAACUAAACAAGUGAAAAAAUUUAUAUUCAUUUCCUUAGCUUUUUCUUUCUUUCCAUUUUUCCUCCUAAUUUUCUUUCUCUCGCAUUUUCUGAGAACCAAACAUAGCCUUACCUUUUAAGGUUUGGGAAAGUGUAAGGUGCCCAAUUUAUACCUAUUGAAGUUCAAAUAUGAGUUGUUAAAAGUUUAUGUUAGAAGUUCAAAUAAGACUAAAUUUCCAUGAUGCUUGCAUGUGAUGACAGUUUGGCUGCCAUCACCCUUUACGGCCUGGUUGGAAUUAGAAUCCAAGUUAAGAUUCAACAAUUUGAUCCAUGAAGUGAAGUUGGGUGAUAUACUAAUUAACUUAUUGUAAAGUGGUGAUGGGGAGGUGCAUAUGUCCUUUCUUUGUCUCAUCUACUAACUUCUAUCAUGAUGUUUUUCUUUUUCAAAAGAAAUUUAAAUUAAUAAAAAAUAUGAAAGCAAAAACAUCAUCAUGAUAAUUUUUGUUUAGUAAAUUUAUAUUUAUUAUUAAUAAAUUUUGUAUUUAAGUCAUUUAUUAUUGAUGUAAUUAAGUUAUAUUAAUUUUUAAAAAUUACAUAAUUGUUUUUAAAAAUAUUAAUACUAAAUUAGAAAUUAUUAUUUAAAAAGCUAAAUUUUUUCAUCUGAAGAAUAGUUGUCAUUGCUCCCUAUCUAGGGUAUGGUAUUUAUUGGAUAUUUUAUAACAUUUUAAAGUGCCUCAAAAAUUAGUGGUCUAUAAUUAUAGGUAAAAAGUGUUUAGUGGGUAAAGGUUAGAUAUUCAAUGUUUAUCAAUGGUUUAAUGUCGAGAAGGCAAUAACAUUCUUGACAUGCCUUUGAGGAUGAUAUUCAAACAUUUCUUAAAUUAACUUCCUAAAUAGCUCAUUACAUCAUGCCAAAAAUCAUUUUUUAAUAUCAUUCAAUGACAAGUCGUCUUAGUUGAAAAAAGUUGAAAUAAAUCCUUCAUUUGUAUCUUAAUUCUAUCUCUUUAUUUAUAAAUCUAAAUUCUUACAUGAAUCCCUCUUUUUUUUUACUAUGUAAGCACCAAGAUUUUCAUACUUUUAUUUAAUAAUUCAAAUUUUAUUGUAAAUGACUCAAAUUUUGACUUCGAUAUGGUUUGCAUUUGGUAUAUUAGAAUUUUCUUUUACAAAUUUAAAAAUUUAUGGGUAUAUCCCAUGUAUAAGAAAUUUGAAACUAAUAAUGGUGAAGUGUAUUUAUAUCAAAUCUAUGAGGAGUCUCAAUGAAAUUAACCUUAUUUUUAUUUAUACUUUUUAUUUUAUUAUUAUUAUGUGAUUUUGGUUCACUAGAAAAGGUCAAUAUUUUAUGGUAUGCAUUUUUUGAAUGGGUGUUUGGUUGAGUAGAAAAGGUCAGUGUUCUAUUAUAUAUUUCUAAAAGGGACAAACAUGUAAAUGUAACUCGUUAAGAUAUGUUUAAAUGUUGAAAAGUAUUAUGAUAAAUUUUAUGUUUAAUUAAUUUAUUAUAAAAAAAAAUAAGUAGGAAAAUUAAAUAUGAUAGCAUACGUUGAUUAAUUGUGUGGUGGAGAGGAGGCUCUCACUUUUUUCUUUUUUUUCUUGAGUGGUCGGGAAAAAGUUGGGGAGUGAUAAUUGCUGUAAAGAAAGAGAACGAAGAGGCUGGGGAUUAUUUCCAGAAAAGCUUCAUAUCAUAUCAUUGUAGUAUGCUUUAGUACUCUGAUUUGUCCAUGUAUAUAUAUACAGUUUAGAUGGCUGUAAAAUAUUACGUUUCAAACAUACAUACAACACACUGUUUCCUACUUAUCCUACGCACACAGCACCUUCUUUAAACUUUCUGUCCUACGCACACAGCAUCUUUUUUGAACUUUCUUGCAAUGUUAUUCACGUGAUUUGAAAUGUCGUGAAUAAAAGGUUGUUGUUGCCUCCAAUAAAAGGUUGUGUGGUUCGGAAUGUCACUUUUUCUUAUCCAAUGAAUGGCUGUUGCCUCCAAUAAAAGGUUGUGUGGUUCGGAAUGUCACUUUUUCUUAUCCAAUGAAUGGCUUUUUCUAUAAUAUAAUUUAUUGGAUUGAUUUUUAAAGCAUUUUAGGUUUUUAUUGUGGGUUUUAGGUAUUUAUUGCGUGCGGUAGGUAACAUUUAAUGCUUAUGAAUUAUUGGAUGAAAGGAUGGUGGGAUCUUGGAAUUACUUGGCCUCCUUUGAAAAUGACAUCUAAACAUUUAGUAAAUUAAUUUAAUAAAUAUCAAUUCUAUUCUACAUUAUUUCACGUCACAUCAAAAAAUGGUAAUCAUCACAUUUUUAAAUAAAAAUAAUAAUAUUGAUUAAAUUGUUUUAUAGUUUCAUUUCAAUUUUUUUUAAACCUUAUUCAAAAGUUCAAACUUAAUCAUAUGUUUUAAGAAUCCAAAUUUUUAGCUUGAUAUAAUACCUAUCCAAUAUCAUACUAUUUUUCUUUAUAAAUUUAAGAAUUUAGACUCAAUUGAAUUCAUUUUUCAAAUAAUAAGAAUAUAUUUCAUUUCUAAAAAAUAUUAAAGAAAUAAUAAAAUAAUAUUAAAGAAUGUGAUUUCCUUAUUUAAAUACCAAAUAAAAAGUUGAGGAAAUAAAAAAAGUGACAUCUUUUUUUAUUUAGUCAAAAAUUUUAUUUUUCUUUUACCUUUUAAGGUUUGGAAAAGCGUAAGGUGCCAAAUUUAUACCUAUUGAAGUUAAAAGUUUAUGAUAAAAUUUUAAAAUUAAGGUAUUAAAAUAUUUUUUUAAUAUCUUAAUUUUUUAAAUAUAGUUUUUAAAAACCAUUGGCCUUUUAAUUGCAACGUUUUAAAAGUUUUUAUAUAAAAAGCUACCACCCAUUUUCUGUUUUCGAAAAUAGUCAAUAUGAAAUAUUUAAGUAAGUAAAUUUUUUAUUUCUUGGUUAUUAAAAUUUAUAAAUAAAAAACAUUGUAUUUUGUUGUUAAAUAUAUAAAAGCAUUUUAUUUAUAUUAAAUCAUGCUAGACGCUAAUAUCAUUUUUAUGUUAUGUUAUAAUCAAAUUUUAAUUCUUUUUUUUUAAAACUAAAAUUUUAAUUUCUUUAAUUAAAAUUUUUCUUUUAAAAAUGAGUAACAUAAAAAAAAAAAUUUAAAUAAGACUAAAUUUCCAUGAUGCUUGCAUGUGACGACACUUUUGGCUGUCAUCUCCAUUUGCUGGUUGGGAUUAGAAUCCAAGUUAAGACUUUACAAUUUGAUUCAUCGUUUAUAAACUUAUUCCUUAUUUAGAAUAUUUAUAAAAAUAUUUUUAAUAAUUUUUUAAGAAAAUAAUUAAAUAAUGAGGUUUUAAUAAUUUUUUUUUUAAAGAAAAGUUCCCAUGUAACCCAAGGCAAAAGGGCCCCACCACCAGAAUGGUACAAGUGUCAAUAUUCCCUAUUUAAUUGUCAGAAAACCACACCCCCAGAUGAAUUAAAGGAGGACAAAAAAGUGGAAAUUCGAGUAUUUUCAUGAGGCAGCAGUUAAGCUAGAAAGAUGAUGGGGUAUUGAAUAUGUUGAAAUAGAAGCAUAGGUGAAUGGCAGAUAGGGACAUUAGGGUGAGGCUUUUCCUUUGUUUUGGCUAUAGGCUUUCAGAUAAAUAAUGGAGAAUCCACCCAUCCAUCCGACGUACCCGCGCGUGCAGGUGUGGAUGUGACCAGCUGGUCGUAAUCCGAAUUAGAUUUCGCUGUCUUGAUUCUCCUGCUUAAUCCGUAUGCCGCCCAUGAUUUGCAAAUCUCCAGAUCCAGCGUGAUUAAAACGUGGAUAUUUCAAUUAUUUUCCCAUACCCAUUUCCAUUUCCUCACUAAUCAUAAUAUAAAUGUUUAAAAUAAAUAAUCGUAUGCCAAAAUCAAAAUCAAUUUGCGUACAACUUACGUUAAUAUUAAUUUCCGUAUGUAUCCAAUUAAAAAAAAAAAAAAAAAAAAAACGAGUCCCUAAAAUUUGGCUUUGGGUGAAAGUGAAACUAACCCAAAAAAAAAUCGAACUCGUCAUCGAGUGAGAACGCAUCGUACAAAAUAAGAGGUCCACAAAAUAAUAAUAACAAUGACUAAAUUGUUUUAUAGUUUCAUUUCAUUUUUUUAUAUUAUAUAUGAUUUUUUUUUUGUUGACAACUUUAUUCAAAAGUUCAAACUUUCUUAAAUUAACUUCCUAAAUAGCUCAUUACAUCAUGCCAAAAAUCAUUUUUCGAUAUCAUUCAAUAAAAAUCCGUCUUGUGGUUGAAAAAAGUUGAAAUGAAUCCUUCAUUUGUAUCUUAAUUCUAUCUCUUUAUUUAUAAAUCUAAAUUCUUACAUGAAUCCCUCUUUUUUUUUUUUUUUAACUAUAUAUGCACCAAGAUUUUUCAUACUUUUAUUUAACAAUUCAAAUUUUAUUGUAAAUGACUCAAAAUUUGACUUCGAUAUGGUUUGCAUUUGGUAUAUUAGAAUUUUCUUUUACAAAUUUAAAAAUUUAUGGGUAUAUCCCAUUUAUAAGAAAUUUGAAACUAAUAAUGGUGAAGUGUAUUUAUACCAAAUUUAUGAGGAGUCUCAAUGAAAUUAAUCUUAUUUUUAUUUAUACUUCUUUAUUUUAUUAUUAUUAUGUGAUUUUGGUUCACUAGAAAAGGUCAAUAUUUUAUGGUAUGCAUUUUUUGAAUGGGUGUUUGGUUGAGUAGAAAAGGUCAGUGUUCUAUUAUAUAUUUCUAAAAGGACAAACAUAUAAAUGUAACUAGUUAAGAUAUGUUUAAAUGUUGAAAAGUAUUAUGAUAAAUUUUAUGUUUAAUUAAUUUAUUAUAAAAAAAAUAAGUAAGAAAUUAAAUAUGAUAACAUGCGUUGAUUAAUUGUGUGGUGGAGAGGAGGCGCUCACUUUUUUCUUUUUUUUCUUGAGUGGUCGGGAAAAAGUUGGUGAGUGAUAAUUGCUGUAAAGAAAGAGAACGAAGAGGCAGGGAAAUAUUUCCAGAAAAGCUUCAUAUCAUAUCAUUGUAGUAUGCUUUAGUACUCUGAUUUGUCCAUGUAUAUAUAUACAGUUUUGAUAGCUGUAAAAUAUUAUGUUUCAAACAUACAUACAACACACUGUUUCCUACUUAUCCUACGCACACAACACCUUCUUUAAACUUUCUUGUAGUGUUAUUCACGUGAUUGUCCUACGCACACAGCACCUUUUUUUAAUUUUCUUGCAAUGUUAUUCACGUGAUUGUCUGUCCUACGCACAUAGCCUUUUUGGAGCCGUGUGGGGAAAGCGUUUGGCCCCCACCCGCAUUGCUUUCCACUAUCCCACAUGACCCUUUUUGUCCUUUAUUAGCCCACGUUUUCCAUUAGACAUCAGCCCGCCCUCCCCUCCCCCUUCUGGAACCGCCGACGCCGCCCUACUUCGUUCCAGGUUCAGUUUAUCUCCUCCAACAACUUCUCGUGAUAAUCACCAACUACUCUACGCGUGACACACACACUGGCAGGUGUGUGAAGUCGGAGGACAAAAUCGUCUCGUGAUAAAAUGGGGAAGCUGAUCUCGCUUUCAGAAUUUACACCGGGAACAAUACAAAGCAAAUAGAAUCCAGACUGGGCCCACCUUAUCCUGGAUGACGUGGACCAUACGAUUGGAGGUUGCACACUUUUGUUUAUCAUUGCCACCAAUGGGCGGGCGGUGUGGAAUAUAUAAUAUUAUAAUAGGCUAAUCAAACCUCACAAAUACCCCCCCAAAAAAAAAAAAGUACGGAAAUCAUAAGAAAUAUUAGCAUAUAAUUAUAAUUAAAAUAUAGUUUUCCUUGAAAAAUAUCAAUUCUAUGUGCUUAUGGAUGGUGGGAUCUUGGAAGUACUUGGCCUCCUUUAAAGAUGACAUCUAAACAUUUAAUAAAUAUCAAUUCUAUUCUACAUUAUUUCACGUCACAUCAAAAAAUGGUAAUCAUCACAUUGUUAAAUAAAAAUAAUAAUCAUGAUUAAAUUGUGUGGUUUGUUUUUUAUUUUUGUAUUCUUUCUUUAAUAUGUUCAUAUUAAUGCAUCCACCAACACAACACAUGACCUACAUCAUAUUCUUUUAAAAGAAAAUGCAAUAAUAAUAAUAAUAAUAAUAAUAAUAAUAAUUAAACCUAUGAAAAUUCUAACAAAUAAUAUCUAAAAAAUAUUUAUGUUGGCUUUAAAAUAACUUGAAAAAAAAUUAUAAAGAAUAAUUCAAUAACUAAUUGGUAUAUGGUUCCAUCAUUAUACUCAUGUAAAUAAUAUAUAUUAAUAACAUAAAUUAUGGAAAUUAAGUAAUAUAAGUUUUAACAUCUAAUUUUUCUGAUUUUUUUUAUUCCCUUUAAAACUUUUUCUAUAUAAGAAUGAAAAACUUCAUUGAAUUUGAAUUACAAAAUUCCAUAUAGUAUUUUAAAAUCAUUGUAACCUAUUAUUCAUAUAUAAUAAUGUGGAUCAAUUUAAUUUUUUUUAUUAAUUGCAUUUUGUGGCCUUCCACUACAAUAAUAACACUUUUAUGUAUAAAAAAUGUGAACAUUACCUAAAUAAAGAUUGAAAAUUCUUGUGUAUCAAUUUAAUACCUCCCAAAUUUGUUACCUUGGUCAUUGGGGAUGGCAAGUUACCCACAUCCCAACCCUAUUCUAUCCGUUUAUAUAUAUUCUCAUCCUUGUCAAUAAAUAAAUAAACAAACAAAAUUCGGACGGGUUGAGUAUAAGAAUUUUCCAUCUCCACCUGUUUAACCUUUUUUUAUUGUAUUUUUUAAAAUUUUUAAUUUUUAAAAUUUUAAAUUAUAUUGAAAAUAAAUAAAAUUUAUAAAUAUUUAUAAUUUAUUUUUAUGAAAAGUAAUAUUUUAUAUACAUUACAAAAUAAAUGAAAAAAAAUAAUUUUUUAUAUAAUAUUAUAUGUAACUCAAAUGAAGGGGGAUAAAGUUAAAUUUGAACAUGUUUAGGUCUUAAAUUUGUCUUAAACUCAUUUAUAUUUAUCUCAAAUUUGUCUUAUUAGGAACAAGAUGUAAUAGAUAUUCGAAAAAAAAUCUGCUCCACCAUUCUUAUUCAACCAUUAAAAAUGUGUAAGAAAUCUAAAUGAUACAAAUAAAUGGUAUCUAAAUAAAAAAAAAGACAAAGAUAGAAAACAAUAAAAUGCAAAUUAGAUUCAUAGUGAGAAUUAAGAUAAUAAGAUCAAAUUGUACACACGUGACACCUUAUGAUUAGCCCCUUUUUUCAAUAAGUAACGAUUUGAUAUUGUAACGGGCCCAAUCAUUCUAUCAUAUCGUUAUCAAUAAUAGAAUGUAACAUGGCUUAAAAUGUUUCUUUUUCAAUCUAAUGAAUGAUAAAUGAUUUCUUCCUAGAAUAUAACAUCUAUGGAUAUGUUAAAAGCCUUUGAAAUUGGCGCGUGAAUCAGUGGCCGACAAGUUCUAACCAUUUAUUGUGUCAUUGUGGAUGAGGGGUGUGCUAUGGAAGUGUGAGUUAAUGGCCGACAAUAUUUAAGUCAUUGUUUCAUCCUUUAGCAAUCAAUGAUAGCUGGUGGUAUCUCCACCCCUUCAAUAAUUGGUGAUGUUAUGUCAGCUUCUUACUCUCGUUCAAUAAUUGAUGAUGUUAUAUUCCAAUAGUUGGUGAUGUUAUUUCACUCCUUUUAAUAUAUUAUAACUAACCAAUAAUAUUCAUCUCAGGCUUCUUUGGACUUUGUUACCUUUGAAAUUUGAGGAAAAAUACUUUUUGCAAUUGCUUGUUAAAUAAAAAACAAAACAAUGUCUCAACAUCUUUGUUUCACACAUUUCUAAUAGCAUAUGUUAGAAUCUCCUCUUCUAUAUAAUCCUUAUUCACAAGCUCUCCCAAAUCUUCAAAGAUAAAAAAAUUCCUCAUUUUUUUAGCUUUAAAUGUCAUAUCCAUUUCCUUGAAAAAAUGGUAUCAUAAGCUGGAUUGGGAUAAUCAUUCAAUUAACUUGACUAUGAUACCAGACAAUAAUCCAAAAAAGAUAUAUUCUUGACAAUCGUAAAAAAGAAAAAGAUUAAAAAUGCAUUCUCUAUAUUAGUAAGGAAGAAAGAAGUUAAAAAAUAACAAAACACUUUAAAAAAUAUUUGGGAUAAAAGAAAGAAGUCUGAAAUUUGAUUCUUUAUAUUUUUCUUGAAAUAAAGCGCCUCAUUGGUACCCUUCACAGCAAAGUUCUCUUUUUUAUUUAUUAUUUCUUUUAAUUUCUAUGUUUUUUCUGUCAUAUUAAUAGAAUUCCCUAAUAUAUUUUGUCAGCCCAUGUCCUAGAACUGUGGAAAGGCCGGAUGACAACGUUAGAAUCAAAUAUGAUGGAAGACUUUGAUUAGUUGUAUGGUGGAGAGGAGGGGCUCAAGUCUUCUCUUUUGUCUCUUAUUUAUUUUUUACUUGUGUCUUUCCUUUCUAUUAAUUGAGUGGUCAGGAAAAUGUUUUGCCCAAAGUGGAAUAUUUUAGAGUAAUAUAAAUAAUAAAGAGUAUAAAAGCAUAGACUUUAUAAUUUUUGCUUAAUAAAUUUAUAUUUACACUUGAUAAGAAUUUAUAUUUUAGUAAGUUUAUCAUCCAUUUAAUUAAUCUUCAUUUAUUUUAAGAAAUCCAAUAAUUUUAUCAUCCACUUGACAUUUAAUUUUGUUCAUUUUUUAAUUCCCUUAAAACCCUUUUCCAUAUAGUAAUGAAAAACUUCAUUGAAAUUUCAUUACAGGGCUGCAUAGAGUAGAUCAAUUUAAUUAACUGCAUUAUGGCCUUAGUGUGAGCUGCAAUAAUGACAUUUUUUUGUGUCAAAAUUUUGAAUAUUUUCUAAAAAUGAUUCACCUUUUAAUCUUAUAUAUUAUUUAUUAUCUAUUUAAUAAAAGGGAAUUAUAGGAUAUUAAUUUAAUGCCUACCAAAUUUGUAAUCUCGAUCAUUGAAAAUAUACAAUGAAAUCUGGAUUUUUAGAUAAGAAUACGAAAUAAAUAAAAUAAAAAGGCAAAAGAAUGAGAUUAAGAUAUAAAAAAAUAUGAUAUAAAUUGUGCACAAAGCAAGAAAGAACAAAUUAUAUAUACUCAUGACACAUCAUAAUCCUUAUCCUUUUUGAUACAUGGUGGACCCUAAUCUUUCCAUCAUGUAUUUAAAUACCAAAAAGAAAGAUUAGGAAAAAUGAUAAUGGAUUUUAUUUUCCUAUUUUCAUCCUUCAUAUUUUUUCCCUUUUAAUUUAAUGUUCUAUUUUAUUUUAUUUUCAAUUUCAUUCUUUUUCUUCAAAUUAAGAUAAAAGACCAUACUUUUCUUAAAAUUCAUUUAGUUAAAAUUUUUGUUUUUCUUUUAGAUUUUUAACAUCUAAAAAUGUCUAAGCUACCAAAUCAAUACGUGCCUAUUGAAGUUCAAAUCUAAGCCACUAAAAAUUUAUGAUAAAAUUUGAACCAUUGAAUAAGAAUGCAUACAAUAAUAAGAUCAAGGUACAAGUAGUAAAACAUAUAUGAGGUAUAAAGUUAAAGAAUUUGGGUAUAAAAGUAAUAGAACCUAAAUUACAUACAUGGCACAACAUGAUUAGUUCCAUUUUACCAACCCAUGUGCAAGAUCGGUGUAAAAUACGUAGGAUACAUUUGAUUGGUGGGUUAACAACAUUGAAUAAAAUAAGCUAAGUUUGAUUGGUUGAAUAGGAAUAAAUAAAUCAUAUAUACCCUCAUGUCUCUUGGAUAUUCUAUCCAAUAAAAAUGGUAUCUUAAGAUAUUAUAUCUAAGUGAAAAAAUUAUAUAUAUAUAUAUAACAUAACGUUUUAUUACAUUUCACCAUCAAUAUUUUUUAAGAUAAAAAUAUAUUACAUUCCUAUUAAAAAAAAUGAAAUCUUUCUCAUUUUCAGUGUUAUUUGAAAAUCAUUUUGAUAAUUUACAAUUUCAUGUCCAUUUGAAUAUACGUCUUGGUAUUGUUUUAACAAAACAUAAAAAUAGUGGUAAAAAUCUUAUAUAAAAAAGUUGAAAUUCACAUACACAGUAUAAAUUCAAAUUGUAUUUUUUAAAUAGUACUUUAAAAAAUUUAAAUUUUGAAAUACCUUAAAAUUUUUAAAUAGUUUUCAAAGACCAUUAGCUACAUUUUAAUGUAAGGCUCUAAAAAAAUUUAUUGUAUUUUAUAUAAUAAGUUACUACCAGUUAUUUUUAAAAAAAUAGAAAAUAUGAAAUGUAUAAACUAAGUUUAAUUUUUUAUUUCUUUAUUAAUAACAUUUGUAGUUAAAAUAUUUAAAAUGUAUAAAUAAAAAAUAUUACAUUAUAUUGUUGAAUAUAUAAAAGCAUUCUAUUUAUAUUAAAUAAUACUAUAUAUUAAUAUUAUUUGAUGUUAUGUUAUACACAUUUUCAAUGCUAUUUUUUUUGGUAACUAAAAAUUAAAUUUUUUUUAAUCAAAAUUUAUUGUUUUAAAAAUAGAAAAUACGAAAUGUAUAAACUAAGUUUAAUUUUUUAUUUCUUUGUUAAAAACAAUUUUAGUUAAAACAUUAAAAAUUUAUAAAUAAAAAAUAUUACAUUAUAUUGUUGAAUAUAUAAAAGCAUUCUAUUUGUAUUAAAUAAUACUAUAUAUUAAUAAUAUUUUAUGUUCUAUUAUACACAUUUUCAAUGCUAUUUUUUUGGUAACUAAAAAUUAAAAUUUUUUUAAUCAAAAUUUAUUGUUUUAAAAAUGAGUAAUAUAAAAAAAGCAAAAAAAUGAUAAGAAAAUUUUCCUUGAUGCUGGUGAUGACAUUCAUGUACAAUGGCAUCUAUGCUAAUGAUGACAUUUUGACUGCCAUCUCCAUUUGCAGCCUGGUUGAAAUUAGAAUCCAAUUUUCUUUAAUUUUUUUUUGUUUAUUUUUAUUUUAAAAAGAAGUCAGUGUUUUUCCUUUUAAUUAAUUGAAUAGUUAUGGAAACCUUCUUUUCUGUUCUGGCAGCACAUGUAUAAGAACUGCAUAAAGACCGGAAGAUGCUGAUGAGUUUUAUGGUGGAGAGUAUGCAGUAGCCCAGGUCUUUUCUCUUAUCUCCCUUCUUUAGUUAAGUGGUUAUAGAAAAUGCUUUGCCCAGACCCAAAUAUUUAGUCAGUUGAGAGGCCAAUGUUAGUGUAAGAACAACAUAAACAAAAUUUAAACAAUAAAGAAAGUAAAAGCAAAAAAUUCUUUAUUUUUGUUGAAUGAAACUGUCACGUGAAUUAGUGAGUAACAAGUUUUAACUAUUUAUUUUGUUAUUGUGGGUGAGUGGAUGAGAGGUGUUUGGUGGAAGUGUGAAUGAGUGGAGGACAACUUUUAACUAAAGUGUUGGUUGAAUUAGUGGCUCGCUCAUUAUUGUGUGUGGUGGAUAAGAUGGAAAAGAUAAUGUAAAAUAUUUAUAAUAUAAGAAUACAGGUUUUCACUGCACUUAUAUCAAUUUCAUCCUUUUAUGAUUGAUGGUUUUAUUUCCCUCAUUAUAUUGUUGUGUGUGGUGGAUAAUUUAAAAUAUUUAUAUUACAAGAAUAAAAGUUUCAUCUUUUUCAUGAUUGGUGGUGUUAUCUCCAUUAUUGGGUCCGGACUCCUUUUUCAUGACUGGUGGUGUUAUCUCCAUUAUUGGGUCCUGACUCCUUUAAUGAUUGAUAAUGUUAUCCCCAUUCCAUUGAGAAUUAUUUAUUUCCUCUUUCAUAUGGAUUUUUCUUCAUGCUCAUUUAACAUCUCAUCCAUUUUUUUUGGUUAUUAAAUCAAAUUUUAUCAAUAUUCUUCAUCAGUAGUAUUUUGACAAUUUCUCAAAGGGUUAGAUGAGAUAAAUAAAAAGUUUAGAGAUGCUCUUUUAUUGAUACAAAUCACAUUUUUUCCAAAAAUUUUAUUUUGAUUUAAGAAUAUAAAGCACUUACAUUCAAAUGAAAAAUUAAAAGAUUAUUUUUAGAAUAUUUUUCUCAAAGAUAAUUUAUGUUUAGCAAAAUAAUAUUUCAAAUUAAGAAAUUUUAGCUUUUUGAAAAAUACCAUUAUUAAAAAUUAUUAAAUACUAAUGAUCUCUUUUUGCAUUGUCUUCAUGGUAAGUAUACCCUCAUUUUUUUUCUUUUCUUUUUUAUUGAAUCCCUACAAAAUAAUUCAAAUAACUUUUGAUACUCAUAUUUUCUUGGUUCUAGAGAGUUAGCAUUUCUCUCAUUUGGAAUCUGACAUCAUUAAGAGUAUUUUCUUAAAGCAUGCGUACCACUAAUGUGACCUCAUUUUCCAUACAAAUUACAAAUAAUGGUUAGAAGUGAAGAACUAGAUGUUGUCCCUUUGAUAUUGCACGGCUUUUUUGGCAGUAAGCAUGCCAAUUUUGGUUGGAAUGAUGGCUUCCAUCCCAUAAGUAAGGGCGAAAGGAGUGGCUUCGGUUGUCCAUCUAGAUGUUGUUCGAUAAGUCCAUAAAACUUUGGGCAAUUCGUCUACCCAUUUUUCUUUUGCUCAUUCCAACCUUUUCUUCAAUGCAUUUAACAAGGUUUUGUUUGUGGCCUCUACUUGUCCGUUGCUUUGCAGAUAGCAGGGUGUUGAGUACAAAUUCUUGAUGUUUAGAUCUAAGCAAAAUAUUCGAAAGAUGGCACUGUCAAACUAGGGCCCAUUAUCCAUGGCGAUUGCUCGUGGAAUUCCAAAUCUGCAGACAAUGUUUUUCCGGCAUCAAUGCAAGGAAAUUUUUAGGGUUUAUGGUAACCUAAAGAGGAAUUGAAGUUAAUCUUACUCAAGUGAAAGUCAUCCUUGAAACACCCGCUCCAAAAAGUAAAAAGGAAUUGAAACGCCUCAUAGGUUGUCUCGCAGCUUUAGGUCAUUUCAUAGCUCGUUUCAUAGAUAAGUCGCGACCUUUCUUCCUCACACUUAAGGUGGCAAGAACAUUUGGUUAGAUAGAUAAGUAUAGGUAGGCAUUUAAGGCAGUCACGCGCUACCUCACUGAACCACCCAUUCUAAGCAGCCCCAAGUUCGAUAAAGAACUCUACAUGUAUUUGGCUAUAUCCAAUUGCGCUAUCAAUGCCAUCCCAUUUCGGCAUAUAUGAGAUAAGGAGUAGAGACCCAUAUAUUAUGUGAGCAAAGCAAUGGUGGACGUUGAAACAUGGUAUUCCCAAGUAGAGCAUACUGCUCUAGCACUAAAGAGUGCCACUUGAAAGCUCCUCCCAUACUUCCAGGCUCAUCAAGUGACCGUACUUACAAACCGGCUGCUCUAAGUCACAUUGCAUAAGUCGGACCUAUUCGGACGGAUGUUGCAAUGGGCAAUCUAGUUGAGUGAGUAUGGGAUCAAGUAUCAAUCGCGAUUAUCCUGAAAAUGGCAAGUUAUGACCAACUUUAUAGUUGAACUCCCUCAAAAACAAACAUGUGCGAUCGAUCACCUUGGAAAGCAAUGGUGGAUACUUCAUGUAGAUAGAGUGUCCCCAGGGUGUCUGGAUCCAGAGUAAGUCUCGUCCUACAGUCACCAACGGGGAAACUAAUAGAGCAAGUUAUCCAUCUCAAUUUCUCGACUUCCAACAAUGAGGCUGAAUAUAAAGUUGUGCUAGCUGAGCUAGAUCUCUUCCUAAUGUUAACCACAACCAAGUUGGCAAUCAGGAGCGACUCUCAACUAAUUGUUGGGCAGACUCAACGAGAGUACAAAACAAAGAAUGAACAUAUGACCCGAUACCUCACCAUGGUGGAAAAACACUUGAAAAAACUAGACAAGUGGAUCAUCAGACGAGUGCCAUGAGAUGAGAACGAAAAGAUCGAUGCACUAGCCAGGAUAGCUGCCACUCUCCCCAUAAAUGGGACGAUAAUGUUGCCCAUCUACCUCAAAGUCGUGCUUUCAAUCACUCUCAGGUUAGUAUACAAUAUUGGCCAAAUAGACUCAAGAUGGAUGUUCAACAUCAUAAAAUACCUCCAAACAGGAGAUGUACUAGAAGACGAGAAUCAAGCACACAAACUCUGCAUACAAGUAGCACGUUUCACUUUAAUUAAUGAUCAACUUUAUAAACGAUCAUUUGAAGGCCCAUACCUAACGUGUUUGAGCAAGCCAGAGGCCAAGUAUGUCCUAGCCAAACUCCAUAAGGGCGUAUGUGGCAAUCACCCAAGCGGAUGAACUUUAGCUCACUAAGCCUACACGCAAGGAUACUAUUAGCCCACCAUGAAGCAGGACACUAAAAGCUAUGUCAGAAGAUGCAAUCGGUGUCAACGACACGCUCCCAUUUCCCGUGUACCUUCGAAAGCCCUCAACCCAAUCAUAAGUCCUUGGUCGUUUGUGCAAUGGGGGAUGGACAUAGUUGGCCCUUUGCCCAUUGGAGCAACACAAAAGAAGUUUUUGUUCAUUACAACCAACUACUUCAGCAGUGGGUGAAAGGAGAAGCCUAUGUCAGUAUCAAAGACAAAGAUGUGUCUAAGUUCGUUUGGAAAAACAUUGUCUACAGAUUUGGAAUUCCACGAGCAAUCGCCACGACCCAGUUUGACAGUGCCAUCUUUCGAAUAUUUUGCUUAGAUCUAAACAUCAAGAAUUUGUACUCAACACCCCGCUAUCUGCAAAGCAACAGACUAGUAGAGGCCACAAACAAAACCCCGUUGAAUGCAUUGAAGAAAAUGUUGGAAUGAGCAAAAGGAAAAUGGUUAGACGAAUUGCCCAAAGUUUUAUGGACUUAUCGAACAACAUCUAGAUGGCCAACCGAAGCCACUCAUUUCGCCCUAACUUAUGGGAUGGAAGUCAUCAUUCCAACCAAAAUUAGCAUGCUUACUGCCAAAAAAUCCGUGCAAGAUCAAAGAGACAACAUCUAGUUCUUCACUUCUAACCAUUAUUUGUAAUUUGUAUGGAAAAUAAGUCACAUUAGUGGUACAUAUGCUUUAAGAAAAUAUUCUUAAUGAUGUCGGAUUCCAAAGGAGAGAAAUGUUAACUCUCUAGAACCAAGAAAAUAUGAGUAUCAAAAGUUAUUUGAAUUAUUUUGUAGGGAUUCGAUAAAAGAAAAAGAAAAAAAAAAAAAAGGUAUACUUACCAUGAAGACAAUGCAAAAAGAGAUCAUUAGUAUUUAAUAAUUUUUAAUAAUGGUAUUUUUCAAAAAGCUAAAAUUUCUUAUUAUCGACUUUUCCCGCUUUUGUGAGGUGGCUCACCAUUUGAUGGUAUGUAGAAGGAAUAUUUUCAUUUUAUGAAGCCAUGCACGCCCCAUAAUGGCAUUGUAUGGAGACAAAUCGUUGACCACUAAGAAUCGUACGCUCAUUAUGACAAGGUCGGCUUGGAGGAGCAACACAACAUCGCCUAGGGAAGUUGUUAUAACUCUAUUAAAUCUGGACAGUAGACGUCUUAGAUUUUCUAAGGCAGAUGGCAAGUGGCCUAUUUGCCUAUAGGUUGACAUUUGCAAGAAAUCAAUUGAACUGCCUAGAUCAACUAGGAUUCUCCGCAAAUCAAAUCCACCUACCCCCAGUGUUAGGAUCAAGGUGUCUUCAUGCUAUUGCAACACCCGAUUGACAUCUAUUGGAGAGAAAGUGAUUGUGUCGUCAACUGGAUGCACACUUCCUUCAGUGAAUGUGUGUUGGAUAGAGUUAAUUCGUUCUCUUACAGAAGCCGCAUAGAGCAACUUCCGCCUUUGCUGCCUAGAGUUAUGCUUGUCAUCUAUCGGACUUCCGUGUAUAUAGUUAAUGACAACUAUGAGACCUAUCAGAGAUGCAGGGGCUUGGACGACUGCCUUUGGUGUCGUCUCGCUUUGCCCGUUGGUUGUGCGAACAUAUUACUUAAGGUGCUUGGCCUUGAUGAGUUUUUCCACCAAGUAAUGCAGACACUUGCAUUGUUCAGUGGUGUGUUCAUGAUCCUAAUGGUAGGAGCACCUUCUGUUCCAAUCCUGUCUAGCUAGAUCUAUAUUAAUUGGCUUUGGCCAUUUGAAGUUAGAUAGGUCACGGAUAUGCGAAAAGAGUCUCUCAUAGGAGAUGCUUAGGGGAGAGAGUCUCACUUGUUGUUGCUGCCGAUCAUCUUACCUCUUUUUACCUUGUCUCGAUUGGUUCAAGGGCUUAGAACUCUUCGCCUUAUCAUUAUUGGUUGAAUGAUUAGUGAAUAAGACCUGUUGAGAGGCUACUCGGACAUCAUCUUCGAGCAUAUAAUACUUGUCUGCCUGCCUGAAUAGGUCAUCCAUUGUUAUGGGCGACUUCUUCGCGAGGGACUCAAAAAAUGGUGUGUUCGGGUUGAUGUUUCGCUUAAAGAUCUACAGGAUGACAUCCAUACUACAAGAUUCAACUUGAAGCAUUGCUUGCCCGAAUCGCUUCAUGAAAUAGCCUAGCGUUUCAUUUUCUUGCAACUUGAUAUUCUAUAGGGUGCUUAUGUUAUGCUUUUGGUGAGCAGAACAUAGGUAGUGGCCUACAAAGGCUUCAAAGACGUCUCAGAAAAUGUUCACAGAAUUAUGCAGGAGACGGUGGAACUAGGAGAGAGCUUGGCCAUGUAGGCUAGCUGGAAAGACCUUGCAUGUUAGUGCAUCAUUCCCUAUGUCGAGGGUCAUAAGUUGCCUGAAGUGCAUGAUAUGGUCAAACGGGUUGCUCGUUCCAUCAUACAUUAUGAACUUUGGCAUUACGAACCCUCUAAGCGGCUUGUAGGUAAUGAUAUGGGGGUCAAAUGGUGUUGAGAACAUUUCAUCCAAUCUGUCGGCUGAUAGAGUCGGGCAGGGCCCGUGUCGCUAGUGUUUCCGCCUACUACUGCCUUAGUGAUUGAAAGAGCCAUCCGAAUGUGGCUAUUGCACUUGGCUGACCUAAACAUGCCCUUAAGGUCUCUGACAUACGCGGUUGCCCCUCUAUGCAUGGUGCUUGGGGUGCCAGUCAGGCUCACAUGCGUCAGAUAAAUGUACCCCUCUGCCACUCCUCUUUUUCCUUGAUACUCAAGUGGAGCUGGUGCCUUCGUCCAAUCUGUUUGAUAAGCUAGCGAAGGCUCCUCCUUGGGUUGUCUCGAGUAGCUACCAGAUGAGAACUCUAUGCCCCCGAGGAAAGAUGCCUCAACAGUUCGUCUUGAGGUUGUUUUUCGGCUUUGAGUGUGCCGACUUUGAGAGGGGCCCACUGUUGACAUUUAAGCUCGUAACUCUUCAUUCUCUUCUCUUAAUCAUUCCGUUUGGGGGAGUAGAGUCUACAUCCGUGCUCAUUUUCUCAUUGGCGUUUCUCCAUCAUUUCACACCAAACAAAAUAGUCUUUUUCACCCAUAGCUAAUGAUUGGUUUUUGGAGGAUGUUGACAUCCUUAGAAUUUUCCCACAUACAACGCCAAUGUUGGUGUCAUGCCAAAUCGAUACAGGUUCGUUUAGUUUCAGUGGAAUCAGACGAACUUCUUCCCUGCACAAAAGGAUGUCCAGACAGGUGAUCCGGGCAUGCCUUUCUGAAGCUUAAGUCAAAAUCUAGCAAAAGUAAAUCCAACUUUUUUGAAUGACUAUGUGCGUGCGUACCUUUUUUAUGCUCUUGGAGGGGUUUUUAUAGAACAUUUGGCACAAUCAUCACAACGUUGAUUGUGCAUUCAUGCCUUUCUUACGCUGAUGAUUAUUGGAAUGGUGGAUACUAUGCCUUAAUAAGGUAGUCAACACCAUCAUCUUAGCGCAGAUUGGGCAAUCAUACCAAACAAGAGUUACUGAUUGGUGCCAUUUGUUGGCUAUUGUGCAAGAAUCUAGAACUAUAUUGUUGAUUAUGCAUUUACGUUUGUCAAUGUCACUAAUUGUGUGCAACGCCUGAUUGACAUUGAUUUUUGGAUGUAAAUAUUAUCUAGAUUGUCACUCAAGCAUUGGGUGUGAUUAAUCAUCUAUCCAAUGUCUGGAAUUUUUGCCUGGGUUGGUUUAUCCAUCUGGAAGUCCCCAGUCGGCUUGGUCUGUCCAUUCUGUUUAACAUUAGGGAAUAAGGAAAUUUGUAUUUCCUUUUGCGCCAGAUGAAACUUGUCUUGGUCCAGAUAGAUUGCUCAUAAAUGGAUUAUCUACUUAACUUGGAAAGCUAAAGGGUCUUGAGGUUGGGAAGGAAACGUGAAACAAAACUUCCCACAAGUUCAACAAACAAACUUAAUAAAAAAAAAAAAAAACCCAAAACCUAGAAACGAAUAUGCAAAAUUAAAACAACCCAUCCCAUAAUCCCAACAUACAAUUUUUUUCCCUUUAAUUUUCUUGUUAUCCAAUCAAAUCCCAUCAAUUUUUAAUAUGCGAUUCUAAAAAAGGAAGCUUUAAAUAUCAACACUAGAAGUGUGUCUAGGGUUUGCAGUGGUGUGUCUAGAAGGUGAUGUCUCCUAUUGCGAUGAAGCUUGUGGGUUGUAGAAGAAUAGCUUGAUGGUAACAUCAUUAGAGAGCUUCAACAGUACACAUGAUAGCAUCAUUGGGAGGUUCAGAGAAUGGAGAGUAAGAGAAGCACUGGAAAACUAGGGUUUCAAAGAGACAUUUAUACACAUGACUUUUUAAGGAAUGUGUAAUGUGAUAUAUGGUGUAAUUAAAAUUUUUAAUGAUAUUUUAUUUUUAUAUUUAAUAUAUUAAAUUUAAUCAUAAAGAUAAAUAUAAAUAUUUUAAAUUUUAUUAGAUAUAACAUGUAUAAUAUUUAAAUUUGAAGAUAUUUAAGAUAAAAAAUUAUAAUAUUUAAUUUUAUCUAUAUGUUUAUGUAUUUUAUUAUUUCAAAAUUGUAAAAUCAUUAUAUUAAUUUCAAACAUAUGAUAUAACUAUUAUAAAAAUAAACAUGAAUGUGAAUAUUUUAUAUUUAUUUAAUGGUUUUACAUGAUAAAAAAUUGAAAAAAAAAACAUUAUAGUUAGGAAUGGCAAUGGGGCGGGUUAGGGACGGGUCGCCCUCAUCCCAACCCCGCCCCGUUUAUUCAAAACAAUUCCCAUCCUAUCUUAUUUAAAAAAUUAAACGAGGUGGGGCGGGGUGGGGCGAGGCGGGGCAUGUAUGAUAAAUUUCCUACCCGUCCCGCCCCGUUUAACUUUGAAUUUUUUUUAAAAAAAUUUACUUUUAAAAUUUUAUAUUACAUUAAAAUAAAUAUAUUUUAUAAAUAAUUAAAUAAUUAUAUUUUUUAUAACUUAUUUUAUUAAAAAUAUUUUUUUAUUAUCUGUAUAUUAAAAAUAGUAAAAUAAAAAUUAAAUUAAAUUAAUUUUGAAAUUAAAAUUAAAUUAAAUUUUAUAUAUAAUCGGGGCGGGUGAGGUGGGAUAGGGCAAUACCUGAACCCACCUUGGGUUUUUAAAAAAAAAAUCCCAAACCUGUCCAAAAUUCGUUUACAAAAAUUGAACCCCGUCCUAUUAGGGGCGGGGUGGGUAUCCAAAAAAGCCCACCCCAUUGCCAUCCCUAAUUAUAGUAUUAUACAGAAAUAUUGACUAAUGAUAUACAUUACUCAAUGGUUUAGCUCUUACUUUUCCACCACCCUCCUAGCACAAUUAGGCGCCCAAGUAGUCAUGGUAAUCUCUAUUCAAGUGUUAGAAAAUCGUUUGUCAAACCAGCUUUGAUUAAUGGACAUAGUAUAUACUAAUAUCAUCUUGGGUUUUUGUUUUUGUUUUUUAGUUUUUUUUUUCAUGAGUUUAAACUCUUAAAUAAACUCUAAUAUUUACAUGCAUAUUUAUUUUUAUAAUGUUAAAUAUGAAAAGAAUAUAAUGAUUUUUAAAAAUUAUAAAAUAAUCAGAUUUCUUACUAUCUUUUAAAUUUUUUAAAAUAUUAUUUGAAUUUUUUUGAUAAAUUUUUAAUAAAAUCUAAGACUUUUACGUCAAUGUUAUUAGUAUUUUUGUUUCAUUUAAUUAAUCAAAUGAAAAAGCUUAUAAUUAUUAAAAUUCAAGCCAGCUAAUUUGUUAAUUAUCCAAAUGUUACUACAAAACUUUUAAUAAAAAGAAGUUUAUUUAAAAGAAAUAACAAAGUUGUCAAAAUUAAUUCAUAAGAAUUUCUUGCCCAUAAUUAUCAAAGCUCAUAACUAUUUAAAUUAAAAAAUUUGGUGGGUGGAUUUAAGUAAUCAUGUGACGUAUGUCAAUUAUGCAUUAGGUAGAUGGAGAUAUGAAAUAAGUUAAGUUGUCCACUUAGAACUACUCUAGACCAUGUGGUUCCUAAUAGAAAGUAGAAACACUAGGUGAAGACUCCAAAGCAUUUCAAUUGUCCACUUUAUAUUAUAUACGUGAAGGCUCCAAAUUGAUCAGUGAACAUGUUCACUUUAAACUAUUCUAAAUACCAUGUGGCCUCGUAGAGAACAUGUACAUUUAUUGUUCAUUAGGUGAAUACUUUAAGUUAAUUAUCUUACCAUUCCAAAUCAAUCAACUUAUCUACCCAGGACUGAAGCCGCAUGUGACCAUGAUAGAAAAUAUGGUUGUUAUCUUGUUUUUCCUCACCAUCCAGAAGUACAGCUUUGACUGCGCCCAGUUUCUUAGGAUCAGGUCACAUGGGUACUAUUAAUGCAUAAACAAAUGCGAAUUAUUAUUAAAGAUGUCGAAGGAAUACAAUAUCAUACAAUGUGGCUCCACAUGCCCACAUCCAUUGAUAUUCCAACUUUAGAUGAAAUAUAUAGUAUGCUUGUGUGGGUUAUUCCUUUUUUUUUCUUUUUUUCUUUUUUCCAAUGGGUGUUUGGUUGACUUGAAAAGGUCAUUAUUUUAUUGGAUAUUAAAAAAAAACGAAUGCGGAAGAUAUUAAAAAAUGAAAAAAAAAUUAAGAAAAAUGAUUUUAUCAUUUUUAAAUUCUUGUCAAAUUAUAAAUUUAAAUAUAAUUAAAAUGAAUUAAAGUUAAGUAUAUAUUUUAAAAUUAUUUAAUCUUUAUAUAAAUAAAGAAAAAAAUGAAAUGAUUUUAAAAAAACAUGUGAAAGUAAUUUUUUAUUUUUUAUUUUUCACUUUUCUUCUCUCUUAUAUUUUAUUUUUCUCUCUAUUUUUUCCUUUGUAUAUUUUUUUUUAAAAGUUUCCUGAAACAAAACUCAAUCUUAUAAAAUAGCUAUAAAAAUAAAAGAAAAAGAAAUUAGGCAAAUUGAAAAACUUCACAUAUAUCAAAAUUCAAGCUAAUUUGGAUUUCCUUUGAGCACGAGGAGAAAAGGUUAUUGUUAGAGUGAGGCAUCUCUCUCUCUCUCUCUCUCUCUUUCUGUAUGUUUUGAAGAAGUGGGAAAAAACACCAUGCAUGCAAGGGGUGAUAAAUAUAAAACGUUGUGUUUAAUUGAUGUGAUGGAUUAAUGUAUUAUUAAUGCAUUAUAUAUCUAUUUCAUGAUGGAUGUUAGACGUUUGAUUCAAUCAACCUCCUCUCAUGUAAAAUCGGAAUCUAAUAAGAUACGAGGAUGCAUGGGGUGGCCAGGCAUUCAAUAUAUGUUUAUAUAAUAUUAAUUUGACCGUUGUAUAUGGAAAUUUAUAAUGAAUUAAGCGGGUGUGGGUUAUUGAUGAUGCAUUGGAGGUGUGAAAAAACACCAUGCAUGCAAGUGGUAAUUAAUAUAAUUGUAUUAUAUAUAUAUAUAUAUAUAUAUAUAUAUAUAUAUAUAUAUAUAUAUAUAUAUAUAUAUAUAUAUAUAUAUAUAUAAUAUUUUCACCGAUAAGUGUGAUGAGUUUAUAUAUACAAAAUUUUAUAGUUAUUAUUAAUAUUUUAAGAACCAAAAAUUAUGGGAUCAGAGCCAUGGUUAAAUCAUGGCCCAAUCUUGAUAUCAACAUGACAUUAUGAAUAUAAAUUUUAUAUAUUAUUAAAAUUAAAACUAAUUAUAAAAAGUUACUAAAAGUUUUUUAAGAUAUUUUAUCUUUUAUAUUUAAUAUAAAAUAUUAAAUUAUAAUAGGAAUAAAAUGUAAAUUUAUUAGUAUUUAAAAAAAAAAUUAUAUAUUGAAACAAAUUUUAUUAUUUUGUUCAUAUUUCAAAGGUUAUAUAUAUAUAUAUAUAUUUGUUCUAAAUUUUUUCUUUUCUACAUAAAUAAUAAUAAUAUAUCAUAUUAGUAUAUAGUAUUUUAUUUACUAUACUUUAUAUUAUAAUGUGAUGAGUAGUGAUAUUUUAUUAAUUAAAAGCAAUAGCCUAGUGGUCAUUACGAGACCCCACGAUCGUCUGAAGACUAUCCUGUGGCUGUCCAAAUGUUAGUUGUACAAAGGGACGUUCGGACAACACCCUAAUUUAUUGCACACGUAAUAAAUACACGAAACCAUUGUACAAAUAUUAAACCCUAGCUUUAAGUUGUGAACGUCUAACUUUAAGUUGCGAACCAUUAUUCGCAUACCGAUUACUGGCAAUUAAGACAUUAAUGAAGCACGAAACACAUUGGCAGCUUCAUCGCUAUAGAAAGGCCAUCAUAUAUUCGAAAUAGGUAUGAAAAUAGUCUCAAACUAAAUUUCUGCUCGUUUUUUCCAAAAACUGACUUAAGUUUCGAAUGAGCAUGCCAGAACACCCAUCCAAACACUUUUUUUGUUGGAACACUUGCCAGUCGGAUUGAAGAGGCCAACCGAAGGAGAAAUUUAUUGGUUGUGCAUCAGUAAUUGGCGUCAUCUGUGGGAAUUGAACUAAAAGCCUCUAAUUAAGAAUGGAUAACACACCUCCUAGAAUGCAUCCUUAUUCAACAAUUAUAGAUGAUAGGUUCAGUGCGUGGUAAGCCGAAAUGGAGAAAAGACAGGAAGAGUAUGAGCAGCGCAUGCAAUCCUUGCUUUAGCAUGCAGAGCAACUGAAGUAGGAAAAUGAGAAUUGCAGGCACAGGUGGUCGUAGAACACUAUGCUAGACAGAGAAGCCAUCACACACCCAACUAGAUGUGUUGAGUAAGGGGAGCACUAUUACUAAUCUACUUUUAGGGUUUAUGAAAAUUGAUGGACAUAGCAUAUACUAAUAUCAUCUUGGGUUUUUGUUUUUGUUUUUUAGUUUUUUUUCAUGAGUUUAAACUCUUAAAUAAACUCUAAUAUUUACAUGCAUAUUUAUUUUUAUAAUGUUAAAUAUGAAAAGAAUAUAAUGAUUUUUAAAAAUUAUAAAAUAAUCAGAUUUCUUACUAUCUUUUAAAUUUUUUAAAAUAUUAUUUGAAUUUUUUUGAUAAAUUUUUAAUAAAAUCUAAGACUUUUACGUCAAUGUUAUUAGUAUUUUUGUUUCAUUUAAUUAAUCAAAUGAAAAAGCUUAUAAUUAUUAAAAUUCAAGCCAGCUAAUUUGUUAAUUAUCCAAAUGUUACUACAAAACUUUUAAUAAAAAGAAGUGUAUUUAAAAGAAAUAACAAAGUUGUCAAAAUUAAUUCAUAAGAAUUUCUUGCCCAUAAUUAUCAAAGCUCAUAACUAUUUAAAUUAAAAAAUUUGGUGGGUGGAUUUAAGUAAUCAUGUGACGUAUGUCAAUUAUGCAUUAGGUAGAUGGAGAUAUGAAAUAAGUUAAGUUGUCCACUUAGAACUACUCUAGACCAUGUGGUUCCUAAUAGAAAGUAGAAACACUAGGUGAAGACUCCAAAGCAUUUCAAUUGUCCACUUUAUAUUAUAUACGUGAAGGCUCCAAAUUGAUCAGUGAACAUGUUCACUUUAAACUAUUCUAAAUACCAUGUGGCCUCGUAGAGAACAUGGACAUUUAUUGUUCAUUAGGUGAAUACUUUAAGUUAAUUAUCUUACCAUUCCAAAUCAAUCAACUUAUCUACCCAGGACUAAAGCCCCAUGUGACCAUGAUAGAAAAUAUGGUUGUUAUCUUGUUUUUCCUCACCAUCCAGAAGUACAGCUUUGACUGCGCCCACUUUCUUAGGAUCAGGUCACAUGGGUACCAUUAAUGCAUAAACAAAUGCGAAUUAUUAUUAAAGAUGUCGAAGGAAUACAAUAUCAUACAAUGUGGCUCCACAUGCCCACAUCCAUUGGUAUUCCAACUUUAGAUGAAAUGUUUAGUAUGCUUGUGUGGGUUAUUCUUUUUUUUUUCUUUUUUCUUUUUUUCCAAUGGGUGUUUGGUUGACUUGAAAAGGUCAUUAUUUUAUUGGAUAUUUAAAAAAAACGCAUGCGGAAGAUACUAAAAAAUGAAAAAAAAAAUUAAGAAAAAUGAUUUUAUCAUUUUUAAAUUAUUGUCAAAUUAUAAAUUUAAAUAUAAGUAAAAUGAAUUAAAGUUAAGUAUAUAUUUUAAAAUUAUUUAAUCUUUAUAUAAAUAAAGAAAAAAAUGAAAUGAUUUUAAAAAAGCAUUGUGGACCCCGCAUUUCGGCUCAUGCGUUUCCCACUCGUUGGCGAACUCGAUUUUUAUUUGAAAAAUUGAUUUUAUUCAUUGUUUAAAAAACGACUUGGAGUCGCCACUUAUUUUUGUUUUAUUCUUAAAGGGUAAACAAAAUAAGAAAGAAAAACCCUAAAUGUGACUCCUUAUUUUGAAAAAGGUGGUCUGUGAAAAACCGGAUUGGGUUCGGAGGUCAGGUUACUUAUCGGGAAGGUAUGGUAAAGACCGUAACACCCCUCUAAGUCCCUAAAGUUGGGUCUCUACUAAUAAAAUGAAGCUGAUAUGACAAUUGAUGCGUAAAUCAAUGAAUACACAGAGUGAUCAUGCACAUAUAGGAAUCAGAAUAUGCAUACAGAAUGAUCAAAACAAAAAUGAGCGCGUACCUGGACCUCCAGUCACGAAUGCGCUAUCAUGAAACAGGAUUAGUGAACAAUAGAUAUGUAAUAUAGCUCAUGCAUAUCAGAGCGUAAAGCGAAAAUCAAGCAAAAUACAUUAAGUACAACAGUUGACAAUCGAAAAGGAUCAAACAUAGGGCCCCCACCAAAGCCCCAAUCAUUGUUCAUGAAUUAAUCUUACAAAUUCUGUGUUUUACAAUUAUGAAGAAUUCAUUAUUGCUUAUGUAAAAUUAAGAAAAUCAUAAGAUUAUUUAGGAACUGAAAUAGGAUUAAAACUAUUCGAGUGAAAACUGGAUUCUUGGAGUUUAUUUGAAAAUUGGAGUAUUUGGAAUUAAAUUUAAAAGGUUAGAGCUCCGGUAAUUAAAUUGAAAUUUGUUGAAGAAAAUGGGAAACGAACUUUAGGAAAUGGAACUGCGAGAAUAUAGACUUUGAAAGUUGAAUUUGUAAUAAUAAUAAUAAAAAAUGAACUUUAAGAAAUUGAACUGCGAGAAUACAGAUUUUGAAAAUUGAAUUAAUAAUAAUGAUGAUAAUAGGAAAUGAACUUUAGGAAAUCAAACUGCGAGAAUAUGGCUUUUGAAAGUUGAAUUAAUAAUAAUAAUAAUAAUAAUAAUAAUAAUAAUAAUAAUUAGAUUUUGAAAGUUGAAUUAAUAAUAAUAAUAAUAAUAAGAUUUUGGAAGUUUGAAUUAAUAAUAAUAAUAAGAUUUUGAAAGUUGAAUUAGCAAUAAUAAUAAUAACAAGAUUUUGAAAGUUUGAAUUAAUAAUAAUAAUAAUAAUAAGAUUUUGAAAGUUUGAAUUAAUGAUAAUAAUAAUAAUAAUAAUAAGAUUUUGAAAGUUUGAAUUAAUGUUAAUAAUAAUGAUAAUAAUAAUAAUAAUAAUAAUAAUAGUAACAAUAAUAUUAAUAAUAAUAAUAAUAAUAAUAAUAAAUAAUAACAACAAUGACAAUAAUAAUAAUAAUAAUAAUAAUAAUAAUAAUAAUAGUAAUAACUACAACAAUAAUAGUAAUAGUAAUAAUAAUAAUAAUAAUAAUAAUAGGCUUUGAAAAGGGGUUAAAAGUUGGAAAUGGGCCUUGGGCUUUGAAAAGGGGUUAAGGGUUGGAAAUGGGCUUAGGAGGCUUUUAAAAGGGGUUAAAGGGUUUAGGAUCUGGGCCUUUAGGGAUGGAUCUUGGGCUUUGAAAGGGGCUUAGCUUAUAAUUAAUAAUAAUAAUAAUAAUAAUAAUAAUAAUAAUAUCCGUUAAUAAUAAUAAUAAUAAUAAUAACAAUGAUAAUCCGUUAAUAAUAAUAGUAAUAAUAUCCGUUAAUAAUAAUAAUAAUAAUAAUAAUAGGAAUUAAAAUAAUAAUUAAAAUAAUAAUAAGGGUCAAUUUUAAAAAGUGUAUGGGCUGAUUUUAAAAUGUGUAUGGGCCAAUCUACCGUCAAGCUUGGACUUGGGCUUCACUCAAGCCCAUGUCCACUAGCAAAAAUCACCUCAACCCUCAAGCCCAUUAACAACCAUAGGCUUUUCCCAUACAGGUGCUGCCAUCCGCCGUUCCUCUGGUCGCCGCUGGCGAGGUUCCAGUGGGGACAUGCGCUUACACUCUCCGUCGGAGCGAAGUUUGGCGGAGGCCGGAAAUAUUCUGACACCAUCGUCGGAGGCGAUCUCAUUGCUGCGCGCACCAUGCUCCUUCAAGAUUCCGGCCAGCCUGUGCUGGAACUUGUCAUCUCCAAGCUUCCCAAUGAACAUCGAUCCUCCACCAGGUUUUUUUCACGGCGAUGGUUGCGUUCGCGGGAGAACCUCCAGCACCGCCUUUGACGCCGUCAACGAGAGCAGUGGCGAGAGAGAAGAAAGAAAAACAGAAAAAAAAAAACAAAGAGAGAAAUGGACUAGCGAGAAUGGGAAUGACGAGAUGGGAGCAGGGGAGAGGAUGACAAAGAAAUCAGAACAACAAGGUUCCUAAACAACAAACACCCGAGCAUCUAGUGAAGGCCAAAAAAUCCUCUGAUGAACGUAGGAAGAAUGAUAUAAUAAUGAAAAUGAGUCGAAAAUGAACAGUGCUCAUACCUGAAAGAUGUCUUCUCCCUCUUUCUGUUGGAAAUCAAGCCAGCAUCCUCUGUUUACUUCCCUAAUUAGUGUAAUGUACAACCUUUAUUAUAAUUGAUUUAGGAGUAAUUCUAGCAAGGUAGUUUAUUCACUUUCCAUGCAAGAGUAGUUUAUUCACUUUCCAUGUAAGAGUAGUUUAUUUACUUUCCAUGUAAGAGUAGUUUAUUUAAUUCCCAUGUAAGAGUUUAUUCACUUUCCAUGUAAGGGAAAUUCCAUUCCGGAAUUGUCUCAUAUCCGUAGGCUAUUUAUUUAUGCUUUCAUUCAUUGUAAAGUAAGGUAUCACAGAAUAAUAAAAAAAAAAAUUCCUUCAUAUUUUUCUUCAAAUUCUUCAUGGUAUUAGAGCAGGUUUAAUCCUGUCUCAUCGUCUUCAUCUUUAAUGGAAGAAUCAUGGGAGUAAAACCCCUACCUAGCCUCAGAGAGGCAUUCUCUGAAGUCCGUCGCGAAGAAAGUCGGAAAAAUCUCAUGAUGGGAUCCCAUCAACAACUGAAUAUGGCAGAAAGCUCGGCUCUUAAGACUCAAUUCGCUUCUUUUGACAACCGUCAAAAAAUUAAAGGAGGUAGACCUUGGUGUGAUCAUUGCAGAAAGCCGGGACACUCAAGAGAAACUUGCUGGAAGAUUCAUGGAAAGCCAGUAGAUUGGAAGCCACGUCAACCACUUGAGAAAGAAGGACGAGGCAAUCAUGUGGCUACCGAUGAUGUACAAUCGCCACAACCUGAAGCUAGCCCUUUUAAUAAGGAGCAAAUGGAGAUGCUUCAGAAACUACUGUCUCCUCUUUUGUCAGUACAGUCACAAACUGGCUCAUCUUCCAACCAGGUCAUUGGUUCCGGAACCUUGGCUCACAAAGGUAAUUUUUUGAGUGCCUUCACUGCUGGUAAGAAACGUAAAAAACCUUGGAUAGUGGACUCAGGAGCAUCUGAUCAUAUGACGGGAGAUGCGACAAUUUUUGAUACAUAUAGCUCAUGUCCAAAUAAUUUAACAAUCCGAAUAGCAGAUGGUUCACUAUCAAAGGUUGCCGGAACAGGUUCAGUUGUGCUAUCAAGGGAUCUUACUCUCAACUCUGUUCUCCUUGUUCCUAACUUGGACUGUAAUCUAUUGUCAAUUAGUAAACUCACUAAGGAAAAGAGGUGUAUUACUAAUUUUUCCUCCACUCACUGUGAAUUUCAGGAUUUGGAUUCGGGGAAAACGAUUGGCAAUGCUGAGGAAUGCUCUGGACUCUACAUCCUUAAGGAGCGCCACGAUCCACAAGAACAACCUCAAAUGACAGUUGGUAGUAAUUCUUUUUCGGUUUCAUGUCAAAAUAAUGAUAGUGCAAUUAGGUUGUGGCACUAUCGCUUAGGUCAUCCAAAUGUUAUGUAUCUCAAGCAUUUAUUUCCUUCAUUAUUUAAUAAAAAUCCACAAUCCUUUGAGUGUGAAAUCUGUCAAUUAUCAAAGCAAGUCCGGUCUCAUUUUCCCAUUCAACCCUAUAAAGAGUCUAGUCCAUUCUCAAUGAUUCAUAGCGAUAUCUGGGGUCCGUCAAGAAUAAAAAAUGUAACUGGUACUAGGUGGUUUGUCUCAUUCAUAGAUGAUCACACUAGAUUAACUUGGGUAUUCCUCAUGAAAGAAAAAUCUGAAACGAGUCAAAUUUUCAAAAAUUUUAAAAAUAUGAUUCAGACCCAAUUCCAGUCAAAAAUACAAAUUCUAAAGUCUGAUAAUGCUAGGGAUUAUUUCAACUCCAUUCUAGGAGAAUUUCUAGCACAAGAAGGGAUAGUUCACUUAAGUUCAUGUGUUGAUACCCCACAACAAAACGGAAUCGCUGAAAGGAAAAAUAGGCAUUUGUUAGAGGUGGCUAGAUCACUAAUGUUCUCCAUGAAUGUUCCAAAAUUAUUCUGGGGGCAAGCUGUCCUUACGGCAGCCUACCUCAUCAAUAGGAUGCCGUCUAGGGUACUAAAAUUCCAAACACCUUGUCAAACACUCCUAAAAUCCUUUCCGACUACUCGUCUCAUCUCCACCGUCCCACCCAAAAUUUUCGGGUGCUCUGUCUUUGUUCAUAUCAAUCAACAACAUAGAAGUAAACUUGAUCCUAGGUCACUCAAGUGCAUCUUUCUUGGGUAUUCUUCAAAUAAAAAAGGGUAUAAGUGUUACUCUCCGGUCACAAGAAAAUUCUACAAUUCAAUGGAUGUCACCUUUUUUGAAACCUAGCCUUACUAUCCCAAAAACGAUAUUCAGGGGGAGAAUUCAACUCAGGAAUAUCAAUUUUGGGAUCUUGAGUCAUUCAGUGAGUCACCCAUCACCACUGAAAAUCACAUUCCUCCAGAGUCAUUUAAUCAACCCGAGUCCAUUGUUGACUUGUGGGAUUAGGAGCACAUCCAAGAGGAAACGGAGGAAAGAGCACUUUCUCAACAAACCCAUGAGGCAGAACCGGGUCCUAAUCCAAGCAAACUUCCAGGUAACAACGCUCCUGAUGGUACUGUUGAUUCCGAGUUAGAAAAUGAUAUUCUUAAUAUGCCCAUAGCUUGGAAGAAAGGAGUUAGAUCAUGCACUCAGCAUCCCAUUGGAAAUUUUAUUUCUUAUGAUAAGCUAUCACCUACGUUUCGUGCAUUCACUUCUAGCAUCAUAGAGAUACAAGUUCCUCAGAAUAUUCAGGAAGCUUUCAAGUAUCCUAAGUGGAAGGCGGCAGUCGAUGAGGAAGUUCGGGCACUAGAAAAGAAUGGUACGUGGGAAAUUACUGACCUCCCAAGAGGUAAGAAACCAGUUGGGUGUAAGUGGAUUUUCACAGUAAAGUACAAGGUAGAUGGUAAUGUGGACAGGUAUAAGGCUCGGUUGGUCGCCAAAGGAUUCACCCAAUCCUAUGGCAUUGACUAUCAAGAAACUUUUGCUCCAGUUGCCAAGCUCAAUACUGUUCGUGUACUUUUAUCCUUGGUAGCUAAUCUCGAUUGGUCGCUUCACCAACUUGAUGUGAAGAAUGCAUUCCUCAAUGGUGACUUAGAGGAAGAAGUUUACAUGGACAUUCCUGCUGGACUUGAGACGACAUCAAAUUUCAACAAGGUUUGCAGACUCCGAAAAUCCUUGUAUGGUCUCAAACAAUCUCCCAGGGCCUGGUUUGAACGGUUCACUAAGGUAGUGAAAGGGUACGGAUUCGUUCAAUGUCAAUCCGAUCACACAUUAUUUGUGAAACACUUCCCAGAAGGGAAACUGGCAAUUAUCAUUGUAUAUGUGGACGACAUAAUUUUGACAGGUGAUCAUGAAGAGAAAAUUGACUUACUUAAAAAAUUACUGACAAAGGAAUUUGAGAUCAAGGAUCUUGGAAACCUCAAGUACUUUCUCGGAAUGGAGAUUGCUAGGUCAAAGAAAGGUAUAGCAGUCUCACAACGCAAAUACGUUCUGGACUUAUUGAAUGAAACAGGAAUGCUAGGAUGCAAGCCGGCAGAAACACCUAUGGAUACAACUGUCAAACUGGAAGAAAGUGAUGGAAGUGCGCCAGUUGAUAAAGGAAGAUAUCAACGUCUUGUGGGGAAACUCAUCUAUCUUUCUCAUACAAGGCCAGACAUCGGCUUCUCCGUUAGUGUGGUAAGUCAAUUCAUGAAUAAUCCAACCGAAAAACACAUGACUGUUGUGAUCAGAAUAUUGAGAUACCUCAAGAUGACACCGGGAAAGGGUCUCUUUUUUCAAAGAACAACAAAGAAAGAGAUUGAAAUUUUUUCAGAUGCAGAUUGGGCAGGUUCAGUGACUGAUCGGAGAUCAACUUCAGGCUAUUGUUCAUUUGUCUAGGGGAACUUGGUUACAUGGCGAAGCAAGAAACAGUCAGUGGUAGCCCGUAGCAGUGCUGAGGCAGAAUUUCGUGCUAUGGCACAAGGUAUCUGCGAGGGAAUUUGGUUGAACAGGCUGUUAGAGGAAUUACGGGUUCCAUUGAAGCAUCCCAUGGUGUUAUACUGCGACAAUCAAGCUGCCAUCAGUAUCGCUAAGAAUCCGGUUCAUCAUGAUCGAACCAAGCACGUGGAGAUAGAUCGACACUUUAUCAAGGAAAAGAUUGAAGAAGGAGUUUUCAAAGUCAGCUACACUCCGACAAACUGUCAAACGGCUGACAUUCUCACAAAAGCUCUUGCUCGAGUUAACUUCGAAGAUCUGACAGAAAAACUUGGAAUGAUCAACAUCUACAACGCGGCUUGAGGGGGAGUGUUGGAAAUCAAGCCAGCAUCCUCUGUUUACUUCCCUAAUUAGUGUAAUGUACAACCUUUAUUAUAAUUGAUUUAGGAGUAAUUCUAGCAAGGUAGUUUAUUCACUUUCCAUGCAAGAGUAGUUUAUUCACUUUCCAUGUAAGAGUAGUUUAUUUACUUUCCAUGUAAGAGUAGUUUAUUUAAUUCCCAUGUAAGAGUUUAUUCACUUUCCAUGUAAGGGAAAUUCCAUUCCGGAAUUGUCUCAUAUCCGUAGGCUAUUUAUUUAUGCUUUCAUUCAUUGUAAAGUAAGGUAUCACAGAAUAAAAAAAAAAAAAAUUCCUUCAUAUUUUUCUUCAAAUUCUUCACUUUCUUUUGCCUCCUGCUCUCUGGAACGCUCCCCUCAAAAAAAUCUCCACCUCCUGAAUCCUUCCUUUUCCGCCCCCCCUGGCAGCCUCUUCUCUCUGCCCUCUUUCCUUUCCCGCCUCUUUUUCUCUUCUCAGCCCUCACCGACUCUCUGUCCCCCAUUGUCCCAUCUGGCCGCCCCAUCAGCUUAAUUUUGGGGUGGUCAGAAGAAAAAAAAUAAUAAAAUAACCCCUUAAAGGGGGUCUAUAAGCAUGUGAAAGUAAUUUUUUAUUUUUUAUUUUUCACUUUUCUCCUCUCUUAUAUUUUAUUUUUCUUUUUAUUUUUUCCUUUAUAUUUUUUUUUAAAGUUUCUUGAAACAAAACUCAAUCUUAUAAAAUAGCUAUAAAAAUAAAAGAAAAAGAAAUUAGGCAAAUUGAAAAACUUCACAUAUAUCAAAAUUCAAGCUAAUUUGGAUUUCCUUUGAGCAUGAGGAGAAAAGGUUAUUGUUAGAGUGAGGCAUCUCUCUCUCUCUCUCUCUGUGGAAAAAACACCAUGCAUGCAAGGGGUGAUAAAUAUAAAACGUUAUGUUUAAUUGAUGUGAUGGAUUAAUGUAUUAUUAAUACAUUAUAUAUCUAUUUCAUGAUGGAUGUUAGACGUUUGAUUCAAUCAACCUCCUCUCAUGUAAAAUCGGAAUCUAAUAAGAUACGAGGAUGCAUGGGGUGGCCAGGCAUUCAAUGUAUGUUUAUAUAAUAUUAAUUUGACCGUUGUAUAUGGAAAUUUAUAAUGAAUUAAGUGGGUGUAUGUUAUUGAUGAUGCAUUGGAGGUGUGAAAAAACACUAUGCAUGCAAGUGGUAAUUAAUAUAAUUGUAUUAUAUAUAUAUAUAUAUAUAUAUAUAUAUAUAUAUAUAUAUAAUAUUUUCACCGAUAAGUGCGAUGAGUUUAUAUAUACAAAAUUUUAUAGUUAUUAUUAAUGUUUUAAGAACCAAAAAUUAUGGGAUCAGAGCCAUGGUUAAAUCAUGGCCCAAUCUUGAUAUCAACAUGACAUUAUGAAUAUAAAUUUUAUAUAUUAUUAAAAUUAAAACUAAUUAUAAAAAGUUACUAAAAGUUUUUUAAGAUAUUUUAUCUUUUAUAUUUAAUAUAAAAUAUUAAAUUAUAAUAGGAAUAAAAUGUAAAUUUAUUAGUAUUUAAAAAAAAUUAUAUAUUGAAACAAAUUUUAUUAUUUUGUUCAUAUUUCAAACGUUUUAUAUAUAUAUAUAUAUAUAUAUAUAUAUAUAUAUAUAUAUAUAUAUAUAUAUAUAUAUAUAUAUAUAUAUAUAUAUAUAUAUAUAUUUGUUCUAAAUUUUUUCUUUUCUACAUAAAUAAUAAUAAUAUAUCAUAUUAGUAUAUAGUAUUUUAUUUACCAUACUUUAUACUAUAAUGUGAUGAGUAGUGAUAUUUUAUUAAUUAAAAGCAAUAGCCUAGUGGUCAUUACGAGACCCCACGAUCGUCUGAAGACUAUCCUGUGGCUGUCCAAAUGUUAGUUGUACAAAGGGACGUUCGGACAACACCCUAAUUUAUUGCACACGUAAUACAUACACGAAACCGUUGUACAAAUAUUAAACCCUAGCUUUAAGUUGCGAAUGUCUAACUUUAAGUUGCGAACCGUUAUUCGCAUACCGAUUACUGGCAAUUAAGACAUUAAUGAAGCACGAAACACAUUGGCAGCUUCAUCGCUAUAGAAAGGCCAUCAUAUAUUCGAAAUAGGUAUGAAAAUAGUCUCAAACUAAAUUUCUGCUCGCUUUUUCCAAAAACUGACUUAAGUUUCGUGUUGAUAUAUGGCACAAGAACAGGGCAGAAAUUUAUGACAGCAAAAAAAAAACAAAUUUUUUUUCAGUAAAGAAAAACUUGGUAUCUGGAAGUAUAUUUUUAUUCAUUGCAUUGCUCUUUAUAUAGAGCUGAAACAUAACAGAAAGUCAAGAGAAUUUGCUAAUUUCUAGCCAUGUCUAACCAAUUCCUAAUAUCAAGCCAAAACAAAAUAUAUAUAUAUAUAUCCAGAAAAUAUUCCUAAAGACUUGGUCUAUUGACCAAUUAUUCAGCAACUUUUUGUUUGUCCAUAACUGUAGCAACUAAAGGCACGUUUCCAACACUCCUCCUNNNNNNNNNNNNNNNNNNNNNNNNNNNNNNNNNNNNNNNNNNNNNNNNNNNNNNNNNNNNNNNNNNNNNNNNNNNNNNNNNNNNNNNNNNNNNNNNNNNNNNNNNNNNNNNNNNNNNNNNNNNNNNNNNNNNNNNNNNNNNNNNNNNNNNNNNNNNNNNNNNNNNNNNNNNNNNNNNNNNNNNNNNNNNNNNNNNNNNNNNNNNNNNNNNNNNNNNNNNNNNNNNNNNNNNNNNNNNNNNNNNNNNNNNNNNNNNNNNNNNNNNNNNNNNNNNNNNNNNNNNNNNNNNNNNNNNNNNNNNNNNNNNNNNNNNNNNNNNNNNNNNNNNNNNNNNNNNNNNNNNNNNNNNNNNNNNNNNNNNNNNNNNNNNNNNNNNNNNNNNNNNNNNNNNNNNNNNNNNNNNNNNNNNNNNNNNNNNNNNNNNNNNNNNNNNNNNNNNNNNNNNNNNNNNNNNNNNNNNNNNNNNNNNNNNNNNNNNNNNNNNNNNNNNNNNNNNNNNNNNNNNNNNNNNNNNNNNNNNNNNNNNNNNNNNNNNNNNNNNNNNNNNNNNNNNNNNNNNNNNNNNNNNNNNNNNNNNNNNNNNNNNNNNNNNNNNNNNNNNNNNNNNNNNNNNNNNNNNNNNNNNNNNNNNNNNNNNNNNNNNNNNNNNNNNNNNNNNNNNNNNNNNNNNNNNNNNNNNNNNNNNNNNNNNNNNNNNNNNNNNNNNNNNNNNNNNNNNNNNNNNNNNNNNNNNNNNNNNNNNNNNNNNNNNNNNNNNNNNNNNNNNNNNNNNNNNNNNNNNNNNNNNNNNNNNNNNNNNNNNNNNNNNNNNNNNNNNNNNNNNNNNNNNNNNNNNNNNNNNNNNNNNNNNNNNNNNNNNNNNNNNNNNNNNNNNNNNNNNNNNNNNNNNNNNNNNNNNNNNNNNNNNNNNNNNNNNNNNNNNNNNNNNNNNNNNNNNNNNNNNNNNNNNNNNNNNNNNNNNNNNNNNNNNNNNNNNNNNNNNNNNNNNNNNNNNNNNNNNNNNNNNNNNNNNNNNNNNNNNNNNNNNNNNNNNNNNNNNNNNNNNNNNNNNNNNNNNNNNNNNNNNNNNNNNNNNNNNNNNNNNNNNNNNNNNNNNNNNNNNNNNNNNNNNNNNNNNNNNNNNNNNNNNNNNNNNNNNNNNNNNNNNNNNNNNNNNNNNNNNNNNNNNNNNNNNNNNNNNNNNNNNNNNNNNNNNNNNNNNNNNNNNNNNNNNNNNNNNNNNNNNNNNNNNNNNNNNNNNNNNNNNNNNNNNNNNNNNNNNNNNNNNNNNNNNNNNNNNNNNNNNNNNNNNNNNNNNNNNNNNNNNNNNNNNNNNNNNNNNNNNNNNNNNNNNNNNNNNNNNNNNNNNNNNNNNNNNNNNNNNNNNNNNNNNNNNNNNNNNNNNNNNNNNNNNNNNNNNNNNNNNNNNNNNNNNNNNNNNNNNNNNNNNNNNNNNNNNNNNNNNNNNNNNNNNNNNNNNNNNNNNNNNNNNNNNNNNNNNNNNNNNNNNNNNNNNNNNNNNNNNNNNNNNNNNNNNNNNNNNNNNNNNNNNNNNNNNNNNNNNNNNNNNNNNNNNNNNNNNNNNNNNNNNNNNNNNNNNNNNNNNNNNNNNNNNNNNNNNNNNNNNNNNNNNNNNNNNNNNNNNNNNNNNNNNNNNNNNNNNNNNNNNNNNNNNNNNNNNNNNNNNNNNNNNNNNNNNNNNNNNNNNNNNNNNNNNNNNNNNNNNNNNNNNNNNNNNNNNNNNNNNNNNNNNNNNNNNNNNNNNNNNNNNNNNNNNNNNNNNNNNNNNNNNNNNNNNNNNNNNNNNNNNNNNNNNNNNNNNNNNNNNNNNNNNNNNNNNNNNNNNNNNNNNNNNNNNNNNNNNNNNNNNNNNNNNNNNNNNNNNNNNNNNNNNNNNNNNNNNNNNNNNNNNNNNNNNNNNNNNNNNNNNNNNNNNNNNNNNNNNNNNNNNNNNNNNNNNNNNNNNNNNNNNNNNNNNNNNNNNNNNNNNNNNNNNNNNNNNNNNNNNNNNNNNNNNNNNNNNNNNNNNNNNNNNNNNNNNNNNNNNNNNNNNNNNNNNNNNNNNNNNNNNNNNNNNNNNNNNNNNNNNNNNNNNNNNNNNNNNNNNNNNNNNNNNNNNNNNNNNNNNNNNNNNNNNNNNNNNNNNNNNNNNNNNNNNNNNNNNNNNNNNNNNNNNNNNNNNNNNNNNNNNNNNNNNNNNNNNNNNNNNNNNNNNNNNNNNNNNNNNNNNNNNNNNNNNNNNNNNNNNNNNNNNNNNNNNNNNNNNNNNNNNNNNNNNNNNNNNNNNNNNNNNNNNNNNNNNNNNNNNNNNNNNNNNNNNNNNNNNNNNNNNNNNNNNNNNNNNNNNNNNNNNNNNNNNNNNNNNNNNNNNNNNNNNNNNNNNNNNNNNNNNNNNNNNNNNNNNNNNNNNNNNNNNNNNNNNNNNNNNNNNNNNNNNNNNNNNNNNNNNNNNNNNNNNNNNNNNNNNNNNNNNNNNNNNNNNNNNNNNNNNNNNNNNNNNNNNNNNNNNNNNNNNNNNNNNNNNNNNNNNNNNNNNNNNNNNNNNNNNNNNNNNNNNNNNNNNNNNNNNNNNNNNNNNNNNNNNNNNNNNNNNNNNNNNNNNNNNNNNNNNNNNNNNNNNNNNNNNNNNNNNNNNNNNNNNNNNNNNNNNNNNNNNNNNNNNNNNNNNNNNNNNNNNNNNNNNNNNNNNNNNNNNNNNNNNNNNNNNNNNNNNNNNNNNNNNNNNNNNNNNNNNNNNNNNNNNNNNNNNNNNNNNNNNNNNNNNNNNNNNNNNNNNNNNNNNNNNNNNNNNNNNNNNNNNNNNNNNNNNNNNNNNNNNNNNNNNNNNNNNNNNNNNNNNNNNNNNNNNNNNNNNNNNNNNNNNNNNNNNNNNNNNNNNNNNNNNNNNNNNNNNNNNNNNNNNNNNNNNNNNNNNNNNNNNNNNNNNNNNNNNNNNNNNNNNNNNNNNNNNNNNNNNNNNNNNNNNNNNNNNNNNNNNNNNNNNNNNNNNNNNNNNNNNNNNNNNNNNNNNNNNNNNNNNNNNNNNNNNNNNNNNNNNNNNNNNNNNNNNNNNNNNNNNNNNNNNNNNNNNNNNNNNNNNNNNNNNNNNNNNNNNNNNNNNNNNNNNNNNNNNNNNNNNNNNNNNNNNNNNNNNNNNNNNNNNNNNNNNNNNNNNNNNNNNNNNNNNNNNNNNNNNNNNNNNNNNNNNNNNNNNNNNNNNNNNNNNNNNNNNNNNNNNNNNNNNNNNNNNNNNNNNNNNNNNNNNNNNNNNNNNNNNNNNNNNNNNNNNNNNNNNNNNNNNNNNNNNNNNNNNNNNNNNNNNNNNNNNNNNNNNNNNNNNNNNNNNNNNNNNNNNNNNNNNNNNNNNNNNNNNNNNNNNNNNNNNNNNNNNNNNNNNNNNNNNNNNNNNNNNNNNNNNNNNNNNNNNNNNNNNNNNNNNNNNNNNNNNNNNNNNNNNNNNNNNNNNNNNNNNNNNNNNNNNNNNNNNNNNNNNNNNNNNNNNNNNNNNNNNNNNNNNNNNNNNNNNNNNNNNNNNNNNNNNNNNNNNNNNNNNNNNNNNNNNNNNNNNNNNNNNNNNNNNNNNNNNNNNNNNNNNNNNNNNNNNNNNNNNNNNNNNNNNNNNNNNNNNNNNNNNNNNNNNNNNNNNNNNNNNNNNNNNNNNNNNNNNNNNNNNNNNNNNNNNNNNNNNNNNNNNNNNNNNNNNNNNNNNNNNNNNNNNNNNNNNNNNNNNNNNNNNNNNNNNNNNNNNNNNNNNNNNNNNNNNNNNNNNNNNNNNNNNNNNNNNNNNNNNNNNNNNNNNNNNNNNNNNNNNNNNNNNNNNNNNNNNNNNNNNNNNNNNNNNNNNNNNNNNNNNNNNNNNNNNNNNNNNNNNNNNNNNNNNNNNNNNNNNNNNNNNNNNNNNNNNNNNNNNNNNNNNNNNNNNNNNNNNNNNNNNNNNNNNNNNNNNNNNNNNNNNNNNNNNNNNNNNNNNNNNNNNNNNNNNNNNNNNNNNNNNNNNNNNNNNNNNNNNNNNNNNNNNNNNNNNNNNNNNNNNNNNNNNNNNNNNNNNNNNNNNNNNNNNNNNNNNNNNNNNNNNNNNNNNNNNNNNNNNNNNNNNNNNNNNNNNNNNNNNNNNNNNNNNNNNNNNNNNNNNNNNNNNNNNNNNNNNNNNNNNNNNNNNNNNNNNNNNNNNNNNNNNNNNNNNNNNNNNNNNNNNNNNNNNNNNNNNNNNNNNNNNNNNNNNNNNNNNNNNNNNNNNNNNNNNNNNNNNNNNNNNNNNNNNNNNNNNNNNNNNNNNNNNNNNNNNNNNNNNNNNNNNNNNNNNNNNNNNNNNNNNNNNNNNNNNNNNNNNNNNNNNNNNNNNNNNNNNNNNNNNNNNNNNNNNNNNNNNNNNNNNNNNNNNNNNNNNNNNNNNNNNNNNNNNNNNNNNNNNNNNNNNNNNNNNNNNNNNNNNNNNNNNNNNNNNNNNNNNNNNNNNNNNNNNNNNNNNNNNNNNNNNNNNNNNNNNNNNNNNNNNNNNNNNNNNNNNNNNNNNNNNNNNNNNNNNNNNNNNNNNNNNNNNNNNNNNNNNNNNNNNNNNNNNNNNNNNNNNNNNNNNNNNNNNNNNNNNNNNNNNNNNNNNNNNNNNNNNNNNNNNNNNNNNNNNNNNNNNNNNNNNNNNNNNNNNNNNNNNNNNNNNNNNNNNNNNNNNNNNNNNNNNNNNNNNNNNNNNNNNNNNNNNNNNNNNNNNNNNNNNNNNNNNNNNNNNNNNNNNNNNNNNNNNNNNNNNNNNNNNNNNNNNNNNNNNNNNNNNNNNNNNNNNNNNNNNNNNNNNNNNNNNNNNNNNNNNNNNNNNNNNNNNNNNNNNNNNNNNNNNNNNNNNNNNNNNNNNNNNNNNNNNNNNNNNNNNNNNNNNNNNNNNNNNNNNNNNNNNNNNNNNNNNNNNNNNNNNNNNNNNNNNNNNNNNNNNNNNNNNNNNNNNNNNNNNNNNNNNNNNNNNNNNNNNNNNNNNNNNNNNNNNNNNNNNNNNNNNNNNNNNNNNNNNNNNNNNNNNNNNNNNNNNNNNNNNNNNNNNNNNNNNNNNNNNNNNNNNNNNNNNNNNNNNNNNNNNNNNNNNNNNNNNNNNNNNNNNNNNNNNNNNNNNNNNNNNNNNNNNNNNNNNNNNNNNNNNNNNNNNNNNNNNNNNNNNNNNNNNNNNNNNNNNNNNNNNNNNNNNNNNNNNNNNNNNNNNNNNNNNNNNNNNNNNNNNNNNNNNNNNNNNNNNNNNNNNNNNNNNNNNNNNNNNNNNNNNNNNNNNNNNNNNNNNNNNNNNNNNNNNNNNNNNNNNNNNNNNNNNNNNNNNNNNNNNNNNNNNNNNNNNNNNNNNNNNNNNNNNNNNNNNNNNNNNNNNNNNNNNNNNNNNNNNNNNNNNNNNNNNNNNNNNNNNNNNNNNNNNNNNNNNNNNNNNNNNNNNNNNNNNNNNNNNNNNNNNNNNNNNNNNNNNNNNNNNNNNNNNNNNNNNNNNNNNNNNNNNNNNNNNNNNNNNNNNNNNNNNNNNNNNNNNNNNNNNNNNNNNNNNNNNNNNNNNNNNNNNNNNNNNNNNNNNNNNNNNNNNNNNNNNNNNNNNNNNNNNNNNCCUGGGAGCCUGUUUAAGACCAUAUAAGGCCUUCUUCAACAAGUAGACCUUCUCCUCCUGUCCCUUGACUUGGAAUCCCUCGGGCUGCUCUACAUAAAUUUCCUCUUGAAGAUAACCAUUUAAAAAAGCAGAUUUUACAUCCAACUGGUAAGUUUUCCAUCCCUUUUGUGCUGUCAAAGCAAGCAACAUUCUGAUUGUAUCCAAGCGUGCUACUGGAGCAAAAGUUUCUGAGAAAUCCACUCCAAACACUUGACUAUACCCCUUCACAACUAAUCUGGCUUUGUAUUUAUUUACAGAACCAUCUGCAUUAAGUUUGGUUCUAUAAACCCAUUUGACUCCAAUGACCUUUCUGUGUUGAGGUCUGUCCACCAACUCCCAGGUGUCAUUCUUUUCAAUCAUUCUAAGCUCCUCUUUCAUUGCUUCAAUCCACUUGUCAUCCUUCUCUGCCUCUUCAAAUUCUGCAGGCUCAAAAACAGCAACAUUGUUUCUUUCAUAAACAUCAGAUAAGGACCUUAUACCUCUAACUGGGACAUCAUCUAUGUCUUCAUCAAAAUAUUGUGGAACCUUUGGCAGUUGCAUCUUUAUUGACUCCUCCCAGUUCCAUUGUCUAUCCUCCAUGAACUUGACAUUUCUACUUACAAGAAUUUUUCCAUUUUGUGGUUGGAAAAUUUUGUAAGCCUUGGAAGAGUUGCUAUAUCCAAUGAAAACUCCUGGUUCUGCCUUCUUAUCAAGUUUGUCUCUUUUCACCUGUGGCACAUAAGAAAAACAGAGACAACCAAAAGUUCUUAAAUUCUUCAAAUCUGGUUUAUAACCAAACCAGGCUUCAAAUGGAGUUUUUUUCUGCAAAACUCUAGUUGGCAGCCUAUUCAGCAAAAAAACUACAGUGUUUGCAGCCUCUGCCCACAAUUUUUUUGGCAACUCCUUCUCAUGUAGCAUACACCUUGUCAUCUCCAUAAUACUUCGAUUUUUUCUCUCACUUACUCCAUUCUGUUGUGAAGUGUAAGGUGUUGUGAGUUGGUGCUCUAUACCGGCUUCUUCACAGAAUUUAUCAAAAAUUUCAUUUGUGUAUUCUUUCCCAUUAUCUGACCUUAUCUUCUGCAUCCUGCAACUGCUUUGAUUCUCCACCCAUGCUUUAUAUUUCCAAAAUACAUUAGCAACCUCAGAUUUGGAUUUGAGGAAAUAAAUCCAACAAAAUCUGGUAUAAUCAUCAAUAAAUGCAAUGUAGUACUUACUACCAUUUAAAGAUGGUGUUUUCUGAGGUCCUCCAACAUCUGUGUGUACCAGUUGCAGCUUGUGCAUUGCUCUCCAUGCUGUUUGAGGGAAGGGUCUUCUAGUUUGCUUGCCAUAUUGACAAGCCACACAAUCAGCUAGCUUGUCUUCCAACAAUGGCACACCUUUCACCAAAUUCUGUUUCUGCAUAUAUAGAAGUCCAACAUGGUGGAAAAUGCCCAAGCCUUNNNNNNNNNNNNNNNNNNNNNNNNNNNNNNNNNNNNNNNNNNNNNNNNNNNNNNNNNNNNNNNNNNNNNNNNNNNNNNNNNNNNNNNNNNNNNNNNNNNNNNNNNNNNNNNNNNNNNNNNNNNNNNNNNNNNNNNNNNNNNNNNNNNNNNNNNNNNNNNNNNNNNNNNNNNNNNNNNNNNNNNNNNNNNNNNNNNNNNNNNNNNNNNNNNNNNNNNNNNNNNNNNNNNNNNNNNNNNNNNNNNNNNNNNNNNNNNNNNNNNNNNNNNNNNNNNNNNNNNNNNNNNNNNNNNNNNNNNNNNNNNNNNNNNNNNNNNNNNNNNNNNNNNNNNNNNNNNNNNNNNNNNNNNNNNNNNNNNNNNNNNNNNNNNNNNNNNNNNNNNNNNNNNNNNNNNNNNNNNNNNNNNNNNNNNNNNNNNNNNNNNNNNNNNNNNNNNNNNNNNNNNNNNNNNNNNNNNNNNNNNNNNNNNNNNNNNNGAGUACCUUUCAUAUUUUUGGUUCUUUCAUGCCCUGGGUAUUCCUUUUUGAGGUAGUCCCCAAAUAUCUUUUGCUGACUCCCAGGUUCAUGAAUUCUUGUAAAUAUAGUGCUUGAAACAGUAGAGAAUAAGUAGGCUUUUAGCUUUGGACUUCCUGGUCUUCCUCUCUUUGUGGCUCUUAAGCUGAGCCAUCGUAGGGUUCGCCGGCAAUGGGGGAACAUCAUAGUCUUCCUCUAUAGCUUCCCAAAGAUCUAAUGCUUCAAGAUGGACUGUCAUUCUAACAGCCCAGGCUUGAUAGUUAUCACCAUCAAAAAUUGGUGGUGCAACAUGGGAGAAAGUUGUUUCAGUUUCCAUUUCUGGAUUCACUCAACUCACAGAUCCCUCAAGAAGAAGAGCUCUGAUACCAGAUUGUUGAUAUAUGGCACAAGAACAGGGCAGAAAUUUAUGACAGCAAAAAAAAAACAAAUUUUUUUCAGUAAAGAAAAACUUGGUAUCUGGAAGUAUAUUUUUAUUCAUUGCAUUGCUCUUUAUAUAGAGCUGAAACAUAACAGAAAGUCAAGAGAAUUUGCUAAUUUCUAGCCAUGUCUAACCAAUUCCUAAUAUCAAGCCAAAACAAAAUAUAUAUAUAUAUAUAUAUCCAGAAAAUAUUCCUAAAGACUUGGUCUAUUGACCAAUUAUUCAGCAACUUUUUGUUUGUCCAUAACUGUAGCAACUAAAGGCACGUUUCCAACAUUUCGAAUGAGCAUGCCCAGAACACCCAUCCAAACACUUUUUUUGUUGGAACAAUUGCCAGUCGGAUUGAAGAGGCCAACCGAAGGAGAAAUUUAUUGGUUGUGCAUCAGUAAUUGGCGUCAUCUGUGGGAAUUGAACUAAAAGCCUCUAAUUAAGAAUGGAUAACACACCUCCUAGAACGCAUCCUUAUUCAACAAUUAUGGAUGAUAGGUUCAGUGCGUGGUAAGCCGAAAUGGAAAAAAGACAGGAAGAGUAUGAGCAGCGCAUGCAAUCCUUGCUUCAGCAUGCAGAGCAACUGAAGUAGGAAAAUGAGAAUUGCGGGCACAGGUGGUCGUAGAACACUAUGCUAGAUAGAGAAGCCAUCACACACCCAACUAGAUGGCCUCAAAGCGAGUGUAAAGCAGAACGACGAGAGUUCCCUCACCUAACAGAGAACCAUCAUUACAAGCAGACAAUGAAUUGUUUGCUAACAGUUCCCCAAAUUUGUCAGCACUGCGGGGGUUCAGAAUAAAGCUCUCAAUCGGGAAAGUUAGGCAAAUGAAGCUACAAGUUCUAUUAAGGGAAAGCAUAAACGAGGUUCAGAGUGGGGGCCACAUAUGUCGGGUGCCCUGAAAACCUGGUUUAGUCAUCCCCAAGAAGACAAUUCACCAAGCCAUUGACCACAAUGUGUAAAUCUUGAGCUCUAACCGCGUGAAGCAUUGCCUAAGGCUCCCCUGGACACAGUAAGUAGAUGGUUGGACGAUAUGUUGUCCACGUCGUUUAGCUCGUACAUAGUCAGUUACAAACUGCACAAAGGAUUCAUGGUUCCAAAGUUUAUAUGAUGGAUCUAGCGUCGAUCACUUAAUUCAUUUUGGGCAAAUGAUGACCCUAGAUAUAGGCAAUGAUUUGUUUCAAUGAAAUGUCUUUCAAGCUAACUUUCAUGGGUCAGCCUUGUCAUGGUUUCAUUGGCUCCCAAAAAUUUGGCUAACUCAUUCAGAGAUGUCUCGGAGGCAUUUGUGGCACACUACUUGUGCUCCAGAAGUAGAACAUAAGCGCUUUGCAUAACAUUAAAAUGCUGAAAAAUGAGUCAUUGUGGGAUUUCAUGAAGCGGUUCGGGCAAGUGGUAUUGCAGGUGGAGUCUUAUAGCAUGGACGCCCUACUAUAAUUUUUUUAAAAAGGUAUAAGUCUAGGUACCCUUCCUUCGAAUCCCUCACAAAGAAAUCACCUACCACAAUGGAUGACCUAUUUUGGAGGAUAGAUAAGUAUACAUGCUCAAAGAUGAUGUUUAGGCAACAUCCUAACAAAUUCUUGUUACAAACUAGACGACGAAAAAUAACAAGCUAGGGGGUUUAAAACCAUCUGACAAUUGAUCUAGGCAAAGAAAUUAAAGAUCCUCCUAAUAAGGGUAGUAAAGACGGGAACUAUCCUAGUUCACCCCUUUGAUCAUCUCAUAUGAGUGAAUUUUAUCUUUUAUCCAAGAGCUUCUAAAAUUCAGAUGGCUAAAGCCCAUCAAGGUAGAUCCGACCAAAAGGGAUUAGAGAUAGCAAUACUCUUAUCACAAAGAGCAUGGUCAUACUAAAAAAGAAUGCUAAUACUUGCAUUACAUGGUGGAAAAGCUAGUGAAAGCCCAACACUUGAAGCAGUGUGUCUGACAAGAUGGGAGGAUAGUGAAGUACCAAGAGAAGCGUCAAACAAAAUCCUGACUUCUCCCAUUGAACCACACUCUAUGAUACAUUAUAUCCAUAAGGGGUCAUCGAGUGACAUGUACCAGUCCAAGUGACACAAGAAAAGGCUGAUUAGGACCACCACCAUAAGAGAAUGGGUGAUCAAUAUGGUUUAGUGUGCAAAGAAUUGUAGUUGACUUAAGUAGCUCGCUGAUCUUUUAUAUAAGCCAGCUUACAAGCAAAUAGGCCAUCGCCUGCAACACUAGAAAGCCUCAGUUGUAUCUUAUCCAAAUUUAAUGGGGCUACCAUUAUAUCCUUAGGAGAUGUCAUGCUCUCUGUCGAAGUUGGGCCUGUCACUUUAUGUGUAAGGAUUUUUGUGGUAGAAGAUCUAACACCCUAAAAUGCCAUGCUCAAGCGAGCAUGAUUGCACAAGAUGAAGGUCAUCCCGUCUACCUACCAUCAAAUGAUUAGUUACUUGACAGAGAAGGGUUAGGUGGACCUACACAUAAGACAAUUAGCUUCCCGACAGUGCUAUUGGAUAACUGUGGAAGCAGGGUAAGGCACCUCGUUGGUAGACGAACCUGAGUCAUUAGAAGCCCAAGCUAGAUAGCAAUUAUAGAACCAGGUACCAAAGCAGGUGGAGGAAUGGACCCAUUAGCUACAAACCUACUCAAACAUUUGAGUCUCUUUGAGAACUAAGAACAAAUAGCAUAUGUUAGUAUUUUAUUGACUUAUGAAGAAUGAAACUGUUUGAGGCAAGUACUGAGAAUGAAUAAAAACUUAUUUGCAUGGAAACAUUCAAAUAUGCUUGGUAUAGAUCCAGUAGUAGCCUCACAUAAGGUGAAUGUAAUUCUAAUAGCAUGCCUAAUACGAUAGAAAGUUCGAUAUUUUCACUCAAAUUGGUAAAAUGUCAUACAGAUGAAGAUAAGCAACCUACUAAAGGCCGAAUUUAUUAGAGAAAUGGAGUACCCUAACUAGUUAGCUAAACUAGUGUUGGUACCUAAAAAAUAUAGGAAAUUGAGAGUAUGUGUGGAGUACAUGAAUUUAAAUGAAGUUUGCCCAAAUGAUAGCUUCUCAUUGCCACAAGUAAAUCAAUUAGUUGAUGCAAUAGUCGGGCAUGGAAUGUUCUCGUUUCCUAAUGCCUUCUCCAAAUACCAUCAAAUACUUAUGCAUCCACCAGACUUAGAGAAAAUCACCUUCAUCAUCCCAUAGGGCUUAUACCAUUAUAAUGAGAUGCAUUUGGCUUGAAAAAUGUGAGGGCCACAUAUCAACAUCUAGUGACCAAAAUUUUCCAUCCGUUGCUAAGCAAGACAAUGGAAGUCUAUAUCGAUGAUAUGUUGAUCAAGAGCCUAGCCCGACUAAAUCAUUUGUAGCAUUUGGAAUAAGCAUUUAGGUUGUUGUAAAAAUAUGGAAUGAAGUUGAACCCCCUUAAAUGUGCAUUUAGGGUAAGUGUACGAAAGUUCCUCAGAUUCAUGGUAAAUCAAAGGGGAAUAGAAGCGAGCCCUACACAAAUCAAGGCAAUAUUGGAGUUUCCUACUUUAGCUUGUAAGAAAGAGAUACAACAACUUAUUGGAAGGUUGGUGGCCCUUGGAUGGUUUAUAUUAUGAUUCAUUGAUUGGCUUCUACCAUUCUUUAAUACUCUCUAGAGGGCAAAAUCGUUCGAAUGAACAUCAAAGUUUGAAUAAGAAUUUUCUUCUAUAAAGUAGUACCUCUCAAAGGCACCAAUUCUUUGCAGCCAUGUAUCUUAUCGUAUCAAACUCUAUGGUAUGUGCUACACUAUUCUGAAAGGAUCAUUGGCAUAUGUAAAGGUUUGUUUACCAUGUGAGCAAGACCCUAGUUAACGCCAAAACCAGAUAUUUAUGAGUAGAGCAAAUGACCUUAGCUUUACGAAUAGCUGUAAAAAGGCUCUGCUUAUAUUUCCAAGCACAUCAAGUAGUUGUACUUGUUGGGAUUAAGCCCUUAAAAGCAAGACAUGAUGUAACAAAGUUAAAUUUAACUGUCCUCUUGUUAUCCUUUUGGUGUAUGACAUUGAUUUAAGCAUUGAGCCCAUGUCUUUUACAUUAUACAUGACUUUGAUGCAUAAUGAGUUGCAUAGAAAAUACAAGUCAUAGGUUCCUUAUAAAUAGAUAAGUUGUCCACAAUCAAUUCAUUGAUUUGAGAAAUCCAAUAGAAAUUGUAGUUUACCACCUCUUAAUUAGAGAGAUAUUUGUCUUGACCGUCAAAAUGGGUUUCCCAUGGUGAGGGCACUAGUGUAUGUGAUGUACACAAGACUAGACCUACAAUGAAUCAUGACGCAAUACUAUCAAUUGUCAUACCUCACCAAGAUACUAUACUGAAUGAAGUCUCAACCUCGAGAGGAUAUUGAGUUUGUGCCAAAAUCAACAAGAGCCUUUGACCUAGAGGUAAGAUCUUAAAGUGGUUAUAUAUCUCUUUAGAUUAGGUCAUUGUUGAUGGAGGUUGGUGACAACAGGUAUUCUCAAUAGAGGCAGCAUAAUAUCUCAUAGGAUUGAGACAAUGUGUCAUCUUAGGUGAUCCAAAGGACAUGUAAUCAUGAAAUAUGUUGUCACUGUAAUUCCUUUAGUGAAAUUUAACAUAUGCUUGUUGGAGUUAGAGUAUGUCAGUUGAUCACAUAAUAAGUAGGAUUUGUAACUCAAGGGUUUGAAAGGUAAUCUUGAUAGGUGAUAACACUAACUUGUUAGAUUACAAACAUCAAUUCAUAGAAAGUUUGCAUGUAGUAUAUAAUAUGUCACAGACUUGAGCUUUGUCUCGUUGUUAUUUACAUGGAGUACUAUAGUGCAAUUAAUUCUCUUAGUGGAAUGUUAAAUCAACUUUAGAAUUGGAUUCUCAGACUAGUACUUUUAUGGGUCCUAGUGGUUCUCACUAUGAGCUCAUAUAUCAUGAUGACAUGGUUUAUGAGGGUUGGAUUGACUCUAGGGUCAUUCUUGUGCAUAAGAGCUUUUUGGUAAUUAUGUAAGGUUGCACAGGGGAUAAUGAACAAGGUUUCUAGAUUAGGCUAAUUGAUUAUUUAGAUUACCUCGUGUAAUUAAUUAAUCAAUUAGGACUCGUUUUGGGUUAGAUCAAGUAACCUAAUCCUUGAUGAGCUCAAGUCACUUAAGCCUAGUGGGCAACCUUAUAAAUACCUCCUUAAAGGGUUAGGGUUUCCUAAUGACUUUUAGUUAGUCAUCUUCUACCUCUAUAGAGAGAGAGAGCCAAAGCUUCCUCUAUUCCAUUGCUCACAUUUUGAAGUACCAAGAUCGUGGUUCGAGUCAUCAAGUAAAAGAUCUUAAGUGUAUGAGACCUCUAAAAUUUUCAGGCAUAUUCUUCACUAGAUGGAUUUUGAUUUGGGAACAUCCAGGUCACAUAUAUGAGUUUUAUCUCUAGAUCUAUAAUUAAUAAUGGUUUUUAUAUUGCUAUUUUAUUUCGCUACAAUAGAUUUAAAGAUGCCUAGGGAUAGAUGCAUUCACCCUAUGAGAUUCAGGGCAUAAGAACAGAGUAAUCCAAGGUUUCCAAUAAUUGGUAUUAGAGCCCUAGGGUAGGUUCUAGCAUGCUAAAUAUGUUCUAGGACGUUAACUCUAUUUUGCAGGGUAUUUUUUUCAUCCCAUUGUUAAAAGGGAUGAAUGAAUGCCAACAUAAGGGGUAUAAUUAUAAUUAUAUUUGGAUUUGAAUAUGAUUAUUGAUUUAUUGAUUCUCUUGAUUGGGUUGUACACCCCACAAAGGGUAUAGAGCACAAUGACGUCAACUUUAACUCGAAAUUAGGACUACUUUCAAAUAGUUUCUUAGGGCAACCCACAUAUGGUUUUGAAUCUUAGGAAGUCAGGAAUUCAAUGUUUCAAACGGAUCACAAUUCAGAGUUCAAAGACGAAGAUAUGGCUGAUUAAAGCAAUGCUACACAAAGUGCAUAACAACAUAGUGACAUCAAAUUUGAGUCAAAAUUGGGGCUACUUAUAUUAAGUUUCAUGGGGCAAAUCACAAUGGUUUUGAAUCUUAGGAAGUCAAGAAUUCAAUUCUUCAAAUGGAUUGCAAUUUGCAGUCGAAAUGAGGAAAAUAUGUCAAAUUGAAGCAUAGUUGUGCAAAAAAGCAUAGCUGUACAAAAAAACAUGUUAUUACGGGAUUGCAUACGAGUCCAAUUGCUUUUUGUUUGGACUCAUUUUUUAGGCCUCUUCCCAUGCUCAUUUUUGGUGGCAAUUAGGUUUUUUUAGGGUUUUUCAAUUUUUACUAACCUUGUAUGGCUAUUUUGGUAAUUUGGAUUUUAUUCAUUUUUAAUUACCAAAUAUAUAGUAGGAACCCUAAAGGUCAUAGAAAAUAUUCUUCUUUUUUUAUUAUUGUUCCUUUGUUUUUAUUAUAUGCUAUCUUGAUUAAUUGCAUAUAUGGUCUCAAGCUAUUUUGGUAUUCUUAAUUAGAAAUAAAUAUUCAUGCAUUUUUCAGAAUUGGAAAACUUAUUUCAAUUGGAAUGUGUAUGGUUAGAAAAAUUUAUUUAAAAAAAAAAAAGAUAAGUUGGAAUAAUAUUAAGAGAUUUCUUUCCUUUUUAAAUUUAAUUAUUAGAUAUUUUAAUUUUAUUUAAAAUCUUCUCAAAUCUUUGAGAUUACAAAAAUAAAAUCUUUCUUUUAAGAAAAAGCUCUUAUUUUUCCAAAUCAUUAUAAAAUAAUGUUUUCCGUAUUUUGCACAAUAUUCCAUUUUAAAAAAAUAAAUUAAUUUUGAAAAUUCAUGAUGGAUAAUUUAUAAUUAAGAAAGUUACCAAAAUGAGUGUUAUAACCUAAAAAAAAAUAUCUUUUGGUAUUCUUAAUAAAUUUUUAUAAGAAGAUUUUUCCAAGAUUAUUUAUUUAAACUGUUUGUUGCUAAUAAGAAUAUUAUUCCUUUUGGAAUUGUCCACUUGAUUUUGGGAUAGGUGGUUCUCCCCUUUUGAGAGAAGAAGAGUUACACCUAUAUGGUUGUCUAGGCUUUCCCCCUGAGAGAAGAAGGAAACCAUUCUAUUUGGAUAUGGAUAGUUUAAGGGAAAGGAACAAGAGAACAAUUUUUAGCAUAGGAGUGUUGGUUUAAAAGAUAAAUAAUGGAUUUGGAAAAUCUCAUGAUAAAAAAAAUAAAAAAUAAAAAAAUUGCCAAAAUAGUAUUGGAAACCUUUAGUAAUUUUAUGAAGAUAUAAAAUAUUUUGAAAAUACUUUUCAAAAUAGAUUGUUUAAUUAUUUUUUGGAAAUAAAUAUUUUUAGGAGUUUUUCAUUAACAAAAAUAUUUUAUCCAUUAAGAGAUUACUAAAAUGUUUUGUUUUUGGUAGUAUUUAAUGGAAUAAAUUACUAUGAAGGUUUCAUGAAAAUGUUUAUUAAGUUGGAAAGGUGUAAGGAAUAAGGAAAGUAAAUCUUAUAAGGAUUUUUGAAUAUGAGAAGCAAAAGUUCCUUUUUUUGGAUAAGGUGCUCUCAAGAUUUUCAAAAUAUCAUAAAUUGGUAAUUUCCUUAUUAUGCUAAAGUUUCUAAUUUGAAAAAUAAAUAUUUUAAAAAUAUUUAUUAAAUAAUUUAUCAUUAAAAUAUUAUUACAAUAACGCUUAGUAAUUUGAUGGAAAUAAAUUCUUUAAAACAUUUCCUAAAUAAAAUAUUUAUUAAUUGGAAUUGGGUUCGGGAAGGAGAAUUUUAUGAAAAUUGAUUUUAAAAUUUUGAGAAUGAAUAUUUAUCAAAAUUCUUUUUGAAAAUUACUCUCAUGAAAAUUUUAAAUUUUUCAAGUUCAUAUUCUCCUAUUAUACUAGGUAUCUAAUUAGGAAAUAAAUAUUUUUGAAAAUUGUCAAAGUAGAUAAUUUAUUCAUCAGAGAAAUUAUUAAAAGUCUUAAAAUGCUCUUAUUUAUCUCAAAAGAUUAAGUAGGAGAGGACCUUAGGUAAGCCCACAACCUUCAUUGUCAAAUCCAUCUUGAUUUGGGUUCAUUAUCACCCAAUCGACAAGUUGAGUCCUAGAAAUUAAGUGAUAUGAACUUUUCAUUAAGACAAGACUAGACAUGUCUAUAGUGGGAGCAACCACCCCAUCAGUGAGAUUCUUUAUUUGGUGACAUUGAUAGUUUAAAGACAAUGGUUAUACUAGAAUAAGUUGAAAAAAUAAAAAUAGAAAAAAAAAUAUAUAAAUCCUCAAUUGAAGAAAGCAUUAAUAUAAUGGUUAGAUUAACAAUUUUGUCAUAAAAAUCACCUAUUCAGAAUUACUUCACUUCUACUCAUUCAUUGGAAUUUUCUACAAAAUUCAGCAAAUUUAUUACUAAGCAAACAAAUCCAAAAGAUGUGAGCUUUGGUGCUCUGAACUUAUUAAUAACUCUAUUGAUUUCCAAAAUUAUCUAAAAUUUGAGGAAUUCCUUAGUUAUGCCCAAAAGUUCAUAAACAAAUUAAACUUUAUGAAGUUGUCCUAAAUUUUCUUAUUAGAUUAUUAUGGUCGACAUGACACCAUAAUUGGAUAGAUAGUUCUUUCAAGAGUCUAUUAUUUUUUAAAAUACAAAGUACCACAAAAGUUCUUAAAAAUUUUCAAAUUUUCAUAAAUUAAAGCGGUUUAGAAUGCUCUUGUUGAGUAAUGCUUUGUUAAGUAAUCUUUGAAAUUUAGUAGAUUGAUUUGAAUUUUCUUCCUAAGCUAUUAUUGUCCAUAUUGAAUAGUAAUUAGAUGGUUAGACUCCUUAAUGAGUUUAUUAUUAUAUGAAAAUUCAUCGUAAUAAGUUUUGUUUAAUAAAUUUAUAUUAAUUUACUGUUAAUAAAUUUCAUAUUUAAAUAAUUUUUUAUUGAUGUAAUUAAGCUUUAUUAAUUUUUAAAAAUUGCAUAAUUUUUUUAAAUUAAUACUAAAUUAGAAAUUAUUAUUCAAAAAGCUAAAUGACAUGAAAAAACACAAAUAAUAAUAAUAAGUUCAGAUGUUAUUAAAAGAAAAAUAAAAAUUAAAUAAAAAAGGAAAUAAUUAAUAAUGAAGUUAUAAAAAUUCUAACAACCAUUAGGCCAAAGUUUUUAAUUUUAUGCCAAUUUUAAAAUAACUUACAUAAAAUGCUGCAAAGAAUAAUUUAUUAAAAUAUUGUCAACGGACUCAUAUAAACAAUAUUCCUAACAUAUAUUAGGGAAAGUAAGUAAUGCAAUUGAUAUUUAAUUUUAUAUUUUUUUUUAUUCCCUUGAAAACCUUCUUAUCUAGAAAUAUUGUCAUCGAACCAAGUUUUUUCAUGCUUUUAUUCAACAAUCUAAAUUUUAUUGUAUACUUUAAAGACCUAGAUUUUGACUUCAACAUGAUAUGCAUAUGAUAUCUUAGAAUUUUACUUUGUAAAUUUAAGAAUUUAUGUUUAAUUUGGUUAAUUUUUGAAAUAGCGAGGGUAUGUUUCUUUCCUGAAAGGUGUUUAAAAAUUAGAAAAAAAAAUACUAACAAAUAUGAAUAUUUUUCCCAUAUAUUUAGGUACCAAGGAAAAGGAUAAGAAAUAAAAUAUUUAAAAUAUUUUUAAAAAUAUGUGAAAAUAUUUUCUUUCUUAUUUUCCUUUAAAUGCAAACCAUACACAUUUAUUUUUCUCUCCCUCAACCUUUUAAUCAACAAUCAAAUACAAAAAAAAAUUAAUACUCUUAUAUAAUAAUUUUAUUUCCUCCUCUUUUUUCCCUUUAUUUUCUUUCUCUUGAACUUUCAAGGAGCCAAAUAUAUUGUAGGAUUACCUACAUUAAGGAAAGAGAAGUAUUAGAAUAAGCCAAAAAAAAAAAAAAAUUCCUAAAAUCGCCUAUUCAAAAUUACUUCACUUCUACCCAAUUAGUGGAAUUUUCAACAAAAUUCUGCAAAUCUAUUCCUAAGCGAACAAAUCUAAAAGAUGUGGGGUUUGAUGCUUUGAACUUAUCAGUAACUUUUUAAUUUCCAAAAUUAUCUUAAAUUUGAGGAAUUCCUUAGCUAUGCCCAAAAGUUCAUAAACAAAAAUUGGUUCAACAAUACCUUCUCAGGAAUCUUUAAACUUUAUAAAGUUGUCAUGAAAUUUCUUAUUAGAUUAUUAUGGUCUAAAUGAGACAAUACUUGGAUAGAUAAUUAAUCUUUCAAAAGUCUAUUAUUUUUAAAAAUACAAAGGUACCACAAAAGUUCUUAAAAAUUUCCAGAUUUUUAUAAAUUAGAGUGGUUUAGAAUGCUGUUGUUGAGUAAUGCCUUGUUAAAUCUUUGAAAUGUAGUAGAUUGCUUUGUUUUUUUUUUUUUUUUAAAGCUAUUAUUGCCCAUAUUGUUAAAGUUCUUAAUGAGUUUAUUAUUAUAUCAAAACUUAUCAUGAUAAAAAAUUUUACUAAAUUUAUAUUUAUUGUUAAUAAAUUUUAUAUUUAAAUAAAUUUAUUAUUGAUGUAAUUAAGCUUUAUUAAUUUUUAAAAAUUCCAUAAUUUUUUCAAAAAUUAAUACUAAAUUAGAAAUUUUUAUUUACAAAGCUAAAUGACAGAAAAAAAAAAUACAAAUAAUAAUAAGAAGUUCAGAAGUUUUAAAAAUAAUAAUGAAAAAAGGAAAACAACUAAUAAUGAAGUUAUAAAAAUUCUAACAACUAUUGCCUAAAAGUUUUUAAUUUGUGCUAAUAUUAAAAAAACUUAAAUAAAUUAUGAAAAUACUGUCAUUGGACUCAUAUAAACAAUACUCAUAACAUAUAUUAGGGAAAGUAAGUAGUGCAAUUGAUAUUUAGUUCUACAAAUGUUUUAUUCCCUUGAAAACCUUUCUUAUAUGGAAAUGAAAAGCUUAAUUGAAUUUCAAUUAGAAAAUUGCAAACAGUAACCUAUUAUGGACCAAUUUAUUUUUUAUUUUACUUAACUGCAUUUUGUGAUGAGCUUGCAAUGGUGACACUUUUGUGUGUUCAAUAGAAUCUUUCCAUUAUUUCACCAUCAAUAACAAAAGGUGAUUCUGGCUUAAAAUAUCUCUUAUUUUUCAUGUCAGGGUUGAUUUUCAUUGCUCUCUAUCCAAGGUAUGAUAUUUGUUGGAUAUUUUAUAGCAUUUUAAAGUGCCUCUUGAACUAGUGAUCUAUAAUUAUAGGUGAAAAAUAUGUAGUGGAUAAAGUUUAAAUAUUCAAUGCUUAUUAGUUCUUUGACGAAGGGAUGGUGACAACAUUCUUGACCUGCCUUUGAAGAUGGCAUUCAAAUAUUUUAGCAAAAAUCAUCAUACAAUUGAAAAAAAGUAUGAAUGAUAUCCUUCAUUUGUAUCUUAAUUCUAUAUCUUUGUAUCUAAAUCUGAUGAUUUUUUAUUUUUAUCUUUUUCCGCUUAGAUGAUCAUAUUUUUUUCAUAUUAGUCCCUCUUAUUUUUAGUAAUGAGUACCAAGUUUUUCAACAAUUCUAGUUUUAUUAUACACUUUAAAGAUCCAAAUUUUCACAUCAAAAUGGUCUGCAUUCGGUACCUUAGAAAUUUCCUCCAUAAAUUUAAGAAUUUAGACUUAUUUAGGUUCAAUUUUGAAAUAGUGAGUGUUCAAAAACUAGAAAAAAUACUAAGAAAUAUGAUUUUAUUUUCAAAGAAAAAGGUAAGAAAAAAAAUACUAAAAAAAUAUUAGAAAAAAAUGUGAAAAUAUUUCUUUUUCUUAUUUUCCCUUUAGAUGCAUUCCUUUUAGAUUUAUUUUUCUCUCCCUCGAUCUUUUUAAUGUGCAACCAAAUGAAAUAAAAAAUUUAUACUUUUUUAUAAUAAUUUUCUUUACUUCUCUUUCUUUCCUUUAUUUUCUCUCUUGGACUUUUAAGGAGCCAAACAUAUCAUAGGAUUGAUUACCUUUAUCAAGGAAAGAGAAGUUGUUAGGACAUUAAGUCUAUAUUGCAUGUUGGCAAUUUUGUUCCAAUUAUUUUCUAGCUUAGGAGACUGUUUAGAUAGUGACGCACUCUCCUUUAAAUAUUCAAAGUUGUUGUUCACUCAAUUCGAAAGUCACAAAGUGGGAACACAUUGAGAGAGACUCAACUUAACUUGCCUUACCAUUUCCAAUCUUUCAAGAAAGGUUUAGUGUUAAAUCUUGAGUUGUUUGAAAACUUGCAUCCCUUCAAUGAGGUUAAGAUGUAUUCACUAGAGCAAUAGGAGAUUACCGCAUCAUGGACAUGGAUCAAGUUGUAGGUGUUAAAGAGUAAGUUUUAGGGUAAAGUAGCUAGAUAAAUCUAUGUGACUUGAUUUCAUAUAGUGGAUUUAGAUUUGAAGUCUUAGACUUUAUAGUUUUUUAUCUCCAUAGUUGGUGCGAAAGUUUUCCAUAUAAAAAAUUCUUAUGUCCCCUUCCAUACUUGUUUGAUCAUUUAAAUAUUUUCAUUAUGCUAAUUAUCCCUGAUAUCUCGUACGUUUAAAAUUGAGUUAAUAAAUUUCAUUCCUUAUAUUAUAAUUUUUAAAUACACCCAUUUACCCCCUCUAAGUAUUACCUUACUGCAUAUUGUUUUUUAAGAAGUAUUACAUAAGCUAAAAAUAAAAAAUAAAUAAAAAGGAAUACAAAUUCUCUAUUCAAAAACACGUUAAUGUAAUAGUUAACAAUUUUGUCCUAAAAAUCACUCAUCCAAAAGUACUUCACUUCUACUAAUUUACUAGAAUUUCCUACAAAAUUCCCCAAAUUUAUUCCUAAGCAAACAAAUCCAAAAGAUGUGAAGUUUGAUGCUUUGAACUUAUUAAUAAAUUUACUAAUCUAAAACUUGAAAAUUUCCUUGGUUAUGCCCAAAAAUUCAUAAACAAACAUUGGUUCAACAAGAUCUUCUUGGGAAUCUUUAAACUUCAUAAAAUUGUCUUGAAUUUUUUCAUUAGGUUAUAAAUUAUCUAAAUGAGACUAUGCUUGUAUUGAUAAUUCUUUCUAGAGUCUAUUUGUGGACCUGUAUUUUUCACGUGUAUUCCCACUCGAUGGUGAGGUUCACUUUUUAUUGAAAAUUUGAAUUUUACAAAAAAAAAAAAAAAAAUGGAGUCACCGAUCACUUUAGUUUUUUAUUUUUUAUUUUUUUAAGGAAAACAAAAUAAGAAAUAAAACCUUAAAAAUGACUUUUUGUUUUUGGAAAAACACAUUUUUGAAAAACCCAAGUCUAAAUCCGAGGGUUAGGUUACCCUAUUGGGAAGUUACAGUAAUAAGUCAUAACACCUCUUUAAGCCCUAAAGUAGGCCUCUACUAAUUAGGUCAAGAUAACUAUGGCAAUUGAUUGGUUAAUCUAUGGAUACUGAGAAUGAAGGAGUAUGGUGAAAGCUUAACCAAGGCAUAUUCAACAAACCAUACACAUUCAAUAAUCAAUAAUCAAAUAGAGUGAAGAACACACCUUAUUAGCAUAUUAAACACUUCCAUAAAACCAAAGAGUUAAUUUACAAUCAACAAUUUCAUAAUAUACACAAUAUGCAUUUCACCCAAAAAAGGAGUAUGGAUACAACAACAUAGAAGUCAAAGAAAGCAAGACAAAUCAAAAAUGAGAAUUAAGCACAUAUGCUAAUGGAAAUAAAGAGAUAAGAAAAGGAAGCGUACCUUAUUAACAUGUAAAAGCGCUCUCAUAAAAUGAUAUUAAUUCAUAAAUAAUAAUAAUGAGUUACUAAACCUUGAGAAUUAAGCACAUUUACUAAUAGAAAUAAAGAGAUAAGGAAAGGAAAAGUACCUUGAUAGUAUGUAAAAGCGGUCUCAUAAAAUGAGGUUAAUUGACCAAUAAUAAUAAUGAGUUUAAAGAGGAAUACAAAACUAAACUUAUAUAUAUAUAGCAUGUCUCAAAUCAAGGAAGGUUCACAAGCAUAUUAAAAAAUGACCAAAUUAUCAAAAGCAAAGGAAUUAUUAUUAAAAAGGUAGAAUAUUGGUUCAUAAAAUAAACUCCAAAUAAAUAUCAAGAAGCAUUAUCUCAUCAAAAUAAAAAUUAGGUAACAUCUUUAACAUGUCUAGAUUAGCCAAAUUAAUUAAUUAUAUUCCAAGAAAUAUCAAAUUUAUUCAUAAGUGGGUUACUUCAUAGAAAAAUCAACAAAUGAUAAUAACAAAAGACUUUACAAAAUAAAUCUAAAACAAAUAUCUAGAAGUUAAUUUUUAUCAUGAAAAUUUUCAGAUAACAUAUCUUAUAUGUCUAGUUUAUCAUCCAAGUGACCAAAUUAAUUAACUAGGUCUUAUUUAGUACUAGAUUUCAUAAUGAUGAUAAUAGGUCCAGAAUAGGGCAUCUUUUUAAGGUAUUCAACAAUUGAUUUUAUUUUUUACUAACUUAGAGAUCUCCUAAAAUCACACAAAAGCAUUUGUGCAAUGGGUGCAAGAUGAAAAAAAUUAUAUAUCUUAUUUCAGAUAUUAUUUAUUAAUAUUUCAUACAUUAAAAAUUAAAUUUAGGAAGUCUAGAUUAAGUAAAAAAAUUCCCAAAGAAAUAAAAAAGGUUGUUUAGUAAUUUAAUUUUUCUGAAUAAAACUGAAUGUAAAAAAUAGAGUGAAAACUGAACUUUUUGAAAGAUUGAUUUAUAUCUUUUAAUUGAAAAAUUAUUUUUGAUUCAAAAAAAAAUUUAAAAUCAAAUUCAAGAAGUCCACAAUAUCAUGGAAUAAUUAGAAAAAUUUUAAAGAGUUUCUAAAUGAUCAAACUCCAAUUUAAAAAUUCAAAGGUACAAUGAAUUAUCAAUAGUGUCAAUAGAAAACCAUAUUUUAGAAAACUUUGUAUGUAGGGAUCCAUGAAAUCCCAUUUUAAUUUCCGCAAAUUCAUCCAUAAAAACUUCAUUUAUUGGAGCUAUGAAAUAUAAUUUGUGUAUAUUCAAAACUAAUAUUCAUUUUAAAACCUUUUCAAAUAUGCAUACUGAAAAAAGUAAGGUAGCCUUGUUUUUGGAGAAUUAUUUUGUUUACCUAAUGACCUAAGAUUAAUUUUAAAAUGAAGUUAGAAGAUUGAAAAUAAUUUCAAAAAUAUUAAAACACAUAAAAUCUCAAACACAAACCAUCAAGGAAAAGGGUAAGUGUGCAUAUGUGAAUUCUUUAAUGUGCAAGGUGAAACUCAAGUGUCCUAAAUAUGAACCUAAGGUGCAGCUGCAUUUAGAACUAAUUGUGUCUUAAUUUGGAUCUUAAAUUAUGAUACGAGAGUGUCCUAAGUAUUUGCCUAAUCAAGCCUAGACAAGUAAUCAUCUAUUGGUGUCAAAUGCAUGUGAAUGGUGAUCGUUAAGCCAAAAGCAUACACUAAUUGAAAACAUAAAAUUAGGCAUGAAUCCAAAUUAAUGCAUUUAUUCAAAGCCAAUUGUCAUGUAAUUAUCUAAUGAAUUAUUUAAAUAAACGAAUUUGAAGAAAAAUUAACUCAAUCUCAAUCAUAAUUUAUCAACUAAUCAACAUAUAAUCACUUAAUUUCCUAAAUAUCAAAUUCUAACAACAUUCAUGUGUAACCCAAUAUGCCCACACCCAACCUAAACUAACAUGUAUUCAAAAAAUUUAUAAAAUGGGAAAAAACGUAAAUAAAGAAGAAAAUGUAAAGUAUAAAUUUAAUGCUAAAAAAAAUUAAUUUACUUACAUCAAACUAAAAUACAAAACAAACAUAAAAUAUCCAUUUCAUCAUUACAUGAACAAAACACUAAUUUUCUUGAUAACCUUCAUAUUAUUAAUUUGAGUUUCAUAAGGGUACUACCAGUAAGAUUAUUGGAAUUUUCUAUUAGAUGCCAAUAUGUCCACUAACCUUGUUAGUAUAUUUUCAUGAUCGGCUUGUACAAUCCUCAAAUCUACUUAUCAUUUUUAUUUAUUUAUUUAUUUAUUUAACACACACAUGUCAUUAAGGGUUCAUUCUCGUGUUUUAUUUUUGUCAUUUAAUAGAUAACAUUCCAUUACUUCUAGCAUGCAUUAUAUCAUAUUAUUACUAUUCAUAUUCUAUUAAAUAAAUAUUUAUUUAUUUAUUUAUUUUUAAUAAGGGUUGAAUUAAAUUUAUUUUAUAUUAUAUGAAUUUAAUUUUUUUUUUGACAAAUUCAAAAAAUAUUAUUUUUAAAAACAACUUAUCCAAAAAAAAUUUUAAAAAAAAUUAAAAGUGUUUUUAAAAAUAACUUGUACUAAAAAUCAAAAUACCUUCUCCUAUAAUGAAAUUAAAAUCUCAUUUAUAAGUGAAAUUUCAUUUCCUUUGCAAUCAUUCUUGAUUCUAUUUCUAUUAUCACUUAAAUUUAUCCAAUCAUGGGAAUGAAUGAGAAAAGGAAUAAGAUGUUCAUUCUCACUUUUCAUUCCCGCAUGGCAAACAUAUUAUUAAUGAGCUUAUUGUCUUACUACGUAUGGAGAAACCCUAAGAAUUAGGGAAGCAAUCUCAAGAAUUUAAGGACUAGAAAAUGGAGCCUAAAUUUUUAUUUUUAUUUUAAAUUUUUGCCUUUCCUAUUCCCUUGAAACAUGUAGAAUAUUUUAUAAUAGUUUGGGAAUCGAAUAUUCAUCUAAUUAGUACUAGAAAAAUUGGGAUCAUAAUGGGUCGAUAUGACUUAACGUUAUGGAGUGUUAUUUGUGGGUCAUUUCCUUCAACUACAUUACUUAGAGAUCUCUUCAUAGCUAAACAUAAAUUCAUUUCCACCGAUGUACAAGGAUCAAGCUUGACAAAAUUUCUGAAUGUAGCAAGAUGAAAAUGAUCUCACCUUCUAUCCAUUCAGCCCAGGACCUUUUUCACUCAUUUUCUACCUUUUUCUAGCUAGGCAACCAAAAACACCCAUAACUUGGAGAUUAUCACUAAAAAAGAGCAUAUCUCAAGCUACAUGCAAUAUCUUAGUAUUAUAACAAUAUUCCCCAAAAGAAAGAGGUGAAGAAAAAAAGAGAAUCCAACAAUAAUGCAUUAAUCAAAGUUUUAGAGAAGGAAAUAAAGAAAAUUUUAGGUUAUAUUUGAUUCCAAAUAGUAUUAAGGAAAGAAAAAAUGUUAAGGAAAUAGUUUUUUCAUAUUUGAUUUCACUAUAAAAUAUAUAUAUAUGAAAGAAAAUAAGGCAUAAUUAAAAUUAGUAAAAAAUUUAUUCAUUUUAAAAUUAUUUAAUUUUUAUAUAGUGGAGAAAAAUAAGUGAAAUAAAUUUGAAGAAGUAUACAAAAAUAAUUUACUAAAUUUAAAUUUAUUUUUUUUAUUUUACUCCACUUUUUCUUUCCUUCUACAUUUUUGUCUUUAUUUUAUUUCUCUCGUAUUUUUCCCUCAAUUUUUUCAAAACCAAAUAAAACCUUAGAAAAUGAAUUAUACCUCAAAUGUAUAUAGAAGAAAAUGUCGCCCAUCUUAAUAAUGAGAUAUAAAACAUGGAUGUCAAGACAACAUUCUUGAACUACUAUCUUGAUGAGAAUAUCUACAUAAUGCAAUCAAGUCAAUUCAUAGCAAAGAGCAAAGAACACUUAGUAUGCAAGUUGCAUAAAUCCACUUAUAGAUUAAAACAAGAAUCUUGCUCAUAGAAUAUAUGUUUUGAUUAGGCAAUCAAGACUCUUAAAUUUGAUUAAAACAAGGAUAAGCCUUAUGUGUAUAAGAAGACACAGGGAAGCAUGGUGAUGUUUAUGAUCUUAUAUAUUAAUGACAUUCUACUCAUUAGGAAUGUUGUAGGGUUAUUGUCAUUAGUUGAGAUCCGGUUAUGCACUCAAUUUCAAAUGAAAGAUGUAGGUGAGGUGCAAUGUAUUCUUGGGAUUAAGGUCCUUAAAGACCGUAUGAAUAGGAAAAUAGUGCUAUCUCAAGCCACCUACAUUGACAAGCUUAUAUUAGUUACCUUUCAAGCAUGCAAUGUCUCGUUCUUAAUAUUAGUAUCCCAAAACAUCUGAAGAGAAAGAUCACAUGAAAACAAUACCCUAGACCUUAGUAAUGGGUAGCCAUCUGUAUGUGAUGUUAUAUACUAGACUAGAAAUUUGCUUUAUGGUAGGGACGAUGAGUAGAUAUUAGUCCAAUCCAAGACUAGAGCAUUGGACUGCAGUCAAGCAUAUUCUUAAGUAUCUUCAGAUAACAAGGGAUUAUAUGUUAGUAUAUCAUAGUGAUGAAUUAACAUCCCUUGGGUACACAAAUUCAAACUUUCAGUCUAAAAAAAAUUCUCGCAAGUAUACCUCUAAGUUUAUGUUCACUUUAGGUAAUGGAACUGUUAGUUGGAUAAGUGUGAAGUAAUCCUAUAUUGAUGACUCCACUAUCGAAGCUAAGUAUUUUGUUGCUUUUUAAGCAACAAAAGUAGCUUGACUUAAGUUGUUCCUCACGGAACUUAGGGUAGUACCAUUGCUUAUAAUUCCCUUGAUAUUAUUUUGUGAUAAUAAUGGGGUAAUGGUAGUGUCUAAAGAACCAAGAAACCACUAGAAUGAUAAACACAUAGAGAAGAAAUAUCACUUGAUACAUGAGAUAGUAAUGAGAGGAGAUGUCGUUGUGGAGAAGAUUACUUAUACUGAGAACCUGGUGGAUCCCUUCACCAAGACUUUAUCUACUAGAGCCUUUGAUGAGCAUAAGGGUAGCAUAGGUGUCAGAUGUAUUUCUAACAUGUUUUAGAGCUAUUAGGAGUUUGUUAAGAUAUAACCUUAGAAAACAUGACAUAAUGUAACAAAUUUUAGUUUCAAUAAUUUUUAUGAUUCUAGUCCCCUUUAUUAUCCUAUUUGCAUUAACUAAUUAUUUGAGCAUUCACACCCUUAUCACUUGCAUUGUAUACGACAUGGGUGCAUUGGGAGUUUCAUAGAAGCUCUAAGUCAUGAGUUCCUUACAAAAUGAUGACUUAUUUACAAUUAGUUCAUAGAUUUGGGCAAUCAAACAAAGAUUGUAUUACAAUACCUCUUAAUUGGAGAGUUGACUUGUCUUGGUCAGUAAGAUGGUUUUCCCAUGUUGAGUGUAUAGUGUGUUUAGUUAUUGUUGAGAUAUCCCUAGAAAACAUAACAUGAUGUGAUAGAAUAGGAUUCAUUAAUAAAUGUAUUUAUGAUUUUAGUUUCCUUAUAUUAUCCUCUUUAUAUUAAUUAGUUAUUUGAGCAUUCAAGUCCAUGUCACUUACAUUUUACAUGACUUAGGUGCAUAAAAAGUUGUAUAGAAGAUACAAAUUAUGGGUUCCUUACAAGAUGAUAAGUGAUUCACAUUCUAUUCAUGGAUUUGGCAAUCCAAUAGAGAUUAUAAUGCAUUACCUAUUAAUUAGAGAGAUGAUUUAUCUUGGUCAUCUAGAUGGUUUUCACAUGAUGAGUGCACUAAUGUGUAUUGUUACACAUUAGACAGGACAUAUGGUAAAUCAUGACAUUAGAUAUCAAGUAGUCAUGAUUCACUAAGUUACUAUACUACAUGGACUCUUAACUUUAAGAGAAUAUUUAGUCAUUAUUGAAGUCAAUAAAAGACUUUCACCUAUGAGUAAGAUCCUAAGGUUGUCACAUAUUCCCCAUGGAUUGGAUUAUUGUUGAUGGAAACUGGUAGCAAUAGGUAUUCUCAAUAGAGACAUAAUGAUAUCUCAUAAGAUUGAGGAAGGUUGUCCCCUUGGUGAUCCUAAUGACAUGUGAUUAAGCUGAUUAUGGUCAUAGCAAUUCCUUUAAUGGAAUUUGACAUAUGCUCUUUGAGAACUAAAGUAUAUCAGUUGAUUAUUACAUAAUAGAAGAAUUUAUAUCUCAAGGAUUAGAAAGGUAAUUUACCAAUCUUCUCUAUUGUACCAAAAUACUUAAGUCUAAGAUGUAGUAGCUCUAGCAAAGAAAAAUCAGAGAAAGAGAAAAAACUACUACGACUUUUAUAAUAUUUCAGGUAUCGUCUUCAGGGACUGGCUUAUAGGAUUUGUCAAUACUAGGGUAAAUGAAUUGCUUUUGUUAGAAUCCUAAAGUGGAAAAUGAUAUAUGAAUAAAGUGAAAGUAAGUAAAAGAAAUUAAAUUAAUAAUAAAAUGAAUAUUGAUUUUAAAUUCGAUUUAUUCAAGUUUGGGGUUUUCCACAAUCCAACUUAGGGUAUAGAAAUUAGAGAAAACAAGGGUCUUUUAAGUAAAAUGAUCUUAGGGUUUUAGGGUCUUUGAUCAUUUGCAAUCAACUUGAGUUCUAUAACUCAAAACUGCAUCUGAAACCUAAUUUUUCUUUUUUAAAACAGAUUCCUAAAACCAUCCAAUGAAUGAGAUUGAUUACCAGUUUAAGGUUUGGCUUUUGAACCCUUCCUACUCCUUAUAGCUUUGUUUUGGGGCAAAUAAUGAUAGGGAAAUUCGAGAUAACUAAUGAUCAAGAGUUACCAAUAAACACUAGUAUCAGGUGAUAAUCUACAUUAUCAUUCCCCAAACUAACUCACAAUGAUAGGAUAAAAAAUUGAUAAAUUGUAAUUCAACCAAUAAUUAAUCUCAUUGUUAUAAUGAUUUACCCAUUGUCCCUAUAGGUUUCCUAACCCUUGGGUUUUCAUACUUCAAGCCCCAAGUUGGCUUUUUAGCCUCUCAUGGGGAUGAUGUCACAUUCACAAUCCAUAAUAGGGUAAAAAUCCAUAUUUUGAAUUAAAAGAAACUAAAAACUAUAUUUAAUAAAGGAUAAAAGAAAACAAACCAAAGUUCUCGUCUUCUUCCACCUCCAAUGUCAAACUCUCUAGAAAAAGAUCCAAGAUAUGCCUAAACCCUAGAAAUAAGAGAGUUCAUAUAAUAUAAUCAAUUACCUAACAUGUGGCACACUCUCAUUGGCCAUUUAUUACAAAAAAAAUUACCUAAAAAUGACUAAAAAAUAAUAAAAUGGUGAUUUCUAGUCAUGUGGGGUUCACUUAGGGCAGAUGGAGUGCCCUAAAUGCAAUUCCCAAGGUAGAGGAGGUGAAACAUAAAAGUAGUAGUGGGCGAAUUCAAAAUUGGGGUCAUUUCAAAUUGGAUUUCGAAUUCAUAAGUUGAAUUUUGAAAUGGUCCUUCAACUUUGCGCAGUUGUCUUCAAAUGGUUUCAACUUAGAUUUGCACACCAUUUGAAGUGUUGGACUUUUGACUUCCCGAGCGAAAAAUAUAUAGUAAGUCUAAAACUCCAGGAAGUACUCCAAAUUUGUCCUUGAAGUCAGAGUAUAUGUGACUCAUGCCCAAUUGGUGUCUCAGCUGAUGUGUGUUCAGCUGGUGCUCCUUGAUUGAGGAAGUGAUCAACAAAAUUUAUACCUAUAACACCAUACACUAGGGUAGCAAAUAAAAAGCUACUAUAGUAUAGUGGCUCUAAGAUCGUUCACUGGGAAUGAUUAACAAGUAAUCAAGGAUACCAAUUCCAAGUGAAUUGGUCUUGUUUCAUUUCACGGUUAGCUUAAGACAUAAAACACAAACUUUGAUUGGUAAAGGUUGAGACUUAAACUAACUAACUUAACAGAAGUUUGGAAUAAUUUAGGAAGAAAAGCAUUCCUUGGAGAUUUAGGUUCACUGGGGUGGUUCCUCAUGCAAAAGACAUAGCUCCAGUCAGAUGGUUCAUUUCCUCGCAUUAGAGAUUCAACUUAGAGUCAAUUCUCUAACCGGUGAUGUACAGAGACUCCUUCAAUUAGAUUUCACUUUAAUUCUCUCACUGAUACAACUUGCAAUGGUUCAUGCCUCUCACGAGCACUUACCAUUCAAGGUGAUCUUUAACCUUGGACUUCCCUUCACAAACUCGCAAGAGAUAACUAAUGGAUGUCUCCUAGGAGUCCAAAAGCUUACCAAGUGUUGGUAAUUCCAGAAAAUCCUACCUUGAAGUCACCUACCAGAGGUUCGCAAGGGGUAAACUAGCGCAUUUCCAUGGUUGGAAAUCACUUGCCUUACCAAGUGUUGGCCCAGGUGACUCCAAGGUGUUUUAAGUUAACUAAAAACAUUGAAAUCACUAAAGGAUUUCACUUCCUCUUCAUUACUAGCUAAAACCACAGAACUUUGCAUUCUUGCACUUGGAACCUUCCCCGGCAACCUUAGCUCCAAGGAAUUGGAGGUUUAGUUACUCAUUCUCUGGGGAAAACUCCUCAGAGAAUUCAUAAGUUAGAAAUAAAAUGAAAAUACAAAGUGAGAAGGUAAGGCAGUAGAAAGAAAAGACCUUUACUUGCUUACCAAAUGGUUACAGAAGGAACUCUCUCUCGAGAACAGGCUCUCGAGAGGUAUAUAUAUCAAACCAAUAUAAAACUAAUUGUUACAAAGAUAUUUGGUCUUUCUACUAACUUAAAAACUAAGGAAUCAUGUAAUUGGUGGUUUACAAGGAGUAUUUUGGGAUUUAGACAACAAAAAUCUAAUGGAAAAUAUCUCCCAAUGUCGGUAGCAAGCUUCGGGAGGCUUCAGGAACCAUUUCACAGGAGUAAAAUGGUGUCUGCGAAAUUAUUUUGCAAGACCGAGCUAUCUUCACAGGGCUGCGAAGUUGGCUUCCACCUUGAGGUUUCCAGCUCCCUUCUUGCGUCAUGGUUCGUGCAUCGUCAGAAGGAGAAACACCUUACUGUACAAAAGUGCUGCGAAAUUCUCGCAACAAAAGGCUGAUUCCGCAACACUUUAAAGUGAUUGACUUGUAAGGGCUGCAACUUCUUCGUUUCAACUCCGAAUCGCGCACCGUUUGAAGCAUUGGAUUGUUGACUUCCUGAGCUUUGAAAUGGUAUAUAGCAUGCAUCAUUUGGACUUCAGAAAGUGCUCCAAAAGUGGCUGCUACGACUGUCAUCAAGAAUAGGCUUUAUGGCAGAUUCUCUUUGCUUUUUCUCCUUGCAAUCCGGAUUCACUCUUGGCAAUUGAAUUCUAAGCUUUGCCCAAGAUUCCUCAUAGCUCUCCUCAGUCUUGACUUGCUUUGGUGAUCAAUAUACUAUCAAAAACACCAAAACUUACACAAAGUGAUCAAAAUUGCUUUAAAGGAUCCUUAACAUGCCAAUUGAGUUAAAAGGCCUAAACUACUACUCAAAAGUGAUAAAAAGGAUUAAUUAAAGGCUAUCAAAUAGCACUUUUUGAGUAGUAAUCAAUAUGUUGCCACCAAAUUUUGAGUUAUAAAUUUCCAUGCAACUGAAUCUUGCUUCAUGCCUCAUUUCUCAUGUUUUCUUGCCUUCUUUCUUACUCCAUAAUGGUCUUUCUCAUCUUCUAAACUCAUGAAAUCCUCAUCUUGCCUUUCCUCAUGGUCCAUGAGUCUUGACUCACUUAUUUCCUCAUUUAACCCUUUCUUGAUAUUUCAAAAUCUAAAGUGAUUCAACUUGCACCAUUUUCUUCCCUUGAACCUGAGAUAAAAUUCCAAAAUACAAGUUAAACUCAUGGAUAGGGCCUUAACAUCAAUUUAGGUCAAGUUGGGUUAUUCGAGUGUCCUUUAGUGCACAAAUCAUAUCGAAUAUGUGCCAAUAAAGUAUAUAUAUUGACUCAAAUCAGUAAUCUUAAGAGUUUGAUAGUACUAUCUCUUUUUAUUACAGACAUUAGUUCAUAGAGAGUAUAUAUGUAGUGGAUUGUAGGCCACAACCUAAUCUUUGUCUCAUUGUAAUUACAUAGGAUAUUAGAGUAUAGUUGAUUCUCUUUAGUAGAGUGUUAAAUCAACUACAAAAUUGGAUUCUAAGAAAGCUAACAUUUUUCUAUAGGUUGCAAUGGCCUCCACUCAAGCUCCCAUUUUCUGAAGACACGUUAUUUGAAGGAUUUUGGGUUUGUAGUUCGCAAGUGUGCUUAAAGGACUUUUGAUAAAAAUGCAAGGUUGCACUAGAUCUUGUAAAUGAACUCUUUGGAAUGGGCUAAUUAAGUAAUUGAAGCCCGAUAUAGCUAAUUAAUUAAUUAGGACUCAAGUGGGCUAAAUUAGAUGACCUUAGCCCAAUUUAGGCUCAAGUCACUUAAGUCCAUAAAGAAGCCUAUAACCACUUUAAGACUUAAGGCUUCAAAUGUUUACCAUUCAUCUUUGAGAGAGUGAGAGCAAACCAUAGCCACCCUCAAGAAAGAGAGAGACCCACCCUUCUCUUAUGCCUAGAUCCAUGAAGGGAGAAAGCAGGUGAAAGAUCUUUAGGUAGAUGAGUUGCAUGCACCUUAUAGGAUCCAAGGAUAGGGAACAAAGUAAUCUAGAGUUCCCAAUAAUUACACAUUGGACAAGAUUUGUGGUGAAUUAUGACAUUAGUUAUCAUAUGGUCAUGAUUCACCAAGAGGCUUUGGCAUAUAGGUGAGACCCUAAGGUUGUCAUAUAUUUUUUACAGAUUGGGUCACUAUUGAUAAAAGUUGAUAGCAACAGUUAUCCUCGAUAAAGACACCAUGAUAUUUUAUGUGAUUCAAACAUCGUGUCCCCUUAGGUGAUUUGAAGGACAUGUGAUCAAGAUCCUUAAGUGGAAUUUAACUUAUUCUCUUGUGAGUUAGAGUACGUUAACUGAUGAUAUAAUAGGAGGAUUUGUAACUUAAGGAUUAGAGAGAUAAUCAUGAGAGAUUUAUAGCAUAUGUUUUAUUAGAUCAUGCACACCAGUUUAUAAGGACUCUACAUUUAGUGGAUAGUGGGCCACAAACCCAAUUUUUACCUUAUUGUGAUUUCAUAAUAUAAUGGAGUGCAAUUGACUCUCUUUAAUGGAGUGUUAAGUUAACUUCAUGAGGGAGCUAGUUUCACGCGAGGUUUGGAAUCCAACAAGCGAGAAACUUAACUUUGAGAAAAAAAAAAAAAAAAAAAAAAGGUCGCCUCUUCUAAAGGAGAAAGAGGGUCACGACAUGAAGGUGGGAUCACCACUAGAUCGAAUCCCUUCCAUAAUGGAAAAAAUGGAAUCUUAAUACUAAGACAGAUAGCGGGGACAAAAUGAGCGGUGAAACCGGCCAGCAGCAAUGAUCUAUGUAUCAAUCGAGGUCUCUUAUUCUGAAUGAAAUUCGACCUGGACAAAGAAGAUGAGCAGCUCCUCUUCCUGGUCGCUCAUAUUCCCCCUGGCCUACUGGAUGAAGUCAAUCCUUGGAUCCAACCGAAAGGUCUCCUCACUAGAGAAAGUUAGGUCGACUUUCAAUUGCUCCCAUCCCUCCUCAUAUAGGUAAAGUAAAGGUCGAUCAUCCAUCAUGUUACUGGAUAGAUCUAUUCAACAUGGAGACAAAAGCAAAAAAACGUUUUUAUUAAAAUAUUUUUUAGAUCCUAAUAUUCCCAUUUCGAGAUCCAAAUUUAUAGUGAUACAUUUGUUUAAGGGUAUUAUAGGUUUGUAAUUAAUAAGUGUGCAUAAGGGAAUUUUGAUAAAAAUGUAAGAUUGUAAUGGAUCUUAUGAAUGACCUUUUUAGAUUGGGCUAAUUAAUUAAACAAAACCUAGUACGACUAAUUAAUUAGGACUUAAGUAGGCUAGAUUAAGUGGUCCAAGCUCAAUUUAGGCUCAAGUCACUUAAGUCCAUAAAGAAACCUACAUAAACCCCCUUAGGGGUUUAGGGCUUCAUUUUUUCAUUUUGUCUUCUAGACUCUAGAGAAAAGAGAGAAAUCCACCCUUCUCUUGUGAUCAGUAAAAGGAGUGAUCAAACGAAAGAUUGUUGGGUUUAUGAGAUCUAUGACACUUAUGGAAUAUCUUCAUGGGAUUGGAAUCAAUCCGGGAACAUCUAUUAUAGAGCCCUUAAUGCUACCAUUUUGCAAGUAGAUGAGGUAUUGAGAAAUUUGAAUACUUUACAUGGGAAUCCAAUUAACAGGUUGAGAUUUUCAAUUCAAUUUGAACACAAUUUUGUUGAAAAUAUUGCAACUAAGGAAACCUUUAAGUGUCUUAGUUGUGUUAAUAUAUAGAAAUAAGGAUCAUUUCAUGAUGAGAAGGAAACCCAAAGAAUUCCUCUCUUCUCAAUAGUUUGCUACAUUCAGUUGAGAUAAUUUAACUACCUAUGUUUUUCACAAACAUUCAACAACCCUCUUGUUCAAAACAAAUUGAAAGAAAGAAUUUUCCUUUAAAAUCCAACUUUCAUCUUUUGGAUCCUACCACCUCACUUGCAUUCCAAGAUCACCUCCCUAAGGUUCCACACCCAACCCACCGGAUUUUUCUACGGUCACUUUCCACACAUCCUUCAACAGUGAACUUGUUGAUGCAUGCAUUCACCAAGUUUCUUGGAACAAAGACUUUAAAUGAUCAUUUUUUAAUUGGCAAGACGUACAGAUAUUGAGGGUGUUUCCAAGGAUUUAGAUGUUUUCAUUGACAUUUUGAGGAGAUGCUGAAUUGGCGUAGGUGGCAUGUGUUCUUGAAUUUUUAUUUUUAAUUAAUUUAUUUUUACCUUUUGAGAAUUUAAUCAAGGGUGAGUUUUGGCGUAGGCAUUAUCAACCUUCCUUUAAAAGCACAGUUUCACUCUUUUAUACAAAACAGAGUCUCCAACAAACUAGCACACAAUGAACAAAAGUAUUACAUUUGCAUUAUUAUACACCAGAUAAAAGUAAUAAGAUACAAACCGUGAUACAAGAAAAAUCGUUAAAACUGCAUCAUCAAAAAAGUCAUUCCCGAUGACUACGUCUCCAAAUUUGUUUAACUUCAUAAAAAAAAAGGAGAGGAAAAAGCAAGAGCACAAGAUGCAAGCGAAGAUUGAAAGGGCUGAUGAAUAUUGUGGUAAAACAGCAUACAAGCCUGUCGCAAAAGCGAUCACCAUUGCCCCCAUGCCAAGCAUGGAGAGGCGAAGGGCCCAAACCAAGUGUUUUUUAACGACAUCCUCCUCGUUAUGCAUCGUCAUCAAGAAAUGAAAGAAUACAGCAGAUACUGAGAACACCAUGGCUAUCGUAUCUGUCGUAACAAAAGCUUUAAAAGUUGUUUUCUUUGUUAAAAUUGCCGUGCCCUCACCCUCUUUAUAACCUGCCGCAAAAGUUACAGUUACUAUAAGCGUGGAAACUAUCAAAUGGGCUUCACCUCAUUUCUUUAAUUUAGAGAUGUAUUUUUCUCCUUUGCUUUCGACUUCGCAUUGGUGUUAUCAUUUGUUCCACUCAUUUUCUUCUCCAAAGCCAAAAGUCUAUUGUCAGGCAUAACCAUCUCUGUGAUGCUAUUAUUUUUCUGCUUCAUGGUCUUCUCCGAGGCCAAAAGCUUAAGGAUCUUAUCCUGAAAGUUGAUGUGAGGAACAUAUGAAUUUAACUCAAUUGAUCAGUAUUUCAUUUUUCUCUCUUUCAAUUACUCAAUUGUCAGGUAAACAAGUGAAAAAAAAUAAAAAUUAAAAAUUAAUAACAGUGAUAAAUGCAUCCAACUUAACCAACUUUUAAUUAAAUACAUCAAAUCAAGCUUAUUUAUUCCAAAAAAUACUUUGUUCUCAAACGUCUUAACAUAAGUGCAGUAUGGCGAGCACCAACUUAUUCAAAUUUGAGCAUGAAUAUAAAUAACUAAAUCCCACAAAUUUAGAAACAAGGGAAAACGGAACAUAUUAACAAUUAGAAAUUGAUUUAGCAGAAAAUUUUACUUUUCUUCCAUUUUUCUAUCAAUUUUUGAACUCAUGAUUUUGCAAGCAAUUAUCUCUUGCCAUUGAACCUAAAGAAUGGGCAUUAUUUUAAUUUUUCUGUGUAUAUGUAAUGUUAACAUGACAGUGAUACAAAAAUAAUGGGGCUAUUAAAUGUGAAUUAGUCCAAGCCUUGGCAAACUUUCUUACUCAUUAUAGUGUCUUUGGUAUCCAAUGUCUAUAAUUUUGACCGGGAAAAGAGACUUUUGUCUGCUUUUCAGCAGUGCGGGAACAUCAUACAAUUUUGUAAGUGUUGCAAGAUGCUCAGAGUGGUGGUGGGACAUAUGUAAUUUUUGAAAAGACAGUAGUUCAUUCACCCAAAUGCAAUGGCCGUGUCUUUAAUGCGACACUAAUAUAUUGCAGCUCCUGAGAUGCUUUGGAUAAUCAGGAGUAUACAGAAAAUUUGGCUGGGACUUAAGUGACCGUGAAUGUGAUCCGGUUCUUCAUCUAGAUACAGAAUCACGUGGUGUUUGUGUUUUUGGUAGAAUAGGAAAAGUUAAAAAAUUUUAUAUUUCAGAUAUUAGAAAGGUUAAAAAUGUUUUCUAGAAUAACUGUGGGAUGAUGCCCAGUCCCUAACCAGUGCAUUUAUUAGUUGAACUUAAUUUGGGACUCUCCACCAAUUUUGUCGAAGGCUCUGACUAAUUGUAAUCUUGCGGCUAGCCCAAUGAAAUUGAAUAAAUGAAUAUAUCUUCAAUGGAGCUCAUAGGGAAGUAUGUUGUCCCCAAAGGACCAGAAAAAAAGCUUUUCAUACUUGGACCCAAACACAGAGCAAACCCAGUGGUGCGAGAGAGUGUUUUUCUCGGGGCUUGGAUUCUGGGAACGGACCUUCCUUGGGUGGGGAUUCAAUUUCAUGUACUCAGAGGAAAAAAACACAAAAAUAUUAUCCAUCAAGAAACUCAUCCAUAAACGUGAUACACGGCAUAGGUUGAGAAAUGGUAACCUUUGCUAUUACAUUCUUAACUACUGAGAAUGGAUGAGCAAUAAUGAAGUCUAAGACCUAAACAAUUGCAAGAGUUUUGGUAUAUGUUCAUUAAUUUUACUUCUUUUCUUAUCAUGAGAAGGUGCUAAGAAGUGAACAAAUAUGAAAAAUAUUAGAAAAAUGUAAAGAAACAAUUAAAACGAAAUUAAUAUUAAGCAUGGCCAUGCACACCAUUUUUUUUUUUUCCUUUUUGCUCAAUAAAAAUAAGAAAUGCUUUUGCACAACACGCCUGCACACAUACUCUCACCAAUUACAACAAGUUUUAUUUAAACUUCAUCUUGAGCAUAUAAAAUAUGAUUUAUUAUUUUAUUAUAUUAAAGUGUUUGAAAUUGAAAUUAUUGGAAAUUUUUUCAAAAUAUAAAAGAUCUACAACUUACAUUAGAUAAUUUUAUACAAAUUAUUUAUUUGGAAAUGAGAAAAAAAUACAUGGAGUGUGCUGAGGUGAAAAACUACUACUGUUAUAACAACUUUGAGAAAGAAGAUGAAAGGAAAUAAAAGAUGGAGAUCAAAGAAAAUGAAGGAAAGAAAAGAAAAGAGGAUAAAAAAUGAGAUGAAAUAGGGUUGCUUGGAUGAAUGAGGAGGGUUGGGAGGUGAAAGAAGAAAGUAAUUUUAUCAUUUCACAUGUAAGAUCUAUUUGGAAAAAAAAAAAAGAGAGAUUUAGUUGAAGUAUUGAACAAUUCUCUUUAAUGACCAGAUGCAGUUUGGGAAAAAUGGUAAAACAAGCCAGAAAGGAAUAUGCAAAAUUAAAACAACCCAUCCCACAAACCCAACAUACAAUUCUUUUCCCUUCAAUUUUCUUGUAAACCAAUCAAAUCCCAUCAUUUUUUUUUUCUACGAUUUUCAAAAAUGGAGCUUCAGAGAUCAACACUAGAAGUGCAUCUAGGGUUUGCAAUGGUGUGUCUAGAAGAUGAUGUCUUCUUUUGUGACGAAGCUUGUGGGAUGCAGAAGAAUAGCUUGAUGGUAACAUCGUUGGACAGCAUCAACGGUACACAUGAUAGCGUCAUUGGGAGCUUCACAGAAUGAAGAGUAAGAGAAGCAGUGGAAAACUAGGCUUCAAAGAUACUUUAUACACAUGACUUUUUAAGGAAUGUAUAAUUUGGUAUAUGGUGUGUUGAGAUAUUAGGAAUGCUUUCCUUAUAUCAUUAUUUCCUUAUAUCAUUUAGUGUUGAGAUAUUAGGAAUGUUUAGAUAUUAGAAAAGUUAAGAUAUUAUGAAUAUUGAGAUAUUAGGAAUAUUGAGAUAUUAGGAAAGUUGAGAUAUUUGGAUAUUAGUUGUUAUUUCCUAUAUGUACAUGAACAAAGAAAGUAUGAAUGAAAAACUACCAUUCAUCAAUUUGAAGAUGGUAUCAGAGUCAGGGAACUGAAAUCUUUGAUAUUUUGUCGUAAGGCCAACAAUCGCCCCUCCUUUGCGAGAGAAAAAAAAAAUGAGUGAAAAAAGUACUAUUGUUUUUCAAUCUGAAGGUACUUUCAAUCCAGGAAUUAUUUUGACUGAAUCAAACUAUGACGUUUGGUCACAACUCGUGGAGAUGCAUAUUGCCAAACGGGAAAAAACUUUCCUAUAUCCGAGGUAAGACAAAUCUACCAAAAGAGUCAGAGGAUGGAUAUGAAAAAUGGUAUGCUGAGAAUCAAAAGGUGAAGAGAUGGUUGUUAAUGUCCAUGAGUCCAGAAAUUAUGAAGCGUUACUUACGCUUACCCACCGCUCAAGAAAUUUGGAGUGCAUUAUCAAAGGCCUUCUAUGAUGGAAGUGAUGAAUUACAAGUUUUCACUUUGAAUCAAAAAGCCUUCACUACCAAACAAAACGACAGGUCUCUUUCUGAAUAUUAUGGAGAGUUAACUGAACUUUUUUGCGAAUUGGAUCAUCGGGAUAAGGUAGUCAUGAAAGACCCUGAAGACAUUGCAGCAUACCGAAAAUCCAUUGAACGACAAUAGGUGCACAUCUUUCUUGCUGGAUUGGGUGGUGACUUUGAGCAAGUUCGAGGAGAGAUUCUACGCAAAGAUCCUCUUCCCGAUUUGAAAGAAUGCUAUGCACUAAUUCGACGAGAGGUAGUACGUCAUGCUAGUAUGAAAGCAGAAUCUGACAACCCUGACACCUCAGCUAUGGUAGUCAGACAACAAUCAACCCGAAAUUGGCAGGACCAAUCCAAGACCAACCAUCCUAAGACAGACCCUAAUAUUGAUAAGUCAACCUUCAAAUGAACUCACUGCAAUAAGACUGGUCAUACCAAGAGUCGUUGCUUUGAAAUUAUGGGAUAUCCAAACUGGUGGGAUCACAAUUGUGAUCAACGGAAGAAGGAUUCCAAGAAAACCUCGACUGCAGCUAUUGCCGAAAUAAAAACAGAGGCUAAUGUUGAUGAGAAAGCCUCUACAUUGAUAACCACUACAGAUUAUGGUGGUAAGUUUUUAAAUACUUCUACACCUGUUAUUAAUAAUGCAUGGAUAAUUGAUUCUGGUGUUACAGAUCAGAUGACUUUUGAUUCUAGACAGGUCUCACCCGUUAGACCUUCCUCACAAAAAUUUGUUUCCACAGCCAAUGGUAACACAACCCCAGUCAUUGGGGAAGGAUCCUUAACUCUUACUGAUACUUUGAAUUUGGAUUCUAUUUUAGUUGCUCCAUCCUUAAAUUACAAUCUUUUGUCAGUUUCUCAAAUCAUUGCAACCUUAUCUUGUAUUGUCAUUUUUUGGCCUGAAUUUUGUGUUUUUAAGGACAUCCAAACAAGACAGACGAUUGGUUUUGGUAUUAAGCGGGGAAAACUCUAUUAUUUGGACUUAAAGUCAAAGGAUUCAAAUAAGUUGCGACAAGCCUUGAUGGCAGAUGGAUCUGAGGGGGAGAAGAAAAAGUCUGAAAUUUGGUUGUAGCAUCGACGUCUAGGACAUGCUUCCUUUGGUUAUUUAAAAAACUUAUUUCCUAGUUUGUUUGCAAAGAGUGAUAUUUCUGGUUUCCGUUGUGAUAUUUGUGAAAUGGCUAAAAGCCAUCGUGCUUCCUUUCCAUUAAUUUUGAAUAAAAGUCCAUCUCCUUUUAUGGUUAUACAUUCUGAUGUUUGGGGCCCAUCCAAAGUCCCAACUUUGAGUGGUUCGCAUUGGUUUGUUACUUUUAUUGAUGAUUGUACUAGAAUGACAUGGUUAUGCUUGAUGAAGACCAAAGAUGAAGUGAACUUGUUGUUUCAAAAAUUUCAUAAAAUGAUUGAAACUCAAUACAAUGCAAAGGUUCGGGUUCUACGUAGUGAUAAUGGUGGAGAAUAUCAAAGUUAUGAUCUUCAAAAGUAUUUGGAAGGACAUGGCAUCAUUCAUCAAACUACUUGUUCCAAUGCACCCCAACAAAAUGAAGUCAUUGAACGAAAAAAUCGGCACUUGUUAGAGGUUGUUCGUGCUUCCUUGAUAGCAACAAAAACACCGAUAUCUUAUUAGGGAGAAGCAAUCACAUCUGUCGUAUACUUGAUCAAUCGGGUACCUUCUAGCUCAAUUAACUUUCAAACACCUCUCCAAGCUCUUACUAAUGUCGUAGCUGCCCCAACCGUCCUAAAUCUACCUCCUCGUGUUUUUGGUUGUGUGGCAUUUGUGCAUCUACACAAGCACCAACGCACUAAGUUAACUUCCCAUGCAUUGCAAUAUGUGUUUGUUGGAUAUGCAUUGCAUAAAAAGGGAUAUCGAUGUUACCAUCCUCCAACUCGACAAAUGUAUAUUACAAUGGAUGUGGUGUUUCAUGAAGAUUCGAUGUAUUUUUCAUCUGAGUCUGAACUUCAGGGGGAGUACCAUAAGGAAAUUCAGACUCUUAAUUAUGAUUAUCAUAUCUCUAAGGAAGAUGAAUCUGGACAAUCUGAACUAGUGAACCAGGAAGUGGGUGAGUUGGAUAUGAGUGGUCAACAAUUUGGGUCCGAAGAUGUCUUCACUGAAAUACCAAACCAAUCGUCGUCUGUUGAGGGUGUUCUUAAUUUGGAACCCAAUCCAUUCAUGAAACGGUUACCACAUCGUCAAAAUAGAGGUAUUCCUAAAUCCACAUAUGAACCUAAUUUGUCUACCAAAGUCAAAUAUCCCAUGAGCAACUAUGUGUCUAACAAUCGUUUGUCUUAAUCAAAUAAGUCAUUUGUAAAUCAAUUAUCUACUGUUGUUAUUCCUAACAGUGUGCAGGAAGCCUUAGUUGAUCCAAGGUGGAAAGCAAGAUUGGUUAGCCGAUAUCCUCACCAAAGCUGUCUCAAGUCAAGUAUUCUCAAAAUUUUUAGACAAGUUGGGCAUGUGUGACAUUUAUGCACCAACUUGAGGAGGAGUGUUGAGAUAUUAGGAAUGCUUUCCUUAUAUCAUUAUUUCCUUAUAUCAUUUAGUGUUGAGAUAUUAGGAAUGUUUAGAUAUUAGAAAAAUUAAGAUAUUAUGAAUAUUGAGAUAUUAGGAAUAUUGAGAUAUUAGGAAAGUUGAGAUAUUAGGAUAUUAGUUGUUAUUUCCUUAUAUUAUUCUUUCCUUGUAUCAUCCUUUCCCAUUCUUAGAAUGGUGAUUACCCUCUAUAUAUACUCUGUACAUGAACAAAGAAAGUAUGAAUGAAAAACUACUAUUCAUCCAUUUGAAGAUGGUGGAGGGUACACAUUAUGUUGGUAAACGGGGCAGGGUGAGGUAGGGCGUAGUAAAACCAAACCCGUCCCAUAUCUGAUCCAAGUAUACAAAAGCUUCUCCAAACCCAUCUCAAACUUGAAUAAAAGCCUUCCGUACCCAUUCUAAUAGGGAAGAGGUGGGGUACGGCGGGGCGGGGCGGAUUAUCCUCUAAGCUUAACCCAUUAUCAUCCCUAAGCAUAUUCAUUAUCAACUUCCAUUUGAAAUGAUAGUAUCACUCUUAUACAAAAUCAAACCAGCAACAAGACACAAUGAAAGUAAAUUAGCGUGCAGUAGACAAAAUUAUCCAUACAAGAAAAAAAUGGUUAAAGUGUUAUAUUUAAUUUAAAAUUUAUGAUUAUUCAUUUUAUUUUCUUAUUUUAUUAUUUUACUAAUUUUGUAUCUUUAUCUUUUUCUAAACAUGAAGAAUAGGUGAGUUUUUUUACAAGAAGAUGGGAUUCUAAUAUGCCUACAUUUAUCGCUCUUACUUGAUUCUUCUAAGUUAGAUAAGUUGUGUGAAAGACUGCUAUUGUGUGAAAUGAUCUUAUUUGAUUGAAGUCAAAUUUAUAUAACAAGGUUAUUAUAUUUUGGGAGAAGAGGACUACGUAGAAGUGGCAUAUUUCCUCUUAUGGAAGCACAUUUAUGUCUCAAAAUUCCGGAUCAAACUUUUUCUAACCCAUGUUCUUUUUUAUUAAUAUAAAAAUUGAUUUACUGUUAAUAUUAUUGAUUUUUAGAUUUUAGGUCCAACAGAAUGUUCUUUUCAUUGAUUGCAUAUUAAGUUGACAUGUUUUCAAUGCACUAACAUUUGAGUUAACUUUUUUUAUACGUGAGUCUGUGACUUAACCUUCACCCAAAAGAUGGUUGCACACCUUUUUAUUUGUAUUUUUAUUUGAAAAUUAUUAUUUAUUUAUUUGAAGUAAUUACUAAUUAUUUAAAUAAAAUAAAAUAAAAAUAAAAAUAAAUAAAAAACAGUAAUGAUUUAAGUACCAAAAAAAAAAAAACCAAAUACCUUAAAAGGGUCAAAGUGUAAGAACCAAGAAUAAGUUUCUUGAUUAAUUCACCUAAAAGGUGUUAAUAAUGUUUUUAUAAUCGAAUUGCUUAUUGAAUUGAAAAAAUAUUAAUUCACAAUUCAAUAGUCAGAUUCAUGGUUGAACAAUGAUCAAAAUAAUUAUGUCAUUACUAUAUAAUUUAUAUAUUUAUAUAAAAUUUAAAAUAAAUAAUUAAAAAAAUUAAUAAGAUUUCAUUUUUAUAUUUAAUAUGUUAAAUUGAAUCAUAAAGAUGAAUAUAAAUGUAUUAAUUUUUAAAAUUUUAUUAAAUAUAAUAUGUAUAAUAUUUAAGUUUCAAGAUAUUUAAGAUAAAAAGAAAAUUAUAAUAUUUAAUUUUAUCUAUAUAUUCAUAUAUUUUAUUAUUUUAAGAUUUUAAAAAUUAAUUUAUAUUAUUUUAUACCUAUUAUUAUAAAAAUAAACGUUGGAAAAAAACCCAUUCUAGGAUUAUACAAAAAUAUUUACUAAUGUGAUAUAUUGCUCGGUGGCUUAUCUCUUGCUUUUCCAUCAUGAGGUUCAUGUUUCAAAGCCAUGGUAAUCUCAAUUCAAGUGUUAGGCACCCAGUAAACCCAAAAAAGUCUUUUGUUAUAAUCCAAGACAGACAACUCUUCAAAUUUUAUAAACAAUAAUUUAUAGAAUAAAGUUCUAAUUUUUUAAUCUCAAUUUUAAAAAUAAUAAUCAAUUCUAACAUGAACCUCAUAAUAAAUUUAAUUAAUUACUUAAUGAAUUAAUUGUAAUUGUAAAAGGAGUUAUAAAAGGACUCUUUCACCCUUAAUGAAUUUAACUAAUUACUUAAUUACUUUAUAAAUUACUAUUUUGUCCCUAUAUUAAAUUAUUUUGGGGUGUUACAGGCUAAAUGCUCAAACCUCAUAACCAUUUUGGCGGGGCAGAUCUCCUUCCAUUUUGGCCAUAUCUCGAAAUUGCUAAUUCUGAGGCUUGGGCGGAACAGUCUAACAGGGGUUAUCCCAUUUACUUUGGGAAACCCUUCAUCUUUUUAGCAGCUUUCAAUGGCGUUCAAUCAUUUGGAGGGGGUAUUUCACAUGAUUUAAGUCAUCUGAAGUGCUUGAAAUAUUUAUAUUUGGAUGUAAAUAACCUGUCUGGUAUGAUUCCUCCCUUACGCUAUAAUUGGUCAUCUGCCAUUGAAUUUUUUGUAUCUGGCAACAUUCUGUCUGGAAAUUUUACUCCAAACAUGAGGUUUAAUUUUCCUCAACUCCGCAAGUUUUGCAUAGCAGGGAAUCAGUUUACCGGAAUAAUUCCAGAUACACUAUCCAAUAUUUCAGGACUUGAACUUUUGGAUCUAGGUAACAAUUAUCUAACUGGCCAAGUCCCUGAUAGCUUAGGAGUGCUCAAGGAUCUCUAUUGGUUGAGCCUUGAAUUCGAUAAAUUAGGAAGGGGCACGUCAGGCGAUUUAAAUCUUCUAUAUUCUUUGCCCAAUGUCAGCAGUCUAAGAAUUAUCAAUCUACAGGCCAAUAAUUUCGGGCCGUGUUACCCAUCUCUGGUUUCCCAAAAAAAGCCCAGCCCAGAUGUUAGCCAUCUCUAUAAACAUGAUGACAUAAAUAGACCCCAUUGAUGAUUGGUUUUCCCUCUUUUUGUUUUUUUUUUUUUUUUUUUCUUUUUCUAGUGGAGAUGGACUAGAAUUUAACUCAAGUUCACAAAUUCAAGUCAUUUGCUGGAAUACAUUUGAAUAGCUUGUUGUGCUCUUCCCCAGUUGAGAGGGAGGCAUGCAUUCAUUUUAAAUAGACAAGAAGCAGUUCGUAUCCUGAUGAGACAAUCCAAUCUACCAUUAAUGGAGAUGCCAAUCUUUAGCUUGAGAUUACAGUGGUCCUUUUUGCUUGUCAACCUUGUACUUUGUAUUAGUUCGUUUAAGUUGGAAUCACAUUCCAGCACGCCCACUUUUGGAAAUGAAACCGAUAAGCUUGCAUUGCUGGCCUUCAAGAAUUAUGUAGCUAACGUUCCAAAUGGAGUUCUGAGUUCCUGGAAUGACUCUCUGCACUUCUGCCAGUGGGAGGGGGUUACAUGCAGUCACCAACUUCAGAGGGUCACAGCCUUGAGGUUGGAGAGUCAGAGAUUAGCUGGUUCCUUGCCUCCUAUUGAGAACUUAACAUUUCUCAGAGAGUUGGAAUUGUCCAACAAUAACUUGCACGGUACCAUCCCAGUGAUAUUGGCCAUUUGCCACGGAUGCAACAUCUCAAUCUGAGCAUGAACUUUAUCCAAGGUGAGAUUCCGAUUGAACUGACAAACUGCUCAAGCUUCAGAACUGUGAAUUUCACAAGGAACAAUCUGACAGGGCAGAUUCCCUUGCACGUUGGCCAUAUGUCGAAACUCCUACAUCUAUGGCUUGGUGCCAACUAUCUAAGAGGGGUUAUUCCAUUUACUUUGGGAAACCUUUCAUCUUGGCUGUCCAUUACGUACAUUUGGAGGGAAAUAUUCCACAUGAAUUAGGUCGUUUGAAGAGCAUGAGAUAUUUAUAUCUAGGUAGGUACAAAUAACUUUUCUGGUAUGAUUCCUCCCUCCCUCCAUAAUUUGUCAUCUGUCAUUGAAUUUGUAGCAACUGACAACCAUCUGUCUGGAAAUUUCAUGUCAAACAUGAGGUUCAGUUCUCCUCAACUCUGCAAGUUUGGCAAAGCAAUGAAUCAGUUUACAGGAAUAAUUCCAGAUACACUAUCCAAUAUUUCAGGACUUGAACUUUUGGAUCUAGGUGACAAUCAUCUAACUGGGAAAGUCCCUGAUAGUUUGGGAGUGCUCAAGGAUCUGUAUUGGUUGACCCUUGACUUCAAUAGUUCAGGAAGGGGAAUGUCUGGCGAUUUAAAUUUUCUAAAUUCUCUCACCAACAUCAGCGGUUUAAGGUUAAUCAAUGCAGAAGGCAAUCAUUUUGGGGGUGUGUUACCCAACUCCAUUGUCAAUCUCUCAACCCAACUGCAGCAACUCGUCCUAGGAGAAAACAAAAUAUCUGGAAACAUCCCAAAAGAGAUUGGAAACCUCAUCAACUUGAUUCAAUUCAUUGCAACUUGGAAUUAUCUCACUGGUAUCAUUCCCACAUCAAUUGGCAAGCUUCAGAACUUAGGAGAAUUGGACUUCGGUUGGAACAGGCUAUCAGGUCUGCUACUGUCCACCCUCGGCAACUUAAGUCAACUGUUCCACCUUAACAUGAGCUACAACAAUUUUGGAUGAGAACAUUCCUACAUCUCUCAGGAACUGCCACAAUAUGGAAACUCUGGACCUCAGUCACAAUAAGUUGAGUGGUAGUGUACCUGAAAAUGUCAUUGGUCAUUUCAAUCAGUUGAGAUCACUCUACCUUCAACAAAACUCAUUCACUGGUUCUCUUCCAGCAGAUGUUGGUCAACUGAAAAACCUAAAUGAGUUACUUGUUUCUGAUAACACAUUUGUCAGGGGAAAUUCCCAGGGAACUUGGCAGCUGUUCAGUAUUAGAGUACCUCGACAUGGAAAGAAACUCUUUCCAGGGAAAAAUACCCGUCCUUUAGCUCUUUGCGAGGAAUUCAAUUCCUAGAUCUUUCAUGCAACAACUUGUCUGGAACGAUUCCCAAAGAACUACAACAUCUUUCUGCUUUGCUGACUUUAAAUCUGUCUUUUAACUACCUUGAAGGUGAAGUAGUUCCAAGUGGAGGAGUUUUUAAAAAUGUGAAUGGGAUUUCAAUCACUGGGAACAAGAAGCUUUGUGGGGAAAUCCCUCAACUGCAUCUGCCACCAUGCUUUGUUGUAGAGUCAGCAAAGCAUGCCAAGGGCAAGCAUCCUUCAAUCAAAAUUAUUAUAGCUAUAAGCAUUGCUGGUGUUUCUUGCUUGGCUUUCAUUGUGGCUUCAGUUCUCCUUUAUAGGAGAAACAAGACAAUAAUGAAGUCCUCUUCCACUUUUUUGGGAUAUGGGUACUUGAGGGUUUCUUACAACUCAAAGCAACUGGUGCAUUUGCUUCCUCCAACUUGAUUGGCAUGGGAAGUUUUGGUUCUGUAUACAAAGGAAUUCCUAGUCAAGGCGAAAGACAGGUUGCAGUGAAGGUACUGAACCUUCAAUAGCAUGGAGCUUCCAAGAGUUUCAUGGCUGAGUGCCAGGUCCUCCAGGCCAAUUCAACAUCGAAAUCUCCUCAGGAUCAUAACUUCAUAUACAAGUUUUAAUGCUCUAGUAUUUGAGUUCAUGCCUAAUGGGAACCUAGAUAGCUGGCUGCAUCACGAAUCCAGAAAUUUAAGCUUCAGACAAAGAUUAGAUAUUGCAAUUGAUGUGGCUAAUGCUCUGGAUUAUCUUCAUCACCAAUUGCAGACACCAAUUGUUCAUGGUGAUCUAAAGCCAAGCAAUGUUCUUCUUGAUGAUGACAUGGUUGCCCAUGUCGGGGACUUCGGGUUAGCCAAGCUCUUUCCUGAAGCUGACGACAUGCUGAGUAGUGAUCAAACCAGUUCGACACUGAUGAUGGGAUCCAUCGGUUAUGUCGCUCCAGGUACACUUCCUUACGUCUUUUUUCCUCAAUCCUAAAAAUAAGUUGUGAAAUUGUUGGUUUAAAUUGGCACGCAGGAUAGCAUAGCUACACUCGGCCUAUUAGCCUUACUUUUCAAUGGACCUUUUUUUUUCCUUACUUUUCAAUGAACUUCUAAGUAAAAAGAUGAAUAUGCAUGGCAGAAUAUGGACUAGGUGGCUCCAUGUGGCCUCAAGGAGAUGUGUACAGCUAUGGCAUUCUUUUCCUGGAGAUGUUCAAGGGAAAGAGACCAACAGAACACAUGUUUCCGGAUGGUUUGAGCCUUCACAGUUUCUCGAAGAUGGCAUUACCAGAACGGGUGAUGGAGAUUGCCGAUUCAAACUUGGUUGGGGAGUCAGGUGAAGCAACCAACAAUAUAGCAAAUCACGGUGAUGUGGAAGGUAGAAUGCAGCAUUACCUUGCCUCAAUUGCGAGAAUUGGAGUAGCAUGUUCUGAAGAAUCACUCGGUGAUCGAAUGGACAUCAAAGAGACGGUGAUGGAACUAAUUUAGGGGAAAAUGCAAAGGAAAGAAAAUAGAAAGAAAAAGAAAAAAGAAAGAAAAAUCAAAGAAAAUAAAAAAAUAGAGUUAAAAAUGAUAAAUUAUUUUUAUUUACUACUUCAAAUUCAUUUUAUUUAUUUUAACUUAUCAAUAUAAAGAUUAAAUAAUUUUAAAAUACAUAAGUUUCUAAUUAAUUUUAAUUAUAUAUAUUUUUUUUUAAAUAUUUAAUAGGAUAAUCAAAUAUAAGAAAGUUAUUUUCUUUAACUAAGUGGAUAUCAUUAAGGAAGUGUUUCUUGGGUAGGAAUCCAGACAUAUCAAGAUGCAUAUAUAUACACGUACGUACGUACGUAUGUGUGUGUAUGUGUUUUAGAUGUCUAUCUGUGUGUGCAUGCAGACAGACAAGUUUUGGAUUGGACUCCGACGUGCAGUCACCAAGCCCACACAUCUUUUAGAUCACGCAUGCCAAUUUCUACCCCAUGAGGUAUGGAAAUAAUGUCACCAAGCCCACACAUCUUUUGGAUCACGCAUGCCAAUUUCCACCCCAUGGGGUAUGGAAAUAAUUUAAAUAUGAUAAAUCUCUCUCUCUCUCUCUCUCAUCUUUUGAAUCACGCCAAUUUCCAUCCCAUGGGGUAUGGAAAUAAUUUAAAUAUGAUAAAUCUCUCUCUCUCUCUCUCUCUCUCUCUCUCUCUCUCUCUCUCUCUCUCUCUCUCUCUCUCUCUCUCAAUGCUAACCACCCAAAUGAGUAUUGGAGACAAAUUUAAAACCCGUGCAUUUCAUUUACUUCUUGAAUCCUACUGUUCUAGUACUAUUAUAAUAUAUACAGCCAUCUACAGAAAGAAAGACGAGUUAUCUAUUUUCUUACCAUUGUAACCAGUCAUAGCCUAUCUUUGAGAAAAGUGACAAGGUUAUAUUCUAAGAGAGGAUUGUGUUUUGAAUCUAAUUAGACUCAAAAAUUAAACUUUGAUCCAUAUAUGUUUACCAUUUAAGUUCAAAAGUCAAAGAAAGUAUGAAAAUUGAGAAGAAGAAUAUGAAUAUUUUAUCUUUUCGAAAAUGAUCUUUAUUAACUAUGAAAAAAAAAAUGCAAAACAAUCCACAUUGAAAUUUCAUUCAUGUUACCUUAAUUUUGCUCACAUUUCAUUUAAGCCCUAGACUAUUGAUGUGGAAGGUAGAAUACAGCAUUGCCUUGCCUCAAUUGCGAGAAUUGGAGUAGCAUGUUCUGAAGAAUCACCUGGUGAUCGAAUGGACAUCAAAGACACCGUGAUGGAACUGAAUAUCAUUAAGGAAGUGUUUCUUGGGGUAGGAAUCCAUGGGGAGAGACAUAUCAGGAUUAGGAUGCAACUACCUGCGGAAGGAACAUCUCAGCUCGGUGGUGACUGAAGAGUUGUGGUUUGUUCUAAUUGUGACUGAAGACUGUAAUUGAAAAAUAGUAUAUUUCUAUUUCAUUUUUCAAAGCUUCAUGGUUCCAGCUCAUUUGACUUACAACUACGUUUCAUCGAGGCACGUGUUAGCUAAUGUUAGCUAAUAAUGGAUUUUUAUAUUUAAAUUUAACUAUUUGAUAAAAAAUUAUAAAAAUAUGAAAAAAUAAUUUUCAUCUACCUCAUGAUUGUAUUUAAAUAUAUUUUAUUUUAAAACAUUAUAUUUAUUAAAUAAUUUUGUUAGUAGGUAAAAUCAUAUCCAUUUUUUUAAGAGAAAAUAAGAUUAAAUUUAUUUUUUUAAAAUGAUAUAUUUUUAGAAUAUAUUCUUUUUAAAAAAUCAGUAAUAAAUUUUCAUAAUAAUUAUUGAAAAAAAUUAAGACAAAAAGGUUUAUCAAACAUUAUGAUAGAAAAUAGUUUUGAAGAGUAUAUUGAUAUCUUCAUAUUUUAUAUUAUCUCUAUCAAUUAUACAACUUAUAUGAACCAAAACUUAAUUUUUGGGGUUAGUCAGGUCCAAAAUACAAUUAUCUCAUAAAAAAAAUGUUAACAAUGGUUUUAAAAUCGAACCAACUAUUAAAUUGGAAAAGACACUAAUUCAUAAUUCAAUAGUGAGAUCUAUGAUUGACAAAUGAUCAAAUCAAUUAUAUUAUAAAUAUAUAAUUUAUAUAUUAUAUAAAAUUUAAUAAUAUUUUAUUUUUUAUAUUUAACAUGUUAAAUUGAAUCAUAAAAAUAAGUAUAAAUAUAUUAAUGUUUUAAAUUUUAUUAAAUAUAAUAUAUAUAUAUAUAUAUAUAAUAUUUAAGAUAAAAAGAAAAUUAUAAUAUUUAAUUUUAAUUAUAUAUCCAUAUAUUUUAUUAUUUUAAAAUUUUAAAAAUCAAUUUAUAUUAUUUCAUACCUAUUAUUAUAAAAAUAAAGGUUGGAAAAAAACCAUUAUAGGAUUAUACAGAAAUAUUUACUAAUGUGAUAUAUUGCACAGUGGGUGGGUUAUCUCUUACUUUUCCAUCAUGUGGUUCAUGUUUCAAAUCCCUACCAGCGCAAUGCCAUGGUAAUCUCAAUUCAAGUGUUAGGCACCCAGUAAACCCAAAAAAGUCUUUUAUUAUAAUCCAAGACAAACAACACUUCAAAUUUUAUAAACAAUAAUUUAUAGAAUAAAGUUCUAAUUUUUUAAUCUCAAUUUUAAAAAUAAUAAUCAUUUCUAACAUGAACCUCAUAAUAAAUUUAAUUAAUUACUUAAUGAAUUAAUUAUAAUUGUAAAAGGACUUGUAAAAUGACUCUUUCACCCUUAAUGAAUUUAGCUAAUUACUUAAUUACUUUGUAAAUUACUAUUUUAUCCCUAUAUUAAAUUUUGAGGUAUUACACAUUAAAUGCUCAAACCUCAUAACCAUGGACUUGACAAGGAACAAUCUGACCGGACAGAUCUCCUUCCAUUUUGACCAUAUCUCGAAAUUGCUAAUUUUGAGGCUUGGGCGGAAGGGUUAUCCCAUUUACUUUGGGAAAUCUUUCAUCUCUUUAGCAGCUUUUAGUGGCAUUCAGUCACUUGGAGGGGGUAUUCCACAUGAUUUAAGUCGUCUGAAGUGCUUGAAAUAUUUAUAUUUGGAUGUAAAUAACCUGUCUGGUAUGAUUCAUCCCUUACGCUAUAAUUGGUCAUCUGCCAUUGAAUUUUUUGUAUCAGGCAAAAUUUUGUCUGGAAAUUUUACUCCUAACAUGAGGUUUAAUUUUCCUCAACUCCGCAUGUCACGCCCCAAGACCCACUCCAAGGGCGUGACAGUCAUUUUACACCUCAAACCCGAAGGCUCAAAGUGUAACCUGACUCAAACAAUCAUAAUGUAACUGGAAGUAACCAAUUACCAAAUACCUGGAGUAAUGGAACAAAAUUCUAAAAUCUUCAAACUUAACUUUAGAACGAAGCAUUCAUCAACCAAAAUCCAUUAUCCAAAUAGAUUGCAACUCAACAAAUCAAGUAGUAACAAAUUUUUAUAAUCUUCAAAUCUCAACUUCAAACUAUCAUAAAAAAAAUAUUUAAAAGCUCAAUAACUAAAUAGCUUCCAAAAACUAAAUAAUUCAAAUGAACAUAAACUUAUAAGCUAACAAUGUUCAAAAAUAACAUCUUAAGAAAAAUCCUAAUGAUAACCAUUUCCCGACCUAGCCAUCACUCCUCGCCCGAACUAAGGGUACCUGAAAAUUUUUAAUAAUAUUUCAUUUUUAUAUUUAAUAUGUUAAAUUGAAUCAUAAAAAUGAAUAUAAAUGUAUUAAUUUUUAAAAUUUUAUUAAAUAUAAUAUAUAUAUGUGAACCCCGCAUUUCGGCUCAAUGCGUUUCCCACUCGAUAGCGAGCUUGAUUUUUAUUUUUAAAAAAAUGGAUUUUUAUUGUUUAGAAAAAUGACUUGGAGUCGCCACUUAUUUUUGUUUUAUUUUUAAAGGGUAAACAAAAUAAGAAAGAAAAACCCUAAGUGCGACUCUUUAUUUCAGAAAAGCUGGUCUGUGAAAAACCGGAUCGGGUUCGGGAGUCAGGUUACUCAUCGGGAAGGUACGAUAAAGACCGUAGCACCCCUCUAAGCCCCUAAAGUCGGGUUUCUACUAAUAAAAUGAAGCAAUCAUGGCAAUUGAUGAGGAAAACAAUGAAUACCCGAAACUAUCAUGCACAUAGGAGAAUUAGAAACAAGCAUAAGGAGUGACCAUGAUGCGAGAAAAUACGUACCUGGGUGGCGAAUCAAUAUGCGCUAUCAAAAGAGGAGUUAGUAAAUCAAUAUAGGAUGAAUAUAUACGUAUCACAAAGCAGAACAAAAUCAAUCACGCAUGAUGAUUAAAUCAAUCAAACCAAUCAAUCGAUCAAUCGAUCAUAUAUGUCGGGCCCCCACCAAAGCCCGUUUAUUUUAGCAUGAAUUGAUUUCCUAAAUUCCAUUAUUCGGAACUACGGAAUUUAAAUUCAUGUUUAUUUUAAAACAUUUUAAAAUCAUGAAAAAUCCGAAAGUGACUCGCCGAAACGAAAAUGGCGACCAAAUUUUAUUGAAAAGCGGAUUCUUGGAACCUAGACGAAAAAAACUAAGGAAUAAAAAUUAAAGAGAUGAAAUUAUUUAUAUAAAAAAAAAGGAAAUUGAAAAAAAAAAUUUGCAAACUAGAGUUUAGGAAUUUAUUUUAAAAAUAAAAGAUGAAGAAAUAAAAAAUAAGUAAAUAAAUAAAUAAAUAAACAAAAGGAAGAGAAGACGUGUGGCUUAAAGGUGGCCAUGCAAACCAUGCAAAAGUGGGUCCCCCAAAGGUGCAACUGUAUGAAACUGUAAGAUAUCCAUAGAGAGACCAGCCACAAACUUCUCAAUGAGACUCUCUUUUUUGACAACCUUCAAUUCCUCCAUCAAAGAAUUCAUCUCAAAGGCCAUGUCCUUCAAAUCAUCUCUGAGUUGCUUGAUUUUGGAACUGUUACACAUUACUGGAUCAUCAGUUGGGGCCAUCUUUGUUGCCUUCUGUACAACCACGGUAUACUCAUCUUCAGCAUCAGGAAUGAACUCAGCUCCGUAGGCAACCUCCCACCCAACUACCCUGACCUCCCAUACAAUAACGCAUUGCUCAUAAACUAAUAUUUCCACUGUUUGCUUGGUUGAUGGUUUCACAGUAAUCUCGGUGACUGGAUCAGCAAUGCCGAAAUCAGGGUUGCAAUCACAGUAGUCCACACUCAAUCCACCAUACUACAUUGGUACUUGCUUAGGAGAUAUGUAUUUGAAAAGUGUUUUGGCAGAUUUGGCUGAGCUUGCAAAUACAAACUUGUUCUUGGUCCUCUGAGUCAAGAAUGGACUGAUCAUCAUAUAGAAUGCGAGAUACCACCAAGGAACAUUGAUGAACACCUGUUUAGCAACGAAUUCAGGGUAAUUGUCCUGCAGCAGCUGGAGGGCCUGUUUGGUGGCUUGCCUAAGUUCCCAUUUUCCGGGUCCGGGAGAAUUCUUAAGAUCAUUAACCUGAAAGAUGGUGUUGACGCCGCCAGGGGUGAAAUCAAGCUUCCUGAUACUCCUUUCCAAGAACUGAAUCCUCCAUCUCAGGAACUUCAUCCUCUUCUCUUCAUCAGAAAACGUCUUCUGGUACAAUUCUUUGUUCUGAAACUCCCCAUACACAUUGUAACACACUAGGUGGCCAUCUCUGUCAAAACCAUGCAUGAACACCACCUUCUCCAAGUGCUCACCCAAAUCAUCAUCCACCAAUGCGUCAAUGCCAAACUCUUUCCUCCAAAAGAUGGUGUUUUUUUUUAGCAUGGCGAAAGCUUCCUUCACCUUGAACUCUCUCGCCCUCAGAAAUUUGAGAAGAAUCAUAUCGCUUCUCUCGUCUUUCAGCAGUGGAAUCCCCCAGAUGGACACAUCCUCUUGAGUUGGGCUUUCGUGCUUGAGAAUGGAUUCAAUUGUUGGGUUUGGUGUGGGUUUCACAUUUUCAUCUUUAGCACUCUCUUCUUGGGUGCUGAUCUCCGAUUCUGCUACUGGGUUUGGUUCCCUUUUUUCAGAAGCUUCUUCGAUUUUCUCAGGUGGUUUUUCUGCUGAUUGAGGCGGUGACGACAACGGUGGUGAAGACGGGGUGAUUUCUGAAGAGAGAACCAUUGGACUUCUUCAAUGGGCGUCGCCGGAGACGAAACUCGUGACUGUCGCCCCUCUGAACUUCCUUAGUGCCAUGGAUGGUAUCAGUCAGACCCGAGAUCCUCCUGCAACAAUGAACAAGGCAUCCAAACACUUGUAUCCUUCUCAAAUAUUCAUUCUGAAUGGUCAAGGUCAGCUAGACUGGAGCAGUUCGGUGAAGACAGCAGCAAGAUUGCACUCACGGCAAGGUGCAAUGGCAUCAGGUUCGUCAGCCAAAAAUCAAUCAUAUAUGAAAUAAAAACCACAACUCAGAGCCCAUGAUUUUCGCCAUGAGACGGCAUGAAAAUAUCACUCUUCUCAUAAACGAUAUAGUCAAUGGCAGUCAUGAAGGAGGCUUUCUCUGAAAAUGGCUCUAGUUCACUAGGCAAGGCAAGGUCUUCCUUAUUGUAGAAAUUAAGAAACUCUUGAGUUAAUGGCAACACGACUUCUUUCUCGUUGAUCGGUAUAAUAUCCUUAGUGACAAACUGAUCCAGAUCAACCACGGCUGUAGUAUUUCCUCAAGAUACAACUUGAGCAUUACCCUGCUUCUUUCCUAUCUGAGAUCUUUGCGCAAACCCAAACCAUCUGGAGGAGCUUUAUUCAUCCAUAACCCUCAUAAGCUUAGUUCUACGAUAGCUUUACCUGAAUCCCUCAGGUAGGGACAUACAGCCUGAUGUACAACAAGGUAGGAUACCAAGAACAGGGAAAUGGCAAAACAAAACAGAGCACAAACCAAUGAAACCAAUAAAACAACCAGAGCCAUGUUUGAUGUUUAGAUCAACAGGCUUGGCUGUAGGUGAGUGAUCUAGAAUACGUUCCAUGGAGAUAAGAACAAAAUAAGACUCCUAUAUGAUGCGUAGUAAAAACUAAAACAGAGUAGUAUCAUUCUCAAAUCACCCCAAGGAAAAUAGAUGAAAUAGGCAUAACAAAAUCCAUGGACCAAACAGGAAUCGUAAAACUGAACGUAUAAUCGAACAAAUCCACAGAAAAUAUCAAGAAAAAGGGAAUAAGACUAUAGUGUGAUAAAGAAAAUCCCAGGAUACAGGGCAGUCAUACCUCUCUUUUCUCCUCCCUCAAGCUUCCCUGUUCAGCUUCAGAUGCCUUAAAAUCCACCUCCAAUGCCAAUGAAACUAAUGGAACCGUCCAGUUAUCUUCCUCUGCCCUCCAAACAUACAGCUCUCCUACUAAAAAAAAUCAACGUUUCCGACCCACCCCCUCAAAGCUCUAUGCUAUCCAGCUUGCUCCUCAAGAAUGUCUCUCUAAGCUCUCGAAAACUCCCUCUCUGCAACUCCUCACCUCAGCUCAAGGAAAAUCUCUCCAGACCCUAUCUCCUCUUUGUUUUUUUUUCUGAUUUUUCUCUCGUUUUUCUCUCCAGUCUCUGAAUAUCCAGCUUGCUCCUCCAGAAUCUCUCAAAAACUCCCCCCUUCAAUGCAGCUACAUCCUCCUAAAAAUAUCUCUAACGGCCUUCCCAAAAGCAAAACCUCUCCCCCACUCCUCUGCCAGCCUCCACUACCCUCUCCUGCAGCUGGCAACCUUCCCAUAACAGAAUAUACGCUCCCCUGAUUCCAAAAUGUUCUUCACUUUCCAGGUGUCUUCCUCUGAUGGGUCCAUCAAUUCCACUAUUUUGAUUCCAUAUUGACUAAUCCGGGAGUGACACGUGGCCAUGCAAGAUGGUGACACUUGGCCACAGCUAGCUGCAAGAAAGGAAACGUGAGAAAAAUGACAGCUCCCCAAAAUGGGGGUCUACAAUAUAAUAUUUAAGUUUCAAGAUAUUUAAGAUAAAAAGAAAAUUAUAAUAUUUAAUUUUAUCUAUAUAUUCACAUAUUUUAUUAUUUUAAGAUUUUAAAAAUUAAUUUAUGUUAUUUCAUACCUAUUAUUAUAAAAAUAAACGUUGGAAAAAAAACCAUUCUAGGAUUAUACAGAAAUAUUUACUAAUGUGAUAUAUUGCUCGGUGGCUUAUCUCUUACUUUUCCAUCACGAGGUUCAUGUUUCAAAGCCAUGGUAAUCUCAAUUCAAGUGUUAGGCACCCAGUAAACCCAAAAAGGUCUUUUGUUAUAAUUGACAGACAACACUUCAAAUUUUAUAAACAAUAAUUUAUAGAAUAAAGUUCUAAUUUUUUAAUCUCAAUUUUAAAAAUAAUAAUCAAUUCUAACUUUAGUAGUAUCAAUUUUAUAAGAAUUGAUUCAUGAAAUCAAAUUCUACUGUCAAUCUUAUACACUGAUAUCCAUUGAUAAAAAAAUGAAUGCAUCUAAUAUAAUUUAUACAAAAAUAAUUUUAAUUCAAUGACAAAAACAGUUUAUAAAAAAAUGAUGUCAUUAAUAUAAAUUUAUCAAAAAUCGUUUGUAAAACUAGUUUUGAUUAUAUUAAUCUCAAUGAAUCAACUGCAUCCAAAUUUACAAUAAUCAUUAAGGUGGUGUUUGUUUUUUGGCGAAAAAAUCAAAUAUUUUGGCUUUUUUUAUUUAGCUAAAAGUAUCUUAUUGAUACAAACCAACAUAAUUAAAGUGAACUUAUUAUCAAUAAAUUUGAUUUAAUUAUGUUGGUUAAUAUUAACGAGUUACUUUUAAUUAAAUAAAAAAAAUUAAAUAUUUUAAUUUUUUCUAUUAAGUCAAAAAACAUAUACGACCUAACAUUAUUCAUAUUCACAAUUGUAUACAUUGACUAAUGUGAUAUAUUGCUUAGUCCUUUUGGAGGUUCCUGGCUUGUUAGGCACCCAAUAAGCCCGAAAAAGUCUUUUGAUCUUUACAAUAAAUAAAUAGUGGAUUAUAAAGACUUGAAAGUUGUAUGAAUGAAAUCCAAACCAAGAAAACACUUCAAAUAAGUUUAAUUUCAGCCCAGACAAAUGAGUUCAAUACUCCACCCAGAUUUAAAAUAUAAUUCCCAUUCCAAAUGAGUAUAUUUUGAUUCCCUACUUUCAGCUUUCCUUGCUUCCGAUAUCAGUUUGCUCAGACCCGGUUCUCUCUCUCCUCUCACAAAAUAGCUCAUCCACAGAUCAAUUCAACUAAUCCAACGAUUAUUUUGAUUAUGAUGCCCGAAAUCGUACCUCUCCAAAAUGAACAAUAUUCAACUGCAAUGGAGAGGAAAAAGCAAGAGCAGAGGAUGCAAGUGAGAAAUGAAAGGCCCGAGGAAUGCGGUAAAACAGCGUACAAGCCGGUUGCGAAAGCGAUGGCCAUUGCUCCCAUCCCAACCAUGGUCAAACUAAAGGCCCAAAGUAAGUGUUUUUCAAGGAACUUCCCACGUUUGUGCAUGGUCAUAAAAAAGUGAAGAAAUACGGCGCAUAGUGAGGAGAGCAUGGCUAUGGUAUCCGUCACAACAAAUGCUUCGAAAGCUGCUUUCUUUGAUAAAAUUGCCUGGCCAUCAUCCUCUUUGUAACCACCAGGCAAGGUGAAACCCGCAGCAAAAGUUACUGUUGUUAUAAGCGCAGAAACUAUCAAGUGGGUUUCCCCUUGUUUUUGUAAUUGAGAGAUGUAUUCUUUCCUUUCUUUCUUUCUCUCCCAUCUCUUACUUUCCUUCUCCCAAAUCGAAUAAGAAUAUUCAAUCAUAACAUUCUCAAAGUCAGAUUGGAUCAAAUCCUGAAAUCAGACGUGAGGAACAUUUAAAUUUAAUUCAAUUGAUGAAUCCAUUUUUUUCACAAGCUGAAUGAAAAUAUGAUACAAGUGAUAAAUCAAUCAAACUUAACCAACCUUUAAUUAAAUACAUCAAAUCAAGCUUAUUUGUUCCUAGAGAUUUGGGGUUAAUCUACUUGUUUGUUCCAAAACUUCUUGAUGAGUGUCAAUUUAUAUAAAUCUGAACAUCAACAUAAAUUAUUCAAUAAAUCCAAUUAAUUUAGAAACAAGCAAAAAUG
rnacentral:lncRNA from 1 species